rnacentral:lncRNA from 1 species
GGCGACGGCUUAGGGUUAGCAGAGGGAGACGAGUUUGAGAGAGGGCAGAUGUUGGCGGUGCCUGUGGUUGUGGCUGCCAUUAAUGGCUGAAUUUAUUCUAUUUUAUUUUAUUUUUUGGGUUGCCUUGCUCAAAGAAAAAACAGAGGGGGUGUGUGGAGGGAGACAGUGGCGAAGGGUACUUUAAGUAGAGGGGAACUUGUUCUAGGUUUUUUUCUGGAAUUGUGAGGGAAUCUGAUCCUGUGUUUGUGCAUAUGAUUCAAUUACUUAUAGGUGAUACUGUUGUGUCACCACAAAUUCUAAUUGGGAAGCUUCAGCUGUCAAUUUUUUUCCAAGGGUUAAUUAGGUAGAACUUUCAUUUCGUCGAAUUUAUUUGGAGAUUCUAAAAGUAGUUUCCAAAUAGAGAGAUGGACCAAAAUCAACAAUGUGACACAGAUACUUUAGAUUUUUUUUCCUUGUGGGACACGAAAAUUGAUGCAUGCUCCAAUGCAUUGCUCUAUCAGAAUUGGAAUUAAACUUAGUUUGUAUUCUCCUAUUCCGAAAGCAAAACUUAUAAGUGAUAUUCUAAGAAGAAGAAAUUAAGAACCAUAACAAAUUUGAUGAUUCUAAUUUGCUAGAAUUAUUGGAAUCCAAAACUAAGAAAGUUAAAAUCAAUUAUUAGAAGAAAAAAGUAGGACGGAAGCUCCCAGAAUAUUGUUAUGUGUUGUAUGUUUUCAGUUUGUAUUUCCCAAUCAAUGAGGAAAAGUAAGUACACAUGUUACAAAAAUUUAAUAAAAAAAAUUGGAGGUGACAGAACCGUCAAUCUUCUAAUUAAUUUUCUCUCCUUUCAAAUUUCCUGAGUUUGGUAGAGACUGCUUAAGUGGUGUAUCUAUUAUAAACAUGCAAAACUAUAUUGCAACAAUAGUAUGGUACUAUUGUUGCAACCAGUCAUUGAAUUUAUAGUUGUACAGUUACAUUAGUAAGAUUCAAUGGCUGAAAGCAACAGUGGUACCGUACCACUGUUACAACAUAGCUAGACCCAUUAUAAACACCUGAAGUCAAAGUUAAUGUUUUAAUUGUUAAAAAAAGUUAGAAGAAGAAAUUUUUGUAUAAGAGAAUUGGGUUUAAAUUUAGAAUUCUUUGGGAGGAAAUGAGUCUAAAUUCCAAUAAUAUAAUUCAGCACUAUUUAUAUAUAUCAUUAGUUGGGUGAAAAAUUAAUUUCCCUCCUUUGAUGUGAUUUUCAUCAUUUAUUUUCAUAUGAUGGUAAUUUUUUGUUUAGAGUUAAGUUAUUGGCACCCUUUCAUUAUCCUUAUAAAAUCCUACUUCAAAUAAAAUUACACUUAAAGACAGUAGAAUUAAAUAACAUAGUUUUUUUUUCAAACAAAUUACUCACAUUCAUAAUUUUUUUUCUUCUAAUUUUCUACAGGUUGCUUUGUAUCUAACUAAAAUAAAUUGUACAAAUUUAGAAUAAUAUAUUAUUCUUUUUAAAUUUCUUAUUGAUUAAAUAUUUGUGAGCUUAAGAUAGCUUUAAAAUUAUAAGAUAAAAUAUAUAUAAUUUAAGCCAAUGAUUAACAUUAAAAGAUUUAUCUCUCAUAAAAGUUUUUAAUUUGUGCGUAGGAUAAUAAUAAAAUUGCAAAAGAAAUAAAAAAUAGCAUAGCACUAUUUUGAGUUUAAACAAUAAAAAUUAAAUGAAAAAUUAGAAGUGUAUUUAAAAAAAAGGAUAUUUUUGAAAAUAAAAUAAAUAUAAUUUAAAAAAAAAAAGAGUUUCAUGAGGGGUGCGAUAGUUCUGAAAUACUAGCUAGGCAACCCAAGAGGGGGGUGAAUUGGGAUUUUAAAAUUUAUGCAAUAUAAUUCGCACAACAAUUCAAUCUAAUGCCUUAAUCAAUUCGAAACAAUAAAUUCAAUGAAACACAAUAUUAAAAGAGUAAGGGAAGAGAAAACGAACACAAGGAUUUUUACGUGGUUCGGCUAUCCCCGCCUACGUCCACGCCUCCAAGCUCACCGGGCUUGAGGAUUUCACUAAGCUAGCCUCCCAAGGCUUCAAACGCUUACAAUUGACUUCCAAGGUGUCAAUGGACCUUUACAACAAGAGAUUAUCCCCAAUCUCUUAACCCAAGUGUAUCCCAACACUUACAAUCUUUUAAUUUGAUUUUACAAAAAAGAUUACAAAUGAAUCUCUCUCACACAAUGUGUUUGAUCUCAAGUGAAAGCUCAAUGUGUGAAUGAAUGAGAUGAAUACAAUAAUUUAAAGCUCAAUGAAAGUUGUAUUCUCAAUAUUUUGCUCAAUGAUAAUCGUUGGAAUCCCUCUUGUUUGAAUUGGAUUGAGCUUAUUUAUAGUUGGAGCUGAAAACUAGCCGUUAUUGACUUUCUGCACACUGUCGGAUCGCCGUUAGCUAGAUGUCGGAUCGCCGUUUGACUGGUCAAUAUGACCGUUGGGCUGAUUUUUCAAAUUGUCGGAUCGCCGUUAACUAUAUGUCGGAUCGCCGUUUAGGUCUAGAGGCUACUGGUUGAUAUCGGCGAGCCGUUUAUCACACAUGUCGGUUCGCCGUUUAUUUCCAGAGACUAAUCUUCAAUUCUGUUAGAUGUCGGCGAGCCGUUAUCAAGAUGUCGGAUCGCCGUUUUCUACAGUAACUGCUACAGUGAAAUAUUUCCCAAAUUUACAAUUUGACCCCAAAACUUUAUAAAACUAUGUUACGGCCCAAAACGUUAUAAAACUUUGCAAAUAGGUCCAAUUUCAGAAUUUCUAAGUAAUACUUUGUUAAUCCCAAAACUUUCUGAAAUUAUGGUAUAGCCCAAAAUGCUAUGACACUUUUCAAAUAAGUCAUUCUCCAAAAUUUCAAGCAAUACUUGUUUAUUUCAAAGUUUUCAAAAUUCUUUCAAUUAAACCAUAAACUUUGAAAAACAACUAAUUUCAUAAAAUUAUUUUUCCAUUAAAUAUGAAACAUUUAUAAUGUGAAAAUAAUGAUUUAUUUAAAAAGAAUAAAAACAAUCAAUUUCAUAAAAUCAUUUUUCCAUUAAAUAUAAAACCUUUAAAAUGUGAAAAUAAUGAUUUAUUUAAAAUGUAUAAAAAAUAAUUUGAUCUUAAAAGAUUAAUCAUUCUUAAUCUUGUUUGUUAUCAUCAAAAUCAAUAUUAUGGAAACAUAUAUGUUAACAAUCUCCCCCUUUUUGAUGAUGACAAACAUUUCAUGUAUUUAAAGAAUGAUUCCACAAAUUGCUCCUCCUAAAUAUAAUAUUCUCUUAUAAUUUGCCAAUUAGCUAAAUUAAUGAUUUAAAUACAUAGAUUUUUCUCCCCCUCAUCAUCAAAAAGAAAAACUAAAUUGGCAAAGAAAAAGUAACAAUUUUUUUUUUUUAUAAAUUUGAAAACAUGUAUUCUUCUCCCCAUUUAUCAUCAAAAAGAAAAUGUAAAGGAAAAUAAUAAAAGUAGCAAAUUUGUUACCCAUGUUGUUUGAGUAGAAAUUUUUAAAAAAAAUCUCCCCCUAACAACAAGCAUCAUCUCAAAUACAAGAUUAGUAAUAUCACAUCAAAAUUAUUAUCAUCAUAUAAUCCAACAACCAUAAAAUGAUUACGAAUUAUUAAUCCAUUAAUUAUCAAAUCAAUAACUCAAAACAUAAAAUCAUCAUAUAAAACACCCAUGUAAUCAAAUCAUUAUCAUAUCUCAAAAUCAUCAAAAUCAUCAUCAUAAUCAAAUAUCAAUUAUCAAAACAAUUACUCAAAAUGCAUGUUAUUCUCCUCAUUUUGACAAAAUAGAAAUGAUAUAUCCUUUGUCUCCCCCUUUGGACAACAAAAAAGUUUAAAAUACAUAUUAUCCAAAAUCAUAUUACAUGCUCCCCCUAAAUAUAUGGCCAAUGUAAAAUUUUAAUCAAAAUAAUUUUAUCCAACAACAUAUCAUAUUUGUCUCCCCCUAUCAAGACUUCAAAUCAAGCACAUAUAAUUAUCAAUUAUCAAAAUCAUCAAGAAAUCAAAUUAUUCCAAGUUUAUGCCGAAUUUUUGAAAAUUACUCUUCGCAAAGAGGUUUUGAUUUGUUUACCAAAUUGGCAUGCAUAUUAUCAACUAUCCAAGCUCCAUAAUUAUCAAUCACAUUUUAUAAAUAAAGACAACUAAACACAUCAAAGAUCUAAUGUGACAUUUUAAUAAAAAAAAAUCUCAUAUGCUUAAAAAUAUCGAAGUAUAUGAAUUUCUCCAUUUUUCGAUAUCAUUUAAAGCAAGUUAUGCAUAUUUAACAAUGCGUCAAGAAAGCACAAACAAAAAUGUAUCCAUUCACCAAUCAUAGAUUCCAUAAGAUCAAACUUCAUCAAAUACAAUGGAAUCAUCAAAGCACAAAUUUUAUCAUCAAAACUUAAGCAAAGCAUAAGUGUAUAAUUGCAAUAUAAGAUCAUCAAAAUCAACAUAGCUAUUAAGAUAAGCCAUCAUUAUGAGUUAAGAACAAGUGAUCAAAUUCAUUAUUACAGAUGCUCACAUAUAUUUUUAAGUGAUGAUAUAGUAGUUACACCUUGUGAUGGAUCUUUCAAAAUAAAGUUCUUAAGGUGAGAAGAAACAUACCUCCACUCCUUGGGGAGUGUUUGAGAAGUACCUUCAUUUUACUCCGCAUUUGUUUCUUCAUGUUGCUCAUCUUGAUUUUCAAGUGGUGCAUUCUUUUGGCUAUCAUUUGAUAAUCUACUUGUAGCUUUUCAUCUACAUUAUCAUCAACAACAACAAAAUAAUUAAAUCAUCUUGCCUCAUCUUUUUCUCCUAGAUCAUGCUCAAAUGAUUAUCCUCACAAGCUUCAUCAAGGAACUCUCCACCAUUCUUUGAUUGUGGUACCUACAAAGAAAACAUUCACGUUGUGCCCUUUGGUACCCAAAUACUCUUGGGUCCUUGAGUGUUAGCAAUUGUUCCUUUUGGAACCCAAACACAUUUUACUCCAUAAUAUACUUUUCUUUUAAUAGGACAACCAAGCUUCAUGUGACCGUUUUGAUUACAAUAAUAACAUACAACUUGAUUGUUAGUAGAUGUACUCUUCACAAAGUAGUUCUUAUAAUACUUUUGUUUCAAAUGUGGCUUAUAACCAAGUCCUCCUUUAUCAAACACACAUUUUUGUGAAUUCAGCAUGUUAUCCAACAUCUUUUGCCCAUUUGUGAAUUUUAAAACAAUCUCAUUCAACUCAUUGCUCCUUUUCUUAAGUGUUUCAUUUUCAUUUAUUAAUUCAUCAACAUGUGAUUUCUCAUGCUCAUACGAAUUACUUUGUUUACAUGUGAAUGAUGCAAUUCUAUCAUGUAACAUUUCAUUAUUUAAUUCCAAUUCUUUGAUCUUUUCAUUUAAUGAAACAUUGGAUUUUUGCAAGGCAUCUUUUUCAUUUUUCAAGUCAUUUACAUGUGAUUCUAGAUGCUUGUGUGAAGUGCUAGAAUUCUCAAGUAAUGCAAUACUAUCAUGCAAUGUCUUAUUUUCUAAUUCUAGGCAUGUAAUCUUUGCACUAAAUGAUUCAUUUUCAUUCUUAAGCUCCAUCAUCUUCUUUUUAAGACAUGCAUUCUUUUUACUAAUUUUUAUCCAAUUAUCAUGCAAUUCUUUAAAAGCAUCAUAUAAUUCAUUAUAAGUAGGAAGAUCAUUUACCUCAUCAAGUCCGUCAUCCGAGUCAUCUCCAAUUGCCAUAAGUGCCAAAUUCGACACUUCAUGAAAUUCCUCCUCCUUUGUAGUCUCCUCAUACACAAUUUCAAGUUUUCUCCAAAUUUCAUAAGCAUUAGAACAAUUUGAAACUCUAUGAAAUUCCUUUUUAUCUAAGGCACAAAAUAAAGCAUUCAUAGCCUUGGAAUUUAAAGACAUCUUUUUCUUAUCCAACUCACUUAAAGCAUUCUUUCUAGGAAUGAAUAAAUCAUCACAAACAACUUCCCAAAUUUCAUAAUCUAGUGCUUGUAAAUAAAUUCUCAUCCUAGUUUUCCAAUACGGGUAGUCAUUUCCGUCAAAGAACGGUGGUCUAAUUGUGGAUUGUCCUUCCCUAAAUGUUGAGUCACUAUAGGUUGCCAUGGAUCUUUUAACUCUAGACGGUUAAGUCUACACAAGAGCACCUCGCUCUGAUACCAAAUGAAAUACUAGCUAGGCAACCCAAGAGGGGGGUGAAUUGGGAUUUUAAAAUUUAUGCAAUAUAAUUCGCACAACAAUUCAAUCUAAUGCCUUAAUCAAUUCGAAACAAUAAAUUCAAUGAAACACAAUAUUAAAAGAGUAAGGGAAGAGAAAACGAACACAAGGAUUUUUACGUGGUUCGGCUAUCCCCGCCUACGUCCACGCCUCCAAGCUCACCGGGCUUGAGGAUUUCACUAAGCUAGCCUCCCAAGGCUUCAAACGCUUACAAUUGACUUCCAAGGUGUCAAUGGACCUUUACAACAAGAGAUUAUCCCCAAUCUCUUAACCCAAGUGUAUCCCAACACUUACAAUCUUUUAAUUUGAUUUUACAAAAAAGAUUACAAAUGAAUCUCUCUCACACAAUGUGUUUGAUCUCAAGUGAAAGCUCAAUGUGUGAAUGAAUGAGAUGAAUACAAUAAUUUAAAGCUCAAUGAAAGUUGUAUUCUCAAUAUUUUGCUCAAUGAUAAUCGUUGGAAUCCCUCUUGUUUGAAUUGGAUUGAGCUUAUUUAUAGUUGGAGCUGAAAACUAGCCGUUAUUGACUUUCUGCACACUGUCGGAUCGCCGUUAGCUAGAUGUCGGAUCGCCGUUUGACUGGUCAAUAUGACCGUUGGGCUGAUUUUUCAAAUUGUCGGAUCGCCGUUAACUAUAUGUCGGAUCGCCGUUUAGGUCUAGAGGCUACUGGUUGAUAUCGGCGAGCCGUUUAUCACACAUGUCGGUUCGCCGUUUAUUUCCAGAGACUAAUCUUCAAUUCUGUUAGAUGUCGGCGAGCCGUUAUCAAGAUGUCGGAUCGCCGUUUUCUACAGUAACUGCUACAGUGAAAUAUUUCCCAAAUUUACAAUUUGACCCCAAAACUUUAUAAAACUAUGUUACGGCCCAAAACGUUAUAAAACUUUGCAAAUAGGUCCAAUUUCAGAAUUUCUAAGUAAUACUUUGUUAAUCCCAAAACUUUCUGAAAUUAUGGUAUAGCCCAAAAUGCUAUGACACUUUUCAAAUAAGUCAUUCUCCAAAAUUUCAAGCAAUACUUGUUUAUUUCAAAGUUUUCAAAAUUCUUUCAAUUAAACCAUAAACUUUGAAAAACAACUAAUUUCAUAAAAUUAUUUUUCCAUUAAAUAUGAAACAUUUAUAAUGUGAAAAUAAUGAUUUAUUUAAAAAGAAUAAAAACAAUCAAUUUCAUAAAAUCAUUUUUCCAUUAAAUAUAAAACCUUUAAAAUGUGAAAAUAAUGAUUUAUUUAAAAUGUAUAAAAAAUAAUUUGAUCUUAAAAGAUUAAUCAUUCUUAAUCUUGUUUGUUAUCAUCAAAAUCAAUAUUAUGGAAACAUAUAUGUUAACAAGUUCAACUCUUUUGUUUAUAAGUUUUAAGAUGUUGGUAUCCAUAGCUUAGCUUUUCCCUAAUUAUUAUAUUAAAAUGUAACAACAAUGAUGAUCAACCCUAAUUUCAUGGAGGUAAAAGAUUUUGGUCAAGCCGCAUUAAUUAAUUCGGUCAUACUUUCUACAAAUUUAUUUACAUUUAAUAAUUUGACCAAGACUAGGUAAGGCGCCGCCUGGAGUCAGAAUUUUAUAUGUCAAAAAUGCGUUUCACUUCAAUUAAGCCAUAAAUGUCGUUUAAUAUGCUCAUUUUGUAUUUUUUAAAAAAAGUUUUAUUAUUUUUUUUAAAAUAUCAUUUAUUUAUUUAUUUUUUAAAGGUAAAGAGGUGGGUAAAAUAUAAAUUUAAUUUUUAUCCUUUAUGUCCUAGCCCUAAGAUUUGAACUCAGGUGAAUAGCCAAAUGUAUAAUAACAUGUAUUUCAAAUUUCAUUUUAAAUGAUAUGUAAUUCGUUAAGUGAUUGUUAAUUUUUUAUAAGAUCAAAAUGAAUUAAUUGUAUUAUCUCACUAACUAAUUGAUAAGUGCCCUAUUAUUUGGGAUAACUUUUGAAUAAAAAAAUUGUGAUGGAUGAAAUAUUCUUUUGAGAAUUUAUUGACUUAUCUCAUUUAUGAUUUAUUGUUGCAUUUAAGUGAUAUUACAAACAAUUUUUCCGAUAAUAUUAUUGUUUUGACGAGUAAGUUUGGAGUAAAUAAUACAUAUAGCAAGUGUGAGGUUUGUUAUUGCAUAUAUUUUGUGGAUCCAUUUUAAAGCAAAAAAAAAGGCAUUUCGAUUCAUUAUGAUUCCAGAUAAUUUCAAGCCAUAUGUCAUUAUUGGGAUAAAAAUAAAGUAAAAUGGUUAAAACUAUUUUUAUGUAAUUUAUAAAAAUUAAUGAAGCAACUACAAAAUUUUUUAACACAAAAAAAAAUUGAAAUGUGUGUGGAAAAAGAAGAAAAAAAAUAAGGCAUUUAAAUAUCUUCUUAAAAAGUACGAUUGAGUAAAAUCAUUUUAACAGAAUGCUCUUCCAAAUACAAUUUCACAUUAUUUUUUUAUUGCAGUGGGAUAUUCCAAAAUUGGCACAACUCAUUAAGAAUUCGGCAACUCAAAUUUUAUUUAUCUCUCUUUGCAUUUGACAAAUUAAAAAGAAAAAAAAAUUCAUAUACCUUCUGUUCAAAAGAAACCUUGGUAAAUAUUGUAAAACAAAUUACCAUUUUUUUUAAUUUAUGCCAUUAUAUCGUCGCUAUUUUCUCGCCCACUUUCUUAAAAUAGAAUCAAUAUUUAUUGAUGGGUUGGGUUCCAGAGUAAGCACCAAUUCAGCAAAAUGGUUUUAUAGCAGAAAAAGUACUUGUAAGACAUUCAGAACACAUUUUUCAAUUUUGUCUUUUGAAAAUGAGUCUUGAGUUCCACAAGCCAAGAAGAAUGGCUAAAAAAUGUAUGGUAUCAAAGAAAGAGAAACACACACACACAGAGAGAUUAUUGAGGAGAUAUAUGAGUGUGUAAUUUGUAUAUAUAUCCCCAUUAAUUGUUGAGAGUCCAAUGGGUAUAUGCAAAAGGAAAAAAUUGGCUUUCCUUUUAAGACAAAAUUGACUGUCACAUGACAAUGUUAGCACACUUGCCACGCAACAAAAAUAAAGAUUCCAAGAACAACUUUAUGGUCCCCUUUCUGUCCAAACAUAUGCGAUAGAAAUUAAUGUAAACGACACUUGAAAUAUAUAUAGUAGAUCCUCACACAAUUGAUUAAAUAUUUAUAGUAGGAUGGAGUGAUAAAUAGUUUCACAAAAUUAUUGGAAUUAACUACUUAAUACAUGAGAUCUAUCUCAUUAAGGAUAAAAGAUUGAGUGCUGCUUCAAAAGCAUGACGUUGCUGGCAACAAAUUUAAGACAAAAGUUUAAUUAAUUAUCCUAGUUGAGACGAUAAAAUCUCGUAUUAAGAACAAAAGGUUUGAAGUUCGAACCUUCUCAAUCAAGAAAAUCAAGUCAAAAUAUUACAUCUUCCAGCACAUAUCAAAGAUUUUUUCAAAGGCAGACUGAUAAUUCAGGGUAAAAAAAACAAAAAAACAAAAGGAAUAUAUGCUAUUCAAGACAGGUAUACCUUGGACAUGAAGUCUGAGUCCAGAACAAGAAGCAAUUAGCUGAUCUUUCAAUUUCCAAAACCCAACAAAAUCUUUGUCAAAAUAUAUGAUCUAGUCCCAAGCACAUUCAUAGACGUAUCAACAGGUUCAAAAUUUUUUCCCCAAAAGGAGAUAGAGAUUCCAUUGAAGUUGAGUUGUGACUGUCCCAACGUUUUGUAAUUAUAUAGUUCAGGAUACCAUGCCUAUGAACCGUUUUUUUUUUUUUUUUUUCCAUGUUUCGAAGUCUAUCAAAUGAAAAUGUAAUUAUAUGGUUCAGGAUACCAAUAUGCCGGAGCUGCAAAGGUUGACUUCUACUAUCCUAUCAAUGUCUAUACUUUCUAUUGAAUUUCCUUGUUUUUUUUUUAAAUUGCGAGAUUUAUUUUUAGAAAUCUUUGACACAUUUUAUGUAAGACACCAUAAAAGCCAAAUACAACCUUUUUUAUUCUCAGCAACAACUUUUUUUUUCCUUUUAAAAAAAGGAAGCCAUAUAAAUAAUGCUUUAAACAUUAUUUGCAACAAGGAACAAUUAUUUCAUGCGUUUGGGUAUUAGAAACUUCCCAAAAAUGCUAGCAAGAAAAUGAAAUGGAACUUUACCUAGUCACAGAAUAUGUAUUGCUGUUAGCCCAAUUGUUAUGAAGUGGCUUCUGCAUCAGAAGAUUCCAGCUCCCACCAAGCAUUGUUAUCUCUCUUCUGAAUACAAUCUGUUAGGAAAUUGGUGGGUGAAGCAGACACGCAGCUAAAGUAAAACUGGAAGAAAAUAAAGAACAAGCACAAAAGAGGACACCGAAAAAUUACGUGGUUCGGCUUUUAGCCUACGUCCACGGGCAAAACAGAAGGAAAUAUUUUACUAGUGAAAAGGAGUUACAAGUAUUGUAGUAUUUUAGCUCACUUCCCAAAACCCCAAUACACCCAAACUCUCAAAUUACUAUAACUCUUAAAAACACUCUCUAAAUAAGGAAAAGAACUGAAGAACUCGAUGAUAACAAAUGAAGGGAGCCAGUGUUUUUAUAGCCAAAAUUAGCUACUGUUCAUUUAAUAUUUAAUUAUUAUUAUUUUAUUAAUUUUUCUUUUUCUUUUCCUUCUUCGGCCCGGCAUCUCUUUUUUCUUCUUUCUCUUUCGUUUCUUUCCUUGGGCGGCAUCUACUUGGCUUUCAAAGCCGUGUGCCACCAAUGAAGCUUAUUCAAAGCUUCUAGAUGCAGCUUCUAGAUGCUGCAGCCAAAGUAUUUUGACAUUCUCCCACUUGGAGAUUAAAUUGAAAAACAAUCAAUCUCCACACCAUCCUUUCUGCUUCGCCAUAAUCAUGUUGCCUACGUUUCUGUUCGGCCACAAGAGGAUCUACUCCAGACAAACUUAUCAGUAUUUAUCGGCUUGGUCAAAACAUCUGCUAGGUUCUCUUUGGUAUGAAUUUUCUGCAAAUCCACACUUUCAUCUUCCACUACUUCUCGAACGAAGUGAUACUGAACUCCUAUGUGCUUUGUCCUGAAAUGAAAGGCUGGAUUCCUUGCAAUGUGCAAGGCACUCUGACUGUCACAAUACACAGAAAUUUUCUGUUGUUUGUGCCCGAGCUCCUCCAAUAAUCUUUGUAUCCAAAUAGCUUCCUUGCAAGCUUGUGUAACUGCCAUGUAUUCUGCUUCUGUUGUAGAUAAUGCCACAACGGUCUGCAGUUUCGAAACCCAGCUUACAGCUGCUCCCGCAAGUGUAAACACAUAACCAGUAGUGGAUUUUCUUUUAUCAAGAUCUCCUGCAAAAUCUGAAUCCACAUAACCCCUGACAGUAAACUCUGAUCCUCCAUAACAUAAUGUAACAUCUGAGGUUCCUCUGAUGUAUAUCAGAAUCCUCUUCACAGCUAUCCAAUGCUCUCCACCAGGAUUCGCCAUGUAUCGACUGACUGCUCCCACUGCUUGUGCAAUGUCCGGUCUUGUACAUAUCAUAGCGAACAUUAAACUUCCCACUGCUGAUGCAUACGGUACUCGAGACAUCUCCUUCCUCUCUGCUUCAUUGCUAGGACACAUACUUGAGGAUAAUUUGAAAUUAACAGGAAGUGGAGUAGAAAUUGACUUACAAUCUUGCAUGUUGAAGCGCCGCAAGAUUUUCUUUAAGUAAUUCUUCUGUGAAAGCCAAAACUUCUUGUUAUUUCUGUCUCGGUGAAUUUGCAUCCCUAGAAUCUUGUUUGUUGGUCCCAAGUCCUUCAUUUCAAACUCCCUAGCCAACUGUGCCUUCAAUUCUUGGAUUCGAUCUUUGUUAGGGCCUGCUACCAACAUAUCAUCCACAUACAACAGCAAAAUAAUAAAAUUAUUAUCUUCAAACCUCUUGUAAUAUGCAUAAUGGUCUGAACUGAGUCUGUUGUAUCCAACGCUCAUGAUGAAGGAAUCAAAUCUCUUAUACCAACACCUCGGCGCCUGUUUGAGACCGUAUAGAGAUUUGUUCAACCUGCAAACCAAGUUCUCCUUUCCUGUUUCUGCAAAACCUUCUGGUUGGAGCAUAUAUAUUUAUUCUUCAAGUUCUCCAUGAAGAAAUGCAGUUUUCACAUCCAACUGCUCAAGAUGUAAGUCAAAUGUAGCACACAUCGCCAAGACUACUCUGACUGUUGUGAGUCGAACCACCGGUGAAAAUAUCUCGUUGAAGUCAAUACCUUCUUUCUGAGCAUAUCCUUUCACCACCAAUCUCGCACGAUACCGCUCCACUUGGUCAUUGCCAUCACGUUUGAUCUUGUAAACCCAUUUGUUUCCAAUGGCUUUUCUUCCGUGUGGUAGUGGUACAAGUUCCCAUGUCUUGUUCUUGUGUAGAGCUUCAAUUUCUUCCUGCAUUGCUGUCAUCCACAAAGCAACAUCUGAGCUGUUUAAAGCUUCAUGAAAAGUUGAAGGCUCUCCAUCCUCUGUUAGAAGACAGUAUGCAACGUUGAUCUCUAUGACAUACUCCGAGUGCCACGUUGGCGGUCGUCUCUCACGAGUUGACCGACGAACUUCUGGAGCCUCGGACUCGACUGGUUCUUGUUCCUCGUGCUCUGGUGCUGCUUCAGAAGAAUCUGAAUCUUCUGGAUUAUUUUCUACAUAUACCGGCACAAUCUCUGACUUUUCUUUUACAGUGUCAUCAUCUCCAUCUUUCAUUUGCAGUUGAUCUUCUACAAAAAUAACAUCUCUGCUGAUGACGAUCUUGUGGGCAGUGGGGUCCCACAGACGAUACCCCUUUACUCCAUCAGCAUACUCCAAGAAGAUACAUCUUCUAGAUUUUGGAUCCAGCUUUGUUCUUUUUGGGGCAUUGUACAUCACGUACACAGGACAUCCAAAUGCAUGUAGGUAGGAAUAAUCAGCUGGCUUUCCAGUCCACAUCUCCAUCGCUGUCUUCAGCCCAAUAACUGUAGAUGGCGAUCGAAUUACUAUAUAACAGGCAGUUUUGGCUGCUUCUGCCCAGAAUGAAUUGGGUAGACCAGCAGUCCUCAACAUAGCUCUUAUUCUUUCUGUAAGAGUUCUAUUCAUCCGCUCUGCCACUCCGUUUUGUUGAGGAGUGUAUGCCACCGUGAACUGCCUCUGAAUACCUUCUUGCUUACAGAAAGCAAGAAACUCGCCGUCUGUAUACUCUCCACCAUUAUCCGUCCUUAAGCACUUGAUCUUUUUACUAGAUUCAAGUUCCACCUACGCUUUGUAUUCUUUAAACACUGGAAAUACAUCUGACUUUUUCUUAAUUGGAUACACCCAACAUCUUCUGGAAUAAUCAUCAAUGAAAGUCACCAUGUACUUUGCACCUCCCAUGGAUAUAUCCGGUGAUUCCCAAACAUCAAAAUGAAUCAAGUCUAGAAUGCAUUUACUUCUAGCAAUAGAUCUACUGAAUUUUAAUCUAUGCUGCUUACUUGUAACACAAUGCUCGCAAAAUGGUAAACUUACCGAUUUGAGCCCCGGAAGUAAUUUUCGCUCAGAGAGAAUCUUCAAGCCUUGUUCUGACAUGUGGCCAAGUUUGAGAUGCCACAUCAUCAUUGAUUCUUCUCCAUUUGACGCGACACACGCAUCAGCCUCCUGUAGUGUUUCUCCUUUAAGCAUGAAUAGAUUAGCACCGAUCUUUUCUGCCUUCAUCAAUACAAGCGCGCCUUUAACGAUCUUCAUAAUUCCAUUCUCCACAUGAGUUUUGUACCCAUGACUAUCCAUUUGUCCCAAAGACAAUAGAUUUUUCUUCAGGCCGUUGACAUGUCGUACCUCUCCAAUUGUGCGAAUUGUACCAUCAAACAUUUUUAUUUUGAUAGUACCAAUACCAGCGAUCUCCAAGGCAUGAUCAUUACCCAUAUAUACAGAUCCUCCUGAGAUAGGUUCAUAUGUGUGGAACCAUUCUCUCCAAGAGGUCAUGUGCCAGGUAGCUCCUGAGUCUAUAAGCCAGACAUCAGACAAUCGUUUUCUGCCUUCUGAAAUAGUUGUUGCCUCGCUGUAAAGAAUUUCGCCAUCAUCUGAGGUAUUUGCUACACAACCCUGAGCAUUUGAUGACUCAGGUUCUUUGCCCUCUUUUCUCUUCUGGUUACUCCAACAUUCUUUCUUGACGUGCCCUUUCUUGCCACAUUUGUAGCAUUUAACAUUCUUCUUACUUCUGGAUUUUGAUCUACCCUGAUUUUGACUCCCACUGGGACCACGUUCCGUUGAUCUCCCUCUCGUCACUGAUAGCGCCUCCGCUUGCUGCGAACUUGCUUGUCUGUUUUCCUUAUUUUUCCGCCUGCUCUCCUCAUUUAAUACGGAGGCUGCAACAUCGUCGAAAACUAGACUCUCCACUGGAUUGUUGUUCGUCAGGUUGAUGAUGAGUUGAUCAUACGAAUCUGGUAGACUUUGAAGUAGAAGCUCUGCACGUUCAUUUUCCUCUAUAUUAUGACCCAACGUUGUGAGUUGUGAAAAUAGAGUCUUCAAUGUGUAGAUGUGGUCGGUCACCAUUGUAGAUUCCGCCAUUCGAAGAGUAUAGAGUUUUCUCUUCAAGAAGAUUUUAUUGUAUAGUGACUUGGCCUCAUACAAUUUUGUGAGAGUAUCCCAUAUUUCCUUCGCCGUAUUUUUCUCUGCCACACUAGAUAAUACUCCGUUUGCAAGUGCCAAGUGUAGAUCAGAAAUGGCGUUGCCGUCUACCUCAUUCCACUUGUCAUCAGUUAUCUCCAUGGGCCUUUCUCCAAUUGCUACCAAGCAAUUAUUUUUCCUCAAUACAGCUUUCAUCUUCAUUUUCCACAACGAAAAAUUAUUUCCGUUAAAUUUCUCAAUUUCAUACUUUGCCGCCAUUUUGUUGAUAAAUACUGCACACAAGCUAGUAUACCACCUUGAAUAGUUGUGAGUAUGUGUGAGAAUGCACACCAGGAAAGUUCCCAGGAAAGACUGGAGGGGUCACAAUGGUCCCACUUAAAACCCAGACUCCUUAAACUCUUAUCGCUUUUGUGACAGAACUUUCCUAGACAUGUACAAAAAACCACACAGUUGUUUUACUCACACCACUAUUCCUUGUUUUGCACCGUAAAAUUUUUUGAUCGCUUCCACCGUUUCACGUGAAUAGUACCGUAUACGUGAAUAGUACCAUAUAAGUGAAUAGUAUAGUUUAUACGAACAAAACCGUAUACAUGAACAGUACCAUAUAUGUGAAUAGUAUCGUAUACGUGUACGGUGCCGUAUACGUGAAUAGUACCCCUUACGUGAACAGUUCCUGACUCCAAAAAUACAACCAAUAGCUCUGAUACCACUGUUAGGAAAUUGGUGGGUGAAGCAGACACGCAGCUAAAGUAAAACUGGAAGAAAAUAAAGAACAAGCACAAAAGAGGACACCGGAAAAUUACGUGGUUCGGCUUUUAGCCUACGUCCACGGGCAAAACAGAAGGAAAUAUUUUACUAGUGAAAAGGAGUUACAAGUAUUGUAGUAUUUUAGCUCACUUCCCAAAAUCCCAAUAUACCCAAACUCUCAAAUCACUAUAACUCUUAAAAACACUCUCUAAAUAAGGAAAAGAACUGAAGAACUCGAUGAUAACAAAUGAAGGGAGCCAGUGUUUUUAUAGCCAAAAUUAGCUACUGUUCAUUUAAUAUUUAAUUAUUAUUAUUAUUUUAUUAAUUUUUCUUUUUCUUUUCCUUCUUUGGCCCGACAUCUCUUUUUUCUUCUUUUUCUUCUUUCUCUUUCGUUUCUUUCCUUGGGCGGCAUCUACUUGGCUUUCAAAGCCGUGUGCCACCAAUGAAGCUUAUUCAAAGCUUCUAGAUGCAGCUUCUAGAUGCUGCAGCCAAAGUAUUUUGACACAAUCUGCAUCGCUGGGCAUGAGUUAUAUCGUUAAUUAUGCAUCCUCACUUACAUCAUCCCAAUCAAGUGCUUUUUCUCCAUAUCUGGAUUAUAAGUCCACUCCAAUCUCUUCAAAACAUCCUAGUCCUUCCAUCACAACUGAUACGACUUCCUUCCUAAUUACUUUCCCAUUAAUAAAUCGCUCCAAGAAAAAAAAGCAUUAGCAAUUCUCUUCAACGCCCCAUCACUCAUAUCCCCUACAACAACCAUCUUCAGACACCUCAACGUUGCCUCUUGAAAGACCUCCACAAAAUCCGAAUCAUCCGACAUAACCACCAAACACCCAAAUCUUCUUUUGUCCACCAUAGCCACCAUAUAAUUUCUCAACAAAACAUCGGCAUCUUGUGGCUUAACUAACACCAUCUUGACCCAAAACCAUGCUCUUUUCAACUCAUCUGCAAAACCAUAACCCACUUUUGGAGUCAAAAUUGCGCUUGCAGCCAUUUUAUAUUUUUCCAUCUUUAUUGAAUAGUUGCCAACCAAAAGCACUCUCACCUUCCCUCUAGCUGAUUCUAUUUGAUUCGACCUUUUCUUUUGUUCACCCUCAUGAAUUUGCCUAAAAUGAUUAACAAGUUUGUCAUUAUUAUAAAAUCUCCUUCCACAAUCACCAAUGCAUACGGCUUAGCAGGCCUAAUUACACCAUUGAUUUCUAAUUGGUUAAACAAUUCUCUUUCUUUCUUUGCCCUCUUACAACUUGAGGCACAUAACUAAACGCGUAGCUAUUAGCAUUUGCCACCAUGUUUUUAACAACCCUAAAUGAAGAUAUUGAUUUUAUCAGUUUAAUUGCUGCUUCAAAAUAGGGUACUGAAUUUGGAUUUUGAUAUCCAAAUACCAAAAAUUUCCCACAUUGUAUUGGACAAUUUUUGGUUUUAAAGUUGAUGACUGGUUUUGCGAAUCAGGCUUCAAAUGUGAACUUCUAAACAAUAAGACAAAUGGGUUUUGAGUUUCUAAUCUUGUAAUCUUUGCAAUGUUAUACUUUCUAAAAGUAAUAAGAAAUGGAACCAAGGGGUAAAUCGAACACCAAAAGAAAUUUAGUUGGCCAACCACAUUAUGUUCCCACACAGUCCACUAAUUAAUUUAAUAAUUUAAGGGAAUCAAAAUCUAAGAAAUCUCAUCUUCAAGCAGAAUACAAACACACCGGGAUUGAAAAUCACAAAAUCAUAAAAAGAAGCUGACUUGAAAAGCUCAAAUAUACGUUCAUCAGCCUCUCAACUUAUAUCUAAGAACAAAUACCUGCAGCUUGUGAAGACAUAGAUAAUUGAAGCUGAAGAGGCAUAUUUAACAGAUGAUAAUCAAAACUCAUGUGAUUAAAAUUAUAAUUCAAUAAUCGAGCACAUAAAACAAGUAGUAACUAGUUGUACAUAUACCAAACAACUUUCUGAAGUUAAGGCGGAAAACAACAACGUAGAACAAAUUAAUUAAAUAUACCACCAUCAAUACUCAUAUUAUUAUCCAAAUAUAGAAGACCAAUGCAUCAAGCAAGGAAAAUGAAAUAUUGUUAAUAACUCAAAAACCACUAGUGUCAAGAACUAAACUAAUAAGUAAAACCCAUAAUCAGACACAACCACAUCAAAAUCUCUGAAAAUUGAGGUCUAAACAUUGUAAACAAGCGCAUACCCAGUAACAGUAAUCAAGUAACAAGUCAAAACCAGAAUCAAACGUAGAAUUUUGAAAUCCAUACGAACUCUAACGUAUUAGAAUGAAAGAAUAAGGACGAUCGAUAAACUAGACUCAAACAAAAACAUGCCCAGUUAAAAAACGAAGAUAAAUAAAUAAAAAUGGUAUAAAACUGCGAAAAAAAUUAAUGAAAUGAAGAGAAAAUCACAGGAAUCCUAUGAAGAGGAAGGUAAACAAAACCUUCGGGAGCCGAGAAGAUGCCUUUUUUGUUGACGUUUGUGCCAAUACAUGCAUUUUUUUUUUUGUAAUUUUGAAGAAAGUAUUGGUUAAAUAUUGUCAGAACGAAAUAUUAAAAAUAGAUGUCGGCAAUUUCAACAAGGAAAAUCUUCGAUUCAAAUGUACCCCUAUGAUAAAGAAAAAGCCAGCUUGGCUAAAUUUUGAGCACCACAUUACAAGAUCUAGGUGUAUGUUUAACUAUGCAAAAUGAAACAUCUAUUAAUUGUAAGUCCCUUGACCUCUGGAACCAGACAACUAGUCUCUUUCCUACUAGACAACCUUCCAGCGAUCAGACUAAUAAUAUUUACUAAAUCAUGUUCUAUAGUUAAUGAAGUUGGACCCAAUGCAAUUGUUAGCUUAAUGUCCCAGGCCGCUCAAAUUUCCCGUAAUUGGAGGAUAAUUAUGUGCACAUGAGUUCGCUUAGCAAAAGUCCGCCUAGGCGUGGAGUGCACUUAAAAGCAGGAUGCACUUAGAAGUGGGAUGCGCUUAGCAAAUCAUCCAAGCCUGACCCAAGAUCUAUAACUCUCUGCAAAUUAUAAAUAAGCUAAAAGUUUCUAUGUUUCUCCACAUAGUUCCGUAGGAUAUUUAUGGAAGUUGACAGGAAGUUUCCUCCCCAAGAACUCUAAUACCUAUAAAUAGGGGUGGGCCCCCUCAUUUGCCGACCAACCACACCAUACACACAAACACUCCGGCACACACACAGGCUCUUUAGAUUUUGUAAAAAGCUCUCUUGUAUAUUCUCUCUUUGAGAGUAAUAAAAUCAUAUUCAGCCAUACUGCUCUACUUCUCUCUAGUAUUUUCCGCAAGUGUUCUUGCUUCGCUAGUUUGAGGAGUGUUCUAGGCUUACUUAGCAACUUGUUUGCUAUAAGGACAUCUUCGUCACAAAACAUGGACAUGCAAGGAAAAAAAAAAUAUUGAUACGUUCUAAAAAUAAUAUGCAUUCUUCUAUAGUGAACCAAAAAAUUUAGGCUAAUGGUAGAGAGUGAAGAAAUUGUGAUUUCACAUGCAUUUUGUUGACAUGAACGUAAAGAACUUUUUUAUAUUUUAUAUUGUUUAAUAUAACAUUUGAAUUGCAAAAUGGAUACACAAAGUGAUAAAACUAAGUUGAUUAUGAUAAAUAUUGAAUUAUAAGAUUUAGGUUUAAUCAUAAAGACAUAAGUGGCGCACAAAGUCACGAAUUAUCAUCCAUGAUGUAAGUUCAAACAACUGCAUAAUAAGUUGCCCUAAGCUAAACUAUUAAUCUAGUAACUAUUCCAGUCGAUGUGGGAUAAUUUUCCUAUCACCAUCUAUCACGUGCAAGCCGAAUUUGUUGCUUGGUCCUUACACGUGGUAAGGUAAUAUUUAAAGCCCAAAAAAAAAAAAGCACCGGUCCGCUAUGAUUUCAAAUAAGUUCAAGCCCUAUGUCAUUAUUGGUACAAAAAUGUAUCAGAAAGGUUAAAAAAUAUUUUAUUUAACUUAUAAACUUAGGAAAUUAUCAACUGUCCCCCUUAAAUUGCGCUAUUAUAAAAAAUAUUACAAUAUUUUUAGGUUGUAUCAUUCAUCUACCAUAAAUUUACAAUCUGCAUCAUUUAUCCACCAAAUCAUUAACUUCGUCAAAAAGUGAUAGACGUCAUAAGGGUAAUUUAGAAAUUUAACACAAAAAAUAAAAGAGAAAUUAUCUAAGCUUACCAUGUUAUCAAAAUUGCUACAAAAUUUUAAAUUUGUUCAAUUUUCCAAUCUAAGUUUAUGACCUUUAAGAUGUUAAUUGCAGUUUGUAAUUAAUGACUUCAUAAGGAUAAUUUAGACACUCAAUAUGCAAAAUAAAAAAUAAAAUAAUGGCUUAAAACAUUAAAACAAAAAACUACUUUUUAUAAUUGAUAUUCAAUUAAAUACACAUAAACUCUAUUUUUUCUUAAUUAAAAAUAUUCUAAUUUAUUUUCUCAAUUUAUCUUCAUAAAUUUACAUUAAUAAACUAAAUCCACAAAUUACCCUAAACCCUAAUGCAUAAAUUCCCAAUCAAUCCAAUAGUUUAAUUCGAUUUCAUAAUUAAAAAAAGCUAAAUUUAUUAUAUUAGUUAUGGUGCAAAGUUAAAAAUGUCCUUAAAUCCAAGGGUAAAAUAGCAUUUUAUUUAAAUUCUAUAAAUUAUUCUAACAAUGUUAACAUUUUGGUGGAUGGUUAAUAUAAGUUACAAACUUAAAAUAGAAAAUCAAAUAAAUUCAAAUUUUCAAACUAUUUAGGGCAAAUUUAGGAUAUAUGGUUAAUAAUUUUCCUAUGUCUUUUUACAUUGGUUGAUAUAAGUUACAAACUUAAAAUAGAAAAUCAAAUAAAUUUAAAUUUUCAAAUCAUUUAGGGCAAACUUAGGGUAUAUGGUUAAUAAUUUUCUUAUUUUUUUUUACGUUAAAUUGAGUUUCAAAGACAUAAUGGUCAAUUUAUUAUAAUUCUAUCAAUUUUUUAAUGGAAGCAAACGAUAUAAUGGACGAAUGAUAUAAAUUGUAAAAUUAAGGUGCAUGAACGAUAUAACUUUAAAGUAUUGUAGUACUUUUAAUAAUAAAACAGUUUAGAGAAAUUUACAACCGUCUACCUAUUUGUUUUGCCUUUUUCAAAAAUACACAAACACUUUUUUUUUUCAGCGCGCCACCUGAAGUUUACUUUUUGUUGCAUUCGUCUACUUCCGUCUAAUUUCCGUUAGUGAAUUUAACGGAGUGAUCUUUUUACCCCUCAAAAUUAUAAUUUAACCCAAAAUAAAUAGAAAUUAGAGAUAAAUUUGAUGGAUUUAAUUUUUUUCAAAGGUGGAUGCUAGAAAUUGCAGGAAAAUAAUGUUUGUUACUAAAUUUAGAAAAUUUGUAUUUAUUUUUUUGGAGAAAAAUAGUGUUUAUUGCUUGCUAAAUUUAGAAAAUUUGUAUUUAUUUUUUUGUCUUUCAAAAAAAUAAAUACAAAUUUUCUAAAUUUAGCAAGUAACAAACACUAUUUUCCUCCAAUUUCUAGCAUCCACCUUUGAAAAAAAUUAAAUCCAUCCAAUUUAUCUCCAAUUUCCAUUUAUUUUGGGUUAAAUUGUAAAUUUGAGGGGUAAAAAGGUCAUUUCGUUAACAUUCCGUUAAAUCCACUAACGGAAAUUAGACGGAAGUGGAUGAAUGCAAUAAAAAAUAAACUGAAUGCAACAAAAAAUAAACUUUAGGUGGCACUCUGAAAAAAAAAAGUGUUUGUGUAUUUUUGAAAAAGGCAAAACAAACAGGUGGACGAGUGUAAAUUUCUCAACAAUUUGAAGGUGGAUUGGCGAUAAUUUAAACUUUAAUGAAGCAACUAAAAAAUUUUUUUAACAAAGAAAAAUAAUUGAAUGCUUUGUGAAACCAAAAAUAUUUGAAAUGUUUUAAGAAAAAUAAAGGAAAUUAAAUAUUUUUUUUCAAAAACAUAAUUGAGUAAAAUCAUUUUAUAAAAUGCUCUUUCAAAUGCACAUUCCACGAGUCAGGGAGAACGGGUGGCUAACAAAAAUCUCACUUUUUAUGAGUUUAUAAAAUCUCACUUUUGCAGAAUCCAAAAAUAACCAAUACUAAUCACACAAAAAAAAUAAAAAUUAUUGCUGUCACGACAUUACACACUUUCUUCGCGGUUUAGAAAGGUAGAACAUUUUGAAGUUCCUCAAUACAAAAUGCGUGCUACUACUAAAUUGGCACAAAUAAUGCCUCAUAGAAAAGGCCAUCAAUUUAGACGGCAAUUUUGUCAAAAUUUCAACAAUUGAAGAAACAAUGAUCACAAACGGAACAGGUGAAUUUUGAAGUUGAAUAAAUCUUGAGAUGUAUACAACAAAGCUUUGAAACUUUAUUCUUCACAAUUUGAGCACGCACUGAAUAUUAAAGCAAAUAUAUAUGAAAAAAAAAUCAUAAAGCUACCAAAAGGAACCACAAAAUCAUCAAUAUUAUCGUUUAAUAUGGAGAACGGCCUGCGCAUCCAAAUUGUGCGAACUGAACACGUUGAACAAAGCUUCUUUUUGUUUUUUUGGAUUUUUGGAAUUUUUUUAAAAUCAUUUAUGUUCGCUGCCAUCUUUUUCUUCGCUGGCGUCUUCAUUGGCACCUCCUCGUCUGUAGUUUGCUGUGCCUAUAUAUCCAACCAAUAAAUUGGGCAUUAAAUACGAAUGAUGAAUAAAAUGAUUAAAAAACAAACAGAGAAAAUUAUAAUAUAACACAUAUAUAUAUUGAAAGAGAAAUUUUGAUUUUAGGAUAGAUCAAUUAGCUAUCACAAACGAAAACAUGAACCAACUAUGUAUAGAGUCAAUUAAUUUAAAGUUCUCAAGAGUUGACCUGCGCUCCUGAAUUCUUGGACUCAUCUAUCUCCUUCUGAAUUUCCACGAAGCCUGGGACAAUUACUAACAAAUACAGACUUGGCAGAUGGAAAUGGGAUCUGAUAACCCGCAGGCCAAAAGUUGGUGAGGUUUGGUAAGUCUUCCAGUAUCAAGUACCAAAGUUCAUUCAUAACAAUUUCAUUGUAAUCCGUGACGUCUGCUCCAUCUUUAUGCCAGAAUACUUCUUCUAAUUCAUCAUUACCUAUUAUCCAUAUGUACUUCAGUUUUUGAAGACUUGGAGCUACGCUGAUAUGAAAUAGAUGCUUUAGUUUGGGGCAAUAACCGACAGAGAUCUCUGUGAGUUUUGGGAAACAUAGGGGUUGGAGAUGAUCCUCAUCAAUGAUUUGCUCUAAUUCCAAGCAGUUAUCAAUAACCAGCUUCUCCAAUUGCAACAGAUUUCGAGCAAGUGUUGAUGAGAAGAGACGUCUCAGCAUAGUGCACCCGUCCACUCUUAAAUAGGUAAGACUUUGCAGGCUAAAAUUAUGCGUAGGACCUUCGUGAUAUAAUACUUGCAGUUCUCGAAGGUUUUCCAAUUGCAACCUCUUCAAACAUGGGAAUAGUUUGUUUUCUUGUCCCUCGGCGAUAAUAGCUUCCAAUUGAAAUACCACCUGUACUCCAAUUUCCAUAAUACCCAAAUAUUCCAAAUUUUUUAAUCCGUGCUUCAACAGUGCUGGAAUUGUGUCACUCAAAUGGGAACAAUUGUCCACAUCUAGAGUAUUUAAGUUCUGAGACAAAUAAAUAAAUAACUUGAUGCAAUUAAAAUUUAUUAGCAGCUACGAUUAUCACAUGAUAACACCGCAAAAAUAUCAUAAUACAUAUGUAAACUAAUAAAAUAAUUAAAAAAUAAUGGAUUUAAAAAAAAGAAAUUAGUUAAAAGAGAUCAUGUGAAGUGAUAUAAAUGUGACAGUAGAUUGUUUUAGAAAAAAAUAUUAUUCUAUUAAUUUAUAUGGCUUGAUCAACUAUUUAAUUGAAUCAGAAGUAUUUGCAUCAAUUCUUUCUAAACCAAAAUGAGAUAUGACUUUUAUUUGAAGAAUGGUUUUAAGCCCUAUAAUAAAGAAAUUUCCCUAAGAUAUCGGAGCAUUAUUGUUAUCACCGCCACAUCCACCACCACCAUCAUCAUCUCCAUAGGAUCAAAUAAUUAAUGGCUGAUCAUAAAAUUUAUUGCUAAACUACCAUUUUCAGUAAAAUUAAAGGAAAAGAGAAAAAAACAUAAAUACAAAUAAACAUACCUUUUCAAGAUACUGCAAAUUGGCUUCAAGUUCAGUACUGUUGACGGUCAAGUUGGGACAGUAAUGAAGCUGUAACUCUUCCAAUGCUGGCCAAAUUGAACAAUAAUUUUCUGAACAGAAGCUGGUGAGUUCUGAGAGAUUAUCAAGUGUUAAUUCUCUCAACAAAGGGAGGGCGAGCAUCGUAUUUCCAUCUCCGACACUUAUUUCCCCUUCAUUAUGAUCAAACUUUGCUUCGACAAUAUAUUCCAGUCUCUCGCAUCCACUUACAUUGAGACUUUUAAGCUGCUCCAAACUUCUAGCUUGUGACAACGUGAAGAUAUAUGUCAACUUGUUGCAGCCAUGCACAUUCAAUUUUGUAAGAGUUUGGAGACUGAUCACAUGUUGGGCGGGCGCCUUCCAUAUCCACUUCAGUUCUGGUAAGUCCCACAUAGAUAACUCUGCUAAUCUUGAGAGACUCUUUCCAUGCGGCGACUUAGAGGCUUCCAUUAUGCAUUCUAAAUCUUCGCAAUCGCGGACAUCAAGACAAGUCAACUCAUUUAAGCCCCUUUCAUCUAUGCUUGGCACGAUAUUAUGACAACCUAUUAACCCCCUCAAACAAAGAAAUUCCAGAUUUUGAUACAAUGCUGAAAAAAUAACGAGCGAGGUCGAAGUUUCAAUCUACGAAGUUCAUCCGACAAUUCUUCAGGAAUUUCAAUGGGAGAAUCCUCGAGAUAAAGAAGUUCAAGUCUCUUCAACUUUCCAAGAAAAGACGCGUCACUCACAUCACAUCGAAUCAACUGCAGAACUCGGAGGUUUUUGUCGAGGAAUCGAAGCGAUUUUAGUGAAAUGACUCCACCUAUUAUAGUAACAACUUUCAAUGCUGGCAUCCCUUUAAAAAAAUGUUCUGGAAUUUGCAAUUCAUAAUUAUAUACGGUGUUCACCAAUCGCAGAAUAUGAAGGUUAGGGCAUAUCAAACCACUAGGAAGCUCUUCUUCUUUUUUAUCUACGACCAAAGACAGUCCCCUACACUGUUCCAGGCCUUCUUCCACCGCCCGUUCCACCAUUUCGAUGCCAGUUAUACUAAAAAAUCUCUCCUCUUCCUCCUCCUUCUUUUUGCUUAUCCAUAUGGCUACAUCACGGACUACGUCAUGAAUUUUCACAGAUCUGUCAUUGCCAGUGUCUAACAGCAAUGAAGAAGCUUUGAGCUCUUUCAUCGUUCCACUCAGUAGGCUCCUGACUUUUUCAAUUGACUCAGCUCGAUACCAUCUCAACCCCACUGCAUAUCCAACCAAAUCAUCCAAAUAUAUCUCAUAAUCCUCUGGAAACAAAGAACACAACAAGAAGCACGACCUGGAAUCCUCACCAUUCAAAUAAUCGUAACUAAAUUUGAGACAAUGGUAAACGUCUUGGUCCUCCUUGCCAAUUCCUUCUAUUGUAUUGAGUUUUGAAUCUUGUAGUUUAUCUAGAGCUAGGUUCCACUCAUCAAAUCCUUUAGCUCUUAGUGCACUUCCAACAGCUUUAAUAGCUAAAGGCAGCCCCUUACAUUCAUUAGCAACCUGUUCUGAAACACCAAUCAAGGUUGAAUCAGCAACAUCAAUGCCAGCAAGCUUUCUUAGUAAAGCCAAUCCUUCUUCUCGCUUUAGAACACCUAGUUGAAUCUGCGGGUCACAACGCAUGCGAUCACAAACUGGCUGCAGGCGAGUGGUUAGAAGGAUUUUGCAACAAUUGUCUCCAUCACCAACAGGAAUACCUACUGUCUUCAAGUCGAGUUCAUUCCAGACAUCGUCAAGUAUUAUGAGUAUCUUGCUGCUUUUACUCUCAGAAAACAUCAAGCGCAAUCGGUCUGCUCUCUCUUUUUCAUCUUUCUCAUUUAGUGCCCAGCCUAACGACUUUGCUAGCUCACCUUGAACCUUUAUUAUAUCUGGAUCCUGAGACACAGUGGCUAUCCCCACCUCAUCGAAAAUCUUUUCUUGCCGAAGUUGAUUGCCCACAAAGUUUGCCAAAGUCGUCUUUCCGACACCACCGAUACCAUACAAUCCCACCAUCUUCGUGCUAUCUCUUUUCAGUUCUUCAAUAAUCUGAUUGCAAGUCGAUUCUGUAGUCUCGAAAGACAUAAAAUGUCUUGGUAUAUGCAAUUCUUUGUCUGAUGGUAGAGGUUUAGGAAGGGCAACUGAGCUGAAUUUGCUGCAUUUCUUUUGUAUAUCGGACAACUUGCUAGUCUUCUUUGAUGCUUUUCUACCUAGCCAAUAUCGCCAACCCCAAUUAGGACACCAUCCAUUAAGACAACUCUUCUUUUCAUCUAUCUUUGCUUUCAAAUUUCGAACGUCGGCCAUUUCUUUGUCUACAUCCUCAAGCCAUGUCUUGACAUCUUCCUCGACUUCUAUAGCACGGUGUAUUUGUCGUUCUUGUUCUACUCUUUUAUUGAUGCCAUCUUGUGCCUCCUUCAAAUUAGUUUCUUGAUCCUCAAGUUCUUUAAUAACGCUGUUGAAACAGAGCAGAUAACGAGCUUGGUUUAUGGUUGCAUCCACCAACAACUCUCCAAGCCUUGAUGCAACACCUGACAAAAGUUCCAUGCUAUUUAUCUGCAAUUAAUAAAGUUGAUCUCAGUAAGCUAUAAGCAAAACAAUGAGGCUUGAUCACAAGAUCGAACGAGAAAGUUUAAUUACCUUUUUCUAUUCUGUGAAUGCACGUUUAUUGACACUAGCUUUGACCAGUAAGAGCAAAAUGCAAACGCCGAGCUUUAAGUGGCCAUUAGCUGCAAAACAAAAGAGAGGAAAUAAGGUAAUUUAUUAUUAUUAUUAUUAUUAUUAUUUUUAAGGACGGAUAAAGGUUAGCUAGCUUGCAGACAAAUUUACUAAACUCAAGACAAACCUAAGAGUUUUCCUAAUUUGUUCAAACAUGGAAUAAGCGUUUCACAACAGUAUAUCCAUAAAGGCCCCAGCGAACGUAAUAUGUGCUGGACUAUAUUGAAAUUAGAUUAUUUUAGAAAAUUUUAAAUAAAAAAUAUCAAACAACAAAGAAAUCUAAUAGAAUCUGGAUAAACAGCAUGGGAGAAUAUGGUAAAAUUGAUAAACUUGGUUCAAAAAUUACAAUUCUUUUUGAGAUUUGAACCAACGAUUUUGACUAAGGUCUCCUAAGCCACAAAGCAUAACUCUUACUACUAAAUUACGCGCAUUUUGUUACAUUUAAAUGUGGUCAUAUUCUUUUUAUUAUCUUUUUUUAGAAGGGACUCAUGGUAUACUUAAAAGAAAUAAUAAUGAUUUAGAUGGGGCUGAAGCCCACUCAUGAAAAAAUUUAAAGGUUUUCAAGAUAAUAACCGAUUAUUUUCCACCCAAUAUUCUAAUAGAAUGGUGCCAGAAUUCUCAAAUAAUAUCUUAAUAUUAUUUAACUGGUUGGCACCCACCUAUUGGAUGAUUAAUUUAAUAAUUUGUUACAUUAUUUAAUACUCCAUCUCACUAUCUAGUGAUGUAAAUGGUGGAGAAGGAUCGUCUCCUAGACUUUUUUCUCUCACUAAUCUCUUAGUGAAAUAAGUGGCCGAAAUUGAAUUUUAAUUUUUGAUAUUGACAAUUAAAUUGGCUUGUUUCACAUUAUUAACAAUUAAGCCAAUUUUUUUUUUCUCCUUUUUUCAAUUAGAUUUGGAAGGCUAUAAGAGAGUAGGAGAGAAAAAACACUAGAAGGAGAUCUUAAUCCAUAAAUAGUACCUUAUUUGGGAUGGUAAAGAUUGAGAUAAAUUUCCUCUUAGUCUCUAAAAUUUUGGCCUAUGCGCAGCCAUAAUUUUAGUAUUUUUAAAAAGAAUGGGAUUAUUUACAUUCUAAAAUCUAUUUUGAAUACUCUUUUACUCAACACACUCAUUCAAUAAAUAAAUUUUAAAAAAUAAUUUUUACUUUACACACUAUUUCGAGAGUCAAAACUAUCCUUCAUUAGGACCAUUUCAUUAACUAAUUAUUUUCUAUUGACACCCAUAAAAUAUUCAUCAUUCUUGAACCAUGUGGCGUUAAUUAAUGAUUCCGAAGCAUUAUCAAGAUUCAAGAUUUAUGUUGAAAUUCUUUCAUCUGACAUUUGAACCCAGCCACUAGCUAUAUACAUAUAUACUUUCAAAUGCAGCUCUGGGAAUAUUUUGUGACUGAUUUUAUAAAGUGUUUUAGUUACAUUAAUGCAGUGAAACAAUAAAGAGUACGUGGCUUGCUGAUUUCCAAAUCAAGUUGGGGGAAAAAACAGAGCAUUUUUCUUUUAUAAUGGAUUAGAUUAGACGAUGAAGGACAAAUUAUUCGCGAUUAUUAGUACUUUUGUGUGUGUUAAGAGUAAUAAUAUUAUUUUAAAUUAUAUUAAUGCCUUUCGUAGUGAAUUCAAUUAGGGUUAUUUUAGUAAUAUAAAUUUUCAUUAAAAUUAAAGUGUCCAAAUUAUAAUUUAGAUUUUUCAAAUGUAAAAUAAUAUUUUUUUAUCUGAUAUAAAUUAAAAUUCAAACAAAUGUAUCAUGCAACAAAUGAAAAGUAAAGAAUAUUAAUUAGGUUUUAAUAGAAACAAAUAUAAAUAGAUGUUUUGAGUAGUUAUUUUUUGUUAUUUUAUGCUAUUGGUAGUUUGUGGAUUAAAUAAUUUGUAUAAGGAUAAAUGGGGGUUUGUAUAAUUUAGACGAAGAUAAUCUCCAAAAUAAGCUUAUAUGUCGAAUUAAAAAGUGUUAUAUAAGUAGUAAUUGUAUUUGCAUCAAAAUUUUUAAUAAAAUUUAUUUAGAAAUUGGCCAAUUGGGUUUUAUGAAGAAAAUAGAGGGGCAAGUAAUUAUGUAACAAGUAAUUUGUAGGUUGUGGUACUUCUCCAUACUUUAAAUCACUUUUAUCUAAUCAAUUGAUAAAUAUUUUUUGGGCACCAACAAAAUGAAAAGAAAAGUUUAAAAAUAAUUCUGAAAUUAAAAACGUUAGGUAUUGCCUAUAAGCUAUACAAUUUUACCUUUUCUUCUACACAAUUAGUAUUAGAAAUAAAAGUAGUUUCAAAAUAAAUGUAAUUAGGAGGUAAUAUUAUCUCAACAAUACCUUAUAGGGAAAAAGACAUCUACAUCCUAAAGUUUGGAGAAAUGGUCGUAAAGACCCUAGGUUUUCAGAAAGGGAUAUCAAGACCCUUUUUUUAUCGUAAUACCCUUUAAAUAUAGUAAUUAGAAAAUUGACUUUAAGAAUUUUUAAUUGACAAAUUUAAUAUAAAUAAUAUAAUCUAUCUAGUAGAUUAAUAAUAUUAACAAUAAAAAUAAUAUUAAAAUUUAAAUUCUUAUAUUUAUUUUAAUAAUAUAUUUUUUUUUUUAUAAAGAUUUUAAAUAAAUCCUUGGGUUAAAUAGGUUUUCCAGUUAACAAAAUAUACCCCUAUUAAUAAUAUUGAAAUUACUUUCUACAUAAUAUUUAAAAUAAUUAUAAUUUAUUUAUUUUAAUAUUAUGUUUCUAUUUAUUAAAAAUUACUUUAUUAGAGUAAAUUUUUAUUAAUUAAAGCUUUAAAAUCAAUUUUCUAAUUACUAAAUUAAAAGGGUAUUAUGGUAAAAAAGGGUCUUUCCUUUUUGAAAACUUAGGGUUUUUGCGACCAUCUCCGCAAACUUUGGAGUAUAGGUGUCCUUUUCCCUACUUCAUAUAAAGAUAUUCCAUAAGGUCUUAUAAUAACUUAUAUUAUAUGAAUUUAAUUAAAAGAUCAUUAAUACUUAAAUAAUAAUAAUUAUAGAAGACAUUGUAAUAAAUUAUUUGAUAUAUAUUAUUAAUGAUACUAUAUAUAUGUGUAUAUAACUACAUGAUGGCUUGGAUAUAUAUUGUUUAGUGGUAAUAAAUUUUUUUAAAAAAAUUUAAACUAAUGAUUUCAUGUAAUUCAAUGGUGGAUGAUUUAAAAUCAUAAAAUAUUGUUUUGACUUUCAAUAUCAACCGUUAGACUGUGAGAAAUUAAUUGCUCAAUAUUUUGUGUUAAAUUUUUGAAUUAAAAUAUCCCAAACCAUUUGUUUUACUUAAAAUACAAAAAAUAUAUAAAGAAAUUUUCUCAUUAAUUUUCAUAUUUUUAUUAGAGAUAAUAUUUUAUGUAUCGUCACCAUUAAUUGCCAUCAUUAAAGUAGUGACUCUUAGUAAUAUAAAAUUUUAUAAUUAGUUAAUUGCAAUCAAAGGAUAUCAAUAAAAUAAUAUUUUAUGAUUCAUAAAUUAAAGCUAAUUAAGAAUAUAUGUUUGUUUUAACUUUUAUGAAAUCAACUAAGUGAUAUUAGAAAAUAAAAUGAAAAUAAACUAGUGAAACUUAAAUUUUAUAAGGUUUGAAUAAUUUUCUACCAUGUAAGAAUAUUAAUUGUGACAUAAACCAUAGUUUCAUGGUAUAUGUAUGCCGAAUGGGGUAACAAAUAAUAUAUACUUCACGAUCAUGAUAGUAUAUAAAGUAGUGGAUAUUUUAAUAUAUAACAUAAAAUUCUUUAAGACAUAGGUGGUCAAUUAUAUAUUUUUUAGGACAUAGACAAUCUCAAUCAAGAGUUUAUUGAUGUGAAUAGAUGGCAUUCACUUAAAUGUAUACACUUAAUUGUGUUGUUUAUUGGUAUUAGAUAUUCACUUAAAUGUAUAUACUUAAUUGUGUUGUUUAUUGGUAUUACAUGUAACAAAAUUUUAUAUUAAAUUUUGAAGUUUUAUAUUGUUGUUUCUAUUGAAUUUAUAAAUACAAUAAAAUUAUGGCCAUCAACAAUCACAACCAACUGCCACCAACAAUUAGAUUCUCAUAUCCGUUGACGACAAUUUUUUAUACUAUUGGAACUCCAAUCUUUGAAGCUACACAAUAGUUAAAGUACCAACAUCACUAGAACUUCCGUUCAUUGUAGAUCUAUAGUCAAAGUUUCGAAUCUUAAAAAUUUGACAGCAGAUUUAUGUCAAAUGAAAGCUUGUUACCAGUGAUUCUUAUACAAUUAUGUUGUUAUAGUAAUAAGGAUUCUAGUGGUACUAAAAUGCACUCCAUUAGACAUAAAGAUCCGACGACUAGUGGCGACAACAACUAUCAUUAGUGACUUGGAGGUAAUUGCCAUUAAUAAAUUAUUUUUAACUUAAUAAUUAAUACAAACAAAUAAAAAAGUAAUUUAAUGAAAAUUAAUGUAAUAAAUAAUUGAAUUAAAAAAAUUAAAACCUAAAUUCUCGACCAUUUAUCCGUAUGUUUCGAAUCCAACGUUCAAAAUUGGAAUAAAACAUAGUAUAGCCAUUGGAAGUAAAACAAACAUUAAAGAGACUAGGAAAAAAUAUCUCAUACCUUCUAUAAUGAUACAUCCUCAAUCACUGCAGAAAGCUCCAAUUAAAAAGUCGCACAAGUUCGGAGAAAAUUACCUAACAACACAAAUAAACAUCAAAUCAAAGCAACAUAGGAUCCAGCUAAUUAACAUCAUAAGUAAGUCCUUGUUCUCAGUCAAAUCUUGCAUUCUUAGGAUAAAAAAAAAAUUGAAAGAAUAACGGUAACUGGAAAGUUUGACGACAUAAAGAUCUAGCUAAAUUUUAAGAAGCAAAAGUAAAUAAUGAAAGCUCAAUAAAAGAUCAUCAGCAUUAACAUACCGAAAUGAGAGCAGCUCACAGAACUGGUAAUUUCCAAGAACAGGAAAAAUAAGUGAGCUGAUAUUGAGGACAACUAAAGUAGUCAUGGAGUAAUUUGCUAUUGAGGACACCUAAAAUAAGAAAAUUAAUUAACAUUGCUCUAUACACCAUUUCAAUAAUUUGACUAUUAAAAAAAAAAUCUAUCUAGAUCACGAUUUCUCAAAAUGAUGCUUUUUCUAAUUAAAUAAAUCAAAAUGCUUGCUUCUUUCUUUUUCAGAAAAGAAAAAGUGGCAAUGGCAUCAAUUUUUUGCUAGAUUAUUAUCACCAAAAGCACAAGCAAGGAAUAAGGAUACUCUCUGAAACCAACCAUAUAAAGAGUAGAAAUAUUUGUUGGAGUGUAAGGUAGAAGUAAGUGGUCAAUUGUAAAUAAGUCUUUCUUUUUUCUUUGUUGUUUUUUCAUUUUUUGAAUGUGAACUAAAUAAAUUUAAGGGUGAAGCUAUUACACCUUGAAAACUAUGACUGAACACCCAUUUUUUUAAUUAAAUUUUUAUUACUAAAAUAACCAUGGAGUAAUUUGCUUCUAAGGAAAACUAGAAUAAUAACAUGAAUAAUGAUUGCUCUAUACACCCUUUUAUACGUCUAUCUUCUUCUUAAUUUCAUAAUUUGGCUGUCAAAAAGUAAUCUAUCUAGAUCACGAUUUCUCAAAAUGAUGCUUUUUAUAUCUAAAUAAAUGAAAAUGCUUGUUUCUUUCUUUCUCGAAAAGAAAAAGUGGCAAUGGCAUCAAUUUUUGCUUGCAAGCACAGCAAGUAAUCAGUAUACUCUCGGAAACUAACCAUAUUAAGAGUAGAAAUAUAUUGGGUUAUCACGAAGUAAGUUAGAAAUCAAUUAUAAAUGGUCUUUUUUUUUUUUUUUAAUGUGAACUAUAUAAAUUUAAGGUGAGGUUAUUUACACUUUGAAAAACAUUCUAAAAACCAUUAUUUCAUUAAAUUUUUUAUUAUUAAAGGUCCGUUUGCUGCCCCAAACGCUCUCUAAAAUAGCCAUGGAGUAAUUUCUUACUGAGGAAAACUAGAAUAAUAAAAUCAAUUAUCAUUCUGCCAUGACCCCGUUUCUAGAUGUAUCUUCUUCUUGAUUUGGUAACUUGGCUGUCAAAAAGAAAUCUAUCUAGAUCCCGAUUCCUCAAAAUGAUGCUUUUUCGGAUGAAAUAAAUGAAAUUGAACCUACAAUCUGUCACAAACACGUUAUAAUGAGCCUAAUGAAAAGCAGUAUGAGAAAUUUUGCUUCCAUGUUGUUUCUUCCAUAUGUAAAGGUAGUAAAAAGAAAUUUAAGUCCUAGAAACAAAUGGAUGAAGAAUUAUCAAUAAUUAAAAAUUAAAAAAAAAAACAGAGUUAUUAAAGAAUCACAGUUCCACCAAAAAUUAAGAGUUAUUUUAUUUGGUGGUUUCCUUAUCCCGAAGCAUUACUUGUAAAUAUGUGCUAACAAGUAAUAAUUAAGAAAGUUAAGGCCAAUCAUUUAGAAGGGAGAAAAAUGGAAACAUCCGGAAUAUUGUUAUGUGUUUUCAGUGCGUAUCUACCAAUCAAUAAUGAAAAAUUAAAUACGCAUGUGACGAAAAUUUAAUAAAGAGAACUGGACGUGACAAAAUUUUUAUUAUUCUAUCUUUUUCUCCUCUGAAACUUCCUUAAUUUGGUUGGGAAUUGCUUUGUCUUAGGCAGUGGAUCUGUUAUAAAUACCCUAUGCUAAAGUUAAUAUUUUGAUUGAAGAAAAAAAUAGAGGCGAAAAAUUUUAUUAAAGUAUAACAGAAUUUGAUAAAUUUAGAAUUGAGGAGAGAAAAUGAGUCUAAAUUCGAAAAUUUUGGCACUAUUUACAUAUCAUUAUUUGGGCAAAAAUUUAUUUCUCUGCUUUCAUAUGAUUUGGUCUUUUAUUGUUACGGUGCCAAUUUUUUAUUUAAAGAUGUAAGAUGGUGGUACUAUAGCUUAGAUUUUCCGUAAUUACUAUAUGGUAAGUACAAAAUAAAAUACUAGUUUAAAAUAUAAAAAUGAAAAACUAUUUUUAUAACCAAUAUUUAAUUAAAUACACUUGAAACUCUAUUUUUUCUUAAUAAAAAAAAUUCUAAUUUAUUUUCUCAAUUUAUCUAAACAACUUUACCUAAUCAAGCUAAAUCUACAUAUAACCCUAAACCUUAAUUUAUAAACACCCAAUCAAUCCAAUUGUUAAAUCCGAUUUCAUAAUUAAAAAAGUUAAAUUCUAUUUUAUUAUUUAUGGUGCAAAGUAAAAAAUGCCCUUGAAGUUAAGGGUAAAAUUGAUAUUUUAUUUAAAUUUGGGAAAUUAUCAUUCGUAUACCCUAUAUUUGCUCUGUUAUAAAAAAUACUACAACACUUUGAGGGUGUAUCAAUCGUCCACCCUAAGUUGACAAAAUGUAUCAACCGACCACUAAACCGUUAAUUGUCGUUUGAAAGUUAACGGAAUUACAGUGAAUUGACGAUUUUACCCUUGAAAAUUAUCACUUGUAUACCCUUAAAUUAUCACUUGUAUCAUAUGAAAAGACCAGAUUACCCUUCUGACGUUAUCAUAUUUAAACGGCAACUAACGGUUCGGUGGUCGGUUGAUACAUUUUGUCAACUUAGGGUGGACGAUUGAUACACCCUCAAAGUGUUGUAGUAUUCUUGAUAAUGAAGUAAACUAAGGGUAUACAAAUGAUAAUUUCCCUUUAAAUUUUGUUAAUAUUCUAAUAAUGUUAAUGUCUUAGUGGUUAAUAAAAUCACAAAGUCAAACUUUUGUAGUAUUUUUUAUAAUAAGGUAAAGAUAUAUGUUUGAUAAUUUUCCUACGUCUUUUUACGUUAAAUUGAGUCUCAAGGGAAAAAUGGUUAAUUUGCUAUAAUUCUGUCAGUUUUCUAAUGGAAGAUAAUGAUAUAAUGAAUAAAUAAUACAUAUUCUUAAAUUAGUAUAGAUGAAUGAUACAACUUGAAAAUAUUGUAGUAUUCUUAAUAGUAGAGAAAUUUAAAAGUGGAUGGUUGAUAAUUUAAUGAAGUAACUACAGAAUUUUCCUUUCAAAUAUAUUUUUUAAAAUAUAUGAUGAGUAAAAAUCAUUUUACAGAAUGAUCUUUCAAAUGCACAUUCCACAAGCCAAAAAGAAAGGGUAGCGAACAACCCUUGUUGAAAUGGCACCCCGGCUUUUGCAGCGUACCCAAGUGCAGCCACCACCCCAGAAUCUGGUACUACAAUCACAACAUCACACUCAACAGGAGCCUCGGUAGCAAGUACUUCCCCAAAAUGAUACCUCGACUCGUAAGACCUUCCAAAAACAACAGAAUUAGGCAAAGCAAAAUAAAUAUGCUCAAAGAUGCACUGCUUAGGUUCAGGGUGAGGCAUCAAACAAAGUGAUUGAACCCCAUCUUUAUCCACCAUCAAAACUUCACCGGGAUAUACCUCUCUCUCGUAUGUGGCCUCAAUCAAAUCAAGUGCGCAAGUUUCUGAUGCAAAAACCACAGCACCGUUACUCCUCCUACCCAUCACCAACGGCCUAAACCCAUACGGGUCACGAACCGCAACAAGCUUAUCCUCAGUAACAAACACCAUUGAAUAAGCACCCUCAAGCUUCUCACAAGCAUCCACAAUCCUCAAAAAGAACGGCUUAGCUUUCGAUAUCGCAAUCAAAUGGAGAACAAUCUCAGUAUCAGAACUAGUAUAAAAAAUGGAUUCAUUAUCCUCGAGCUUAGCCCUCAAAGUAUUAUAAUUACCUAAAUUCCCAUUAUGUGCAACACCAACAGAACCAAACCUGUACCCAGCAACAAAAGGCUGCACAUUCUUAAGCAUAGAACUACCCGCAGUCGAAUAUCUAACAUGACCAAUGGCCAUAUCACCCGGCAAUUGAUCAAGUUUAGACUGAUUAAACACAUCAGAGACUAAACUGUUGAUGCGAGAUUCUGGUUGUCCUCGUUCUACGACCAGGGUCUCUGCUCGAUCAACUUCACCACGACCAGGAUCUCUCCUCGUAAAGCUUCUUCUCCAGAGGUUCCUGCGCACACAGACAAGUCAGAGUACGCCGGUUAUUUUCCCGGCGCAAACCCUCCGACGCUCAAGUCAGAUAUGAAGGUUCGGGGAACACUUGCCACAGAUCUUAUGGCUUUUGGGUAGUUUUCUCUUCUUUAGAAUUUCUUUAUCUCUCUUCUAAUGUCAAAAUUGCUAACCCUUUUACCUUCGUUGGCUACCUUUUUAUAGGCUUCCUCUGAAUCCCAGUUUUCCGCAGUCUACGUCCGUUAUCCUCCCACCUCUCGAACGUGGAUUCCCCAUUUCCGUAGUCGUGGGUGGUUGCGUGGCCUUCGUGCCUAGAUUCUCGGGCUGGAGAGCAUGCCUUGCCAACUGUCGUUGACCGGGCCUCCUCGAAUCAACCCUUAGCAAGAAUACAGCAGGAAUGGCUUUAUGCUUCUUACAAGAAAUUGGCCUCGCGGAUGACGUGCUCGUGGAUGAGCAGGAUAUUCCUGCCCCUGCUCCCCUGCUACUUGGCUCUUACAGGACACACCUGCUCGCCGACUUCUGCCACCAAACAUCUGCUCAUCACGUCUGGUCUCGUCGGAGUAUUUCCCUCAAACACCGGUCCCCCAGUUUCUGGUGUUGGGUAAUGUAAUGGACCAGCAGUAGAAACUUAGCGGUUCUUGGUCGCGUGGGACUGAAAAAGGCUGCCAAGAGUCAUAUCGCAUUUAAUUGCGGACGAGGUGAUGUGGCAGAAAUCUGCCCCUCUAUUCGAAUUUCCAACCAACGGUUACGAGGCCCUUGGGAUUUGGUGCCGUUAAAUGCUGGCAACCCAAGAGUCCGUCCCCAUUAGGAAACCUAAAUCCUUUCAAACAGCAAAUUCGUCAUUCCCUCCGUCUCCGUCCCUGUCUCUCCGGCAAAGAAGUUCCAGCAUAAAGGCCUCCAUCUCUGUCUUUCACCGACUGAACCAUUACUUCAUGUAUUUCUUCUAUCUCCUUGGUCUCGGAUAGUUGUAGAUAAUUUCUGUUCUCUUUUGUUUGGGUAGUAGUUGGUGGUGGUGUUGUGGUUAGAGUUUAGGGAAUGUCGAAAGCUAAAGAGAAGGUCAUUGAAGUUGACGACGAUGAGUUAGACUUCCUGCCUAGUCUGCUCACUGAUCCUGCUUUUGACCCCGGGAUCCCCUUAGAGCCCAUUAGAUCUAGUGUCGGCACUAGCGCUAGGAGGAUGUCUCCCCAAACGACCUCCUCGAGCAGAGAUAGUGAUGAAGAGGGGUCUUCCGGCUCGGAGAACACCCUGAGUGAGGGCCGAGGAGAUGAUUCUGGCGAGGUGUCCCCAUCAGGAGCGUCGCGACCAGAAGGGCGGAGUACAAUAGGAGGUAGAGCCCUAUCGCGGGAUUACGCUAUUGAUUACAUGACAUGCACAACCACGUUUGAUGAGCUCAAUGACCUCCGGCUUAGGUAUAGUAUUCCUGGUGAAAUCCCUCUUAAGGUCCCAGGAAAGAAGGAUACUCCUAGCCGGCCUCCUAGGGGAUACGUUACCCUGUAUCUGGAUAGGUUUAAGUAUGGGCUGAGGUGUCCCGUGCAACCUUACUUUGCCCGGAUACUUAGCGGGCUGAAUCUAUCUCCUGGUCAGCUGAACCCAAAUGGUUGGAGAGUACUUUAUGGUCUGUUUAUAUUGUGGGACAGAUGUUGCCAGAGCGAGCCCACAGUUGAUGAGGUGAAGCACUUGUACCAGCUAAAGAGCAGCCCCAAAGAUGCCGGCUGGUACUACUUUCAAUCUAGUACCAAGACCAGGAAACCCAUAACCGACCUCCCUACUGGUGGUGGUGGGAAUUGGAAGAGGAAAUUCUUUUUUGCUGGGGGUCCUUGGGGUUAAGUUGCACAAAUAGACGGGAAGGAUUAUCGCGUCCCACCCCGUUUCACGGUCCCAGGUUGCCUGCUCGCUUUAGGUGUCUUGUGUCCGUAAUUGUGCUCGCUUUGUUGGUUUGUCUCUAACCAAGUGUCUAUUUGUGUUGUAGUUUCUUGGGGUGUUCAUUUCUCGCUCAAACCUGGCCAACUCAAACGGGUCGAGGCUGUGCUAGCCAAUUCCUGCUCGAGCCGGGAGCUGAUAACUACAUACAACUUGCUCGAGUCUCGCUUAAUACUCCCUGGUCAUAAGAUGGAGGACGCUGUGAUUGGGGCUCUGAACAGGAAACGUUCUCGACCUCAAACCACGAAGAGGGACCAGAAUAAGGACGCCCCUACUGCAAAGCGGGCCAACAUCGUGCAGCAGGUCUCUCCCUUGAAGACUUUACCUCCUGCUCCUGCCAAAGUCGGGGAAACUAGUGGAGGAGCAGCCACCGAUCCUGCUUCUUCUUCUCCUCAUGUCGGGCCUCGAUCUCGCUUACCUGACAGCCGAGCAGAACACUUGGUCCCCUAUCUCAAUGAGUUAUCUAAACUCGUGAGCAAGAAGGACCUGGAGGACUUUGAUGGCUGCACUCUGGGCGAGCUGGUGCGAGCCAUGCAGUAUAGCGCUUUCCAUCUCAGCUGCAUGACCACCUACUAUAAGGCCAAGGUCGGCCGUUAUGACAGGAAGAUGAAGGAGGACAUUCAGUUAGCGAUGACCAGAGCUGACGGCGCCGAGAAGAAAGCAGGAGCGCUGAAUGUCGAGAACCUGAAGCUGAUAGAGCAAGAAUCUCUUGCUCAAGCGAAAGCCAUUACCCUCGAGGAGGAGCUGACCAAGGUCAAAGAGGAUCUUCAAAGGCAGAAGGCUAUGUAUGAGGCUCAGCUCGAAUCUCUCCGUGAUUCCCACCGGGUUCAGGUCGAGAACUUAGAGAAGGAGGCUGACAACCAGUACGACCAGGGACUUCGGCAUUCCUAUCGUUGCAUCAUGGCCGUCCUCGGGAAGCAACACCCUGAUCUGAAGAUGGAUGACCUUGCAGCUGGUGUUGCUCAACAUAUGGACGAGGAGGCGGCCAAGGAAGACGCUGAAGGGGUAGAGCCGAUCGUGAUUGAGGAGGAAAACUCUCCUUCUCGUGCAGAACCUGCUGGUGUUGGCGAGGCGAGCACCCCCCGGACGCAACUGGUGAUACCCCCUGCACCUGAGGAGGUCCAGCCGACUGAUGCUGCUCGGCUUACUGAUCCACCAUCUUAUUGAUAUAUUUCUUGUAUUGUAAUGCACAAUGUUUGUGAAGAUUAUCUCCUCUGUUAAUUAUUAACAAAUUAAUAAAGAUGUUUUUGAUUACUUUCUUGUGUUGUAAUCAUGAGUUAUUUUUCGUUUGAGAAUCUGCUCGUCUUUGUCUGGUCGAGCAGGUUCUGGCUUGGCACAUGGUUUUGCCACAUGCCUUUGAAAAUUCUUCAAUGCUUGGGAUUCUGCUCGCCUUCGCAUGGUCGAGCAGAUCCUGGCAUGCUUGGCUUCUGGUCUCGCCAAAAGACAGGCUUUCAGACUUGGUGAGCUUUUGCAUGCCUUUGAUUCUGCAAUGAUUGGGAGUCUGCUCGCCUUCUCGUGGUCGAGCAGAUCCUGGCACGCAUGGCAUCUGGUCUCGCCAUAAACAGGCUUUGAGACUUGAUAAGCCUUUGCAUGCCUUUAAUAAUUUCUUGAAUGCUUUGGAGUCUGCUCGCCUUCUUGUGGUCAAACAUAUCCUGGCACGCUUGGCUUCUGUCGCAUGCCUUCAAUUCUUCAAGGAUUGAGAUUUCGCUCGCCUUCUCGUGGUCGAGCAGAUCCUGGCACGGUUGGCUGCUGUCUCGCCAUAAAACAGGCUUUGAGACUUGCCGAGCCUUUGCAUGCCUUUGAUUCUUCAAGGAUUGGGAUUCUGCUCGCCUUCUCGGGGUCGAACAGAUCCUAGCACGCUUGGCUUCUGUCUCGCCAUAAAAUAGGCUUUGAGACUUGCUGAGCCUUUGCAUGCCUUCAAUUCUUCAAGGAUUGGGAUUCUGCUCGCCUUCUCGUGGUCGAGCAGAUCCUGGCACGCUUGGCUUCUGUCUCGCCAUAAAACAAGCUUUGAGACUUGCUGAGCCUUUGCAUGCCUUUGAUUCUUCAAGGAUUGGGAUUCUGCUCGCCAUCUCGUGGUCGAGCAUAUCCUGGCACGCUUGGCUUCUGUCUCGCCAUAAAACAGGCUUUGAGACUUGCCGAGCUUUUGCAUGCCUUUGAUUCUUCAAGGAUUGGGAUUCUGCUCGCCUUCUCGUGGUCGAGCAGAUCCUGGCACGCAUGGCAUCUGGUCUCGCCAUAAACAGGCUUUGAUACUUGAUGAGCCUUUGCAUGCCUUUGAUAAUUUCUUGAAUGCUUUGGAGUCUGCUCGCCUUCUUGUGGUCAAACAUAUCCUGGCACGCUUGGCUUCUGUCGCAUGCCUUCAAUUCUUCAAGGAUUGGGAUUUCGCUCGCCUUCUCGUGGUCGAGCAUAUCCUGGCAUGGUUGGCUGCUGUCUCGCCAUAAAACAGGCUUUGAGACUUGCCGAGCCUUUGCAUGCAUUUGAUUCUUCAAGGAUUGGGAUUCUGCUCGCCUUCUCGUGGUCGAGCAGAUCCUGGCACGCUUGGCUUCUGUCUCGCCAUAAAACAGGCUUUAAGACUUGUUGAGCCUUUGCAUGCCUUUGAUUCUUCAAGGAUUGGGAUUCGGCUCGCCUUCUCGUGGUCGAGCAGAUCCUGGCACGCUUGGCUUCUGUCUUGCCAUAAAACAGGCUUUGAGACUUGAUGAGCCUUUGCAUGCCUUUGAUAAUUUCUUGAAUCCUUUGGAGUCUGCUUGCCUUCUCGUGGUCGAGCAUAUCCUAGCACGCUUGGCUUCUGUCUCGCCAUAAAACAGGCUUUGAGACUUGAUGAGCCUUUGCAUGCCUUUGAUAAUUUCUUGAAUGCUUUGGAGUCUGCUCGCCUUCUCGUGGUCGAGCAUAUCUUGGCACGCUUGGCUUCUGUCUCGCCAUAAAACAGGCUUUGAGACUUGCUGAGCCUUUGCAUGCCUUCAAUUCUUCAAGGAUUUGGAUUCUGCUCGCCUUCUCGUGGUCGAGCAGAUCCUGGCACGCUUGGCUUCUGUCUCGUCAUAAAACAGGCUUUGAGACUUGCCGAGCCUUUGCAUGCCUUUGAUUCUUCAAGGAUUGGGAUUCUGCUCGCCUUCUCGUGGUCGAGCAGAUCCUGGCACGCUUGGCUUCUGUCUCGCCAUAAAACAGGCUUUGAGACUUGCCGAGCCUUUGCAUGCCUUUGAUUCUUCAAGGAUUGGGAUUCUGCUCGCCUUCUCGUGGUCGAGCAGAUCCUGGCACGCUUGGCUUCUGUCUCGCCAUAAAACAGGCUUUGAGACUUGCCGAGCCUUUGCAUGCCUUUGAUUCUUCAAGGAUUGGGAUUCUGCUCGCCUUCUCGUGGUCGAGCAGAUCCUGGCACGCUUGGCUUCUGUCUCGCCAUAAAACAGGCUUUGAGACUUGCUGAGCCUUUGCAUGCCGUUGAUUGUUCAAGGAUUGGGAUUCGGCUCGCCUUCUCGUGGUGGAGCAGAUCCUGGCACGCUUGGCUUCUGUCUCGUCAUAAAACAGGCUUUGAGACUUGAUGAGCCUUUGCAUGCCUUUGAUAAUUUCUUGAAUGCUUUUGAGUCUGCUUGCCUUCUCGUGGUCGAGCAUAUCCUGGCACGCUUGGCUUCUGUCUCGCCAUAAAACAGGCUUUGAGACUUGCCGAGCCUUUGCAUGCCUUUGAUUCUUCAAGGAUUGGGAUUCUGCUCGCCUUCUCGUGGUCGAGCAGAUCCUGGCACGCUUGGCUUCUGUCUCGCCAUAAAACAGGCUUUGAGACUUGCUGAGCCUUUGCAUGCCGUUGAUUGUUCAAGGAUUGGGAUUCGGCUCGCCUUCUCGUGGUCGAGCAGAUCCUGGCACGCUUGGCUUCUGUCUCGCCAUAAAACAGGCUUUGAGACUUGCUGAGCCUUUGCAUGCCUUCAAUUCUUCAAGGAUUGGGAUUCUGCUCGCCUUCUCGUGGUCGAGCAGAUCCUGGCACGCUUGGCUUCUGUCUCGCCAUAAAACAGGCUUUGAGACUUGCUGAGCCUUUGCAUGCCUUUGAUAAUUUCUUGAAUGCUUUGGAGUCUGCUCGCCUUCUUGUGGUCAAACAUAUCCUGGCAAGCUUGGCUUCUGUCGCAUGGCUACAAUUCUUCCAGGAUUGGGAUUUCGCUCGCCUUCUCGUGGUCGAGCAGAUCCUGGCAUGGUUGGCUGCUGUCUCGCCAUAAAACAGGCUUUGAGACUUGCCGAGCCUUUGCAUGCCUUUGAUUCUUCAAGGAUUGGGAUUCUGCUCGCCUUCUCGUGGUCGAGCAGAUCCUGGCACGCUUGGCUUCUGUGUUGCCAUAAAAUAGGCUUUGAGACUUGCUGAGCCUUUGCAUGCCUUUGAUUCUUCAAGGAUUGGGAUUCUGCUCGCCUUCUCGUGGUCGAGCAGAUCCUGGCAUGGUUGGCUGCUGUCUCGCCAUAAAACAGGCUUUGAGACUUGCCGAGCCUUUGCAUGCCUUUGAUUGUCCCAUCGCCAUAAAACAGGCUUUGAGACUUGAUGAGCCUUUGCAUGCCUUUGAUAAUUUCUUGAAUGCUUUGGAGUCUGCUUGCCUUCUCGUGGUCGAGCAUAUCCUGGCACGCUUGGCUUCUGUCUCGCCAUAAAACAGGCUUUGAGACUUGCUGAGCCUUUGCUUGCCUUCAAUUCUUCAAGGAUUGGGAUUCUGCUCGGCUUCUCGUGGUCGAGCAGAUCCUGGCACGCUUGGCUUCUGUCUCGCCAUAAAACAGGCUUUGAGACUUGCUGAGCCUUUGCAUGCCUUCAAUUCUUCAAGGAUUGGGAUUCUGCUCGCCUUCUCGUGGUCGAGCAGAUCCUGGCACGCUUGGCUUCUGUCUCGCCAUAAAACAGGCUUUGAGACUUGCUGAGCCUUUGCAUGCCUUUGAUUCUUCAAGGAUUGGGAUUCUGCUCGCCUUCUCGUGGUCGAGCAGAUCCUGGCACGCUUAGCUUCUGUCUCGCCAUAAAACAGGCUUUGAGACAUGCCGAGCCUUUGCAUGCCUUUGAUUCUUCAAGGAUUGGGAUUCUGCUCGCCUUCUCGUGGUCGAGCAGAUCCUGGCACGCUUGGCUUCUGUCUCGCCAUAAAACAGGCUUUGAGACUUGCUGAGCCUUUGCAUGCUUUGAUUCUUCAAGGAUUGGGAUUCGGCUCGCCUUCUCGUGGUCGAGCAGAUCCUGGCACGCUUGGCUUCUGUCUUGCCAUAAAACAGGCUUUGAGACUUGAUGAGCCUUUGCAUGCCUUUGAUAAUUUCUUGAAUGCUUUGGAGUCUGCUGGCCUUCUCGUGGUCGAGCAUAUCCUGGCACGCUUGGCUUCUGUCUCGCCAUAAAACAGGCUUUGAGACUUGCUGAGCCUUUGCAUGCCUUCAAUUCUUCAAGGAUUGGGAUUCUGCUCGCCUUCUCGUGGUCGAGCAGAUCCUGGCACGAUUGGCUUCUGUCUUGCCAUAAAACAGGCUUUGAGACUUGAUGAGCCUUUGCAUGGCUUUGAUAAUUUCUUGAAUGCUUUGGAGUCUGCUUGCCUUCUCGUGGUCGAGCAUAUCCUGGCACGCUUGGCUUCUGUCUCGCCAUAAAACAGGCUUUGAGACUUGCUGAGCCUUUGCAUGCCUUCAAUUCUUCACGGAUUGGGAUUCUGCUCGCCUUCUCGUGGUCGAGCAGAUCCUGGCACGCUUGGCUUCUGUCUCGCCAUAAAACAGGCUUUGAGACUUGCUGAGCCUUUGCAUGCCUUUGAUUCUUCAAGGAUUGGGAUUCUGCUCGCCUUUUCGUGGUCGAGCAGAUCCUGGCACGCUUGGCUUCUGACUCGCCAUAAAACAGGCUUUGAGACUUGCCGAGCCUUUGCAUGCCUUUGAUUCUUCAAGGAUUGGGAUUCUGCUCGCCUUCUCGUGGUCGAGCAGAUCCUGGCACGCUUGGCUUCUGUCUCGCUAUAAAACAGGCUUUGAGACUUGCUGAGCCUUUGCAUGCCGUUGAUUGUUCAAGGAUUGGGAUUCGGCUCGCCUUCUCAUGGUGGAGCAGAUUCUGGCACGCUUGGCUUCUGUCUCGUCAUAAAACAGGCUUUGAGACUUGAUGACCCUUUGCAUGCCUUUGAUAAUUUCUUGAAUGCUUUGGAGUCUGCUUGCCUUCUCGUGGUCGAGCAUAUCCUGGCACGCUUGGCUUCUGUCUCGCCAUAAAACAGGCUUUGAGACUUGCCGAGCCUUUGCAUGCCUUUGAUUCUUCAAGGAUUGGGAUUCUGCUCGCCUUCUCGUGGUCGAACAGAUCCUAGCACGCUUGGCUUCUGUCUCGCCAUAAAACAGGCUUUGAGACUUGCCGAGCCUUUGCAUGCCUUUGAUUCUUCAAGGAUUGGGAUUCUGCUCGCCUUCUCGUGGUCGAACAGAUCCUAGCACGCUUGGCUUCUGUCUCGCCAUAAAACAGGCUUUGAGACUUGUUGAGCCUUUGCAUGCCUUUGAUUCUUCAAGGAUUGGGAUUCGGCUCGCCUUCUCGUGGUCGAGCAGAUCUUGGCACGCUUGGCUUCUGUCUCGCCAUAAAACAGGCUUUGAGACUUGAUGAGCCUUUGCAUGCCUUUGAUAAUUUCUUGAAUGCUUUGGAGUCUGCUGGCCUUCUCGUGGUCGAGCAUAUCCUGGCACGCUUGGGUUCUGUCUCGCCAUAAAACAGGCUUUGAGACUUGCUGAGCCUUUGCAUGCCUUUGAUUCUUCAACGAUUGGGAUUCGGCUCGCCUUCUCGUGGUCGAGCAGAUCCUGGCACGCUUGGCUUCUGUCUUGCCAUAAAACAGGCUUUGAGACUUGAUGAGCCUUUGCAUGCCUUUGAUAAUUUCUUGAAUGCUUUGGAGUCUGCUGGCCUUCUCGUGGUCGAGCAUAUCCUGGCACGCUUGGCUUCUGUCUCGCCAUAAAACAGGCUUGAGACUUGCUGAGCCUUUGCAUGCCUUCAAUUCUUCAAGGAUUGGGAUUCUGCUCGCCUUCUCGUGGUCGAGCAGAUCCUGGCACGAUUGGCUUCUGUCUUGCCAUAAAAACAGGCUUGAAGACUUGAUGAGCCUUUGCAUGCCUUUGAUAAUUUCUUGAAUGCUUUGGAGUCUGCUUGCCUUCUCGUGGUCGAGCAUAUCCUGGCACGCUUGGCUUCUGUCUCGCCAUAAAACAGGCUUUGAGACUUGAUGAGCCUUUUGCAUGCCUUUGAUAAUUUCUUGAAUGCUUUGGAGUCUGCUUGCCUUCUCGUGGUCGAGCAUAUCCUGGCACGCUUGGCUUCUGUCUCGCCAUAAAAUAGGCUUUGAGACUUGCUGAGCCUUUGCAUGCCUUUGAUUCUUCAAGGAUUGGGAUUCUGCUCGCCUUCUCGUGGUCGAGCAGAUCCUGGCACGCUUGGCUUCUGUCUCGCCAUAAAACAGGCUUUGAGACUUGCCGAGCCUUUGCAUGCCUUUGAUUCUUCAAGGAUUGGGAUUCUGCUCGCCUUCUCGUGGUCGAGCAGAUCCUGGCACGCUGGCUUCUGUCUCGCCAUAAAACAGGCUUGAGACUUGCUGAGCCUUUGCAUGCCUUUGAUUCUUCAAGGAUUGGGAUUCGGCUCGCCUUCUCGUGGUCGAGCAGAUCCUGGCACGCUUGGCUUCUGUCUCGCCAUAAAACAGGCUUUGAGACUUGAUGAGCCUUUGCAUGCCUUUGAUAAUUUCUUGAAUGCUUUGGAGUCUGCUCGCCUUCUUGUGGUCGANNNNNNNNNNNNNNNNNNNNNNNNNNNNNNNNNNNNNNNNNNNNNNNNNNNNNNNNNNNNNNNNNNNNNNNNNNNNNNNNNNNNNNNNNNNNNNNNNNNNNNNNNNNNNNNNNNNNNNNNNNNNNNNNNNNNNNNNNNNNNNNNNNNNNNNNNNNNNNNNNNNNNNNNNNNNNNNNNNNNNNNNNGCUCGCCUUCUCGUGGUCGAGCAGAUCCUGGCACGCUUGGCUUCUGUCUCGCCAUUAAAAGGCUUGAGACAGCCUUUGCAUGCUUUUGCCUUUGGAUCGAGCUCCUGCACGCUUGCUUCUGUCGCCAUAAAACAGGCUUUGAGACUUGCUGAGCCUUUGCAUGCCUUCAAUUCUUCAGGAUUGGAUUCUGCUCGCCUUCUCGUUGGUCAGCAGAUCCUGGCACGCUUGGUUCUGUCUCGCCAUAAAAGGCUUUGAGACUUGCUGAGCCUUUGCAUGCCCUUUGAUUCUUCAAGGAUUGGGAUUCUGCUCGCCUUCUCGUGGUCGAGCAAGAUUCCUGGCACGCUUGAGCUCUGUCUCGCCAUAAAACAGGCUUUGAGACUUGCUGAGCCUUUGCAUGCCUUUCGAUUCUUCAAGGAUUGGGAUUCUGCUCGCCUUCUCGUGGUCGAGCAGAUCCUGGCACGCUUGGCUUCUGUCUCGCCAUAAAACAGGCUUGAGACUUGCUGAGCCUUUGCAUGCCUUGAUUGUUCAAGGAUUGGGAUUCGCUCGCCUUCUCGUGGUCGAGCAGAUCCUGGCACGCUUGCUUCUGUCUGCCAUAAAACAGGCUUUGAGACUUGAUGAGCCUUUGCAUGCCUUUGAUAUUCUUGAAUGCUUUGGAGUCUGCUGCCUUCUCGUGGUCGAGCAUAUCCUGGCACGCUUGGCUUCUGUCUCGCCAUAAAACAGGCUUUGAGACUUGCUGAGCCUUUGCAUGCCGUUGAUUCGUUCAAGGAUUGGGAUUCGGCUCGCCUUCUCGUGGUCGAGCAGAUCCUGGCACGCUUGGCUUCUGUCUCGCCAUAAAACAGGCUUUGAGACUUGAUGAGCCUUUGCAUGCCUUUGAUAAUUUCUUGAAUGCUUUGGAGUCUGCUUGCCUUCUCGUGGUCGAGCAUAUCCUGGCACGCUUGGCUUCUGUCUCGCCAUAAAACAGGCUUUGAGACUUGCUGAGCCUUUGCAUGCCUUUAUUCUUCAAGGAUUGGGAUUCUGCUCGCCUUCUCGUGGUCGAGCAGAUCCUGGCACGCUUGGCUUCUGUCUCGCCAUAAAACAGGCUUUGAGACUUGAUGAGCCUUUGCAUGCCUUUGAUUCUUCAAGGAUUGGGAUCUGCUCGCCUUCUCGUGGUCGAGCAGAUCCUGGCACGCUUGGCUUCUGUCUCGCCAUAAAACAGGCUUUGAGACUUGCUGAGCCUUUGCAUGCCUUUGAUUCUUCAAGGAUUGGGAUUCUGCUCGCCUUCUCGUGGUCGAGCAGAUCCUGGCACGCUUGGCUUCUGUCUCGCCAUAAAACAGGCUUUGAGACUUGCUGAGCCUUUGCAUGCCUUUGAUUCUUCAAGGAUUGGGAUUCUGCUCGCCUUCUCGUGGUCGAGCAGAUCCUGGCACGCUUGGCUUCUGUCUCGCCAUAAAACAGGCUUUUGAGACUUGCUGAGCCUUUGCAUGCCUUUGAUUCUUCAAGGAUUGGGAUUCUGCUCGCCUUCUCGUGGUCGAGCAGAUCCUGGCACGCUUGGCUUCUGUCUCGCCAUAAAACAGGCUUGAUUGCGAGCUUUGAGCUUGACUGAGUCCUCCCUCUUGACAGAUCCGCACCUUGCUCUGUCUCGCAUAAACAGCGAACUUGUUUGCAUUUUGUUUUCAAGGAUUGGGAUUCGGCUCGCCUUCUCGUGGUGGAGCAGAUCCUGGCACGCUUGGCUUCUGUCUCGUCAUAAAACAGGCUUUGAGACUUGAUGAGCCUUUGCAUGCCUUUGAUAAUUUCUUGAAUGCUUUGGAGUCUGCUGGCCUUCUCGUGGUCGAGCAUAUCCUGGCACGCUUGGCUUCUGUCUCGCCAUAAAACAGGCUUUGAGACUUGCUGAGCCUUUGCAUGCCUUUGAUUCUUCAAGGAUUGGGAUUCUGCUCGCCUUCUCGUGGUCGAGCAGAUCCUGGCACGCUUGGCUUCUGUCUCGCCAUAAAACAGGCUUUGAGACUUGCUGAGCCUUUGCAUGCCUUUGAUUCUUCAAGGAUUGGGAUUCUGCUCGCCUUCUCGUGGUCGAGCAUAUCCUGGCACGCUUGGCUUCUGUCUCGCCAUAAAACAGGCUUUGAGACUUGCUGAGCCUUUGCAUGCCUUGAUUCUUCAAGGAUUGGGAUUCUGCUCGCCUUCUCGUGGUCGAGCAGAUCCUGGCACGCUUGCUUCUGUCUCGCCAUAAAACAGCUUUAGACUUGUGAGUUUGCUUUUUUUUUGGUUGGAUUUGCUUUUUGGUAGCAGAUCUGGCACGCUUGGCUUCUGUCUCGCAUAAAACAGGCUUUGAGACUUGAUGAGCCUUUGCAUGCCUUUGAUAAUUUCUUGAAUGCUUUGGGAUUCUGCUCGCCUUCUCGUGGUCGAGCAUAUCCUGGCACGCUUGGCUUCUGUCUCGCCAUAAAACAGGCUUUGAGACUUGAUGAGCCUUUGCAUGCCUUUGAUAAUUUCUUGAAUGCUUUGGAGUCUGCUGGCCUUCUCGUGGUCGAGCAUAUCCUGGCACGCUUGGCUUCUGUCUCGCCAUAAAACAGGCUUUGAGACUUGCUGAGCCUUUGCAUGCCUUUGAUUCUUCAAGGAUUGGGAUUCUGCUCGCCUUCUCGUGGUCGAGCAGAUCCUGGCACGCUUGGCUUCUGUCUCGCCAUAAAACAGGCUUUGAGACUUGCCGAGCCUUUGCAUGCCUUUGAUUCUUCAAGGAUUGGGAUUCUGCUCGCCUUCUCAUGGUCGAGCAGAUCCUGGCACGCUUGGCUUCUGUCUCGCCAUAAAACAGGCUUUGAGACUUGCUGAGCCUUUGCAUGCCGUUUGAUUGUUCAAGGAUUGGGAUUCGGCUCGCCUUCUCGUGGUGGAGCAGAUCCUGGCACGCUUGGCUUCUGUCUCGUCAUAAAACAGGCUUUGAGACUUGAUGAGCCUUUGCAUGCCUUUGAUAAUUUUCAAGUUGGAUUCUCGCCUUCUUGUGAGCAAUCUGGCAGCUUGGCUUCUGUCUCGUCUUUACUUUUUCUUUGAUUUUUGAUUUUGUCUCUUUCUCGUGGUCGAGCAUAUCCUGGCACGCUUGGCUUCUGUCUCGCCAUAAAAACAGGCUUUGAGACUUGCUGAGCCUUUGCAUGCCUUUGAUUCUUCAAGGAUUGGGAUUCUGCUCGCCUUCUCGUGGUCGAGCAGAUCCUGGCACGCUUGGCUUCUGUCUCGCCAUAAAACAGGCUUUGAGACUUGCUGAGCCUUUGCAUGCCGUUGAUUGUUCAAGGAUUGGGAUUCGGCUCGCCUUCUCGUGGUGGAGCAUAUCCUGGCACGCUUGGCUUCUGUCUCGCCAUAAAACAGGCUUUGAGACUUGCUGAGCCUUUGCAUGCCUUCAAUUCUUCAAGGAUUGGGAUUCGGCUCGCCUUCUCGUGGUGGAGCAUAUCCUGGCACGCUUGGCUUCUGUCUCGCCAUAAAACAGGCUUUGAGACUUGCUGAGCCUUUGCAUGCCUUCAAUUCUUCAAGGAUUGGGAUUCUGCUCGCCUUCUCGUGGUCGAGCAGAUCCUGGCACGCUUGGCUUCUGUCUCGCCAUAUAAAACAGGCUUUGAGACUUGCUGAGCCUUUGCAUGCCUUUGAUUCUUCAAGGAUUGGGAUUCUGCUCGCCUUCUCGUGGUCGAGCAGAUCUUGGCACGCUUGGCUUCUGUGUCGCCAUAAAACAGGCUUUUAGACUUGCCGAGCCUUUGCAUGCCUUUGAUUCUUCAAGGAUUGGGAUUCUGCUCGCCUUCUCGUGGUCGAGCAGAUCCUGGCACGCUUGGCUUCUGUCUCGCCAUAAAACAGGCUUUGAGACUUGCUGAGCCUUUGCAUGCCGUUGAUUGUUCAAGGAUUGGGAUUCGGCUCGCCUUCUCGUGGUGGAGCAGAUCCUGGCACGCUUGGCUUCUGUCUCGUCAUAAAACAGGCUUUGAGACUUGAUGAGCCUUUGCAUGCCUUUGAUAAUUUCUUGAAUGCUUUGGAGUCUGCUGGCCUUCUCGUGGUCGAGCAUAUCCUGGCACGCUUGGCUUCUGUCUCGCCAUAAAACAAGCUUUGAGACUUGCUGAGCCUUUGCAUGCCUUCAAUUCUUCACGGAUUGGGAUUCUGCUCGCCUUCUCGUGGUCGAGCAGAUCCUGGCACGCUUGGCUUCUGUCUCGCCAUAAAAACAGGCUUUGAGACUUACUGAGCCUUUGCAUGCCUUUGAUUCUUCAAGGAUUGGGAUUCUGCUCGCCUUCUCGUGGUCGAGCAGAUCCUGGCACGCUUGGCUUCUGUCUCGCCAUAAAACAGGCUUUGAGACUUGCCGAGCCUUUGCAUGCCUUGGAUUCUUCAAGGAUUGGGAUUCUGCUCGCCUUCUCGUGGUCGAGCAGAUCCUGGCACGCUUGGCUUCUGUCUCGCCAUAAAACAGGCUUUGAGACUUGCUGAGCCUUUGCAUGCCUUUGAUUCUUCAAGGAUUGGGAUUCUGCUCGCCUUCUCGUGGUCGAGCAGAUCCUGGCACGCUUGGCUUCUGUCUCGUCAUAAAACAGGCUUUGAGACUUGCCGAGCCUUUGCAUGCCUUUGAUAAUUUCUUGAAUGCUUUGGAGUCUGCUUGCCUUCUCGUGGUCGAGCAUAUCCUAGCACGCUUGGCUUCUGUCUCGCCAUAAAACAGGCUUUGAGACUUGCUGAGCCUUUGCAUGCCGUUGAUUGUUCAAGGAUUGGGAUUCGGCUCGCCUUCUCGUGGUGGAGCAGAUCCUGGCACGCUUGGCUUCUGUCUCGUCAUAAAACAGGCUUUGAGACUUGAUGAGCCUUUGCAUGCCUUUGAUAAUUUCUUGAAUGCUUUGGAGUCUGCUGGCCUUCUCGUGGUCGAGCAUAUCCUGGCACGCUUGGCUUCUGUCUCGCCAUAAAACAAGCUUUGAGACUUGCUGAGCCUUUGCAUGCCUUUGAUAAUUUCUUGAAUGCUUUGGAUUCUGCUCGCCUUCUCGUGGUCGAGCAGAUCCUGGCACGCUUGGCUUCUGUCUCGCCAUAAAACAGGCUUUGAGACUUGCUGAGCCUUUGCAUGCCGUUGAUUGUUCAAGGAUUGGGAUUCGGCUCGCCUUCUCGUGGUCGAGCAGAUCCUGGCACGCUUGGCUUCUGUCUCGCCAUAAAACAGGCUUUGAGACUUGCUGAGCCUUUGCAUGCCUUCAAUUCUUCAAGGAUUGGGAUUCUGCUCGCCUUCUCGUGGUCGAGCAGAUCCUGGCACGCUUGGCUUCUGUCUCGCCAUAAAACAGGCUUUGAGACUUGCUGAGCCUUUGCAUGCCUUUGAUUCUUCAAGGAUUGGGAUUCUGCUCGCCUUCUCGUGGUCGAGCAGAUCCUGGCACGCUUGGCUUCUGUCUCGCCAUAAAACAGGCUUUGAGACUUGCCGAGCCUUUGCAUGCCUUUGAUUCGUCAAGGAUUGGGAUUCUGCUUGCCUUCUCGUGGUCGAGCAGAUCCUGGCACGCUUGGCUUCUGUCUCGCCAUAAAACAGGCUUUGAGACUUGCUGAGCCUUUGCAUGCCUUUGAUUGUUCAAGGAUUGGGAUUCGGCUCUCCUUCUCGUGGUCGAGCAGAUCCUGGCACGCUUGGCUUCUUUCUCGCCAUAAAACAAGCUUUGAGACUUGCCGAGCCUUUGCAUGCCUUUGAUUCUUCAAGGAUUGAGAUUCUGCUCGCCUUCUCGUGGUCGAGCAGAUCCUGGCACGCUUGGCUUCUGUCUCGCCAUAAAACAGGCUUUGAGACUUGCUGAGCCUUUGCAUGCCUUUGAUUGUUCAAGGAUUGGGAUUCGGCUCGCCUUCUCGUGGUGGAGCAGAUCCUGGCACGCUUGGCUUCUGUCUCGUCAUAACACAAGCUUUGAGACUUGAUGAGCCUUUGCAUGCCUUUGAUAAUUUCUUGAAUGCUUUGGAGUCUGCUCGCCUUCUCGUGGUCGAGCAUAUCCUGGCACGCUUGGCUUCUGUCUCGCCAUAAAACAGGCUUUGAGACUUGCUGAGCCUUUGCAUGCCUUCAAUUCUUCAAGGAUUGGGAUUCUGCUCGCCUUCUCGUGGUCGAGCAGAUCCUGGCACGCUUGGCUUCUGUCUCACCAUAAAACAGGCUUUGAGACUUGCUGAGCCUUUGCAUGCCUUUGAUUCUUCAAAGAUUGGGAUUCUGCUCGCCUUCUCGUGGUCGAGCAGAUCCUGGCACGCUUGGCUUCUUUCUCGCCAUAAAACAGGCUUUGAGACUUGCCGAGCCUUUGCAUGCCUUUGAUUCUUCAAGGAUUGGGAUUCUGCUCGCCUUCUCGUGGUCGAGCAGAUCCUGGCACGCUUGGCUUCUGUCUCGCCAUAAAAUAGGCUUUGAGACUUGCUGAGCCUUUGCAUGCCUUUGAUUGUUCAAGGAUUGGGAUUCUGCUCGCCUUCUCGUGGUCGAGCAGAUCCUGGCACGCUUGGCUUCUGUCUCGCCAUAAAAUAGGCUUUGAGACUUGCUGAGCCUUUGCAUGCCUUUGAUUGUUCAAGGAUUGUGAUUCGGCUUGCCUUCUCGUGGUCGAGCAGAUCCUGGCACGCUUGGCUUCUGUCUCACCAUAAAACAGGCUUUGAGACUUGCUGAGCCUUUGCAUGCCUUUGAUUCUUCAAAGAUUGGGAUUUUGCUCGCCUUCUCGUGGUCGAGCAGAUCCUGGCACGCUUGGCUUCUGUCUCGCCAUAAAACAGGCUUUGAGACUUGCCGAGCCUUUGCAUGCCUUUGAUUCUUCAAGGAUUGGGAUUCUGCUCGCCUUCUCGUGGUCGAGCAGAUCCUGGCACGCUUGGCUUCUGUCUCGCCAUAAAAUAGGCUUUGAGACUUGCUGAGCCUUUGCAUGCCUUUGAUUGUUCAAGGAUUGUGAUUCGGCUUGCCUUCUCGUGGUCAAGCAGAUCCUGGCACGCUUGGCUUCUGUCUCGCCAUAAAACAGGCUUUGAGACUUGCUGAGCCUUUGCAUGCCUUCAAUUCUUCAAGGAUUGGGAUUCUGCUCGCCUUCUCGUGGUCGAGCAGAUCCUGGCACGCUUGGCUUCUGUCUCACCAUAAAACAGGCUUUGAGACUUGCUGAGCCUUUGCAUGCCUUUGAUUCUUCAAAGAUUGGGAUUCUGCUCGCCUUCUCGUGGUCGAGCAGAUCCUGGCACGCUUGGCUUCUGUCUCGCCAUAAAACAGGCUUUGAGACUUGCCGAGCCUUUGCAUGCCUUUGAUUCUUCAAGGAUUGGGAUUCUGCUCGCCUUCUCGUGGUCGAGCAGAUCCUGGCACGCUUGGCUUCUGUCUCGCCAUAAAACAGGCUUUGAGACUUGCCGAGCCUUUGCAUGCCUUUGAUUCUUCAAAGAUUGGGAUUCUGCUUGCCUUCUCGUGGUCGAGCAGAUCCUGGCACGCUUGGCUUCUGUCUCGCCAUAAAACAGGCUUUGAGACUUGCCGAGCCUUUGCAUGCCUUUGAUUCUUCAAGGAUUGGGAUUCUGCUCGCCUUCUCGUGGUCGAGCAGAUCCUGGCACGCUUGGCUUCUGUCUCGCCAUAAAAAUAGGCUUUGAGACUUGCUGAGCCUUUGCAUGCCUUUGAUUGUUCAAGGAUUGUGAUUCGGCUUGCCUUCUCGUGGUCAAGCAGAUCCUGGCACGCUUGGCUUCUGUCUCACCAUAAAACAGGCUUUGAGACUUGCUGAGCCUUUGCAUGCCUUCAAUUCUUCAAGGAUUGGGAUUCUGCUCGCCUUCUCGUGGUCGAGCAGAUCCUGGCACGCUUGGCUUCUGUCUCACCAUAAAACAGGCUUUGAGACUUGCUGAGCCUUUGCAUGCCUUUGAUUCUUCAAAGAUUGGGAUUCUGCUCGCCUUCUCGUGGUCGAGCAGAUCCUGGCACGCUUGGCUUCUGUCUCGCCAUAAAACAGGCUUUGAGACUUGCCGAGCCUUUGCAUGCCUUUGAUUCUUCAAGGAUUGGGAUUCUGCUCGCCUUCUCGUGGUCGAGCAGAUCCUGGCACGCUUGGCUUCUGUCUCGCCAUAAAACAGGCUUUGAGACUUGCUGAGCCUUUGCAUGCCUUUGAUUCUUCAAGGAUUGGGAUUCUGCUCGCCUUCUCGUGGUCGAGCAGAUCCUGGCACGCUUGGCUUCUGUCUCGUCAUAAAACAGGCUUUGAGACUUGCCGAGCCUUUGCAUGCCUUUGAUAAUUUCUUGAAUGCUUUGGAGUCUGCUUGCCUUCUCGUGGUCGAGCAUAUCCUAGCACGCUUGGCUUCUGUCUCGCCAUAAAACAGGCUUUGAGGCUUGCUGAGCCUUUGCAUGCCGUUGAUUGUUCAAGGAUUGGGAUUCGGCUCGCCUUCUCGUGGUGGAGCAGAUCCUGGCACGCUUGGCUUCUGUCUCGCCAUAAAAUAGGCUUUGAGACUUGCUGAGCCUUUGCAUGCCUUUGAUUGUUCAAGGAUUGUGAUUCGGCUUGCCUUCUCGUGGUCAAGCAGAUCCUGGCACGCUUGGCUUCUGUCUCACCAUAAAACAGGCUUUGAGACUUGCUGAGCCUUUGCAUGCCUUCAAUUCUUCAAGGAUUGGGAUUCUGCUCGCCUUCUCGUGGUCGAGCAGAUCCUGGCACGCUUGGCUUCUGUCUCGUCAUAAAACAGGCUUUGAGACUUGAUGAGCCUUUGCAUGCCUUUGAUAAUUUCUUGAAUGCUUUGGAGUCUGCUUGCCUUCUCGUGGUCGAGCAUAUCCUGGCACGCUUGGCUUCUUACUCGCCAUAAAACAGGCUUUGAGACUUGCCGAGCCUUUGCAUGCUUUUGAUUCUUCAAGGAUUGGGAUUCUGCUCGCCUUCUCGUGGUCGAACAGAUCCUAGCAUGCUUGGCUUCUGUCUCGCCAUAAAACAGGCUUUGAGACUUGUUGAGCCUUUGCAUGCCUUUGAUUCUUCAAGGAUUGGGAUUCGGCUCGCCUUCUCGUGGUCGAGCAGAUCCUGGCACGCUUGGCUUCUGUCUCGCCAUAAAACAGGCUUUGAGACUUGCUGAGCCUUUGCAUGCCUUUGAUUCUUCAAGGAUUGGGAUUCUGCUCGCCUUCUCGUGGUCGAGCAGAUCCUGGCACGCUUGGCUUCUGUCUCGCCAUAAAACAGGCUUUGAGACUUGCCGAGCCUUUGCAUGCCUUUGAUUCUUCAAGGAUUGGGAUUCUGCUCGCCUUCUCGUGGUCGAGCAGAUCCUGGCACGCUUGGCUUCUGUCUCGCCAUAAAACAGGCUUUGAGACUUGCUGAGCCUUUGCAUGCCGUUGAUUGUUCAAGGAUUGGGAUUCGGCUCGCCUUCUCGUGGUGGAGCAGAUCCUGGCACGCUUGGCUUCUGUCUCGUCAUAAAACAGGCUUUGAGACUUGAUGAGCCUUUGCAUGCCUUUGAUAAUUUCUUGAAUGCUUUGGAGUCUGCUUGCCUUCUCGUGGUCGAGCAUAUCCUGGCACGCUUGGCUUCUGUCUCGCCAUAAAACAGGCUUUGAGACUUGCCGAGCCUUUGCAUGCCUUUGAUUCUUCAAGGAUUGGGAUUCUGCUCGCCUUCUCGUGGUCGAGCAGAUCCUGGCACGCUUGGCUUCUGUCUCGCCAUAAAACAGGCUUUGAGACUUGCUGAGCCUUUGCAUGCCGUUGAUUGUUCAAGGAUUGGGAUUCGGCUCGCCUUCUCGUGGUCGAGCAGAUCCUGGCACGCUUGGCUUCUGUCUCGCCAUAAAACAGGCUUUGAGACUUGCUGAGCCUUUGCAUGCCUUCAAUUCUUCAAGGAUUGGGAUUCUGCUCGCCUUCUCGUGGUCGAGCAGAUCCUGGCACGCUUGGCUUCUGUCUCGCCAUAAAACAGGCUUUGAGACUUGCCGAGCCUUUGCAUGCCUUUGAUUCUUCAAGGAUUGGGAUUCUGCUCGCCUUCUCGUGGUCGAGCAGAUCCUGGCACGCUUGGCUUCUGUCUCGCCAUAAAACAGGCUUUGAGACUUGCCGAGCCUUUGCAUGCCUUUGAUUCGUCAAGGAUUGGGAUUCUGCUUGCCUUCUCGUGGUCGAGCAGAUCCUGGCACGCUUGACUUCUGUCUCGCCAUAAAACAGGCUUUGAGACUUGCUGAGCCUUUGCAUGCCUUUGAUUGUUCAAGGAUUGGGAUUCGGCUCUCCUUCUCGUGGUCGAGCAGAUCCUGGCACGCUUGGCUUCUUUCUCGCCAUAAAACAAGCUUUGAGACUUGCCGAGCCUUUGCAUGCCUUUGAUUCUUCAAGGAUUGAGAUUCUGCUCGCCUUCUCGUGGUCGAGCAGAUCCUGGCACGCUUGGCUUCUGUCUCGCCAUAAAACAGGCUUUGAGACUUGCUGAGCCUUUGCAUGCCUUUGAUUGUUCAAGGAUUGGGAUUCGGCUCGCCUUCUCGUGGUGGAGCUGAUCCUGGCACGCUUGGCUUCUGUCUCGUCAUAAAACAGGCUUUGAGACUUGAUGAGCCUUUGCAUGCCUUUGAUAAUUUCUUGAAUGCUUUGGAGUCUGCUCGCCUUCUCGUGGUCGAGCAUAUCCUGGCACGCUUGGCUUCUGUCUCGCCAUAAAACAGGCUUUGAAACUUGCUGAGCCUUUGCAUGCCUUCAAUUCUUCAAGGAUUGGGAUUCUGCUCGCCUUCUCGUGGUCGAGCAGAUCCUGGCACGCUUGGCUUCUGUCUCACCAUAAAACAGGCUUUGAGACUUGCUGAGCCUUUGCAUGCCUUUGAUUCUUCAAAGAUUGGGAUUCUGCUCGCCUUCUCGUGGUCGAGCAGAUCCUGGCACGCUUGGCUUCUGUCUCGCCAUAAAACAGGCUUUGAGACUUGCCGAGCCUUUGCAUGCCUUUGAUUCUUCAAGGAUUGGGAUUCUGGUCGCCUUCUCGUGGUCGAGCAGAUCCUGGCACGCUUGGCUUCUGUCUCGCCAUAAAAUAGGCUUUGAGACUUGCUGAGCCUUUGCAUGCCUUUGAUUGUUCAAGGAUUGUGAUUCGGCUUGCCUUCUCGUGGUCAAGCAGAUCCUGGCACGCUUGGCUUCUGUCUCGCCAUAAAACAGGCUUUGAGACUUGAUGAGCCUUUGCAUGCCUUAGGAAAUUUUCACAGUUUCAAGCGAAUGAAAUUCCUCAUUGAUUCAUUUAUUGCUGAGUUCGGCUUACAUGAGGUUGGUUUGAAAUAAGAAAUCAAAAAUAGAAAACAACGGACACGAACAGAAAAAAAAAAAACUUUAAAACAUGAAUAAGUCUUACUAGAAAUAUUUCCUGAGGUGUGCCGCGCUCCAUGGACGUUUCACCUCGUGGCCCUCCGUGCGAACCAACUUGUAGACUCCGGGUCCAACUAGCUGCCUUUCCCGGCUUCCACUCGGGUACCAAGGUAUGUUAUCUGCAUUGCUUCCCUUGCUGCCGAGGAGUAACAAGUUCGUGCGAUUCUCUGGUCUCCUCGUACCACUCCAACUACCCCAUUCACCCGGUACUUGAGAGCCAGAUAAUGGUUGGACAGCACCGCUUUGCUCAUCCUCAGAAAUGGCCGACCUAGGAUCAUCUGAUAAGGACCUUCCUCAUCCACUACCACAAAGUCCAGUAUCAUUGUCCUUUCUGUCGGGGAGCUCCCAAUCGUGAUAGGCAGCUCGACCACGCCCAGAGGGACCAGCUUUCCUCUUCCAAACCCCUUCAAGGAGGUAUUGGUGUAUUCCAACUUCCGGUCUACUAUUCCCAUCUCCUCCAAGGUUGACUUAAAUAAUACAUCAACUGAACUCCCUGUAUCAACCAGUAUCCGGUCACACUUCUUGCUAGCGACAGUAGCCUUGAUGACUAAAGCAUCCUCGUGGGGGUAUAGAAUUCCUUCCUCAUCUUCAUCCGUCCACAUGAUUGGCACUUGCCUGACCCUUGCUCGUUUGGCUGCUGGGGUGUUGAAGAAUACCUCUUUACUAGUCAUGGCGUAUCUAGCAUAGUUCUUCCUAGAUCUGUUGGAAUCUCCAGCCAAUGUCGGGCCCCCAGCAAUCACCCUUACUGUAGGCUGCUCGUGCCUCAAAUUUCUGCCACUCUGCUCCCCUUCACAUGUCGAGGCCACCAUCGGGAAAGUCCCAUCUACAAACUCGUCCAGGUACCGAUUUCUCACCAAAUCUUCAACCUGGGUCUUGAGAUCUUUGCAUUCUGCAGUGGUAUGGCCAUGAGUGCCAUAGAACUUACAAUGGCGUCCCCUAUCCCUCCUGCUGGGUAGCUUUGUUAUUAGGGCAGGGAGGUACAGCAAUCCUCGGUCCUUUAUGGCCUCGUAUACUUUGUCCAGGGACAUCUUCAAGGAGGUGUAUCGCCCAUACUCCUGGUUUUGGUCAAUCAGGUGCACAGCCCUUUCUCUAUUUGCUCCGUUUUGAGUUGGAGGCGAUGGCAGCAUUUCUGGUCUGCUCCCUCUACUACUGUGGGAGUGUUGAUGAAGACCACCAUAUGCCGAAUCAUGCCUUCUCCAAGGCUCCCUAGCUGGGGAACGAGGAGGGUGCGCCCUGCUGCGCUGAUACUGUGGUGGCCUCUGAUGAGGCUGGUGAGCUGUUAUCCGACCUCCUGUUCCACUACCUGAGGCCUGGAGGUCCCUCCUCCUGAUCGGCCCAUUUCCCGGUAAUGCCCUCUUCUCUUUCUUUUCCAGCCCCUCCAGCUGGUCUGUCUUAAUCCGACCUGCCUUUUCUUCCUCGAUCUCUAUGUCUCUUUUAGCCUGCUCGUAUGCGGCUGCAUACGUCUGAAUAGCUGGGCUUCUCAAGUUGUACCACAGCCUUCCUAUCUUCACUCCCUCUUUCAAUCCCCUUAGUGCCUGAGGAUGGUCGAAGGCUCCCAAAUCGAGGACAGCACGAUGAAACCUCUUGAUGAAUUCCCGAAGGGUUUCUUGCUCCCCUUGCUUCAUGCUUUUCAGCUCCAUCAUGUCAUCUUCUGGUGCCAUUGCCCCACGAAACUGCUCUGCAAACUCCUGGCACAUCUGCUCGAAGGUUUUAAUGCUCCCCCGAGGAAGUUUCUUGUACCACUCUCGUGCACGUCCCUCAAGAGAUAGUGGGAACACCCUGCACCUUUGGGAUUGAGAUAAUCCUUGUACCCCAGUUAUGUCGUUGAAACGCUCUAUGUGCACCAGCGGAUCCGUUCGUCCCGAAUACCUAAGGUCUGGGAGGCGGAAAUCUCUCGGAAUAACUGCCCUCAUGAUCUCUGCUGCGAGCGGUGAUUCUCCGUCCAGCAUUAUCCUCCAACCAGGAGCUCUGCUCCUUCCUUGCAUGUCGUCAAUUAUCUGCGCUAGUCUGCGCACUUCCUCCUCCAGCUGCACUGCGCGACUAGGGUCACGUGCUGCAGCUUGAUCCCGCUCUUGCUCUACAUCAAGCAAGUGUUGCCUCAACUCUGUUUCCUCUGCAUUUGCCACCCUGUCCACUUUAAAUCUGGUGUGGUUAAUGAACAUUUUGAGGUCACAAAAUUUGCACUACUGGAAACAAUAAAGGAAGCAGUACCAGAGAUAUGGUCACCAGAAAUGAAGAGUGCCUGGUCCGAAGCUUGCGAUCAAUUGGUUGCAGCCAUUAAGUUAGAGAUGAAGCCCUCCUCUUAGAGUUUCCUGAACAAAUUUCUCUUCCCUUGUAAUAUUAAAGAAUUUCAACAAGAUCAUUGUUUAUUUGUUAAUCUUUGCAUUGGUACCCAUGUGUGUUUCUUAUGCCUUUUUGUAUCAAUCCUUGUGUUCAACUCUUAAAUCUUAAUAAUAAAAGUUUGUUCCUAAUAUUUGCAUUUAAAUAUUAACAUGUGUGUUAGAUGAUUUGCCUCUUUGAUUCUGUUGCUUCAUUCCCGUGCAUCUAUCCAAUUAUACUGAUUAGUCCUAAACUGGUUUCAAUGCUCUUAACAAGGAAAAGCUUCAAAAUAAGCUCUUCUUUUUUAGUUGUAAGUGUGUUCUCUUCUGUUGAGUUAUUAAUGGAUCAGUGAAAAGGGCUAACAAUUCUUUUGGAAUGUGUUUGCACUAUGUAUAACAACAAUAAAUGAACUCAAAAGAUUAACGUAUAAUGAAGUUAACUUUCUAUAAUGAAGUUUGUUGUGUUUAAUUUAUAUCAUAUUUGUUCUUUUCUAUUGAUAGUGAUCCAGUUGAAAGAAAAGCAGGGGAAGAAAAAAUGGACAACAUCCAAGAAGCAUCUCAUGCCUUUAAGCCGGCAAAAAUUUCGUGCUUCUAAUGUUUUCUUGCUGCUGAAUUCUUGAAUGUAGAAGUUCAACAGUCAAUUCUCACGAACCAGUUGGCGUUUUGCAGCUUGGAAGCUCUAUACUUGAGGUUUUGCAGUUUGCAAUUUGCAGUCUGCAGAUUGUAAGUUUUGAGGGGAGUGUUAUGGUUCACGCUUGCGCAAAUAGAAGGAUAAAGAGAAUGCUCACGUGCUGCACAGGUGGAAUUAAAAGGAAAGCAAUCAAAACCAAAAAGCAAUCAAAGCAAAAGAAAAGUAAUCAAAGCAAAAAGAAAGCAAUCAAAGCAAAAUGCACCGUUUUUACCAAUAUUCCGGGGGCGGAUUCAGGGUUUAAUUCGGGGUAAAUAGCUUUUUCCCUAUUAUAAACACCUGAAGUCAAAGUUAAUGUUUUAAUUUCUUUAGUUUGGUAAAGACUGCUUAAGCUGACUUGAAAAGCUCAAAUAUAAGUUCUAUAUUAACAAAUGCCCGCAGCUUGUGAAGACAUAGAUAAUUGAAGCCGAUGAGGCAUAUUUAACAGAUGAUAAUCAAAACUAAUGUGAUUAAAAUUAUAAUUCAAUAAUUAAGCACAUAAAACAACAAGUAACUAGUUGUAUAUAUACCAAACAACAUUUUGAAGUUAAGGCGUAAAACAGCAACAUAGAACAAAUUAAUUAAAUAUACCAGCACCAAUACUCUUAUUAUUAUCCACAUAGAAAAGAACAAUAUAUCAAACAAGGAAAAUGAAAUAUUGUUAAUAACUCAAAAACCACUAGUGUCAAGGACUAGACUAAUAAGUGAAACCCAUAAUUGGAGGAUAAUUAUGUGCACAUGAGUUCGCUUAGCAAAAGUCCGCCUAGGCGUGGAGUGCGCUUAAAAGCGGGAUGCACUUAGAAGUGAGAUGCGCUUAGCAAAUCAUCCAAGCCCAACCCAAGAUCUAGAACUCUCUGUAAAUUAUUAAUAAGCUAAAGUUUUUAUGUUUCUCCAUGUAGGUCCCUAGGAUAUUUAUGGAAGUUGCUAGGAAGUUUCCUCCCCUAGAACUCUAAUACCUAUAAAUAGGGGUGGGCCGCCUCAUUUGCCCACCAAUCACACCACACACACAAACACUCCAGCACACACACACAAGCUCUCUAGCUUUUGCAAAAAACUCUCUUGUAUAUUCUCUCUUUGUGAGUAAUAAAAUCAUAUUCAGCCAUAUUGCUCUACAUAAAAUCAUAUUCGGCCAUAUUGCUCUACUUCUCUCUAGCAUUUUCCGCAAGUGUUCUUGCUUUGCUAGUUUGAGGAGUGGUCUAGGCUUGCUUAGCAACUUGUUUGCUACAAGGACAUCUUGGUCACAAAACAUGGACAUGCAAGGAAAAAAAAAUAUUGAUACGUUCUAAAAAUAAUACGCAUUCUUCUACAGUGAACCAAAAAAUUUAGGCUAAUGGUAGCAAGUGAAGGAAUUGUGAUUUCACGUGCAUUUUGUUGACAUGAAGGUAAAGAACUUUUUUAUAGUUUAUAUUGUUUAAUAUAACAUUUGAAUUGCAAAAUAGGGGUACAAAAUUGAUACACGAAGUGAGAAAACUAAGCUAAUUAUGAUAAAUAUUGAAUUAAAAGAUUUAGGUUUAAUCAUAAAGACAUAAGUGGCCCACAAAGUCAUGAAUUGAUAUCAUCCACGAUGCAAGUUCAAAAAACUGCAUAAUAAGUUGCCCCAAGCUAAACUAUUAAUCUAGUAACUAUUCUAGUCGAUGUGGGAUAAUUUUCCUAUCACCAUCUAUCACGUGCAGGCCGAAUUUGUUGCUUGGUCCUUACAUGUGGUAAGGUAAUAUGAAUCCACUUGCGCAUGAAUUUGGCUCCGAUAUUAUAUAGAAGCCUAUGACACAAAAUUAUACUUAAAGGUUAUUUCAAGAUUUGAGGGUUGCCUCAAGCUAAUAUUAUUAUUAGCCUGGUAACCCUUUUUUUUUUUGUUGAUAUGUGAUAUUUUCCCUAUAACUUUUAUUAAUCUUUAUGCUUAUGUUUUGUCAUUUAUCCCAAAAUAUAACAAUAACAAAAGUUCCAAAAUUUCCUUCAAGAGAUAUAUUUGAGACAAGUAAUUUGUGCAAUAACUUUGUGAAUUGAUGAGCAAAUUCAGAGAAAAGAAUAUAUGUGCCAAACGUAACGUUUAUUAUUGUGUUUAUUUGUAGAGCUAUUUAAAGCCCAAAAAAAAAAAAAAAGCACCGGUCCGCUAUUAUUUCAAAUAAGUUCAAGCCCUAUGUCAUUAUUGGUACAAAAAUGUAUUAGAAUGGUUAAAAACUAUUUUUAUUUAACUUAUAAACUUAGGAAAUUAUCAACUGUUCACCCUUAAAUUGCAUUGUUAUAAAAAAUAUUACAACAUUUUCAGGUUGUAUCAUUCAUCUACCAUAAAUUUACAAUUUGCAUCAUUUAUCCACCAAAUCAUUAACUUCGUUAAAAAGUGAUAGACGUCACAAGGGUAAUUUAGACAUUUAACACACAAAAAAAAUAAAAGAGAAAUUAUCUAAGCUUACCAUGUUAUCAAAAUUGCUACAAAAUUUUAAAUUUAUUCAAUUUUCCAAUCUAAGUUUAUGACCUCCAAGAUGUUAAUUGCAGUUUGUAAUUAAUGACUUCAUAAGGAUAAUUUAGACACUCAAUAUGCAAAAUAAAAAAUAAAAUAAUGGCUUAAAACAUUAAAACAAAAAACUACUUUUUAUAAUUGAUAUUCAAUUAAAUACACAUAAACUCUAUUUUUUUCUUAAUUAAAAAAAUUCUAAUUUAUUUUCUCAAUUUAUCAUCAUAAAUUUACAUUAAUAAACUAAAUCCACAAAUUACCCUAAACCCUAAUUCAUAAAUGCCCAAUCAAUCUAAUAGUUUAAUUCGAUUUCAUAAUUAAAAAAGCUAAAUUUAUUAUAUUAGUUGUGGUGCAAAGUCAAAAAUGCCCUUAAAUUCAAGGUAAAAUAACAUUUUAUGUAAAUUCUAUAAAUUAUUCUAACAAUGUUAACAUUUUGGUGGACGGUUAAUAUAAGUUACAAACUUAAAAUAGAAAAUCAAAUAAAUUCAAAAUUUCAAACUAUUUAGGGCAAAUUUAGGAUAUAUGGUUAAUAAUUUUCCCAUGUCUUUUUACAUUGGUUGAUAUAAGUUACAAACUUAAAAUAGAAAAUCAAAUAAAUUUAUAUUUUCAAACUAUUUAGGACAAACUUAGGGUAUAUGGUUAAUAAUUUUUCUUUAUCUUUUUACGUUAAAUUGAGUUUCAAAGGUAAAAUGAUCAAUUUAUUAUAAUUCUAUUCAUUUUUUAGUGGAAGCAAAUGAUAUAAUGGACGAGUGAUAUAAAUUGUAAAAUUCUAUUCAUUUAAAGUGCAUGAAUGAUACAACUUUAAAGUAUUGUAGUAAUUUUAAUAAUAGAACAAUUUAAGGGUGGAUUGGCAAUAAUUUAAACUUUAAUGAAGCAACUAAAAAAAUUUGUUAACAAAGAAAAAUAAUUGAAUGCUUGGUGAAACCAAAAGUAAUUGAAAAGCUUUAAGAAAAAUAAAGGAAAUUAAAUAUCUUUAUAAAAACAUAAUUGAGUAAAAUCAUUUUACAAAAUGCUCUUUCAAAUGCACAUUCCACAAGCCAGGGAGAACGGGUGGCUAACAAAAAUGUCACUUUUUAUGAGUUUAUAAAAUCUCACUUUCGCUAAAUUAAAAAAUAACCAAUACUAAUGACACAAAAAAUAAAAAUUAUUGCUGUCACGACAUUACACACUUUCUUCGCAGUUUAGAAAGGUGGAACAUUUUGAAGUUCCUCAAUACAAAAUGCGUGCUACUACUAAAUUGGCCCAAUUAAUGCCCAUCGAAAAGGCCAUCAAUUUAGCCGCCAAUUUUGUCAAAAUUUCAACAAUUGAAGAAAUAAUGAGCACAAAUGGAAAAAAAAAAUCAUAAAGCUACCAAAAGGAACCACAAAAUCAUCAAUAUUAUCGUUUAAUAUGGGGAACGGCCUGCGCAUCCAAAUUGUGCGAACUGAACACGUUGAAAUGUGUUUUUUUUUUUGGAUUUUUGGAAUUUUUUAAAAUCAUUUAUGUUCGCUGCCAUCUUUUUCUUCGCUGGCGUCUUCAUUGGCAUCCCUCUCUUGGCUGGCAUCUGCCUCGUCUGCAGUUUGCUGUGCCUAUAUAUCCAACCAAUAAAUUGGGCAUUAAAUACGAAUGAUGAAUAAAAUGAUUAAAAACAAACAGAGAAAAUUAUAAUAUAACACAUAUAUAUUGAAAGAGAAAUUUUGAUUUUAGGAUAGAUCAAUUAGCUAUCACAAACGAAAACAUGUACCAACUAUGUAUAGAGUCAAUUAACUAAAGUUCUCAAGAGUUGACCUGUGCUCCUGAAUCCUUGGAAUCAUCUAUCUCCUUCUGAAUUUCCACGAAGCCUGGGACAAUCUUGAACAACAACGUUAAAGGAUGGAAUUGAGAUCUGAUAACCCGCAGGCCAAAUGUUGGUGAGGUUUGGUAAGUUUAUCAGUUCCACCCGAAGUUCAUUCAUAACAAUUUCAUUGUAAUCCGUGACGUCUGCUCCAUCUUUAUGCCAGAAUACUUCUUCUAAUUCAUCAUUAGCUGCUAUGUUUAGGUUCUUCAGUUUUUGAAGACUUGGAGCUACGCUGAUAUGAAAUAGAUGCUUUAGUUUGGGGCAAUAAGCGACAGUGAUCUCUGUGAGUUUUGGGAAACAUACAGGUUGGAGAUGAUCCUCAUCCUCAUCCUCAUCAAUGAUUUGCUCUAAUUCCCAGCAAUUGCGAAUGUAUAACUCCUUCAAACAUGGGAAUAGUUUGUUUUCUGGUCCCUCAGCGAUAAUAGCUUCCAAUUGAAAUACCACCUGUACUCCAAUUUCCCUAAUAUGCAAUUCUUCCAAAUUUUUUAAUCCGUGCUUCAACAGUGCUGGAAUCGUGUCACUCAAAUGGGAACAAUUGUCCACAUCUAGAGUAUUUAAGUUCUGAGACAAAUAAAUAAAUAACUUGAUGCAAUUAAAAUUUAUUAGCAGCUAGGAUUAUCACAUGAUAAGUGAUGAACACCGCAAAAAUAUCAUAAUACAUAUGUAAACUAAUAAAAUAAUUAAAAAGUAAUGGAUUUAAAAAAAAUGAAAUUAGUUAAAAGAGAUCAUGUGAAGUGAUAUAAAUGUGACAGUAGAUUGUUUUAGAAAAAAAUAUUAUUCUAUUAAUUUAUAUGGCUUGAUAAACUAUUUAAUUGAAUUUGAAUAAUAUUAUAUACACUUCUGAAGUAUUUGCAUCAAUUCUUUCUAAACCAAAAUGAGAUAUGACUUUCAUUUGAAGAAUGGUUUUAGGCCCUAUAAUAAAGAAAUUUUCCUAAGAUAUCUGAGCAUUAUUAUUAUCAUUACCACAUCCACCACCACCAUCAUCAUCUCCAUAGGAUCAAAUAAUUGUCAAAAGUCAUGGCUGGCAUCGGCCAUCUAGAUGGCCAGUGCCAUGCGAUUCAACACGGCCCACCAUUAUUGGUGGUGCCGCGUUGACUUAUUCUAUAAAAAAAAAAAAGGAGCCAAAAUUUUGGCUAUAUAAAGAGGGCUUCCCACCCUCAUUUUGCAUUCCAUUACGAGAGAGCAAUUUAGUAGUUGAGAGAGAGUUUAGAGAGCUUGAAAUUAUAAAGCUUUUGUUAUAGUGAUUUAGAGAGUUUGGGUGUAUUGAGAUUUUUGGGAAGUGAGCUAAAAUACUACAAUACUUGUAACUCCUUUUCACUAGUAAAAUAUUUCCUUCUGUUUUUGCCCGUGGACGUAGGCUAAAAGCCGAACCACAUAAAUUCUGGUGUCCUCUAUUAUGCUUGUUCUUUAUUUUCUUCCAAUUUCACUUUAGCUGCUUGUCUGCUUCACCCACCAAUUUCCUAACAGUGGUAUCAGAGCUAUUGGUUGUAUUUUUUUGAGUCGGGUACUGUUCACGUAAGGGGUACUAUUCACGUAUACGGUACUAUUCACGUAUACAGUACUAUUCACGUAUACGGUACUAUUCAUGUAUACAGUACUAUUCACGUGAAACGGUGGGAGCGAUCCAAGAAUUUUACGGUGCAAAGCAGGGAAUAGUGGUGUGAGUAAAACAACUGUGUGGUUUUGUACAUGUCUAGGAAAGUUAUGUCACAAAGGCGAUAAGAGCUUAAGGAGUCUGGGUUUUAAGUGGGACCAUUGUGACCCCUCCAGUCUUUCCUGGGAACUUUCCUGGUGUGCAUUCUCACACAUACUUACAACUAUUCAAGGUGGUACACUAGUUUGUGUGCGGUAUUUAUCAACAAAAUGGCGGCAAAGUAUGAAAUUGAGAAAUUUAACAGAAACAAUUUUUCGUUGUGGAAAAUGAAGAUGAAAGCUGUAUUGAGGAAAAAUAAUUGCUUGGCAGGAAUUGGAGAAAGGCCCAUGGAGAUAACUGAUGACAAGUGGAAUGAGAUAGAUGGCAACGCCAUUUCUGAUCUACACUUGGCACUUGCAGAUGGAGUAUUAUCCAGUGUGGCAGAGAAAAAUACAGCGAAGGAAAUAUGGGAUACUCUUACAAAAUUGUACGAGGCCAAGUCACUACACAACAAAAUCUUCUUGAAGAGGAAACUUUAUACUCUUCGAAUGACGGAAUCUACAAUGGUGACCGACCACAUCAACACCUUGAAGACUCUAUUUUCACAACUCACAACGUUGGGUCAUAAUAUAGAGGAGAAUGAACGAGCAGAGCUUCUACUUCAAAGUCUAUCAGAUUCGUAUGAUCAACUCAUCAUCAACCUAACGAAUAAUAAUCCAGUGGACAAUCUAGUUUUCGACGAUGUUGCAGUCUCCGUAUUAAAUAAGGAGAGUAGGCGGAAAAAUAAAGAAAACAGACAAGCAAGUUCACAGCAAGCGGAGGCGCUAUCGGUGACGAGAGGGAGAUCAACAGAACGUGGCCCCAGUGAGAGCCACAAUCAUGGUAGAUCAAAAUCCAAAAGUAAGAAGAAUAUUAAAUGCUACAACUGUGGCAAGAAAGGGCACAUCAAGAAAAAGUGUUGGAGUAACCAGAAGAGAAGAGAGGGCAAAGAACCUGAGUAAUCAAAUGCUCAGGGUUGUGUAGCAAGUACCUCGGAUGAUGGCGAAAUUCUCUACAGUGAGGCAACAACUGUUUCAGAAGGCAGAAAACGACUAUUUGAUGUCUAGCUUAUAGACUCAGGAGCUACCUGGCAUAUGACCUCUCGGAGAGAAUGGUUCCACACAUAUGAACUUAUCUAAGGAGGAUCUGUAUAUAUGGGUAAUGAUCAUGCCUUGGAGAUCGCUGGUAUUGGUACUAUCAAAAUAAAAAUGUUUGAUGGUACAAUUCGCACAAUUGGGAAGGUACGACAUGUCAACGGCCUGAAGAAAAAUCUAUUGUCUUUGGGACAAAUGGAUAGUUAUGGGUAUAAAACUCAUGUGGAGAAUGUAAUUAUGAAGAUCGUUAAAGGAGCGCUUGUAUUAAUGAAGGCAUAAAAGAUCAGUGCUAAUCUAUUCAUGCUUAAAGGAGAAACACUACAGGAGGCUGAUGCGUGUGUCGCAUUUAAUGGAGAAGAAUCAACGAUGAUGUGGCAUCUCAAACUUGGCCACAUGUCAGAACAAGGUUUGAAGAUUCUCUCUGAGCGAAAAUUGCUUCUGGGGCUCAAAUCGGUAAGUUUACCAUUUUGCGAUCAUUGUGUUACAAGUAAGCAGUAUAGAUUAAAAUUUAGUAGAUCUAUUGCUAGAAGUAAAUGCAUUCUAGACUUGAUUCAUUUUGAUGUUUGGGAAUCACCGGAUAUAUCCAUGGGAGGUGCAAAGUACAUGGUGACUUUCAUUGAUGAUUAUUCCAGAAAAUGUUGGGUGUAUCCAAUUAAGAAAAAGUCAGAUGUAUUUCCAGUGUUUAAAGAAUACAAAGCGCGGGUGGAACUUGAAUCUGGUAAAAAGAUCAAGUGCUUGAGGACAGAUAAUGGUGGAGAGUAUACAGACGGCGAGUUUCUUGCUUUCUGUAAGCAAGAAGGUAUUCAGAGACAGUUCACGCUAGCAUACACUCCUCAACAAAACGGAGUGGCGAAGCGGAUGAACAGAACUCUUACAGAAAAAAUAAAAGCUAUGUUGAGGACUGCUGGUCUACCCAAUUUAUUCUGGGCAGAAGCAGCCAAAACUGCUUGUUAUAUAGUAAAUCGGUCGCCAUCUACAGUUAUUGGGCUGAAGACAGCGAUGGAGAUGUGGACUGGAAAGCCAGCUGAUUAUUCAUACCUACAUGCAUUUUGAUGUCCUGUGUAUGUGAUGUACAAUGCCCAAGAAAGAAAAAAACUGGAUCCAAAAUCUAGAAAAUGUAUCUUCUUGGGAUAUGCUGAUGGAGUAAAGGGGUAUCGUCUGUGGGACCCCACUGCCCACAAGAUCGUCAUCAGCAGAGAUGUUAUAUUUAUAGAAGAUCAACUGCAAAGGAAAGAUGAGGAUGAUAGCACUAUAAAAGAAAAGUCAGAGACUGUACCGGUAUAUGUGAAAAAUAAUCCAGAAGAUUCAUAUUCUUCUGAAGCAGCACCAGAGCACGAGGAACAAGAACCAGUCGAGUCCGAGGCUCAAGAAGUUCGUCGAUCAACUCGUGAGAGACGACCGCCAACGUGGCACUCGGAGUAUGUUACAGAGAUCAACGUUGCAUACUGUCUUCUAACAGAGAAUGGAGAGCCUUCAACUUUCCAUGAAGCUUUAAACAACUCAGAUGUUACUUUGUGGAUGACAGCAAUGCAGGAAGAAAUUGAGGCUCUACACAAGAACAAGACAUGGGAACUUGUACCACUACCACGUGGAAGAAAAGCCAUUGGAAACAAAUGGGUCUACAAGAUCAAACGUGAUGGCAAUGACCAAGUGAAGCGGUAUCGUGCGAGAUUGGUGGUGAAAGGAUAUGCUCAGAAAAAAAGUAUUGACUUCAACGAGAUAUUUUUACUGGUGGUUCGACUCAUAACAGUCAGAGUAGUCUUGGUGAUGUGUGCUACAUUUGACUUACAUCUUGACCAGUUAGAUGUGAAAACUGCAUUUCUUCAUGGAGAACUUGAAGAAGAAAUAUAUAUGCUCCAACCAGAAGGUUUUGCAGAAACAGGAAAGGAGAACUUGGUUUGCAGGUUGAACAAAUCUCCAUACGGUCUUAAACAGGUGCCGAGGUGUUGGUAUAAGAGAUUUGAUUCCUUCAUUGUGAGUCUUGGAUACAAUAGACUCAGUUCAGACUAUUGUGCAUAUUACAAGAGGUUUGAAGACAAUGAUUUCAUUAUUUUACUGUUGUAUGUGGAUGACAUGUUGGUAGCAGGCCCCAACAAAAAUCAAAUCCAAGAAUUGAAGGCACAGUUGGCUAGGGAGUUUGAAAUGAAGGACUUGGGACCAGCAAACAAGAUUUUAGGGAUGCAAAUUCACCGAGACAGAAAUAACAGGAAGAUUUGGCUUUCGCAGGAGAAUUACUUGAAGAAAAUAUUGCGGCGCUUCAACAUGCAAGAUUGUAAGUCAAUUUCUACCCUACUUCCUGUUAAUUUCAAACUAUCCUCAAGUAUGUGUCCUAGCAAUGAAGCAGAGAGGAAGGAGAUGUCUCGAGUAUCGUAUGCAUCAGCAGUGGGAAGUUUGAUGUUCGCUAUGAUAUGUACAAGACCAGACAUUGCACAAGCAGUGGGAGCAGUCAGUCGAUACAUGGCGAAUCCUAGUGGAGAGCAUUGGAUAGCUGUGAAGAGGAUUAUGAGAUACAUCAGAGGAACCAUCAGAUGUUGCAUUAUGUUAUGGAGGAUCAGAGUUUACUGUCAGGGGCUAUGUGGAUUCAGAUUUUGCAGGAGACCUUGAUAAAAUGAAAUCUACUACUGGUUAUGUGUUUACACUUGUGGGAGCAGCUGUAAGCUGUGUUUCAAAACUGCAGACCGUUGUAGUUUUAUCUACGACAGAAGCAGAAUACAUGGAAGCUACACAAGCUUGCAAGGAAGCUAUUUGGAUACAAAGGUUAUUGGAGGAGCUCGGGCACAAACAACAGAAAAUUCCUGUGUUUUGUGACAGUCAGAAUGCCUUGCACAUUGCAAGGAAUCCAGCCUUUCAUUCCAGGACAAAGCACAUAGGAGUUCAGUAUCACUUCGUUCGUGAAGUAAUGGAAGAUGGAAGUGUGGAUUUGCAGAAAAUCCAUACCAAAGAGAACCUAGCAGAUGUUUUGACCAAGCCGAUAAAUACUGAUAAGUUUGUUUGGAGUAGAUCUUCUUGUGGCCUAGCAGCAACAUAAGCAACAUGACUACGACGAAGCAGAAAGGAUAAUGUGGAGAUUGAUUAAUUCUCAAUCUAAUCUCCAAGUGGGAGAAUGUCAAAAGUCAUGGCUGGCACCGGCCAUCUAGAUGGCCAGUGCCAUGCCAUUCAACACGGCCCACCAUUAUUGGUGGUGCCGUGUUAACUUAUUCUAUUAAAAAAAAAAAGGAGCCAAAAUUUUGGCUAUAUAAAGAGGGCUUCCCACCCUCAUUUUGCAUUCCAUUAAGAGAGCAAUUUAGUAGUUGAGAGAGAGUUUAGAGAGCUUGAAAUUAUAAAGCUUUUGUUAUAGUGAUUUAGAGAGUUUGAGUGUAUUGGGAUUUUUGGGAAGUGAGCUAAAAUACUUGAUGGGUGUCGAAGCCAACAAAAAUAAAUUCCUACUCUAAAUAAAUUGUGUAUAGUGAUUGAGCAGGGUCGUGUCCACAGAGAUCGGUAAUUAUUUAAAUCCUUUUGAAACGUAAAACGUAAAAUGGGGGAAUUGUAGACAAUAAUAAAAAUCAAAUUAAAUAACAAGAAUGCAAAUUAAAGUUGUAAUUCAAAUUGGAGAAAGCUCUGGUUGAAGGAAUUAACUAAGCUUGAUUCGACUACUGAUCAUUGAUUCAAAUAUAGAUUAUUAUUACUCAUGAAUAGACCGGUUAUAGCUAUUGAGACCCUCUAAUAGCCAAUCUCUCCUUAACUAGUCGAUAACCAAGGUACGACCGUUAGUUAUUUCCCUAAUCAAUAGACAACCCUAGAUACGAUCAUAUGAUUUAAUCAAUUGACAGCCUGAAAAACCAGAGAGACCCAAAUCCUAAUCAACACAUAUGAUGAUUCAUUUAAAUUAGAUUGUUUAUUCUCACAACACAACUCUCUGCUAUGUUAUUUGUCACAAACAUUAAAUUCUUAAUACGAUGAAUCCUUUAAUUGACAAUAGAUUAAGUUGAUAAUUAAAUAGUGGUCAAUUACCUAAUUAACAAACAUAAUCAUGAAACUAAUUCAGAGAAUAAACAAAUACCCAAAAAGUAAUAAAACAAUUAAAGCAUAAGAAAGAUCUCACAGUAGUGAUGAAUCAAAGCUUCAUUAUCCUUCAACCAGAAAAAUAGGUUUAGUUCUUCAUAGAGAGAAGAGAAUCUAGGGUUUCUUUCUUCUUCUUCAAUCCAAAAAUCCCCCUUUUUCACAAUAGAUUCCUCCCUUAAAUACUCUCUCUCUCUUCUCUUUUAGAGUUCUAUUUAAAAUAAAAUACUAAUAUCUGAAAUAUUAAAUUUGUAAUUACAAAAAUAACCAAAAAUACAAAAUACGUUAAACUAAAAACUGCAGGUCCGUAGUUGACAGCACGCGCCCACGCCUUAUCAACAAAGUUCUUCUGACGCUCAUAAUUUCUCCAAGAGAACAAUCAUCAUUAAAUAUCAUCUUGUAGCUUAAUUUUAUCACCAAUCAAUAGAAUUGCACCUACAAAAGUAAAACACAAGUAAAUCACUAUUAUUAAGUGCAAAACAUCGAUAUUAAGGGAAGUAAACAAUGCAAAACUAGUGCUUAAAUUGCACUCUAACAAAUUCCCCCAUACCAAGAUGAUGCUUGUCCUCAAGCAUAUAACUCAAGACUAAUCCCAAAUCUCCACUCAAUUCUCAUCUCAACUCAUCCAAAAACAAUUUUAAGCAAGUAUACCUCAAGAAAUUAAGUCGAUCAACAUUCGAGAGACAAGGAUUUUAAAGCAUAGAAUCUCAUAAGAUAGAAUAAGAACAUUCAACCACUAAGAAGAUCCAUUCAAAAUUCAAGUGCAACAAGAUUUAAUAGCCCUCUCAUUGACUUCACUCCAUGCACUCAAAGUGUUUAGGGUGUCAUUUAUUCACUCAAAUCAAAUCAAAGAAUGCUAUUACCAUAAGCUUGCUUAUAUAUCACAUCUCAAUCCACAAAACAUGAAUUAAAUGCAAAAAUCUAAGGGUCUUAAAAGGUUGUAACGGGGUUAAAUGGGUUAAAUGAAAAAGAAAGGUUUAUGAAAGAAAAAGAGAUCAAAAUGAGAAGAAUGAACUCAUUGAACGAACUUUAUGAUAUCGAAACGCUUAUUUCUACUCAAGUCACCAAGAAUGUAAACAUUUUUUUUUUCGAUCUUUCUUUUUCUUUUUUCUUUUUUUCUUUUUUUUUUCUCUUUUUUUUGAAUCAAACAAAAGAAACGAACCUUGCACAAUUUAAUUCAAGCAUAAUGCUUGUUGAUCUAAUUGAGAAACUUUAUUACAAGGUAGAAAAAGCAACAAAAUAUAUCCACACAAUGAGUCCAAAAAUCUCCUUAAAUUGAGGCUCAAAAAGAAGAAAAAUGGUUAAGUAGACGGAGAAAAUUAGAUGGGUAAUGGUUAAGGCUCAAACAAAGAUAGCAAAUAAAGGUCUUCGAGUAGAGAAAAAAAAAUGCGAGAAUAGAAAAAUGGAAAAGGGUUUGCCCUUAUCAUUUUAAUGCAUAAAAUCCCGUAAUGCGGCUUCAACAUGCAUAACAAAGCAAGUUCUAGAAUAAACAAACUAAGAUUGAUAUUCACAUAACAAAAAUAUUAGAGCAAAGUGGUUGCUCAUAGGCUCAAAUCCUCACAAAGUUGGUAAAUUUGCCAUCAAAUCAUGUACACUCUUCAAAUGAAUCAACCAUCAAUAGUGGUGUAGAAUGAGAAGAAGGUAUGAGUGAAGGAAAGGUAAAAAUGAUAAGAAAUGAGAAAGAUGUAUGUAGUAAUAUGAAAAGUGAAAGAUAAAAUGUGAGUGAUGAAAGAAUAUGGUAAAAUAAAAAUAGAUAUGAAUAAUUUGAAAUAGAUGGGAAAAAAGUAGUGAGAAAGCGAGGAAAAGAAAAUUAAUAAUAUAUGAAGCAUACUAACUCCAAAAUCAUUUAAGGAUGAGUAGAGUGAAAAUAGAUGAGUAGAGUGAAAACAAUAAUUUCAGACAUCAAUAAUGCAAAAAUCCCUCCCCCACACCAAGAACUUACAUUGUCCUCAAUGUAAAAUAAUCAAAGCUCACAUAAAAAUUAAAGCGUAAAGAUAAAAGAUUAAAGGAAAAAAAAACUUCCCUGAAUUGUGAACUUUGAUCCACAUAACGUCUAUGGUUGCGUUGUGAUUGCUGCUCGGCUGGAGCUUGCUUGAUGGACGCGGGAUGGAGCUGAUUGUGUUGCGCGCGCGCGCUGGGGCUGCUAGAUCUGCGCGCUGCGUGGGCUGUGUUGCGCGUGAGAGCUGGGCUGACGCUGGUUCUGCGCGCUGCUGGGCGAAGGCUGGAUCUACUCACGCGGGUUGCUGCUCGCUGGACGCGGGAUGCUGGUGCUGCUGGUUGCGUUGCGCGCGCGGGACUGAUGCACUGCGCGAUGGUGAUGGCUGGAGCUUUCUGCGCCCGGGCUGGUUGCGUUGCAGGUGGGACUGAUGCGGCUGCGUUGCGCGCGCGAGAACUUGCGUUUUCCGGCGGGCUAGUUUGCUACUGGUGUGCUGCAAGCGGCUGGAGAAGAAAACAAGAUCUGGAAAAUUAGGGAUUUUGUGAACAAUAAAUUUUUUUUUUUUUUAAACAAUGAUGAUUUUUUUUAUUAUAAAUAAAUAAAUAAAUAUAUAAAAGAAGAACAAAACAAAAUCUCUUUUUUUGUUUUUUUUUUUAAAUAAAAUUAAAUUAAAAAAAAUUUUUUUUUUGAAUCACUUUGAGACACCAAAAAUUUCAAAAGUACUUUUUUAAUAAGCACGUGGGCAAGCCUUAAAACUAUUUUACUUUAAAAAUUACAGAAGUACUUUUUAGUUAAGACGUGGGCACGCCUUAUCGAAAAUUUUCUUUUGGCCAAAAUAAGCAAACACAUUAUUUUUUAAAAAAAAUCGGAAUCAAAAUUAAAAGAAAAUAUAACAAAAACCAAAAUAAAUAAAUCAUUUGGGUUGCCUCCCAAAAAGCGCCUUUGUUUUAUGUCUUUGGCUAGACACAUUGAUGCAUCAAUCUCCAUAAUUGGGACUCUCGAGAGCCACAUCUUCCACAAUAUUUACCGAAAAACCUUCAUAAAAAGGUUUUAAGCGAUGACCAUUAACCUUAAAAACUUUGUCAGAGGUCGGACUCCGAAUCUCAACUGCACCAUAAGGAAAAACAUUAGUAACAAUAAAAGGUCCAACCCAGCAAGAACGUAAUUUACCCGGAAAUUACGUCAUGCAUAUCCAUAUGGCUACAUCAUGGCUUUACUAAGAGAGCAUGCUGGCAUUGUUGUUGCUAAUUCAACCUUGAUUGGUGUUUCAGAACGAGUUGCUGAUGAAUGUAAGGGGCUGCCUUUAGCUAUUAAAGCUGUUGGAAGUGCACUAAAAGGUAAAGGAUUUGAUGAGUGGAAUCUAGCUCUAGAUAAACUACAAGAUGCAAAACUCAAUACAAUCGAAGGUAUUGGCAAUGAGGACCAAGACGUUUACCAUUGUCUCGAAUUUAGUUACGAUUAUUUGAAUGGUGAGGAUUCCAGGUCGUGCUUCUUGUUGUGUUCUUUGUUUCCAGAGGAUUGUGAGAUAUAUUUGGAUGAUUUGGUUGGAUAUGCAGUGGGGUUGAGAUGGUAUCGAGCUGAGUCAAUUGAAAAAGUCAGGAGCCUACUGAGUGGAACGAUGAAAGAGGUCAAAGCUUCUUCAUUGCUGUUAGACACUGGCAAUGACAGAUCUGUGAAAAUGCAUGACGUAGUCCAUGACGUAGUCCAUUACAUAAUUUACCUUUUAGUGCACUUCCAACAGCUUUAAUAGCUAAAGGCAGCCCCUUACAUUCAUCAGCAACUCGUUCUGAAACACCAAUCAAGGUUGAAUUAGCAACAACAAUGCCAGCAUGCUCUCUUAGUAAAGCCAAUCCUUCUUCUCGCUUUAGAACACCUAGUUGAAUCCGCGUGUCACAACCCAUGCGAUCACAAACUGGCUGCAGGCGAGUGGUUAUAAGGAUUUUGCAACAAUUGUCUUUAUCACCAACAGGAAUACCUACUGUCUCCAAGUCGAGUUCAUUCCAGACAUUAUAAGAAGAAGAAAUUAAGAACCAUAACAAAUUUGAUGAUUCUAAUUUGCUAGAAAUAUUGCAAUCCAAAACUAAGAAAGUUAAAACCAAUUAUUUGAAGAAAAAAGUAGGAUAGAAGCUCCCAGAAUAUUGUUAUGUGUUGUAUGUUUUCAGUUUGUAUUUCCCAAUCAAUAAGGAAAAGUAAGUACACAUGUUACAAAAAUUUAAUAAAAAAGAUUGGAGGUGACAAAACCUAUCAAUCUUCUAAUUAACUUUCUCUCCUUUCGAAUUUCCUGAGUUUGGUAGAGAUUGCUUAAGUAGUGUAUCUAUUAUAAACAGGCAAAACUAUGUUGCAACAGUGGUAUGGUACUACUGUUGCAACCAGCCAUUGGAUCUAUAAUUGUUCAGUUACAUUAGCAAGAUCCAAUGAUUGAAAGCAACAUUAGUACCGUAUCACUGUUGCAACAUAGCUGGACCCAUUAUAAACACCUGAAGUCAAAGUUAAUGUUUUAAUUGUUAAGAAAAGUUAGAAGAAGAAAUUUUUGUAUAAGAGAAUUGGGUUUAAAUUUAGAAUUCUUUGGGAGGAAAUGAGUCAAAAUUCCAAUAAUAUAAUUCAGCAGUAUUUAUAUAUAUCAUUAGUUGGGUGAAAAAUUAAUUUCCCUCCUUUGAUGUGAUUUUCAUAAUUUAUUUUCAUAUGAUGGUAAUUUUUUGUUUAGAGUGAAGUUAUUGGCACCCUUUCAUUAUCCUUAUAAAAUCCUACUUCAAAUAAAAUUACACUUAAAGACAAUAGAAUUAAAUAACAUAGUUUUUUUUUUCAAACAAAUUACUCACAUUCAUAAUUUUUUUUCUUCUAAUUUUCUACAGGUUGCUUUGUAUCUAACUAAAAUAAAUUGUACAAAUUUAGAAUAAUCUAUUAUUCUUUUUAAAUUUCUUAUUGAUUAAAUAUUUGUGUGCUUAAGGUAGCUUUAAAAUUAUAAGAUAAAAUAUAUAUAAUUUAAGCCAAUGAUUAACAUUCAAAAAUUUAUCUCUCAUAAAAGUUUUUAAUUUGUGCGUAGGGUAAUAAUAAAAUUGCAAAAGAAAUGAAAAAUAGCAUAGCACUAUUUUGAGUUUAAACAAUAAAAAUUUAAAUGAAAAAUUAGAAGUGUAUUUAAAAAAAAGGAUAUUUUUAAAAAUAAAAUAAAUAUAAUUAAAAAAAAAAGAGUUUCAUGAGGGGUGCAAUAGUUCAACUCUUUUGUUUAUAAGUUUUAAGAUGUUGGUAUCCGUAGCUUAGCUUUUCCCUAAUUAUUAUAUUAAAAUGUAACAACAAUGAUGAUCAACCCUAAUUUCGUGGAGGUCAAAGAUUUUGGUCAUGCCGCAUUAAUUAGUUCGGUCAUACUUUCUACAAAUUUAUUUACAUUUAAUAAUUUGACCAAGACUACGUAAGGCGCCGCCUGGAGUCAUAGAAUUUUAUAUGUCGUUUAAUAUGCUCAUUUUGUAUUUUUUUUAAAAAGUUUUAUUAAUUUUUUUUUGUUUUUAAAAAUAUCAUUUAUUUAUUUAAAUUUUUUUAAAGGUAAAGAAGUGGGUAAAGUUUAAAUUCAAUUUUUAUCCCUUACAUCAUGGCCCCUAAGAUUUGAACUAAAAUCUUAAAAAUGAAAUUGUAAAGAAAUCCCAGUUCGUAUAAAAGAAAGAAAACAAAAUUAAGGAAAACAUAAGCACAACAAAAUUUGACUGAUUAUUAAAAAUGAGAAAUGAGUUAUAAUGAGAAUUUUAGCUUUGUCGUGAAAUAAAUUGGGAAGUAUCCAAAGUACGCAUGUAAAUAAUGUAAAUGAUAAGAAGACGAAGGGAACAUAAUGAUAAUAAGCAAGCCAAAUAUUAAAAUGCAGAUUCUACGCUUCCGCCCCCAUACUUCAAGUUAGUGUCUCGCUAAUCAUUUUAGAUGUAUCAAUUACAAAGGGAGGCCAUCUAUUUAUGGUAAGCGUACGCCUCUAAUGCUUUGCCAAGUGUCCAUUGAUAAUAUCACAAGGGAAAUUAAAUUGGUGUAUGUGUAUUACACCUCCUAAAGUCAUGUUAAGAUAGUUAGUGAGCUGAUAAAGUUUGUUGCACGUGUGAGUUGGUUAAAUCUGCUAGAAAUGCAAACGUGUAAAGCUGAGUUAGCAAGUUAGUUAAGGUUGUUACGAAUUCUUAGAUUCAGCUCACGUGUAUUGUAUGUAAUACUUAGAUUCAGGUCAUGUAGAUUGUGUAAACAACUUUCUAAUAUUCUUUAGAUCUCAAUAUAAAUACUUGUAAUCAACAAAUACAAUAAUAAGAGUCAUCAUUCUUCAUUUUCUCUCUGUUUCUCCAUAUUUUCUCUACAUCCAAACACAAUAUUCUCAGUUCUUGACUUGGUAUCAGAGUUGCAGUUUAAUUGUCAUGGCUUCCUUAAGCACAAAUUCAAACACAAAUCAGUCUCCUUCAUUCUUUACCCUCACAAAUGCGAUCAAACUGGACAGAUCUAACUAUACGAUCUGGAAAUCUCAGAUCCUCUCUUCAGUGCGUGCCAAUGGACUUGAAGGCUUUCUUAAUGGAACUAAAAUUUGUCCAGAUCAGUUACUUACUCAAGAGAUUGAAAGUUAUGGUGUUGAAAAUACUGGUGGUGAAAGCUCAGCUGAUAGAUCUCAGGAGAAUCCAGCCUUUGUUGCUUGGAAAAGGUAGGAUCAAUUAUUAUUAAGUUGGCUCAUGUCCUCCAUCAGUGUUGAGAUACUUAGUCUUGUGGUAAAUUCUGAUUCUUCUCAUAAACUUUGGACUAAUCUUGAAGAAAAUUUUUGGAUUAGAAACUAUGGCUAAGAAAGCACACUUAAAAAUGAUGUUAAGCAAUCUCAGAAAGGGAUCAAUGACAAUAACUGAGUAUUUUGCCAAACUUAGAGCUGUAACUAAUAAACUUGCUGUAACUGGUAGCCCUGUUUCUACUCUAGACUAUAUUACUCAUCUAAUAUCUAAAUUAGGCCAGCCAUACUACCCUGUUGUUUUGUAUAUUGAAGCUAUUGUUUUGUAUAUUGAAGUUAAUAUGAUGAAAAUAUUUGUCAAUGAAGCAUAUUCUAUGCUUUUAACUCAUGAAGCAAGAAUUAAAGCUAAUCAUCCAAGUGCAAAUAAAGAAGCAAAGUUGAAUUAUGCUGCUAACAUAGCUUAGGCUGGACCUAGUACUAAAUAACAAUAAGAAGUCUAGUAAUCAAGCUAAUUACUAUCAGGGCAACCAAGGUAACUGGAAAAGAAAUGCUCAUUGGUGUGGUAACAAUGGAGGAAGAGGUGGCUUUGGCAGAGGUUUUUCAGGGCAAGGAAGGGGUAAUUAGAAUAAUGGUGGUCAUUGGAACAAUGGACCUUGGAGUAGUAGUUGAGGAGGCUAUAAUGGUUCUGAUAUAAACAAUAUGACAUGGUUGCUGGUGAACCUGUAAACAUAACCAAAAAAGUAAGAAGGCAUAAUUUUUUUAUAAGAAACUCAAAAAUAUAUUAAUGAUGAAAAUUUUAAAACAGAUAGUGGACCAGCUGUCCAGUAAGAAAACAAAAAAUUGAAUAUUUGUGCUAUAAAAAGGCACACCCAAUCUCACCCCUAUAAAAGGCUAGAAUCAGCUACAAAUCCCUAUCUCAAAACCCCAUCCCAGUUUAGAUGAAUGAAGAAAAAAGAUGAAUCUUGAAACUCCUUAGAAACUGAAUCCCAAAGUGAAGCAAGAAGAUGAACUCUAUCCCAAGCAAGCAAUAUGGCAUAUUUCUCCAUUAAUGGUUAAAAUAGGAUAAAAGCUCGUUUCAUCCUUAUAUUUUAAUAUUCGUGCCUAUUUAGUCUCUGUAUUUUAAAAAAUACCUCAAAACAUCCUUAUCCUUAAAUUAUUGACAUUUCUGCUGUUACUUUUUGUUUUUUUUAACUUGCUUUUACAAUAUUACCCUCUUACAAUAAUGUUUCUUUUUAUAAAGUUAAUAAAAAAAUUAAAUUAUCAAUUUAACCCCAAAAAUAAAAUAAAAACAAAAAGAAUAUAUUAAUUUUUGUGAAAGCUUACAUGUGUCUAAAAAUUUUUUUAUUGUAAAAAUAAUUAAAUUACCUUGUUUUUGGACAUUGGUAAUAAAAAAAUUAAUAUAUUAAUUCCUCAGCAGUGUGUUACAAAAAAGUAACAUAUAUUAAUUUUGUUUCUAUUUUAUUUUUUGAGAUUAAAUUAAUAAUUAUUUUUUUUCUUUUUACUAAUGUCCAAAAAAAAUAUUAUAAGAGGGUAAUAUUGUAAAAAUUAAGCCAAAAGUAACAAAAAGUAAGAGGAAAUGUGCUAAUAAUUUAAUGUCAGGGAUGUUUUGAGGUAUUUUAAAAAAUAUAGGGAGUGAACGGGUACUAACCUCAAAAUAUAGGGACUAACCGAGAUUUUACCCGUUAAAAUAAAGUAGAUGGCUGUCUUGAUGAAUGGGAAAUUGUCAAGAUCAAUAUUCAAACUCACGCAAAGUAAACGGACUUAAUUCUCAGGGGCUACUCAUUCUAAGUCUUAAAGAAAAUUUUUCUAAUUUCUAAAGAUUAUAUGGGGAAAAAUCAUUAUUUUCUAACAUGGAAAAUUUGAUACGGUGUUUAAUGUCUGAUCACAAUGAUAAUAUGAGUACUAACAAAAACAUCUUUAAUCGGCAUGGUGCGAGUAAAACACCUUUGCAAUCCAAUCAGCGAACGCCUUUGCAUUAGGCACAGUACCCGAGAGGAACACAAAUCGGGAGUCCUUUGGAGCCAUCACAAUGCUCUCUUCCCAUACCACACCUCUCUCACGAUCACGCAUGUAAUGUACCUCAUCAAAUAUAGCCCAAGCCACUUCACGCGUAAUCUCUGAGCCUUUGUACUGCAUACUACGCCAGAUUUCAGUAGUCAUCACCUGAAAUUAAACUUCAUAUAAGCAAUCCACAAAUCAAAGCGCUGCAACACCCAAAAGAUGACACUACCAAGUUGACCUACCAAACAAGAAGCAUUAGGGUCAAUUGUGACAUCCCCAGUCAUCAAACCGACAUCUGAAAACUCUUCUUUAAACUCCCUGUACUUCUGAUUGCUGAGUGCCUUAAUCGGUGAAGUAUAUAUCACACGUUGCUUAUUCCGCAACGACAUAGCAAUAGCAUACAAUGCUACCACAGUCUUCCCAGCAGAUGUAUGGUUCGAUACCUUUCAAAUAAAUGAAAGGCAAUUAAAAAAAGAAAAGAAAAAAAAAAACUAUUUUUAUUUUCACACAAGAUAACACUUCAUGCAAAACUUCUUAAUUCUUAUCGGUGAGCUGAAAAGCAGAGCGCUUUGUACAAAAGCACUUCCAAAUUCGAAUUAAAUUUUUUACAAAAAAUUACAGCUUUAUAUAUAUGUGUGUGCGCGUGCGUAUAAUAAUAAUAAUUAACGAACCGUAACGGACUGGCCGUUGUCGAGGCACUUGAUAGCUUCGGACUGGAAUGGGUCGAGAGUGAAAAGGAAUUCCUUAGCAGGUUUAGCGUCAGCUUCAGCCACUUGACCAAGACCCAUUAAACAUAAAACGCGGCGUUUUCAUGGACUAGUACAUUCCAUGCUUCGAAAGUUUUAUGUUUUAGACUGAUUGGUUUGAUACAUUAUUUGUUUAUUGCGUUUUUCUUGCUUUAAAUAUUAUGUUGGAUUGAUAAGUUUUGUACACAUUUAUAUUGCUCGCAGUAAAUAAUUUAUUACAUUUAAAAAACUAUCAACCGUCUAUCGAAAGAUUUCUACUAUAAAUAUAUAUACACAAAAAACUUUUAAUUUGGUCUAUUUGUUCUCUUAUUUAUUUUUGCUCUAUUUCUCUUUUUCUUUCCUUUCAUUUUAUUGUUUUAUGGUACAAAAAAAAAUAACCUUAAAAUUUAAGGGUAAAAUACUCAUUUUACUAAAUUCCGUUUAAUAUCAUAAUGCUGUCAAUGGACAAUGGCAAAGUACACGAGUGAUACAAAUUAAAAACAAAUAAAUUGAAAGUUUUUAUGUAUUUUCCUUUUAUUUUUUUAUAGCCGAUUGAGAUUUCCCUUCGUAUUCUUAAAUUCAAUACGUUUAGACCGUUUAAAAAAUUUUAAAUUAAAAAAAACCCGUGGUGUAAUAACAAACUCACAUCAAAUCCUGUCCACUGUCAUCCCUAAUAAUAUUUACCACUUCAUACUCAAGUGUGAUAAUAACUGUGUAUCACAAUUGAUUUUACAUACGGGUAAAAGUUCCAAGUCCGGAUAUUUAGUUAAUGAAAUUGAUGAAAAGGGCAUGAAAGAAAAUAAGAAAUUAAAUAAUACAGGUAUUAAUCAUUACAUAUUUAGUUAAUGAAAAUUGAUGAAAAUAUUUCUGCAGACAUGAGCCGUAAUUAUAAUACCGUUAAGAAUGAAGCAGCAGAGUUUCCCCAAACAAGCUAAAACACGGCACCUGAAUUUAAAGAAUUUUUAUGUCACAGUAUCGGGACAAAAAGUUUAAUGCAACAACAUACAUUAAGUUAAUUCCAUAAUCUAUCACCAAAGAAAGACAAACACAAGCUUAUAAGAUUAAAACUUUGGAAAACAUUGAAGAGUCGGACAAAAUUGUGUAACCUUCAGAGUUUAGAGCCUAGUUCAUCCAGGAAAGCAAAAGAAAAUAAUAAUAAUAAUAAUAAUAAUGGUGGUUUGAUCUCAAAAGGUGGCAUCAAAGUGGUAACUUUGAGGUAUUGGAAGCAAUAACGUCUUCAACUUUGUCCUGAUUUCGAAGUCCCUUAACCCAUCCGCCAUCAAUGGAUUGAAUGCUUCCAUUCAACCCAUCAUCCACAAAAUCACCAACCCGUUUCACCUUCAUCUCCUCCGCUUAACAGGGUACUUCCCAGAGAAGCUAGCAUAACAAAAAUUCUGAGAAUCAUUGCCUAACAACUUGUUCAAGAUGUCAAUCGGCAGAAAAGCAAGCAAAUCACACCCAAUAAACUCCCUGAUUUCCUCGACGCUCAUCCUGUUGGAAAUCAACUCCUCAGUACUCGGAGUGUCCACUCCAUAGUAACAAGAAGCUAUGAUUGGUGGGCUUGCAAUUCUCAUGUGAACCUCUUUAGCUCCAGCCUCCUCAAGCAACCUAACAAUUUUCGAUGAAGUUGUUCCUCUCACUAUCGAAUCAUCGACAACCACAACUCUCUUUCCCUCCAACACUCCCCUUACAGGAGAGAGCUUAAGCUUGACACCAAAGUCCCUAAUCUUCUGGGAAGGCUCAAUGAAAGUUCUCCCAACAUAGUGUGACCUUAUCAACCCUUGUUGAAAUGGCACCCCGGCUUUCGCAGCGUACCCAAGUGCAGCCACCACUCCAGAAUCUGGUACUGCAAUCACGACAUCACACUCAACAGGAGCCUCGGUAGCAAGUACUUCCCCAAAAUGAUUCCUCGACUCAUAAACAGACCUUCCAAAAACAACAGAAUUAGGCAAAGCAAAAUAAAUAUGCUCAAAGAUGCACUGCUUAGGUUCAGGGUGAGGCAUCAAACAAAGUGAUUGAACCCCAUCUUUAUCCACCAUCAAAACUUCUUGGGGAUGUACCUCCUCAAUCAAAUAGUGCACAAGUCUCUGACGCAAAAACCACAGCACCAUUACUCCUCCUACCUAUCACCAACGGCCUAAACCCGUACGGGUCACGAACCGCAACAAGCUUAUCCUCAGUAACAAACACCAUUGAAUAAGCACCCUCAAGCUUCUCACAAGCAUCCACAAUCUUCAAAAAGAACGGCCUAGCUUUCGAUAUCGCAAUCAAAUGGAGAACAACCUCAGUAUCAGAACUAGUAUUAAAAAUGGAACCAUUAUCUUCAAGCUUAGCCCUCAAAGUAUUAUAGUUAAAUAAAUUCCCAUUAUGUGCAACACCAACAAAACCAAACCUGUACCCAGCAACAAAAGGCUGCACAUUCUUAAGCAUGCAGUCGAAUAUCUAACAUGACCAAUGGCCAUAUCGCCAGGCAAUUGAUCAAGUUUAGACUGAUUAAACACAUCCGAGACUAAACCAACACCGGUAAUAGACUGAAGAACUUUAUUAUUCACAGCAACUAUAACUACACCUUCUUGGCCGCGAUCUGCAGAGCGUGCAGCGCCAAAUAGCACAAACGCGAGGCCUCUGGGUCACCGUAUGAAACGACCCGCCCCGAAUCCCCCGUGCGAGUCAAUCUAGUCUCAUCAAAACGGAUUUGAUAAUAAUCUAAUUAGUAAGGAUUCUGCCGAAAAUUCGGCAGAGUCUCCUUUAUAUAUAUAACACUCCCAAUCUACAAAUAUGAAUAUAACACUCAUAAUAUAAUUCAAUAUACAACAAACUCCAGUGAUCAACAUCCUCAACCAAAAUGCUGAGUUUUAUAUCUCCAGAGUCUCAAAAGAUAAUAUUAUAACUAAUAUUAAUAUCUAAGUUUAUUCUUAAUCCCAAAAGAAUAAUAUAAAAAAAUUAUACAAUCCCAACAGGACGAGAUAACCAAGAUGUCCUAACAAAAACAUUUAUAUUUUCUAACACCAUCACGUGGCCAAGACUCAAAAUAUAUUUACAGUCGCUGGGUCGGUCUGGUGUACCUGCAACCUCCUGGUGAGGGGGGGGGAAAUAUAAUAAAAACGGGGUGAGUUUAAAACUCAGUGAGAUCAAUGAGUGGAUAGUAGUUUUUGAAAAUUAAUGCUUACUUUAAAAGAAAUAUUCAUAUAAUUUCCAAACACGAUUUCAUCAAACCAUAUGCAAGAAACCAAUAGUAAAUCAUUUAACAUUUAAAUCAGAUUACUAACCAUGAAAAGCAUAUAUAAUAUCGUACCAAAUAACCAUGGAAAUCAUAUUACAAUAUCAUAUAUAAUACACAAAUUUGAAAAUCAUCACCAAACAAGUACCCAGAGAAAUAAUCUCGUCAUAUCCGGACAUCAACGGACGUGCAAUGACGUACUAUAUGGGUACCGUCACGCCCCGGAGCUACACGGAUAGACAGGGAAAUAUAAUCUCAUAUCUCAUCAUAUCUUAUCAUAUAUGUGCAUGCAUAAUCUAGUCCCCAAAGGACAAAAACGCCCAAGCACAUGGCCCAAAGCCUCUGUGUGUACUCAGACGGGCCCCAAAGGCCUGUAUCUCAUCUGUAUCAUCUGUAUCUCAAUAUCUGUCUGUAUCUCAUAUCUGUGUAUCUGUAAUCAUCAUACCGCAUGCAUAUGCCCUCAAAAGGCAAAAACGCCCAAACACACGGCCCAAAGCCUCUAUGUGUGUUCAAACGGGCCCCAAAGGCCUCUCAUCUCAUCUCAUCUAUAUCACUGUAUCUGGAGGGGAAGGGUACUGUCUAGUGAUUUCAAAAACAAUCAUUAUACUCAUAUUCACAUACUUUUUUAACCAUAUUUUAAAUCAUACCACAUUUGAAUCCACUUUUCUUAUCUUUAAAAUACUAUCAUGCUUAUUCAAAGUCGAUACGAAAAAUCAUUAACCAAACAUUUUAAUAAAAUACCAAUGCGUGGACAAAAUCCAUUUCGAGGUAAUCAUUAAAUCAGAUCAUUUAAAAUACUUAUUUCGCAAACAUACUUUACUAUCAUAAUUAACUAUGAAAAUAGGUUUUGUAUAUUCCACUCACAGUGACGGUGUUCACGCUCGGUUAUCGUCCACGUCCGCGGACCUAUUCUUGCUCGCGGAUCCUCCUAAAUCAAGGAAACGACAUAAAUAUUUUCCGUAAAACAGAAUUAAGACUAAAUUUAUGCAAUAAACUCGAAACGAACAUCUAUCCAUAAUUUACAACUCCCGUGUCGCUAAAAUUACUAAAAUGCCCUCGAGUCCGUAAAUCAGUAAAAUACUUCGAAAUCGGAAAUCACCGAAUCACCCUCGGAAUCGUAAUUACACCCAAUCCUCACUUCUAGGAAUUACUAAAAUAUCAAUAGGCUCAGAAAUUACAAAAUUGCCCUCAUAGUGUGAAAUUACCGAAAUGCCCUUGUGAUGGUUGUCGAAGCCAACAAAAAUAAAUACCUACUCUAAAUAAAUUGUGUAUAGUGAUUGAGCAGGGUCGUGUCCACAAAGAUCGGUAAUUAUUUAAAUCCUUUUGAAACGUAAAACGUAAAAUGGGAGAAUUGUUAACAAUAAUAAAAAUCAAAUUAAAAUAACAAGAAUGCAAAUUCAAGUCGUAAUUCAAAUUGGAGAAAGCUCUGGUUGAAGGAAUUAAUUCAGCUUGAUUCGACUAUUGAUAAUUGAUUCAAAUAUAAAUUAUUAUUACUUAUGAAUAGACCAAUUAUAGCUACUGAGACCCUCUAAUAGCCAAUCUCUCCUUAACUAGUCGAUAACCAAGGUACGACCGUUGGUUAUUUCCCUAAUUAAUAGACAACCCUAGAUACGAUCAUAGAAUUUAAUCAAUUGACAGCCUGAAAAACCAGAGAGACCCAAAUCCUAAUCAACAAACACAUACGAUGAUUCAUUUAAAUUAGAUUGUUUAUUCUCACAACACAACUCUCUGCUAUGUUAUUUGUCACAAACAUUAAAAUCUUCAUACGAUGAAUCCUUUAAUUGACAAUAGAUUAAGUUGAUAAUUAAAUAGUGGCCAAUUACCUAAUUAACAAACAUAAUCAUGAAAAUAAUUCAGAGAAUAAACAAAUACCCAAAAAGCAAUAAAUUAAUUAAAGCACAAGAAAGAUCUCACAGUAGUGAUGAAUCAAAGCUUCAUUAACCUUCAACCAAAAAAAUAGGUUUAGUUCUUCAUAGAGAAAAGAGAAAAUUUAGAUCUAGGGUUUCUUUCUUUUCUCCAAUCUCCCUUCUUUCACAAUAGAUUUCUCCCUUAAAUACUCUCCCUCUCUUCUCCUCUAAAAUUCUAUUUAAAAUAAAAUACUAAUAUCUGAAAUAUUAAAUUCGUAAUUACAAAAAUAACCAAAAAUACAAAACACGUUUAAACUAAAAACUGCAAGUCCGUAGUUGACAGCACGCGCCCACGCCUUAUCAACAAAGUUCUUCUAACGCUCAUAAUUUCUCCAAGAGAACAAUCAUCAUUAAAUAUCAUCUUGUAGCUUAAUUUUAUCACCAAUCAAUAGAAUUGCACCUACAAAAGUAAAACACAAGUAAAUCACUAUUAUUAAGUGCAAAACAUCGAUAUUAAGGGAAGUAAACAAUGCAAAACUAGUGCAUAAAUUGCACUCUAACACCUUGCCGGUCAACGGUCACCGAAAUUUGGUCAACGCUGGCCGGGAAGCUCAAGUCUGAAAGUUCCAAUCACGCUAAGUUCAAUGGUACCGGCGGUGAGCUCCAACGCGCAACAACGACGUCGGAAUCUAGCUCGGCAGCCGUGAAUUCCAACAAUUGACCGGCGGCGAAACAGUGACUCCCGGUGACUAUGGAUGGUUGGAAAUGGAAGAGGGAGUCGUGAGGAACAAAAUCCAACCGGUGGUGUCACCCAAAACUGGUGAAAAUCCCGGCGGAACAAAACGAUACAGUCGCGGGUUUUCAAACUUUGAUUGCCGGCGUUCCGGUUGGUUUUCGGCGGCCAGGAUGGCAGGGGAAUGAUGGCUGGCUUCUAAGUUUCAGAUUGGUACUAAGCUCGGCCGAAAUAGUGGCCGGAAAUAGAAGUUAUGGCCGGGUCAAUUUCGCGGGUCGGGUCGGGUUUUCCGGGUCAGUUGAUAGCUUCUGUUACUCUCACACGUGUGUGUAUAAGUUCCAUGUUUCUAACUUAUUCUAUUAUUUUUAAUAAAGUCUUUAACCGCCUCAAUUUCAUUUUUAAUUCACAUAUGUUACAAUCCUCCCCCCUUAUAAAAAUUUUGUCCUUGAAAUUUACGUACCUGAUAAGAAAAGAUAUGGAUACUGAGCUCGCAUUAAGUCCUCGCGUUCCCAGGUAGCCUCUUCCUUUGUAUGAUUCCUCCACCAUACUUUUACUAGAGGAAUGGUCUUAGAACGUAGAACUUGGUGUUUCUCUUCCAAUAUCUCCACUGGUUCCUCUUCGUAAGUCAAAUCUUCCUUCAACUGAAUUGGUUGCUUCGAUAACACAUGACUCGGAUCAUAUAUGUACUUCUGGAGCAUUGAGAAAUGAAAUACAUCGUGGAUUCUGGAUAACUCGGGUGGUAGUGCUAAUUGAUAAGCUAAUGGACCGAUGCGCUCAAUGAUCUCAUAUGGCCCAAUGUAACGUGGACUUAGCUUCCCACGUUUCCCAAAUCGAAGCACCCUUUUCCAAGGAAAUAUCGGUAUGAAAACUCUAUCAUCAACUUCGAAUUCAAGUUCCCGCCUACGCUUGUCUGCAUAGCUCUUUUGUCUAUCUUGAGCCACCUUUAAUCUAUCCCGGAUUAAUUGUAUCUUCUCGUUAGUAUCCUGGACAAGUUCUGGACCGAAUAACCUCCGCUCACCAACCUCAUCCCAACACAUUGGAGUCCUGCAUUUUCUACCAUACAAAGCCUCAUAUGGUGCCAUCUCGAUACUAGCUUGAUAGCUGUUGUUGUAAGCAAACUCCAUCAGAGGUAAAUGAUUGUCCUAAUUACCUUUAAACUCCAUAACACAAGCUCGCAACAUAUCCUCCAGAGUUUGAAUAGUAUGCUCUGACUGUCCAUCAGUCUGUGGAUGAAAAGUUCAACUUUGUGCCUAAGGCAUUUUGCAAGCUAGUCCAGAACUUAGAAGUAAACCGGGAAUCUCUAUCUAAAACUAUAGACACGGGUACUCCGUGAAGUCGAACUAUCUCAGCCACAUAAAUACUCCCUAACUUGUCCAUCGAAUAGGUGGUUUUGAAUGGUAAAAAAUGAGCAGAUUUUGUAAGUCGAUCAACGACCACCCAAACACUAUCAUAUCCUUUCUGAGUACGUGGAAGUCCUGCUACAAAAUCCAUGGUGAUGUGCUCCGACUUCCACUCAGGAAUAGGAAGCGGCUAAGAACACCCUGCAGGCCUCUAGUGUUCAGCCUUAAUCUGCUGACAGACUAAACAUCGAGAAACAAACUCUGCUAUCUCUCUCUUCAUACCCUGCGUCCAGUAAUGAUCCAUCAGGGUACGAUACAUCUUCGUACUACCAAGAUGCAUCGCAUAUGCUGAGCAGUGAGCUUCUUCCAUAAUCUCUUCUUUCAGAUCUUUAAUAUCAGGUACACAAAGUCUAUUACCCAUGACUAAGACUCCGUCGCCUCUCACCGUAAAAUCGGUUCGUAAACAUUUUUGCACAUCCUCUUUCAACUUCAUUAACUGUGGGUCCUGAGCUUGCAUCUGGUGAACUUUGUCCAUCAAAGUCGGCCUAACUCGAAAAUUAGCUAUCAAAACUCCACAAUCGUCAGCGUUCAACUCGACUCCCAAAGAUCUCAACUCGAUCAACAGAGGCAUCUAUUUCACUCGCAAGUGAGCUAUAGAGCUGGAAGACUUCCUACUGAGUGCAUCGACUAGAAAAAAACAUACCUCUUUGAGAUACUACAAAUUGGCUUUAAUUCAGUACUGUUGAUGGUCAAGUUGGGAAAGUAAUGAAGCUGUAACUCUUCCAAUGCUGUCCAAAUUGAACAAUAAUUUUCUGAACAGAAGCUAACGAGUUCUGGGAGACUUCGAAGUGUUAAUUCUCUUAACAAAGGGAGGGCGAGCAUCGUAUUUCCAUCUCUGACACUUAUUUCCCCUUCAUUGUGAUCAAACUUUGCUUCGACAAUACAUUCCAGCCUGUCGCAAUAAGUCACACUGAGACUUUUAAGCUGCUCCAAACUUUGAGCUUGUGAUAACGUGAAGAUAUAUGUCAAAUUAUGGCAGCCAUACACACUCAAUUCUGUAAGAGUUUGGAGGCUGAUCACAUGUUGGGCAGGCGUCUUCCAUAUCCACUUUGCUAAUCUUGAGAGCACCUCAUGAUUCCCACUCUUUCCAUGCGGCGACUGAGAGGCAUCCACUAUGCAUUCUAAAUCUUCACAAUAGUUGACAAAUAGAUGAGUCAACUCAUUUAAGCCCCCUUAAUCUAUGCUUGGAACAAUAUUAUGGAGACCUAUUAUCCUCCUCAAAUUAAGAAAUUUCAGAUUUUGACACAAUGUCGAAAAAAUACUGAGCGAGGCCGCUUCACAAUAGUUAAUCAUUAAGCACCUGCUCCGUCCAAAAAAUUCAUCUUCUUUUUUCAUUCAAACUUCAAGUUUGUUACAGUUACUGACGAAGUACAUUUGCAAUUUUGGAAAUGUAAAGUCUUUUGAAAGACGUACAAUUUUUUGUUCAAUAUGUAAAGUCUUUCCAUCAUCAUCUUGGAUUUCAUCACCGUCGGGUUGGGAGUUCAACUCAGUAGCCCUAGCGUAACUUUCUUCUGAACUCAUCCCUUCAGCCUCCCAAUCUUUUAUCCGACCAUAAAAUUCUUCUAAUUGAGGAAAUUUUUUUAUCGUAAUAGGAGAAAUAGAACCAGAAUCAAUGAAUAGAAGAAGUUUCAAUCUACUAAGUUGAUCCUCAAAUUCUUCAGGAAUUUCAAUGGGAGACCCCUUGACACAAAGAAUUUGAAGUCUCUUCAACUUUCCAAGGAAAGACGCGUCACUCACUUUACAUCGAAUCAACUGCAGAACUUGGAGGUUGGUGAGGAAUUGAAGCGAUUUAAGUGAAAGGACUCCACCUAUUAUAGUAAGAACUUUUAAUGCUGGCAUCUUUUCGAAAAAAUAUUCUGGAUCUUGCAAUCGGUCGCCAUAUUUAGCAUUCUCCAAUCGCAAAAUAUGAAGGUUAGGGCAUACCAAACCACUUGGAAGCUCUUCUUUUUCAUUUCCCAUCAAAGAGAUUCCUUUGUAUUGUUCCACUGCCUGUUCCGCCAAUCCAAUGCCAACUUUACUAGUAAAAUAUUUUUUCUCCAUUGAGCCUAUCCAUAAGGCUACAUCACGAACAAUGUCAUGCAUUUUCACAAAUCUCUCAUUACCAGCAUCUAAUAGCAGUGAAGAAGCUUUGAGCUCUUUAAUCGUUCCACUCAAUAGGCUCCUGACUUUUUCAAUUGACUCAGCUCGAUACCAUCUCAACCCCACUGCAUAUCCAACCAAAUCAUCCAAAUCUAUCUCAUAAUCCUCUGGAAACAAAGAACACAACAAGAAGCACGACCUGGAAUCCUCAUCAUUCAAAUAAUCGUAACUAAAUUUGAGACAGCGGUAAACGUCUUGGUCCUCCUUGCCGAUACCUUCUAUUGUAUUGAGUUUUGCAUCUUGUAGUUUAUCUAGAGCUAGAUUCCACUCAUCAAAUCCUUUACCUUUUAGUGCACUUCCAACAGCUUUAAUAGCUAAAGGCAGCCCCUUACAUUCAUCAGCAACCUGUUCUGAAACACCAAUCAAUUUUGAAUCAGCAACAUCAAUGCCAGCAUGCUCUCUUAGUAAAUCCAAUCCUUCUUCUGGCUUUAGAAAACCUAGUUGAAUCUGCGGGUCACAACGCAUGCUAUAACAAACUGGCGGCAGGCGAGUGGUUAGAAGGAUUUUCCAACAAUUGUCUCCAUCACCAACAGGAAUACCUAUUGUCUUCAAGUCGAGUUCAUUCCAGACAUCGUCAAGUAUUAUGAGUAUCUUGCUGCUUUUACUCUCAGAAAACAUCAAGCGCAAUCGGUCUGCUCUCUCUCUUUCAUCUUUCUCAUUUAGUGCCCAGCCUAACGACUUUGCCAGCUCACCUUGAACCUUUAUUAUAUCUGGAUCCUGAGACACAGUGGCUAUCCCCACCUCAUCGAAAAUCUUUUCUUGUCGAAGUUGAUUGCCCACAAAGUUUGCCAAAGUCGUCUUUCCGACACCACCGAUACCAUACAAUCCCACUAUCGUCGUGCUAUCUCUUUUUAGUCUUCAAUAAUCUGAUUGCAAGUCGAUUAUGUAGUCCCGAAAGACAUAAAAUGUCUUGGCAUAUGCAAUUCUUUGUCUGAUGGUAGAGGUUUAGGAAGGGCAACUGAGCUGAAUUUGCCGCAUUUCUUUUGUAGAUCAGACAACUCGCUAGUCUUCUUUGAUGGUUUUCUACCUAGCCAACAUCGCCAACCCCAAUUAGGACACCAUCCAUUAAGACAGCUCUUCUUUUCAUCUAUCUUUGCUUUCAAAUUUCGAACAUCGACCAUUUCUUUGUCUACAUCCUUCAACCACUUCUCUACAGAUUUCUCGAUUACAAUGGCUCGGUGUAUUUGUCGUUCUUGUUCUAUUUUUUCAUUGAUGCCAUCUUUUGCCUCCUUCAAAUUAGUUUCUUUAUCCUUAAGUUCGUUAAUAAUGCUGUUGAAACAGAGCAGAUAAUGAGCUUGGUUUAUGGUUGCUUCCACCAACAAUUCUCCAAGCUUUGAUGCAACACUUGAGCAAAUUUCCAUGCUAUUUAUCUGCAAUUAAUAAAGUUGAUCUCAGUAUGCUGUAAGCAAAACAACGAGGCUUGAUUACAAGAUCGAACGAGAAAGUUUAAUUACCUUUUUCUAUUAUGUGAAUGCACGUUUAUUGACCCUAGCUUUGACCAAUAAGAGCAAAAUGCAAACGCCGAGCUUUAAGUGGCCUUUAGCUGCGCAAAACAAAAGAGAAGAAACAAGGUAGCUUAUUAUUAUUAUUAUUGUUUUUAAGGACGGAUAAAGAUUAGCUAGCUUGCGGACAAAUUUACUAAAAUCAAGAUAAACCUAAGAGUUUUCCUAAUUUGUUCAAACAUAGAAUAAGCGUUUCUCAACAUUAUAUCCAUAAAUGCCCCAGCAAACGUAAUAUGUGGUGGAUUAUAUUUAAAUUAGUUUAUUUUAGAAAAUUUUAAAUAAAAAAUGUCAAACAACAAAGAAAUCUAAUAGAAUCUGGAUAAACACCGAAGAGUUCCUACAUGGGAGAAUAUGGUAAAAUUGAUGAACUUGGUUCAAAAAAUUGCAAUUCUUAUUGAGAUUAGAACCAAAGAUUUUAACUAAGGUCUCCUAAGCCAUAAAGCAUAACUCUUACUACUAAAUUACAAGUAUUUUGUUACAUUUGAAUGUGGUCUUAUUUUUUUAUUGUCUGUUUUAGAAGGGACUCAAGGUAUGUUUAAAAGAAAUAAUAAUGGUUCGGAUGGGGCUGAAGCCCACUCAUGAAAAAUUUAAAGGCUUCAACAUAAUUACCAAUUGUUUCUUCAUCCAAUUUUCUAAUAGAAUAUUGCCAGAAUUCUGAAAUAAUAUCUUAAUAUUUUUCUUCAAGUGUUUACGGCACCCUCGUAUUGGAUUGUCAAUUUAAUAACUUGUUAAAUUAUUUAAUACUUCAUCUCACGAUCUAAUGGAUAUAAAUGCUGGAGAAGGAUCAGUUCCCAGACGUUUUUCUCUCACUAGUCUUUUGGUGAAAUAAGUGACUAAGAUUAAAUUUUAAUUUUUGAUAUUGACAAUUAAAUUGGCUUGUUUCACAUUAUUAACAAUUAAGCUAGCUUUCUUUUUUUCCCCCAACUGGAUUUGGAAGGUUAUGAGGGAGUAGGAGAGAAAACACGAGAAGAACGAGAUCCUAAUUCAUAAAUAGUACCUUACUUGGGAUGGUAAAGAAUUUAAAGAUUGGGGUGAAUUCCAUUUUAGUCUCUAAAAUUUUGACUUGCGAGUAACCAUACUUUUAGUAUUUUUAAAAAGAAUGGGAUUAUUUACAUUGUAAAAUCUAUUUUGAACACUCUUUUACUUAACACAGUCAUUCAACAAAUUUUAAAAAAUAAUUUUUACUAGGGUUCGCAAUAAACUCUAGAUCCGGCCCAGAUCCGAAAUUCGGAUCCGAAAAAAUCAGGAUCGGCAUGUUAAAAAAUGCGGAUCCGGAUCUUAAAAAUCAAGAUUCAUACGGAUCUGGAUCCACAUGCAAGUGCAUCCGGAAAACCGGAUAUCCGGAUCCGCAUUAUUUUAUAAUUAAAUUAUUUAUUUAAUUAAAUUUUAAUUGAAAAAUAUAUAAAUUAAAUUAUUUAUUUAAAUGUAUAAGCAUAAUUAACUCUAAAAUCUUCAUUAAUUAUGAAAAAUAUGUUAAAAUAAUAAUAAUAAUAAUUAGAGAAUAUUGUAAUAAAUCGGUUUACCUUAGAUUUUUUUUAUGUUUGAUUUAUAUUAUGAAAUUAUUGUUUGUGAAUUUAUGGUGUUGAAUUGAUGUUAAAUUGUCGAUUGUUAAGUUAUAAUUGAAUUUUAUUUAAUAUUAUUAUGUAAAUUAUUAAAUUUAAAAUUAAAUUUAAAUUUAUUAUUAUGCGGAUCCGAAUAUUCGGAAUAUCCACCCACAAUCCGUGCGGAUAUUACCCGCAUCCAGAUCCGCAUAUUUUUUUUUACGGAUCUAAAUACAGAUCGGGAUGCCAAAAGCUUAAUCUAGAUCCGAAUUCGGAUGCACCUACAUCCGGAUCCGGAUUUGGAUUUUGCCAUCCCUAAUUUGUUACUUUACACACUAUUUCAAAUGUCAAAACUGUCCUUCAUUAGGACCAUUCAUUAACUAAUUAUUUUCUAUAAAAUAUUCAUCAUUCUUGAGCCAUGUGGCGUUAAUUAAUGAUUCCUAAGCAUUAUCAAGGUUCAAGAUUUAUGUUGAAACUCUUUCAGUUGAGAUUUGAGCCUAGGCACUAGCUAUAUACAUACAUACUCUUUCAAAUGCAGUUCUGGGAAUAUUUUGUGACUAAUUUUAUAAAAGUGUUUUAGUUACAUUAAUGCAGUGAAACAAUAAAGAGUACGUGGCUUGAUGAUUUCCAAAUCAAGUUGGGGAAAAAACAAAGCAUUUUCUUUUAUAAUGGAUUAGAUUAGACGAUGAAGGGAAAAUUAUUUACGAUUAUUACUUGUUUGUGUGUUUAGAGUAAUAAUAUUUUCUUAAAUUAUACUAAUGUCCCUAGUAGUAAAUUUAAUUAAGGUUAUUUUCGUAAUAUAAAUUUUAUUAAAAUUAAAGUGUCUAAAAUAGAAUUUAGAGUGAAAAUAGCUCUUAGACGUCCAUAUCAUUACCUUUAUAACUAUUGAAAAUAUGAAUUUUCAAAUGUAAAAUAACAUUUCUAUAUGAUAUAAAUUAAAAUUCAAUCAAAUUUAUCAUGCAACAAAUGAAAAGUAAAGAAAAUUAAAUAGGUUUUAAUAGAGACAAAAUAAGCUUCUAUGUUGAAUUUAAAAGUAUUAUAUUAGUAGUAAUCAUAUACGUAUCGAACUUUUUAAUAAAAUUUAUUUAGAAAUUGGCCAAUUGGGUUUUAUGAAGAAAAUAGAGGGGCACGAAUGGCGCCACUUUUAAUUAUUGUUGCUGUACAACUGAAAAUUGAAAUGUUGUAUUUAAAAAGUACUUGUUAGAUGUGUAAAAUGCACCAACUUGAAAUGGCACGAGAGCAUAAUGGAAUUUUGUUGGGAAAUUUACAAAAAUAACCAUAAAACUUUUACUAUUUUCACAAUUAACCCUCUAAACGUUUUUCUAUCAACAUUAACCAAACACAUGCUUUUCUCCCCAAAUUACCCUUGUAUUUGCUAACCAACCUGUCGCACAUAGUUUGGUGCGACAGGCACCUGUCGCACGAAGCUAAGUGCAACAUGCACCUGUUGCACUGUUAUAGUGCAAUUUAUGCACUAGUUUUGCAUUGUUUACUUCCCUUAAUAUCGAUGUUUUGCACUUAAUAAUGAUGAUUUACUUGUGUUUUACUUUUGUGUUAUGAGCGUCAGAAGAACUUUGUUGAUAAGGCGUGGGUGCGUGCUGUCAACUACGGACCUACAGUUUUUAGUUUAACGUGUUUUGUAUUUUUGGUUAUUUUUGUAAUUACGAAUUUAAUAUUUCAGAUAUUAGUAAUUUAUUUUAAAUAGAAUUCUAGAGAAGAAGAGAGAGAGAGUAUUUAAGAGAGGAAUCUAUUGUGAAAAAGGGGACUUUUGGAGAAGAGAAAGAAACCCUAGAUCUAAACUUUUCUCUUCUCUCUAUGAAGAACUAAACCUAUUUUUCUGGUUAAAGGAUAAUGAAGCUUUGAUUCAUCACUACUAUGAGAUCUAUUUUAUGCUUUAAUUGUUUUAUUGCUUUUUGGGUAUUUGUUUAUUCUCUGAAUUAUUUUCAUGAUUAUGUUUAUUAAUUAGGUAAUUGGCCACUAUUUAAUUAUCAACUUAAUCUAUUGUUAAUUAAAGGAUUCAUCGUAUGAAGAUUUUAAUGUUUGUGACAAAUAACAUAGCAAUGAGUUGUGUUAUGAGAAUAAACAAUCUAAUUUAAAUGAAUCAUCGUAUGUGUUGAUUAGUAUUUGGGUCUCUUUGGUCUUUCAGGCUGUCAAUUGAUUAAAUCCUAUGAUCGUAUCUAGGGUUGUCUAUUGAUUAGGGAAAUAGUCAACGGUCGUACCUUAGUUAUCGACUAGUUAAGGAGAGAUUGGCUAUUAGAGGGUCUCAGUAGCUAUAACCAGUCUAUUCAUAAGUAAUAAUAAUCUAUAUUUGAAUCAAUGAUCAGUAGUCGAAUCAAGCUGAAUUAAUUCCUUCAACCAGAGCUUUCUCCAAUUUGAAUUACAUCUUUAAUUUACAUUCUUGUUAUUUUAAUUUGAUUUUUAUUAUUGUCAACAAUUCCCCCAUUUUACGUUUUACGUUUCAAAAGGAUUUAAAUAAUUACCGAUCUCUGUGGACACGACCCUACUCAAUCACUAUACACAAUUUAUUUAGAGUAGGAAUUUAUUUUUGUUGGCUUCGACAACCAUCAAAUUUUGGCGCCGUUGCCGGGGAUUGGUGUCAUUUAUUUAAUCCUUUUUACGUUUUACUUGGUGUAUGGUUCGUUCUUCUCGUACAUGUAUACUUUCGUUUGAUCCUGAAAUUGAGAAGACAACUCGCCAACUGAGACAGCAGACGAAGCGAGCUAAGCAAUGAUCCUCGUCGCCUUUGCUUUCUGAAACAGAUAUAGUGCCUAAUUUAGUUGAAUCAUCUAGUGAUUCAGAAGAACAAGUGAUGGAUAGACCUGCACCUGUAGAAAGAACCCUUAGAGAGUUAGCUGAACCAGACUUGAAUCAACAACCACUCUGCAUUCAAUAUGUAGACUUGGAGGUAAAUUUUGAAUUAAAGUCUGGUCUUAUUCAUUUAUUACCCAAGUUUCAUGGUUUUGCAGGUGAAGAUCCUCAUAAACAUCUUAAGGAGUUUCAUGUUGUGUGUUCAAGUAUGAGACCACAAGGCGUGACUGAAGAGCAGAUUAAGCUGCGUGCUUUUCCUUUCUCUUUAGAUGGACUAGCUAAAGACUGGUUGUACUACUUGCCUCCUGGAUCAAUUACAACGUGGAAUGGUUUGAAGAAGCAAUUCCUCGAGAAGUACUUUCCUGCUUCAAGAGCUGUUAACAUCAGAAAAGACAUUUGUGGGAUCAGACAACUUCCUGGGGAGACUUUGUAUGAGCAUUGGGAGCAAUUCAAACAAUUGUGUGCCAGCUGUCCUCAGCAUCAGAUUUCUGAUCAACUUCUUAUUCAAUAUUUUUACGAAGGACUGUCAUUGAUGGAUAGGAGUAUGAUAGAUGCUGCUAGUGGAGGCGUGUUGGUGAACAAGACCCCUACUCAAGCAAGGGAGCUGAUAUCAAAUAUGGCUGCCAACGCACAACAAUUUGGCAGCAGGUAAGAUCUCACUUCAAGGAAGGUGAAUGAGGUAAAUAUUUCUUCUGUUAAACAACGUUUAGAUAAACUUACUUCUCUUGUGAAAAAGUUUGUUGUAGGUAAUGUGCAACAGGUGAAGACUUGUGGCAUUUGUUACAAUAUGGGUCAUUCAACUGAUAUGUGUCCUACACUUCAAGAAGAACCCGUUUAACAAGCCAAUGCAGUUGGAGGAUUUCCAGGCAUGCCUUAGAGGAGGUAUGAUCCUUAUGCACAAACAUACAAUCCGGGAUGGAAGGAUCAUCCCAACUUCAGCUAUGGAGUUAGGCCGUCAGGAUUCCCACAACAGUAUCCACCAAGACAACUAGCACCUCCACAGUCAAACUCCAAGUUAGGUAUAUCUCUUGAAGAAAUUGUUAAAUCACUUGCAACUAACACUCAACAAUAUUAGCAGGCAACUAUAGCAAGCAUUCAGAAUUUGGAGAACCAAAUGAGUCAAUUGGCGACUACAGUGAGCCGUCUGGAGUCUCAAGUAUUAGGGAGAUUGCCUUCACAAUCUGAGGUGAAUCAAAAGCAAAACGUUAGUGCUGUCAUCCUUAGAAGUGGGAAGGAGUUGCAAGAGCCUAGUAAGAAAGUGACAAAGCAUGUAGAAGAUGAGCUUGAGAAGAAUGAAUUGAUGCCUAAAUCUCAAGAUGCACAACUCACCAGAGCGAAACCCCUACCUAUUGUGAUACCUCCUCCUUUUCUAAGCCGGUUUGCAAAAUCCAAGAAGGAGGAACAAGAGAAAGACAUCCUGGAGACAUUUCGCAAGGUUGAGGUAAAUAUUCCUUUAUUAGAUGCUAUAAAACAAAUACCUCGAUAUGCUAAAUCUAUUUUUUAGCCCCUACCUCCUUGGCUAAGAUCUAACUUGGGUGGCAAAUUAAAUAAACUUGUUUGAAACUACUCAGCCACAUCUUUAGGGGUAUUAUUGUUAGUUGCUUAACUACUAAAUUAAUAAAAUUUGUAAUAUUUUCAAUAAAGAUUUUCCUAUAAUAUUGUAUAAGCUUUUAUAGUAUUAAUAAUGGGACUAUUGUGGACCCAUGAAUUUAAGUGUUUUAUGGUGCAUUCAGUAUUGUUUUCAAAUUUCAUUUUCUGUCUUCUAAAUUCAAGAAACAUCAAAUACAUGUUUGGUAGAUUGUUUCUAAAUAUACCUUUGAAAAUUUAAAAUUUAUUUAUACUUUUAACUAAGAAAAUAAGAAAACAACAUUUUCUUGUUUUCUUUGUUUCCCAAUUCAAUUUAAGCUUCAAUAUGAAAAAUUUUCUUCCGCCAUCUCUCAAAAUAAUAAUGACAUCAACAACAACAAAGACAACAACAACAACAUUGUUGUUGUUGUUGUUGUUAUUAUUAGACCACCUAAAAAUCAACUUCCAUUAUAAUAAUCUUUUCUUCUUUUAUGCAUUAUAAUAUUUAUGCUUUUAUAUAUUAAUUAAAUCAAGUAUGCAUAGUUUAUCAUUUUUCUUUAAACAAAAAAAGAUCACCUAAUUUAUUCUUAAAGUUAAAAAAUCAAACUAAUUAAACAAUUAAAAUCACCUAAUUACACUACUUAAUAUUAAGUUUAUGGAAAUUAUUCUAAUAAUAAUUAUUUAAGCUAUUCCUAUCGAGCAUGUUUUUCUUUUUUCUCACGUUCAAGAUUAUUUUCGAAAAUGAUAUCGAACACAUUUAAAAAUUUUUAAAAAUAAAUUCGAAAAUAGCAUUUUCAUUCUCAUUUUUUUUAAUGAAAACAACAAUUGAAAAACAAUACCUAAAUAUGAUAUAAUGAUAAAAAUUUAAUGAAAUAUAUAGUAGUGGGUAAUCUUCAGGUUAUAAGUGAAUGUAGAUAUAUAUAUAUAUAUUACUUUCAACUAAUAGAUAAAAGAAAUUUUCUAUGGUGUUGGGAUGAAAAUCCCAUUAUCAAUGAUGAGAUUAUUAUUGAUCAUUAGAUUUAAAUAUUAGAAUCUUCAACCUUAAUUUAAUUUUAAUAGUAAGUAAUUGUGUAACAAGUAAUUUGCAUGUUGUGAUAUUUCUUUAUACAUUAAUUUAUUUUUAUCCAAUCAAUUGAUAAACAUUUUUAGGUCACCAAAAAAUUGUAAAAAAAAGUAAAAGUAAUUCUGAAAUUAAAAACGUUAUAUACUGCCUAUAGCUAUAUAAUUUUACUGUUUCUUCUUUCACAAUUAAUAUUCAUAUAAAAAUAGCUUCUAAAUAAAUGUAAUAUUACUCCAACAAUAUUUUAUAGGGACAAUGACACCUAUACCCUACAGUUUAGGGAAAUGUUCACAAAUAUCUCUAAGUUUUCAGGAAGGGACAUCAACACCCAUUUUAACCAUAAUGCCCUUUGAAUUUAAUAAUUAGAAAAUUGACUUUAAGAUUUUUUAAUUGACAAAUUUAAUAUAAAUAAUAUAAUCUAUCAAGUAGACUAAUAAUACUAAAUUAUUUUUAACAUUUAAAAUAAUAUUAAAAUUUUAAAUUAUUAUAUUUAUUUUAAUAAUAUAUUUGUAUAUAUUAUAAACAUUUUAAAUAAAUCUUGGGUUAAAUAGAUUUUACAAUUAAAAAAAAUACCCCUAUUAAUAAUAUGAAAAUUAUUUUUACAUAAUAUUUAAAAUAAUUUUAAUUUUAAUUCAUUUAUUUUAAUAUUAUGUUUCUAUUUGUUAUUAAAAGUUAAUUUAUUAUCUUAAAUUUGUAUUAAUUAAAAAACUUUAAAGUAAAUUUUCUAAUUCCUAAAUUCAAAGGACAUUACGAUUAAAAAGGGGUUUCGGUGUUCCUUUUUGAAUACCUGGAGAUCUUUGCGACCAUUUCCCCAUACCUUAGAGGUGUAAGUGUUUUUUUCCUUACUUUAUAUAAAGAUAUUUCAUAGAUCUUAUAAUAAUUUAUACUGUAUGAAUUUAAUCAAAUGACCAUUAAUACUUAAACAUUAAUAAUUAUAGAAGGUAUUGUAAUAAAUUAUUUGAUAUAUAUUAUUAAUGAUACUAUAUAUGUGUGUAUAUGACUACAUGAUGGCUUGGAUAUAUAUUUUUAGUAGUAAGUAUUUUAACUUAAAUUUUUAAAACAAAAUUUAUACUAUUGAUUUCAUGUAAUUCAAUGGUGGAUGAUUUAGCAUCAUAAAAUAUUGUUUUGAUGUUUAAUAUAAUCAUUAAAUUGUGAGAGAUUAAUUUCUCAAAUUUUGUGUUAAAAUUUUAAGUUAAAAUAUCCCAAACCAAUUGUUUUAUGAAAAUACAAAAAUAUAUAAAGAAUUUUUCUCAUUAAUUUUCAUAUGAAUAUUAUUAUAGGUAAUAUUUUAUAUAUUGUCACCAUUAAUUACCAUCAUUAAAAUAGUGACUCUUAGUAAUAUAGAAUUUUAUAAUAAGUUAAUUGCAACCAAAGGAUACCAACAAAUAAUAUUUCACGAUUCAUAAACUAAAGCUAAUUAAGAAUAUAUUUUAGGUUUAACUUUUAUGAAAUCAACAAAAUGAUAUUAGAAAAUAAAAUGAAAAUAGACUAGUGAAAGCUUUGAGUAAUUUUCUGCAAUGAAAGAAUAUUAAUUGUAAUAUAAACCAUAAUUUCAUCGUAUAGCUACGCUAAAUGGGAGUAACAAAUAAUAUAUACUUUACGAUCAACUAUUAAAUGGUCCUUAAUAGCAUAUAAAGUAGUGGGUAUUUUAAUAUAUACUAUUAAACUUUUUUAAAACAUAAGUAGUUAAGUAUAUGAUUUUUAGGAUAUAAACAAUCACAACCAAAUGUUUAUUGAUGUAAAUUAUAUGGCAUUCAGUUAAAUGUACAUACUUAAUUCUAAUUGGUUAAACAAUUCUCUUUCUUUCUUCGCUCUCUUACGACUUGAGGCACAUAACUAAACGCGUGGCUAUUAGCAUUUGCCACCAUGUAUUUAACAACCCCAAAUGAAGAUAUUAAUUUUUUUAGUUUAAUUGCUGCUUCAAAAUGGGGUACUGCAUUUGGAUUUUGUUAUUCAAAUACCAAAAUGUUCCCACAUUGUGUUGGACAGUUUUUGGUUCUAAAGUUGAUGACUGGUUUUGCCAAUCAGGCUUCAAAUGAGAACUUCUAAACAAUAAGACAAAUGGGUUUUGAGUUUAUAAUCUUGUAAACUUUGUUCUAUUGUAUAAGUUAUGAAAUCGUUGAAACAUCACUACAGCUACAGGUCUUUAUGUGUCAAUGAACUGCAGAAGCUGAUGAUCUACUUGUAGUAGACUUCUAUUGCCCCUGCCAUUCUCGGAAGACAAACAAGUUCAGGAACUACUUCUGGACCAAACUCAUAAUAUUGCCACUGCUUUGUGCCAAUCUGAGACGGAAAGAAGAUUGAAGUUCCUAAAUAAGGCACAUCAUGAUUUAAUAGAAGUACCACUAUAAGGAAAAAUUGAUUUCAGGAAAGCACUAAAAUAUGACAUAAUCUCCCCCUAAUGGUCUAAAGUAGUCAAAAAAUUAUAUCAACCAAGCAAAAACACAUAAACUAGUUGAGAUACAAAGUUAUCAUAAAAGUCAAUUUUGAUCACAAAUCCAUUAAAAUUAAAAGACAUCAGAAAGUUAGAGAACAUUAUAAUUUAGGACUCAGCUAAGUUGCAGAUUCUGUAACUAACAGCUGAGUCCACAUUGGCCUUGCAUCAGCUGAGUUUGGGUUGCUUUCCUCUCUCCUGCAACGCGUGGAAGCGUCCCAUUUGCUGUGUUAUAUACAGAGUCGGUACCGUAGCAAGCUCCUAUAAUUUAAGUUUGACUACUGUGGACAAUAGUCUGCCUCUGUUCAAAAGCUAUGCUGCAAGAUAUAGCAUCUUUGCAAUGUUAUACUUUCUAAAAGUAAUAAGAAAUGAAACCAAGGGGUAAAUCGAACACCAAAAGAAAUUUAGUCGGCCAACCACAUUAUGUUCCCACACAGUCCACCAAUUAAGUUAAUAAUUAAAGGGAAUCAAAAUCUAAGAAAUCUCAUCUUCAAGCAAAAUACAAACACACCGGGAUUGAAAAUCAUAAAAUCAUAAAAAGAAGCUGACUUGAAAAGCUCAAAUAUACGUUCAUCAGCCUCUCAACUUAUAUCUAAGAACAAAUGCCUGCAGCUUGUGAAGACAUAGAUAAUUGAAGCUGAUGAGGCAUAUUUAACAGAUGAUAAUCAAAACUCGUGUGAUUAAAAUUAUAAUUCAAUAAUCGAGCACAUAAAACAAGAAGUAACUAGUUGUAUAUAUACCAAACAACUUUCUGAAGUUAAGGCGUAAAACAACAACGUAGAACAAAUUAAUUAAAUAUACCAGCACCAAUACUCUUAUUAUUAUCCAAAUAUAGAAGACCAAUGUAUCAAACAAGGAAAAUGAAAUAUUGUUAAUAACUCAAAAACCACUAGUGUCAAGAAAUAAACUAAUAAGUAAAACCCAUAACCAGACACGACCACUUCAAAAUCUCUGAAAAUUGAGGUCUAAACAUUGAAAACAAUUAGACAUAUAUAACAGUCAAUCGAAACAAAGCCUCAAAAUAAUAAUGAACUACAAUAAGACAGAAACUAAAUUGUAAACAACCGCAUACCCAAUAACAGUAAUCAAGUAACGAGUCAAAACCAGAAUCAAACGUAGAAUUUGAAAUCCAUACGAACUCUAACGUAUUAGAAUGAAAGAAUAAGGACGAUCGAUAAACUAGACUAAAAAAAAAACAUGCCCAGUUAAAAAACGAAGGUAAAUAAAUAAAAAUGGUAUAAAACUGCGAAAAAAAUUAAUUAAAUGAAGAGAAAAUCACAGGAAUCCUAUGAAAAGGAAGGUAAACAAAACCUUCGGGAGCCGAGAAGAUGCCUUUUUUUGUUCACUUUUGUGCCUAUACAUACAUUUUUUUUUUUUGUUGGUAAUUUUGAAGAAAGUAUUGGUUAAAUAUUGUUAGAACGAAAUAUUAAUAGAUGCUGGAAAUUUCAACAAGGACAAUCUUCGAUUCAAAUGUAUCCCUAUGAUAAAGAAAAAGCCUACUUGGCUAAAUUUUGAGCACCACAUUACAAGAUCUAGGUGUAUGUAACCAUGCAAAAUGAAACAUCUAUUAAUUGUAAGUCCCUUGACCUCUGGAACCAGCCAACCAGUCUCUUUCCUGCUAGACAACCUUCCAUCGAUCAGACUAAUAAUAUUUACUAAAUCAUGUUCUACAGUUAAUGGAGUUGGACCCAAGGCAAUUGUUAGAAGUCCGCCUAGACAUAGAGUGCGCUUAGAAGUGGGAUGCUUAGAGAUGGGCCGCCAACACAACCAGCCAACCGUAGUGUGCUUAGCAAAUCACCCAAGCCCGGCCCAAGAUCUAGAACUAUCUACAAAUUGUAAAUAAGCUAAAAGUUUCUAAGUUUCUCCACAUAGGUCCCUAGGAUAUUUAUGGAAGUUGCUAGGAAGUUUCCUCCCCUAGAACUCUAAUACCUAUAAAUAGGGGUAAGCCCCCUCAUUUGCCCACCAACCACACCACACACACAAACACUCUAGCACACACACAAGCUCUCUAGCUUUUGUAAAAAGCUCUCUUGUAUAUUUUCUCUUUGUGAGUAAUAAAAUCAUAUUCAGCCAUAUUGCUCUACUUCUCUCUAGCAUUUUCUGCAAGUGUUCUUGCUUCGCUAGUUUGAGGAGUGUUCUAGGGUUGCUUAACAACUUGUUCGCUAGAAGGACAUCAUGGUCACAAAACAUGGACAUGCAAGAAAAAAAUAAUAUUGAUACGUUCUAAAAAUAAUAUGCGUUCUUCUACAGUGAACCAAAAAAUUUAGGCUAAUGGUAGCAAGUGAAGGAAUUGUGAUUUCACGUGCAUUUUGUUGACAUGAACGUAAAGGACUUUUUUUUAUAGUUUAUAUUGUUUAAUAUAACAUUUGAAUUGCAAAAUAGGGGUACAAAAUAGAUACACGAAGUGAUAAAACUAAGCUGAUUAUAAUAAAUAUUGAAUUAUAAGAUUUAGGUUUAAUCAGAAAGACAUAAGUGGCGCACAAAGUCACGAAUUGAUAUCAUCCAUGAUGCAAGUUCAAACAACUGCAUAAUAAGUUGCCCCAAGCUAAACUAUUAAUCUAGUAACUAUUCCAGUCGAUGUGGGAUAAUUUUCCUAUCACCAACUAUCACGUGCAAACCGAAUUUUUUGCUUGGUCCUUACAUGUGGUAAGGUAAUAUGAAUCCACUUGUGCAUAAAUUUGGCUCAGAUACUAUAUAGAAGCCUAUGACCCAAAAUUAGACUUAAAGGUUAUCUCAAGAUUUGAGGGUUGCCUCAAGCUCAUAUUAUUAUUAGCCUGGUAACCUUUUUUGUUUGUUGAUAUGUGAUAUUUUCCCUAUAACUUUUAUUAAUCUUUAUGCUUAUGUUUUGUCAUUUAUCCCAAAAUAUAACAUUAACAAAAGUUCCAAAAUUUCCUUCAAGAGAUAUAUUUGAGACAAGGAAUUUGUGCAAUAACUUUGUAAAUUGAUGAGCAAAUUCAGAGAAAAGAAUAUAUGUGCCAAACAUAACGUUUAUUAUUGUGUUUAUUUGUAGAGCUAUUUAAAGCCCAAAAAAAAAAAAAAGCACCGGUCCGCUAUGAUUUCAAAUAAGUUCAAGCCCUAUGUCAUUAUUGGUACAAAAAUGUAUCAAAAAGGUUAAAAACUAUUUUUAAAGGUUAAAAACUAUUUUUAUUUAACUUAUAAACUUAGGAAAUUAUCAACUGUUCGCCUUUAAAUUGCGCUAUUAUAAAAAAUAUUACAAUAUUUUCAGGUUGUGUCAUUCAUCUACCAUAAAUUUACAAUAUGCAUCAUUUAUCCACCAAAUCAUUAACUUCGUCAAAAAGUGAUAGACGUCACAAGGGUAAUUUAGACAUUUAACACAAAAAAAUAAAAGAGAAAUUAUCUAAGCUUACCAUGUUAUCAAAAUUGCUACAAAAUUUUAAAUUUGUUCAAUUUUCUAAUCUAAGUUUAUGACCUCCAAGAUGUUAAUUGCAGUUUGUAAUUAAUGACUUCAUAAGGAUAAUUUAGACACUCAAUAUGCAAAAUAAAAAAUAAAAUAAUGGCUUAAAACAUUAAAACAAAAAACUACUUUUUAUAAUUGAUAUUCAAUUAAAUACACAUAAACUCUAUUUUUUCUUAAUUAAAAAUAUUCUAAUUUAUUUUCUCAAUUUAUCUUCAUAAAUUUACAUUAAUAAACUAAAUCCACAAAUUACCCUAAACCCUAAUUCAUAAAUGCCCAAUCAAUCUAAUAGUUUAAUUCGAUUUCAUAAUUAAAAAAAGCUAAAUUUAUUAUAUUAGUUAUGGUGCAAAGUAAAAAAUGUCCUUAAAUCCAAGGGUAAAAUAGCAUUUUAUUUAAAUUCUAUAAAUUAUUCUAACAAUGUUAACAUUUUGGUGGACGGUUAAUAUAAGUUACAAACUUAAAAUAGAAAAUCAAAUAAAUUCAAAAUUUCAAACUAUUUAGGGCAAAUUUAGGAUAAUAAUGGUCAAUUUAUUAUAAUUCUAUUAAUUUUUUAAUGGAAGCAAGCGAUAUAAUGGAUGAAUGAUAUAAAUUGUAAAAUUAAGGUGCAUGAACGAUAUAAUUUUAAAGUAUUGUAGUACUUUUAAUAAUAGAACAAUUUAAAGGUGGAUUGGCGAUAAUUUAAACUUUAAUGAAGCAACUAAAAAAUAUUUUUAACAAAGAAAAAUAAUUGAAUGCUUUGUGAAACCAAAAAUAUUUGAAAUGUUUUAAGAAAAAUAAAGGAAAUUAAAUAUCUUUUUAAAAAACAUAAUUGAGUAAAAUCAUUUUACAAAAUGCUCUUUCAAAUGCACAUUCCACAAGCCAAGAAGAACGGGUGGCUAACAAAAAUCUCACUUUUUAUGAGUUUAUAAAAUCUCACUUUCGCAAAAUCCAAAAAUAACCAAUACUAUCACACAAAAAAUAAAAAGUAUUGCUGUCACGACAUUACACACUUUCUUCGCCGUCUAGAAAGGUAGAACAUUUUGAAGUUCCUCAAUACAAAAUGCGUGCUAUUACUAAAUUGGCCCAAUUAAUGCCCAUCGAAAGGCCAUCAAUUUAGCCACCAAAUUUGCCAAAGUUUUAACAAUUGAAGAAAUAGUGAACUCAAAAGGAACAGAUAAAUUUUGAAGUUGAACAAACCUUAAGGUACAUACAACAAAGCCUUGAAACUUUAGUCUUCACAAUUUAAGCACGCAAUAAUAUUAAGUAUCCACCUAAAAAACAAGUAUAGAACAAAGCUUGUUAGCUUCUUGGGCAUUAACUAUGAAUGAUGAGUAAAAUUAAAAAAGCAAACAGAGAAAAUUAUAAGAAGAAGAAAAGCAAACAGUUAAAAAAAAAUUAUGAGAAGGAAAAUUUUGGUAGAACUCCGCGGCUCAUCUGUGAAAUUAAUGUCAAUAUGUAUUUUUAUGUAAAUAGGGUCUCUGGAUUUUAGGAUGAAUCAAUCAGCUACCACAAACGAAAACAUGAACCAACUAUAUAUAGAGUCAAUCAACUAUAAUUAAAGUUCUCAAGAGCUUACCUCUGCUCCAGAAUUCUCGGAAUCAUCUAUUUCCUUCUGAAUUUGCGCGAAGCUUGGGACAACUAAGAAAGCGUCCAUGUGGAGCUGGGAUCUGAUAACCCGCAGGCCAAAAGUUGGUGAGGUUUGGUAAAUCUAACAGUGUCAAGUUCCAAAAUCCAUUCAUAACAAUUUCAUUGUAAUCCGUGACAUCUGCUCCAUCUUUAUGCCAGAAUACUUCUUCUAAUUCAUAAUUACUUUCUACCCAUAGUUGAGUUAGAUUUUGAAGACUUGGAGCUACGCUAAUAUGAAAUAGAUGCUUUAGUUUGGGGCAGUUGUAGAAAGUGAUCCUUCUGAGUUUUGGGAAACAUACAGGUUGGAGAUGAUCCUCAUCCUCAUCCUCAUCAAUGAUUUGCUCUAAUUCCAAGCAUUUCCGAACAGAUAACUCCUCCAAUUGCAACAGAUUUCGAGCAAGUGUCGAUGAGAGGAGACGUUUCAACUUAGAGCACCGGAUCACGAGUAAACGGGUAAGAUUUUGCAGGCUAAAAAUAUGCGUGGGACCUUCAUGAUAUAAUACUUGCAGUUCUGGAAGAUUUUUCAAUUGCAACGACUUCAAACAUGGGAAUAGUUUGUUUUCUUGUCCCUCAGCGAUAAUAGCUUCCAAUUGAAACACCACAUGUACUCCAAGUUGGCUAAUUUUCAAAUCUUCCAAAUUUUUUAAGUCGUGCUUCAACAGUGCUGGAAUCGUGUCACUCAAAUGGGAACAAUUGUCCACAUUUAGAAUUUUUAAGUUCUGAGACAAAUAAAUAAAUAACUUGAUGUAAUUAAAAUCUAUUAGCAGCUAAGAUUAUCACAUGAUAAGUGACGAACACCGCAAAAAACAAAAAUAGAAACAAAAUCCAUACAAAAAUAUAAUAAUACAUAUGUAAACUAAUAAAAUAAUUAAAAAGUAAUAUGGAUUGAUCAUGUGAAGUGAUAUAAAGGUGACAUUAGAUUGUUUGAGAAAAAUUAGUAUUCUAUUAAUUUCUAUGGAUUGAUCAACUAAUUAAUUGAAUUUGAGUAAUAUUAUAUACACUUCAGUAAGUGUUUCUAUCAAUUCUUUCUAAACCAAAAUGAGAUAAGACUUCCAUUUGAACAAUGAUUUUAGGCCCUAAAAUAAAGAAAUUUCCCUAAGAUAUUUGAGCAUUAUUAUUAUCAUCACCACAUCCACGAUCAUCAUCAUCUCCAUAGGACCAAAUAAUUAAUGGCUGAUCAUAAAAUUUAUUGCUAAAUUAUCAUUUUGAGUAAAAUUGAAGGAAAAGAAAAAAUGUAAACACAAACAAACAUACCUCUUCAAGAUACUGCAAAUUGGCUUCAAGUUCAGUACUGCUGACGGUCAAGUUGGGACAGUGCCUAAGGUGUGACUCUUCCAAUGCUGUCCAAAUUGAACAAUAAUUUUCUGAACAGAAGCUCUUGAGUUUUGGGAGAUUGUGAAGUGUUAAUUUUGUCAACAAAGGGAGGGCAAGCAUCGUAUUUCCAUCUCCAACACUUAUUUCCCCUUCAUUAUGAUCAAACUUUGCUUCGACAAUACAUUCCAUUCUCCGGCAUCCACUUACAUAGAGACUUUUAAGCUGCUUCAAACUUCUAGCUUGUGACAACGUGAAGAUAUAUGUCAAAUUGUUGCAUCCACACACAGUCAAUUCUGUAAGAGCUUGGAGGCUGAUCACAUAUUGGGCGGGCGCCUUCCAUAUCCACUUCAGUUCUGGUAAUUGCCACAUAGAUAACUCUGCUAAUCUUGAGAGCAUCACAGGAUUCCCACUCUUUCCAUGCGGCGACUUAGAGGCAUCCAUUAUGCAUUCUAAUUCUUUGCACUCGUUGACAGAAAGACAAGUCAACUCAUUUAAGCCCCUUGGAUCUAUGCUUGGCACAAUAUUGUGACAACCUAUAAUCGUUCUUAAAUUAAGAAUUUCCAGUUCUUGAUACAAUGCCGAAAAAAUACCGAGAGAGGUUGCUUCACAAUUAUUAAUCUUUAAGCCCCUUCUCUGUCCAAAAAUUUCAUCUUCUUCUUGCAUUAGAAAUUCAAGUUUGUUACCAUUACUGACGUGGUGCCUUUCCAAUUUCGGGAAUGUAAAGUCUUUUGGAAGACGUGCAAUUUUUUUGCCAGUAUGUAAAGUCUUUCCAUCGUCAUUUUCUUCUGAACUCAUCCCUUCAGCCUCCCAAUCUUUUAUCCGACCAUAAAAUUCUUCUAAUUGAGGAAAUUUUUUUAUCGUAAUGGGAGAAAUACAACCAGAAUUAAUGAAUAUAAGAAGUUUCAAUCUACUAAGUUGAUCCCCAAAUUCUUCAGGAAUUUCAAUGGGAGACUCCUUGACACAAAGAAUUUGAAGUCUCUUCAACUUUCCAAGGAAAGAUGCGUCACUUACUUUACAUUGAAUCAACUGCAGAACUUGGAGGUUGGUGAGGAAUUGAAGCGAUUUAAGUGAAAUGACUCCACCUAUUACAGUAACAACUUUCAAUGCUGGCAUCCCUUCGAAAAAAUGCUCUGGAACGUGAAAUUGAUAGUCAUAACCACUAGGAAGCUCUUCUUUUACAUAUCCCAGGAAAGAGAUUCCUUCGUAUUGUUCCAUUGCCCGUUCCGCCAAUCCAUCUGUAGUAACAACUUUCAAUUUGUAGUUAUAUACAGUAUUCUGCAGUUGCAAAAUUUGAAGGUUAGGACAUACCAAACUGGUAGGAAGCUCUUCUUUUUUAUUUCCUACCAAUGAGAUUCCCUUGCAUUGUUCCAGGCUUUCUUCCACUACCCGUUCUGCCAAUCCAAUGCCAACUUUACUAGUAAAAUAUUUCUUUCCCACUGAGCCUAUCCAUAAGGAAACAUCACGAACAAUGUCAUGCAUUUUCACAGAUCUAUCAUUACCGGUGUCUAACAGCAGUGAAGAAGCUUUGAGCUCUUUAAUCGUUCCACUCACUAGGAUCCUGGCUUCUUCGAUUGACUCAACUUGAUACCAAUCCAACGCCACUGCAUAUCCAACCAAAUCAUUCGAAUCUAUCUCAUAAUCUUCUGGAAACAGCGAACACAACAAAAAGCAUGACCUGGAAUCCUCACCAUUCAAAUAAUCGUAACUAAAUUUGAGACAAUGGUAAACGUCUUGGUCAUCCUUACCAAUACCUUCUAUUGUAUUGAGUUUUGCAUUUUUUAGUUUAUGUAGAGCUACUUUCCAUUGACCAAAUCCUUUACCUCUUAGCGCACUUCCAACAGCCUUAAUAGCUAAAGGCAACCCCUUACAUUCAUUAGCAAUUUUUUCUGAAACACCAAUCAAGGUUGAAUCAGCAUCAAUGCCGGCAUGCUUUCUUAGUAAAGCCAAUCCUUCUUCUCGCUUUAGAACACCGAGUUGAAUCUGCGUGUCACAACCCAUGCGAUCACAAACUGGCUGAAGGCGAGUGGUUAGAAGGAUUUUGCAACAAUUGUCUCUAUCACCAACAGGAAUACCUAUUGUCUCCAAGUCAAUUUCAUUCCAGACAUCGUCAAGGAUUAUGAGGAUCUUGGGGCUUUUACUCUCAGAGAACAUCAAGCGCAAUCGGUCUGCUCUAUCCUUCUCAUCUUUCUCCGUUAAUGCCCAACCUAACGACUUUACUAGCUCACUUUGAACAUUUAUUAUAUUUGGAUCCCGAGAUAUAGUGGCUAUCCCUACGUGAUCGAAAAUCUUUUGUUGCCGAAGUUGAUUGCCCGCAAAUUUUGCCAAGGUCGUCUUUCCAACACCACCGAGACCAUGCAAUCCCACCAUCUUUGUGCUCUCUUUUUUCAGUGCUUCAAUGAUCUGAUUACAAGCCAAUUCUGUAGUCUCGAAAGACAUAAAAUGUCUUGGUGCAGGCAAUUCUUUGUUCAAUGGUAGAGGUUUAGGAUGGGCAACAGUGCUGAAUUUGCCGCGGUCUAGUAGAUCGGCCAACUUGCUAGUCUUCUUUAAUGCUUUUCUUCCCAGCCAAUAUCGGCAACCCCAAUUAGGACACCAUCCAUUAAGACAACUCUUGUUUUCAUCUAUCUUUGCUUUCAAAUUUUGAACAUUGGCCAUUUCUUUGACUACAUCCGCCAGCCACUUCUCUACAUCUUUCUCCACUACUACGGCGCGGUGUUUUUGUCGAUCUUGUUCUACUUUUUCAUUGAUGCCAUCUUGUGCCUCCUUCAAAUUAGUUUCGUUAUCCCCAAGUUCUUUAAUAAUGCUGUUGAAGCAGAAUAAAUAGCGAGCUUGGUUUAUGGUUGCGUCCGCCAAUAAUUCUCCAAGCUUUGAUGCAACACCUGAUAAAAUUUCCAUGCUAUUUAUCUGCAAUUAAUGAAAUUGAUCUCAGUAUGCUAUAAGCAAUUAAAACAACAUGGCUUGAUCGCAAGAUCGAACGUGAACGUUUAAUUACUUUAAUUUUUUUUCUUUUGGCUUAUUAACGCCAGCAUUGAUCAAUAAGAGCAAAAUGCAAAACAAAGGAGAAGAAAUAAGGUAAACGUUAUAUAUGAUGGAUUACAUUGAAAUUAGAUUACUUUAGAAAUUUUUAAAUAAAAAUUUAAUAGAAUCCGGAUAAACCUAAGAGUUUGUUGUGCAUUGCGAGUGAAGACAGGCAGUUGCAUGGGGAAUAUGAUAAAAGUGAUGAAUAACUGAAAAGCCACCCAUAAUAACAAUUAAAAAGAGUAUUAGAGAUUAGAGGAGUUCAACAUUCUAUGCAAGCCCACUCACGAUAAAAUUUGAAUGGUUUCAACAGGAUUACCAUUUUUUGACCUUUAAUAAAUAUUCUAAUAAAAUAAUACCAUAAUUCCAAACAAUAUCUGAAUUUCUUUUUCCUUCAAAUGUUCAUUAAACUCACAUAUUGGAUAAUUAAUUUAAUUAUUUUUUAAAAUUAUUUAUUACCCUAUCUUAUUGUUCAAUAGAUAUAAAUGACACCUUAUUUGGUAUGGUAAAAAUUGGGGUAAAUUUUCUUUUAUUCUCUAAAGUUUGGACCUAUUACCAGUUAUAUAUAGUAUUUGUAUUUUGUAAAAUUUUACCUAAAACGUCCAUGUCAUUACUUUUAUAGCUAUUGAACCUGAAUUUUCCAGUGUAAGAUAUUAUUUUUGUCUAUUAUAAAUUAAAAUUCAAAUAAAUCUAUCAUGCAACAAACAAAACGUAAAGAAAAUUAAUUAGGUUUUAAUUGGAAACAAAUAUAAAAUAUCGAUUUUUUUAUUAAUUUUUGUGAAUUCUUUUAUUGUUCGAAUUAGAAUUGAAUAAUUUGUAUAAGGAUAAUUUAUAUGAAGAUAAUCUGCAAAAUAAGCUUAUAUGCCGAAUUUAAAAGAGUUAUAUUAGCAAUCAUAUAUUUAUCAAAAUUUUUAAUAAAACUAUUGUUUAAAAAUUGGCCAAAUGGGUUUCAUGAAGAAAAUAGAAGGGCAUGAACAAUUUAAAAGACGUAUUAAAUGGACCAAUUUGAAAUGGUAUGAGAGCACAAUGAACUCAUGUUGGUACCUGGGUAGGCAAAUUAAUUUUAUUUUUAAAGUAUGGUUAACAGUACUGACUUGGAGGUGAUUGACGUUAAGUUAAAUUAAUGCAAACAAAUGGUAAAAAUAAUUUAAUGAAAAUUAAUUAAUAAAAAAAUGCAUUAAAAAAUUAGAACUUAAGUUCUUGAUCAUUUUGUCCGUAUGUUUUUAAUCCAACGCUCAGAAUUGGCGUAAAACUAGCCAUUGGAAGUAAAACACAAAAAUCGAAUUAAGGGCCUAUGAAACAAUAAGAUCUCAUACCUUCUUCGUUAUAAAUCCUCAAUUACUGUUGAAAGCUCCAGUUAAGAGAGUCGCACAAGUUCGGAGAAAAUUAAAAAGCUGCAUAUGGCAAUAUAAAUAAACAUCAGAUCAAAACGAUAUAGGAUAUAUCUGGCUAAUUAACAUCUUAUAUAAGUCCUUGUUCUCAGUCAAAUCUUUCAUACUUAGAAAAAAAAAAAGAUUGAAAUAAUAACUGUAUGUUUUUAAUCCAACGUGCAAAAUUGGCAUAAACAAACUAAUAUAGCAUAAAACAAACAUCAAAUUAAGAGCCUAUGAAAUAAUAAUAUCUCAUACCUUCUUCAUUAUAUAUCCCCAAUUACUACUGACAGCUCCAGUUAGAGUGGCAUAAUUUCCGAGAAAAUUAAAAGCUGCAUCUAGCAAUAUAAAUAAACAUCAGGUCAAAACAAAAUAGGAUAUAUCUAGCUAAUGAACAUCAUAUAUAAGUCCUUGUUCUCUAUCAAAAUCUUUCCUUCUUAAAAAAUAAUAAUAAUAAUAACAAUAAUAAUUGAAAUAAUAACUGUGGGUGACACAUGAAGCAAAAGUAACAUACCGAAAUGAGAGCAGCUCACAUAUCUGGUGACUUCCAAGAGAAUGAAAAAUGAAUGACCUUCGGCAGCAAGAUCCAAAUCAAGUAUCACAAAUUGCUACUGACUUCGUGGCUUCACUUUCCUUUUCUUUUUCUUUUUUUUUAUAUCACAGUGUGAAUUGAAAGGUGAAAAGUGAAAUGGUACACAUGCGUAUGAUGAGGGGGUAAUUUUUAGACACCUGCCCGAGGUUUAAGGUCUUCUGAAUUAGAUGGAUUGUAUUUUCGUAUUAUCAAAUACCUCCCCUGCCCGUUUUUAUUCCAUUUAGUAUUUUCUAAAUGGCUGAAGGUAAAUUGGUAAAAACUCAUUUAAAAUAAAAAAAAAUCAAAGAAAUUCAAGAAGAAGCUUUAUAUCUGCCAUUUGUAUUUGGGGUAUCUUUUUGGUUGUUGAGUGAAUGAGCUUAAAUCUUAAAUAUUUAUUUUCUUAUUAUAUAUUUCUUAUUGGAAAGAAUUUGAAUCUUAUUCUUAUUAAACUUAUUCUCUUUAAAUAAAAGUAGAUUUCUCUCCAUGUAUUUAGUGUGUAUUUUGAAAUUAAUGUUCAACAUAUCUUUAGAUCCUAUUAUAAAUAUUCAUAUCUAAAAUCUCAACAGAUUCCAACAUAUAAAUAUAUAUAAAGAGAGAGAGUAACGUUCUAAUAAGAAAUUUUUUAAAUUAUCAAAUUAAAGGAUAAUUCAAAAGAUAAAAAAAUACAUAAUCUAAUAUAUUAUAUAACAAAAUAUACUAUAUUAAAAUAUAUAUUUUGCUUAAUUUUUUAAUAUAUCCCAUAAUAACUUAAGAAAUCCUUUAUUUACCUGAUAUAUAUAUAUAUAUGUAUAAUUUUUUACAAAAUAAACAAUUUAGAGUAAAACAAAGGACAUUCUGGGGCCUUUUGCUAGACUACCAAUCUACCAUUUUGGAUUGCAAUAAAGUGAAAAUACUGGACUACCAAUCUACUAUUUUGGAUUGCAAUAAAGUUAAAAUGGGUUACACCAAAAAAGUAAAAAAAAAAAAAAAGUGACAAUCAAUCUUGUCGGCCAAUACAUCGAGUUUUUUGCCGGAUUAGUAUCACCGUCAAAAACAAAUUAUUGCAAGCACUAGCAAAAAGCAAUCGAUGAUUUCGCAAUUUGGUUGUUAAAAAGCAAACUAGAUCACGAUUCCUCAAUUCAAAAUGGGGCAAAAUUAUGGUAUCACAAUGUUACCGUACUACAGCUGGAUCCAGCUUACAGUUACCAUCAUAAUUGAAUCUAACAGUUGGAUCCAUCUAUAGUAUGGUAUUACUGUGGUACCAUAGCUGGACCCUUCAAAAAAAUGCUUUUUUUAAUUAAAUAAGUGAAAAUUAAACCUACAAUUCAAAAUAGAAGACUGUAGAUGCGUAUAAAUUGAAGAAGGUAAAUUUUGUGUGUGCGUAAAUAUUUUAGUCAACAACAAAAAAUUCUAACAAGUUAAUAUAAGAGUAUCAUAGCAGUACAAGAGAAUUUUUUUUUUUUUUGGAUGUUAUGAGUUAUCGAGAUACCCAAUAUAUAUGUGUGUGUGAGAGAGUGGGGAAGAAAAAAAAUAUUAAGAAUAGUUUUGGCAUUUUGAUGGGUUUUAUAGAGUAAAAUCUAUAUUUUCAAAUAUGAUAAUUCUUUAAUUUAAUUUUUUGUUAUGAAAAAAAAGGGCAUUUUAAAUAUGUUUUAAGUUAUAAAUAACUCCAUCCAAAAUUUAAAAAUGAAAUCUUAGGGGGGAAAAUUUUUCACCCAAACUAAGGCCCAAAGUAGCCGCGGCAUUUUUCACCAAUUCUCCAAUUCCCAAUGUGGUCUAAUUAUUUACAAGGAAUAUGAGUAGGGGUGGGCACGGUUCAGUCCGGUUUGGUUAGAAUCUAAAUUAAGCAGAACCGAUUUAAAUAGGUUAUUUUAUAAAAAAAACUAAAUAAGAACCGAACUCAAUAAAAAUUGGACAUAAACGGAUCUUUUCAGAUCGGUUUGGUUCGGUUCGGUUUUUUCGGUUUUGGGCGUAUUUUGAAUUUCUAAAUUUUAGCCCAUUAGGCCUCAUGAAUGUAAUGAUUUUAUUCAACAAUUAAUUUAUCCUAAUUUCAUUACAAAUAUUAACAAUAAAUACAAAGUAUUCAAAACACAUUUUAUCACUAAUAUCUUACUAACUACUAAUAAGGUACUUAUAAAAUAUGAAAUAUUAAGAUUUCAAAAUACAUAAUCAAACUCCAAUACUCCAUCUACAUAAACACAAUGUUGUAACGACAAAAAAAAAUAAUAACAACAAUUAAAACUUACAACACAAAAUAAAAAGAAAAUUUGGAAACAAACACUAACAACAAUUUUUAAAUAAAUAAAUAAAUAUAUAUAUACUCGUAAUUGUGUGUGUGCAUGUCUAUUUUAGUUAUCUUACGCAACCAAUUAAAAUUUAACAUGUGUCUAUUUAAAUAAAAUUCCAAGAAUAACUCGGUUUUUCGGUUCUGUUUUUUGGUUCAGCUGAGUGAACCGAAUACCGAACCUGUAUUUUAGUUUUUUUUACAAACCAUAUAUUUCAGUUAUUUUUUAAAAUUAAAACCAGUCCAAACGGAACGGAACGGUUCAGAUCGAUUUUCUCUAGUGCACGGUUUUUUUGCCCACCCCUAAAUAUGAGAUUCUCUACCACUCCAAUUUAUCCCAUUGUUAGCAAUCCUAUUAGAUGUUUUAUAUCCUAUUUUUAUUAUGCUCCCCAAACAAAUAUGUUUCACCUAAAGGUGCCCAACGGGCUACACCGUCCGUCUGAAUGAGCGCACGAGAGGCUCCACAGGCGUGUCUGAUAUGCUCUUUCAAGUCUACAUACCUAACGUUCUUUUUUUAAGUGCAUAUAUAUUUUUUAAAGCUCAUGUGAAAUUCAGUAGUAAGAGAAUGCAAUACUAGUUAAUAAGUUAGAGCCUACAAAAUAAUAAUAAUAAUAAUAAAAUUUUCUCUAAGGGUUAACAUUUUAUUGUUAACUUGAAUUUAUAUACAGUUAUCGAUUAUAGUCCAUAAUAAUAUUAAUACUUACAAGUUUCAAAUUAAAAUUUAAUAAUUAACAUUUCAUUAACACAACUAUAUUAUCUAAUUUUGCAAUAACCAAUUAUAAUACAACAAUACAUAAUUAUAAUUUCAUAGACCAUGGUAAUAAAAUCUCUACGUUAAUGAAAAAUUUUAUUUUGAUAUAUGUUGGUCUGCUUGCUAUUGAUGGCCGAUGGUCGUAUGCUAGCCUGCUAAUGAAACGUGUUUAUUAUUGGUUUUUUAACAUGUCUUGCUUUACCACAUCUCUAAUCAAAUUGUGCUCUUAAAAUCCAUAGCCUAACCUAGCCUCUGUGUGUAUCCUGCCGUGCCAUACUAUACAAACAUGUAUCUGGUACCAUGCCACGUACCGGUCGGCCCUUAGCCAUCUCUAGUUUCACCCCUAAAUAAAAUCUAAACGGCUACUGGCAAGUGAGAAAACUUGUUAUUCUUUAUUUUGAAAAUAAAGGGAAUUGGCGAAUUGCUUAGUUUGAUAUUGUUUUUGGUAAGUCAUUUUUUGUUUUGAAACAUUUUUCUGAGAUGUUGUUGUAUUUGGUGAAAAAUAAAUUAUUUUAUUUUAUACUUUUAAUGAAGAAAAGUAGAGAAAAACAUUUUGUUGUUUUCGACAACAUUUGCCUUAUAAGUGCACCCGUGCCACUUUUUUCUUGUUUUAUUUGUAUGAUAAUUAUCAUGGACCCACGUAACUUUCUUUUGCAUUUAAAAUUUCAUAAUAAAUUAAAUUAGACAAAAGAAAAGAGUCCCACAAAUAAUUUAUUUUAUAAUUUUUUAAAUAAUACUAUUUUAAAAUAAAUUAUCAAAACAAAUUUCAUAUUCACUAAAAUUAAUCAUAUUCAUAUUAUAAAAUUAAUAUAAAAACAAUAUCUGAAAAGUAAUGCUAAAUACACUGUUAAAUUUUAUAAACGGCAUUAGAAUUGAUGAACAAUCUGACAAAGAUGCUGCGAUUUAAGUAGGGAUGACAAUUAAAGCCGUAUUUGAAAAAUUUCGUCUCCAAAUUAAAAAAUAUGGAUUCGGAUAUGGAAAUUUGGAAUUCACAUAGAUCCAUAUAAAUUUUAUUUUAAAUUAAAAAUAUAUAUUAAAAAUUAAAUGAAAAAUUAAAAAAUAAAUUUUAUUUGUGAUUUUAUGAUGUUGUUGUAUAUUAUUCAUGUUGAAUUAUUAAUGGUUGGAUUAUGAUUGAAUUUUAUUUGAUAUUAUUAGGUAAAUUAUUAAUUUUUAUUUAAAAUAAAAAAUAUAUAUUAAAAAUUAAAUAAAAAUAAAAAAUUAUAUUUUAUUUGUAGAUUUAUGAGAUUAUUGUAUGUUAUUCAUGUUGAAUUAUUAAUUGUUGAAUUAUGAGUGAAUUUUAUUUGAUAUUAUUAGAAAAAUUAUUGAACUUUUAAAUUAUAUAUUAAAUUAUUUAAUUUUAAUUUUUACGGAUCUGGAUAUCCAGAAUAUCCUCCGGUAUCCGUUGCGGAUAUUACCCGCUUCUGGAUCCGCAUUUUUUUAUACAAAUUCAGAUAAAAUAUGAAUGCGAAUCCGAAUCUGGAUUUUACCAACCUUGAACCUAAGCAUGAAUGGGCCUAAAGUUUUUACAACAAACAUGGAUCAUUCAAUGACACGAGAUGUUUUACAGCUCUCACUAGUAUAAUUAAAUAAUUAAUUCAUCUCUAUAUUCAACUUACUCCGUCUCAAAUUGCAUGCAAAUACGAAAAUACACUUCUGAAUCGUUCACUUGAGGAAAAUUCCAAAUUCUCCACGUAGAAUUUAGAUUCAAACCAUAGCAAAUUAGACAUAAUUCUAAUUUAUAUGGGAAAUAUAAUUAGCGAAGACACUCUUUAUAUAAACAUUAUUGUCAUAGGAUGCCAAACCUAAUAAGAUUCAAGAUCUUAACAUACUUCAUAUGAAAUUUGAUCUUGACGCGUACCGACAGGCAUAACAUCAAGACUCUACUUCAUAUAUUAUAAUGUAACUUCAUGGAUUUUUCGCUCUCUUGGGGGUCUAUCGUUUGUUUGCAAACUUUUCCAUUUUAAAUUGACAAUUAUAGGCGCUCUCUUGUGGUACAUAAAAUAAACGUUUAUUUUUAGAAUAUUAUUAUUUAUCUCAAUUUUUUAUUUAAUAGUUAAUUUUAACCAAUUCUUAAACUGUCAUAAUCAAUUAAUUUUUUACAUUAUGGCGUCUUAAAUAAAUUUUGGAUCUGUAAUAAAUAAAAACUGGUAACGUUUGUUCUUUUAAAACAUAAAACAACCGUAACAUUGGUUUUUACAUUUUGAAUUUUUCUUGCAUCACUAUUUAGAAAAAUGAUGUUAAAUCAACUCACAAAAUAUAUCAAGCCAUCUAAAAUCCAAAUAUUAUUACAUUUGUAUUGCAUUGUUAAAUUGUUGGAACGACGGCAAAGCAAUUGAAAAGAUAUUAACAAAAAAAUAAAGAUUGGCCAAGGAUUAUUCAUGUUUAGGAAAUGCCUUAACUUUUGAUAUAAUCAUUGUUAUAAUUAUAUUGUAGAAAUAAUCAAUUACCUAAUGUUUGUGGUGGUAAAUAUUAUUAACUUGUUUUACUAUACCCGUGUUUAUGCUGGUCUCCUUUUUGUCCAUUUCUGUACAACGAAAUAUUUGCAUGUGUUGAUAGAAAUUGGUUUAAAUGACAUUUAAAAUAGUAUAUCCCCAGACAAUUAACGAAAUAUUUGGAUGGUAGGAUGAAGUAAUAAAUAGUUUUACAAAUUACCAUAUUAGAGGUAAAAAAAAUUCGAGAGGUUACUUGACAAUUAUGACGUUACUAACUACAAAUUUAACACAAAAAGUUUAAUUAACUUUUCUUUUUGAGAUGGCAAAAUCUCUGGUGUUGAAAACAAUGAGGUUUGAGGUUCAAGCUUGAAUAUCAAGUUACAAUUAAUAGAUGGUCUUAGGACAUAUCAAAGAUUUCUUUAAAGACAAAAUAAUAAUUACAAGCAAUAGGAAUUUAUGGUAUUCAGAACAUUUAUAUCUUCGCACAUGAAGCUUGAAUCCAGAACAAGAUGCAGCUAGCCAAUCCUUCCAAAACCCCACAAAACCUCUGUCAACAUAUCUGCUCUACUUCAAUAUUAAGCACAUUCAUAGCGGUAUCAACAGCUUACAGCGCCAAAAUAUUUUCCCCAAAAAGAGUGAGAGAUUUCACUGAAGCUAAGUUGUGACUUGUGACUGCCCAAAUGUUCUAUAACACGAUAUGAUUAUUCUAGUAACACAAAUCCAAUAGCAUGCAACAUAAUCUACUCUCUAACAUUGUGCAUUAGUAAAAUAAAACAGAGUAAAAAGAGAAACCAUGCCUGUGAAUCUCUUCUUUUCCCCCUGCCACCCCUUUUUUUGGUGAAGUCCAUCAAAUGAAAAUGCAGCAUGACCACGUUGGCCACUGCCACUGCCAUUACUUCUUCAACUGUGCCUUUUGUUGCAAGAAAUAUUCAAGUGAAAGAUUGGAUUAUAUAAUUCAAGAUUCCAAUAGACCUGAGCUGCAAAGGUUGCCUUCCACUAGCCUAUCAGAGACUAUGCUUUCUAUUUUCCUAGUUUGUUAAUCAAAAUUUUAUAAGAUUUAUUUAUGGAAAUCUUGGACAAAAUUUUACGUAAGAUACCACAAAGCCAAAUGCAAUCAUUGUAAUUCUCAGCAGCAACAUUUAAAGUGAAAAAUGGAAGCCAUAUAAACAUAACUAUGUUUGCUACGAGGAACAAUUAUUUCAAGCUUUCAGAAAUGCUAGCAAGAAAUUGUAAGAGAACUUUACCUAGUCACAGAAUAUGUCAAACAUACUACCACCGUCUUUAGCACGAUUGUUAUGGAAGUAGCUUUUGAAUCGGAAGAUUCCAGCUUCCACCAGGCACCAUUUUUUUCAUUUUUGAUACAAUCUGCAUCACUGGCAUUAGUUAUACCAUCAACAUUUGCAUCCUCACUCUCAUCAUCCCAAUCAAGGCUUCUUCUCCAGCUCUGGAUUAUAAGUCCACUCCGACAUCUUCGAACACCUCGGUCCUUCCAUUUGCCAACAACCGAUAUGGCUUCCUUCCUUGCCUUCCCCAUUAAUAUAUCACUCGAAGGCAAAAAAAGCAUCAGCAAUUCUCUUCAACGCCUCAUCGUUUAUAACCCCCCAAAAAAAGGGUCUUCAGACACCUCAACUUUGCCUUCUGCAAAACCUCCACAAAAUCUGAAUUAUCCAACACAACAGCCAGACACUCAAUCCUUCUUUUGUCCAUCAUAUCCACCGUAUGAUUCCUCAACAAAAUAUCUACAGCUUGUGGCUUUUCUAACACUGUCUUGAUCCAAAACCCUGCUCUUUUCAACUCAUCUGCCAAACCAUAACCCACUUUUGGAGUCAAAAUUGUCCUUGCAGCCCUUUUAUAUUUUUCCAUCUCCAUCGAAUACUUGCCACUCAAAUCGAAUUACCAGACAGGAAUCCCAGUAACAAGUCCACUCAACUUCUUCUCAUCUGAUCCCUCUUUCACUCUGGCGGAAACAUUAAUAACCAUUCACCAGCCACAAAUUACCCAAGUAAGUAUUCGUGUCGUCAACACUUACCCUUCACUUCAUCUACGCAAACAAGAAUUCAAAUUGCUUAUUAGCUAGUGCUCGAGCGAAAGCCAAAAUAAAUUAAAUAUGUGUGUGUGUGUGUUAAAAGAGAAACGGUAGCGAAGUUAUUACACAAUAAAGCAAACCAAAAUAAAUUCUACACUCAUGUGGGUGUUUCGCUCGCAAAAUCUGGACAAGAAAAAAUAAUAUUGAUACAAUCUCCAAAUAAAGAGCAUUCCUCUUGGUAAAAUAGACAAAUCCUAUAAAUUUUGAUUAAUGGUGCCAAAUGAAAGAGUUGUAAUUUCAUGUACAUUUUGUUAACAUGAAUAAGGGUACAAAAUAGAUAACAAAGUGACAAAAACAAAGCUAAUCACAAUGAAUGAUAAGGUUUAGAGUAAACAUAAAGUUAUAAUCUUGAACAUAAGUGGCGCUCAAAGCCAUGAAUUUGAUAUCAUCCAUGAGGGGAGUUCAAACAACACCAUGUAAGAAGCAACAAGUGUUGAGAAAAAAAAAAUUCAUUCUAACACAACAGAAUAAAUUGUAAAGAAAUCCCAGUUUGUAUAAAAGAAAGAAAACAAAAUUAAGGAAAACAUAAGCACAACAAAAUUUGACUGAUUAUUAAAAAUGAGAAAUGAGUUAUAAUGAGAAUUUUGGCUUUGUGGUGAAAUAAAUUGGGAAGUAUCAAAGUUUGCAUGUAAAUAAUAUAAAUGAUAAGAAGACGAAGGGAACAAAAUGAUAAUAAGAAUGCCAAAUAUUAAAAUGCAGAUUCUACGCUUCCGCCCCCCCAUACUUCAAGUUAGUGUCUCGCUAAUCAUUUUAGAUGUAUCAAUUACAAAGGGAGGCCAUCUAUUUAUAGUAAGUGUACGCCUCUAAUGCUUUGCCAAGUGUCCAUUGAUAAUAUCACAAGGGAAAUUAAAUUGGUGUAUGUGUAUUACACCUCCUAAAGUCAUGUUAAGAUAGUGUGCUGAUAAAGUUUGUUGCACGUAUGAGUUGGUUAAGUCUGCUAGAAAUGCAAACGUGUAAAGCUUAGUUAGUUAAGGUUGUUACGAAUGCUUAGAUUCAGUUCACGUGUAUUGUAUGUAAUGCUUAGAUUCAGGUCAUGUAGAUUGUGUAUACAACUUUCUUAUAUUCUUUAGAUCUCAAUAUAAAUACUUGUAAUCAACAAAUACAAUAAUAAGAGUCAUCAUUCUUCAUUUUCUCUCUGUUUCUCUCAUAUUUUCUCUGCAUCCAAACACAAUAUUCUCAGUUCUUGACUUGGUAUCAGAGUUGCAGUUUAAUUGUCAUGGCUUCCUUCCUUAAGCACAAAUUCAAACAUAAAUCAGUCUCCUUCAUUCUUUACCCUCACAAAUGCGAUCAAACUGGACAGAUCUAACUAUACGAUCUGGAAAUCUCAGAUCCUCUCUUCAAUUCGUGCCAAUGGACUUGAAGGCUUUCUUAAUGAAACUAAAUUUUUUCCAGAUCAGUUACUUACUCAAGAGAUUGAAAGUUAUGGUGUUGAAAAUGUUGUUGGUGAAAGCUCAGCUGAUAGAUCUCAGGAGAAUCCAGCCUUUGUUGCUUGGAAAAGGUAGGAUCAAUUGUUAUUAAGUUGGCUCAUGUCCUCCAUCAGUGUUGAGAUACUUAGUCUUGUGGUAAAUUCUGAUUCUUCUAAUAAACUUUAGACUAAUCUUGAAGAAAAUUUUUGUAUUAGAAACUAUGGCUAAGAAAGCACACUUAAAAAUGAUGUUAAGCAAUCUCAGAAAGGGAUCAAUGACAAUAACUGAGUAUUUUGCCAAACUUAGAGCUGUAACUAAUAAACUUGCUCUAACUGGUAGCCCUGUUUCUACUCUAGACUUUAUUACUCAUCUAAUCUCUAGAUUAGGCCAGCCAUACUACCCUGUUGUUUUGUAUAUUGAAGCUAAUAUGAUGAAAAUAUUUGUCAAUGAAGCCUAUUCUAUGCUUUUAACUCAUGAAGCAAGAAUUAAAUUUAAUCAUCCGAGUGCAAAUAAAGAAGCAAAGUUGAAUUAUGCUGCUAACAUAGCUUAGGCUGGACCUAGUAAUAACAAUAAGAAGUCUAGUAAUCAAGCUAAUUACUAUCAGGGCAACCAAGGUAACUGGAAUAGAAAUGCUAAUUGGUGUGGUAACAAUGGAGGAAGAGGUGGCUUUGGCAGAGGUUUUUCAGGGCAAGGAAGGGGUAAUUAGAAUAAUGGUGGUCAUUGGAACAAUGGACCUUGGAGUAGUAGUCGAGCAGGUUAUAAUUGUUCUGAUAUAAACAUUAUGACAUGGUUGCUGGUGAACCUGUAAACAUAACCACAAAAGUAAGAAGGCAUAAUCUUUUUAUAAGAAACUCAAAAAUGUAUUAAUGAUGAAAAUUUUAAAACAGAUAGUGGACCAACUGUUCACUAGGAAAACAAAAAACUGAAUAUUUGUGCUAUAAAAAGGUCACACCCAAUCUCACCCCUAUAAAAGGCUAGAAUCAGCUACAAAUCCCUAUCUCAAAACCCCAUCCCAGUUUAGAUGAAUGAAGAAAAAAGAUGAAUCUUGAAACUCCUUAGAAACUGAAGCCCAAAGUGAAGCAAGAAGAUGAACUCUAUCCCAAGCAAGCAAUAUGGCAUAUUUCUCCAUUAAUGGUUCAAAUAAAGUGAAUGGCUUUCUCUGAUGAAUGGGAAAUUGUCAAGAUCAAUAGUCAAACUCACGCAAAGUAAACGGACUUAAUUCUCAGGGGCUACUCAUUCUAAGUCUUAAAGAAUUUUUUUCUAAUUUCUAAAGAUAAUAUGGGGAAAAAUCAUUAUUUUCUAACAUGAAAAAUUUGAUAUAGUGUUUAAUGUCUGACCACAAUGAUAAUAUGAGUACUAACAAAAACAUCUUUUAUCAGCAUGUGCGAGUAAAACACCUUUGCAAUCCAUAAAUGUAAGACGCCGCCUGGAGACUGGAGUCAUCGAAUUUUAUAUGUCAAAAGCGCGUUUCAGUUCAAUAAGCCAUAAAUGUCGUUUAAUAUGCUCAUUUUGUACUUUUUAUAUAAAAAAAAUUAUUUAUUUUUUUUAAUAUUGUUUAUUUAUUUAAAUUUUUUUUAAAGCUAAAGAGGUGGGUAACAUCUAAAUUCAAUUUUUAUCCCUUAUGUCCUGACCCUAAGAUUUGAACUAAGGUGAAUAGCCAAAUGUAUAAUAACAGGUAUUUCGAAUUUCAUUUUAAAUGAUAUGCAAUUCAUUAAGUGAUUGUUAAUUUUUUAUAAGAUCAAAAUGAAUUAAUUGUAUUAUCUUACUAACUAAUUGAUGAGUGCCCUAUUAUUUGGGAUAACUUUUGAAUAAAAAAAUUUUGAUGGAUGAAAUAUUCUUUUGAGAAUUUAUUGACUUAUCUCAUUUAUGACUUAUUGUUGCAUUUAAGUGAUAUUGCAAAAAUUAUUUUGCAAUAAUAUUAUUGUUUUGACGAGUAAGUUUGGAGUAAAUAAUACAUAUGGCAAGUAAGAGGUUCGUUAUUGCAUUUAUUUUGCGGACCUAUUUUAAAGCCAAAAAAAGACAUUUCGAUUCAUUAUGAUUCCAAAUAAUUUCAAGCCAUAUGUCAUUAUUGGGAUAAAAAUAAAGUAAAAUGGUUAAAACUAUUUUUAUGUAAUUUAUAAAAAUUAAUGAAGCAACUGCACAAUUUUUUAACACGAAAAACAAUUGAAAUGUGUGUGGAAAAAGAAGAAAAAAAGAAGGCAUUUAAAUAUCUUUAAAAAAAAUAUGAUUGAGUAAAAUCAUUUUACAGAAUGCUCUUCCAAAUGCAAUUCCACUUUUUUUUUUAAUUGCAUUGGGAUAUUCCAAAAUUGGCACAAUUCAUUAAGAAUUCGGCAACUCAAAUUUUAUUUAUCUCUCUAUGCAUUUGACAAAUUAAAAAGAAAAAAAAAAUCAUAUAUCUUCUGUUCAAAAGAAACCUUGGUAAAUAUUGUAAAACAAAUUACCAAUUUUUUUAAUUUAUGCCAUUAUAUCGUCGCUAUUUUCUCGCCCACUUUCUAUCAAAUGAAAAUGUAAUUAUAUGGUUCAGGAUACCAAUAUGCCGGAGCUGCAAAGGUUGACUUCCACUAUGCUAUCAAUGUCUAUACUUUCUAUUGAAUUUCCUUGUUUUUUUUUUAAAUUGCGAGAUUUAUUUUUGGAAAUCUUUGACACAUUUUAUGUAAGAUACCAUAAAGCCAAAUACAACCUUUUUUAUUCUCAGCAGCAACUUUUUUUUUUCCUUUUAAAAAAAGGAAGCCAUAUAAAUAAUGCUUAAAACAUUAUUUGCAACAAGGAACAAUUAUUUCAUGCUUUCACAGAAUAUGUACUGCUGUUAGCCCGAUUGUUAUGAAGUGGCUUCUGCAUCAGAAGAUUCCAGCUCCCACCAAGCAUUGUUAUCUCUAUUCUAAAUACAAUCUACAUCGCUGGGCAUGAGUUAUAUCAUUAAUGUCUACAUCCUCACUUACAUCAUCCCAAUCAAGUGCUUUUUCUCCACAUCUGGAUUAUAAGCCCACUCCAAUCUCUUCAAAACAUCCCAGUCCUUCCAUCACAACUGAUACGACUUCCUUCCUUACUUCCCCAUUAAUAAAUCGCUCCGAGAAAAAAAAAAAAAAAAAAAAAAAAAAAGCAUUAGCAAUUCUCUUCAACGCCCCAUCAUUCAUAUCCCCUACAACAACCAUCUUCAGACACCUCAACGUUGCCUCUUGAAAGACCUCCACAAAAUCCAAAUCAUCCGACACAACCACCAAACACCCAAACCUUCUCUUGUCCACCAUAUCCACCAUAUAAUUCCUCAACAAAACAUCGGCAUCUUGUGGCUUAUCUAACACCAUCCUGACCCAAAACCAUGCUCUUUUUAACUCAUCUGCAAAACCAUAACCCACUUUUGGAGUCAAAAUUGCGCUUGCAGCCAUUUUAUAUUUUUCCAUCUUUGUUGAAUAGUUGCCAACCAAAAGCACUCUCACCUUCCCUCUAGCUGAUUCUAUUUGAUUCGACCUUUUCUUUUAUUCGCCCUCAUGAAUUUGCUUAGAAUGAUUAACAAGCUUGUCAUUAUUAUAAAAUCUCCUUCCACAAUCACCAAUACAUACGGCUUAGCAGGCCUAAUUACACCCUUGAUUUCUAAUUGGUUAAACAAUUCUCUUUCUUUCUUUGCUCUCUUACAACUUGAGGCACAUAACUAAACUCGUGGCUAUUAGCAUUUGCCACCAUGUAUUUAACAAUCCCAAAUGAAGAUAUUGAUUUUUUUCAGUUUAAUUGCUGCUUCAAAACGGGGUACUGAAUUUGGAUUUUGUUAUCCAAAUACCAAAAAUUUCCCACAUUGUGUUGGACAGUUUUUGGUUCUAAAGUUGAUGACUGGUUUUGCGAAUCAGGCUUCAAAUGAGAACUUCUAAACAAUAAGACAAAUGGGUUUUUGAGUUUCUAAUCUUGUAAACUUUGUUCUAUUGUAUAAGUUAUGAAAUCGCUGAAACAUCACUACAGCUACAGGUCUUUAUGUGUCAAUGAACUGCAGAAGCUGAUGAUCUACCUGUAGCAGACUUCUAUUGUCCCUGCCGUUCUAGGAAGACAAACAAGUUCAGGAACUACUUCUGGACCAAACUCAUAAUAUUGUCACUGCUUUGUGACAAUCUGAGAGGGAAAGCAUAUUGAAGUUCCUAAAUAAGGCACAUCAUGAUUUGACAGAAGUACCACUAUGAGGAACAAUUGAUUUCAGGAAAGCACUAAAAUAUGACAUAAUCUGCCCCUAAUGGUCUAAAGUAGUCAAGAAAUUAUAUCAACCAAGCAAAAACACAUAUACUAGUUGAGAUACAAAGUUAUUGUAAAAGUCAAUUUUGAUCACAAAUCCAUUAAAAUUAAAAGACAUCAGAAAGUUAGAGAACAUUAUAAUUUAGGACUCAGCUAAGUUGCAGAUUCUGUAACUAACAGCUGAGUCCACAUUGGUCUUGCAUCAGCUGAGUUUGGGUUGCUUUUCCUCUCUCCUGCAACGCGUACGUGGAAGCGCCCCAUUUGUUGUGUUAUAUACCGAGUCGGUACCGUAACAAGCUCCUAUAAUUUAAGUUUGAUUACUGUAGACAAUAGUCUGCCUCUGCUCAAAAGCUAUGCUGCAAGAUCUAACAUCUUUGCAAUGUUAUACUUUCUAAAAGUAAUAAGAAAUGAAACCAAGGGGUAAAUCGAACACCAAAAGAAAUUUAGUCGGGAAACCACAUUAUGUUCCCACACAGUCCACUAAUUAAGUUAAUAAUUAAAGGGAAUCAAAAUCUAAGAAAUCUCAUCUUCAAGCAGAAUACAAACACACCGCGAUUGAAAAUCACAAAUUCAUAAAAAGAAGCUGACUUGAAAAGCUCAAAUAUACGUUCAUCAGCCUCUCAACUUAUAUCUAAGAACAAAUGCCUGCAGCCUGUGAAGACAUAGAUAAUUGAAGCUGAUGAGGCAUAUUUAACAGAUGAUAAUCAAAACUCGUGUGGUUAAAAUUACAAUUCAAUAAUGGAGCACAUAAAACAACAACUAGUUGUAUAUAUACCAAACAACUUUCUGAAGUUAAGCCGUAAAACAAAAACAUAGAACAAAUUAAUUAAAUAUACCAGCACCAAUACUCUUAUUAUUAUCCACAUAGAAAAGAACAAUGUAUCAAACAAGGAAAAUGAAAUAUUGUUAAUAACUCAAAAACCACUAGUGUCAAGAACUAGACUAAUAAGUGAAACCCAUAAUCAGACACAACCACAUCAAAAUCUUUGAAAAUUGAGAUCUUUGAAAAUUGAGGUCUAAACAUUGAAAACAAUUAGACAUAUAUAACAGUCAAUCGAAACAAAGCCUCAAAAUAAUAAUGAACUACAAUAAGACAGAAACUAAAUUGUAAACAACCGCAUACCCAGUAACAGUAAUCAAGUAACAAGUCAAAACCAGAAUCAAACGUAGAAUUUUGAAAUCCAUACGAACUCUAACGUAUUAGAAUGAAAGAAUAAGGACGAUCGAUAAACUAGACUCAAACAAAAACAUGCCCAGUUAAAAAAUGAAGGUAAAUAAAUAAAAAUGGUAUAAAACUACGAAAAAAAUUAAUGAAAUGAAGAGAAAAUCACAGGAAUCCUAUGAAGAGGAAGGUAAACGAAACCUUCGGGACCCGAGAAGAUGCCUUUUUUGUUGACGUUUGUGCCUAUACAUAUAUAUAUUUUUUUAUUUUGAAGAAAGUAUUGGUUAACAAAACGAAAUAUUAAUAAUAGAUGCUGGCAAUUUCAACAAGGACAAUCUUCGAUUCAAAUGUACCCCUAUGAUAAAGAAAAAUCUUGAGCACCACAUUACAAGAUCUAGGUGUAUGUAACCAUGCAAAAUGAAACAUCUAUUAAUUGUAAGUCCCUUGACCUCUGGAACCAGCCAACCGGUCUCUUUCCUACUAGACAACCUUCCAUGGAUCAGACUAAUAAUAUUUACUAAAUCAUGUUCUACAGUUAAUGAAGUUGGACCCAAGGCAAUUGUUAGAAGUCCGCCUAGACAUAGAGUGCGCUUAGAAGUGGGAUGCUUAGAAAUGGACCGCCAACACAACCAGCCAACCGUAGUGUGCUUAGCAAAUCACCCAAGCCCGGCCCAAGAUCUAGAACUAUCUACAAAUUGUGAAUAAGUUAAAAGUUUCUAAGUUUCUCCACAUAGGUCCCUAGGAUAUUUAUGGAAGUUGCUAGGAAGUUUCCUCCCCUAGAACUCUAAUACCUAUAAAUAGGGGUGAGCCCCCUCAUUUGCCCACCAAUCACACCACACACACAAACACUCCUGCACACACACAAGCUCUCUAGCUUUUGUAAAAAGCACUCUUGUAUAUUCUCUCUUUGAGAGUAAUAAAAUCAUAUUCAGCCAUAUUGCUCUACUUCUCUCUACCAUUUUCCGCAAGUGUUCUUGCUUCGCUAGUUUGAGGAGUGUUCUAGGCUUGCUUUGCAACUUGUUUGCUACAAGGACAUCUUGUUCACAAAACAUGGACAUGCAAGGAAAAAAAAAUAUUGAUACAUUCUAAAAAUAAUACGCAUUCUUCUACAGUGAACCAAAAAAUUUAGGCUAAUGGUAGCAAGUGAAGGAAUUGUGAUUUCACGUGCAUUUUGUUGACAUGAACGUAAAGAAAUUUUUUAUAGUUUAUAUUGUUUAAUAUAACAUUUGAAUUGCAAAAUAGGGGUACAAAAUGGAUACACGAAGUGAUAAAACUAAGCUCAUUAUGAUAAAUAUUGAAUUAUAAGAUUUACGUUUAAUCAUAAAGACAUAAGUGGCGCACAAAGUCACGAAUUAUCAUCCAUGAUGCAAGUUCAAAUAACUACAUAAUAAGUUGCCCCAAGCUAAACUAUUAAUCUAGUAACUAUUCCAGUCAAUGUGGGAUAAUUUUCCUAUCACCAUCUAUCACGUGCAAGCCGAAUUUGUUGCUUGGUCCUUACAUGUGGUAAGGUAAUAUGAAUCCACUUGUGCAUAAAUUUGCCUCCGAUAUUAUAUAGAAGCCUAUGACCCAAAAUUAUACUUAAAGGUUAUUUCAAGAUUUGAGGGUUGCCUCAAGCUAAUAUUAUUAUUAGCCUGGUAACCUUUUUUUUUUGUUGAUAUGUGAUAUUUUCCGUAUAACUUUUAUUAAUCUUUAUGCUUAUGUUUUGUCAUUUAUCCCAAAAUAUAACAUUAACAAAAGUUCCAAAAUUUCCUUCAAGAGAUAUAUUUGAGACAAGUAAUUUGUGCAAUAACUUUGUGAAUUGAUGAGCAAAUUCAGAGAAAAGAAUAUAUGUGCCAAACGUAACGUUUAUUAUUGUGUUUAUUUGUAGAGCUAUUUAAAGCCCAAAAAAAAAAAGCACCGGUCCGCUGUGAUUUCAAAUAAGUUCAAGCCCUAUGUCAUUAUUGGUACAAAAAUGUAUCAGAAAGAUUAAAAACUAUUUUUAUUUAACUUAUAAACUUAGGAAAUUAUCAAUUGUCCGCCCUUAAAUUGCGCUAUUAUAAAAAAUAUUACAAUAUUUUCAGGUUGUAUAAUUCAUCUACCAUAAAUUUACAAUCUGCAUCAUUUAUCCACCAAAUCAUUAACUUCGUUAAAAAGUGAUAGACGUCACAAGGGUAAUUUAGACAUUUAACACAAAAAAAAAUAAAAGAGAAAUUAUCUAAGCUUACCAUGUUAUCAAAAUUGCUACAAAAUUUUAAAUUUGUUCAAUUUUCCAAUCUAAGUUUAUGACCUCCAAGAUGUUAAUUGCAGUUUGUAAUUAAUGAGUUCAUAAGGAUAAUUUAGACACUCAAUAUGCAAAAUAAAAAUAAACUAAUGGCUUAAAACAUUAAAACAAAAAACUACUUUUUAUAAUUGAUAUUCAAUUAAAUACACAUAAACUCUAUUUUUUUCUUAAUUAAAAAUAUUCUAAUUUAUUUUCUCAAUUUAUCAUCAUAAAUUUACAUUAAUAAACUAAAUCCACAAAUUACCCUAAACCCUAAUUCAUAAAUGCCCAAUCAAUCUAAUAGUUUAAUUCGAUUUCAUAAUUAAAAAAGCUAAAUUUAUUAUAUUAGUUAUGGUGCAAAGUAAACAAAUGCCCUUAAAUUCAAGGGUAAAAUAACAUUUUAUUUAAAUUCUAUAAAUUAUUCUAACAAUGUUAACAUUUUGGUGGACGGCUAAUAUAAGUUACAAACUUAAAAUAGAAAAUCAAAUAAAUUCAAAAUUUCAAACUAUUUAGGGCAAAUUUAGGAUAUAUGGUUAAUAAUUUUCCCAUGUCUUUUUACAUUGGUUGAUAUAAAUUACAAACUUAAAAUAGAAAAUCAAAUAAAUUUAUAUUUUCAAACUAUUUAGGACAAACUUAGGGUAUAUGGUUAAUAAUUUUCUUUUAUCUUUUUACGUUAAAUUGAGUUUCAAAUGUAAAAUGGUCAAUUUAUUAUAACUCUGUUAAUUUUUUAGUGGAAGCAAACGAUAUAAUGGACGAAUGAUAUAAAUUGUAAAAUUAAGGUGGAUGAAUGAUACAACUUUAAAGUAUUGUAGUAAUUUUAAUAAUAGAACAAUUUAAGGGUGGAUUGGCAAUAAUUUAAACUUUAAUGAAGCAACUAAAAAAAAUUUUAACAAAAGAAAAAUAAUUGAAAUGCUUUAAGAAAAAUAAAGGAAAAUAAAUAUCUUUAUAAAAACAUAAUUGAGUAAAAUCAUUUUACAAAAUGCUCUUUCAAAUGCACAUUCCACAAGCCAGGGAGAACGGGUGGCUAACAAAAAUCUCACUUUUUAUGAGUUGAUAAAAUCUCACUUUUGCAGAAUCCAAAAAUAACCAAUACUAAUCACACAAAAAAAUAAAAAUUAUUGCUGUCACGACAUUACACACUUUCUUCGCUGUCUAGAAAGGUAGAACAUUUUGAUGUUCCUCAAUACAAAAUGGGUGCUACUACUAAAUUGGCACGAUUAAUGCCCAUCGAAAAGGCCAUCAAUUUAGCCAGCAAUUUUGUCAAAAUUUCAACAAUUGAAGAAAUCUUGAGAUACAUACAACAAAGUCUUGAAACUUUAGUCUUCACAAUUUGAGCACGCACUAAAUAUUAACCAUCCAUCUGCAGAGCAAGUAUAGAACAAAGCUUGAACUGAACACGCUGAACACAGCUUUUUUUUUUUUGGAUUUUUAGAAUUUUUUAAAGUCAUUUAUGUUCGCUGCCAUCUUUUUCUUUGCUGGCAUCUUCAUUGGCAUCCAACCAAUAAAUUGGGCAUUAAAUACGAAUGAUGAAUAAAAUGAUUAAAAAAAAACAAACAGACCUUUCAAAAAAAAAAAAAACAGAGAAAAUUAUAAUAUAACACAUAUAUAUUGAAAGAGAAAUUUUGAUUUUAGGAUAGAUCAAUUAGCUAUCACAAACGAAAACAUGAACCAACUAUGUAUAGAGUCAAUUAACUAAAGUUCUCAAGAGUUGACCUGUGCUCCAGAAUUCUUGGAAUCAUCUAUCUCCUGAACUUGGACGAAGCUUGGGACAAUUACGAACAUCUUCAUCGGAUGCAGAUGGAAACGGGAUCUGAUAACCCGCAGGCCAAAAGUUGGUGAGGUUUGGUAAAUCUCUCAGUAUCAAGCCCCGAAGUUCAUUCAUAACAAUUUCAUUGUAAUCCGUGACGUCUGUUCCAUCUUUAUGCCAGAAUACUUCUUCUAAUUCAUCAUUACCUACUAUGUAUAGGCAAUCCAGUUUUUGAAGACUUGGAGCUACGCUGAUAUGAAAUAGAUGCUUUAGUUUGGGGCAAUAACGGACAGAGAUCCUUUUGAGUUUUGGGAAACAUACAGGUUGGAGAUGAUCCUCAUCCUCAUCAAUGAUUUGCUCUAAUUCCAAGCAAUUCGAAACAGAUAACACCUCCAAUUGCAACAGAUUUCGAGCAAGUGUUGAUGAGAAGAGACGUCUCAGCAUAGUGCACCCGUCCACUCUUAAAUAGGUAAGACUUUGCAGGCUAAAAUUAUGGGUGGGACCUUCAUGAUAUAAUAAUACUUGCAGUUCUGGAAGAUCUUCCAAUUGCAACGACUUCAAACAUGGGAAAAGUUUGUUUUCUUGUCCAUCAGCGAUAAUAGCUUCCAACUGAAAUACCACCUGUACUCCAAUUUCCCUAAUAUGCAAUUCUUCCAAAUUUUUUAAUCCGUGCUUCAACAGUGCUGGAAUCGUGUCACUCAAAUGGGAACAAUUGUCCACAUCUAGAGUAUUUAAGUUCUGAGACAAAUAAAUAAAUAACUUGAUGCAAUUAAAAUCUAUUAGCAGCUAGGAUUAUCACAUGAUAAGUGAUGAACACCGCAAAAAACAAAAACAGAAAACAAAAUCCAUACAAAAAUAUCAUAAUACAUAUGUAAACUAAUAAAAUAAUUAAAAAGUAAUGGAUUUAAAAAAAAAUGAAAUUAGUUAAAAGAGAUCAUGUGAAGUGAUAUAAAUGUGACAUUAGAUUGUUUUAGAAAAAUUAUUAUUCUAUUAAUUUAUAUGGCUUGAUCAACUAUUUUAUUGAAUUUGAAUAAUAUUAUAUACACUUCAGAAGUAUUUGCAUCAAUUCUUUCUAAACCAAAAUGAGAUAUGACUUUCAUUUGAAGAAUGAUUUUAGGCCCUAUAAUAAAGAAAUUUCUCUAAAAUAUCUUAGCAUUAUUAUUAUCACCAUCACAUCCACCACCAUCAUCAUCUCCAUAGGAUCAAAAAAUUAAUGGCUGAUCAUAAAAUUUAUUGCUAAACUAUCAUUUUGAGUAAAAUUGAAUGAAAAGAAAAAACAUGAACCCAAACAAACAUACCUCUUUGAGAUACUGUAAAUUGGCUUCAAGUUCAUUACUGUUGAUGGUCAAGUUGGGACAAUUAUGAAGGUCUAAAUUUUCCAAUGCUGUCCAAAUUGAACAAUAAUUCUCUGAACAGAACUUGGUGAGUUCUGGGAGAUCUUUAAGUUUUAAUUUUCUCAACAAAGGGAGGGCGAGCAUCGUAUUGCCAUCUCCGAAACUUAUUCCCCCUUCAUUGUGAUCAAACUUUGCUUCGACAAUAUAUUCCAGUCUCUUGCAAUAAGUCACAAUGAGACUUUUAAGCUGCUCCAAACUUCUAGCUUGUGACGACGUGAAGAUGUAUGUCAACUUGUUGCACCUAUGCACAUUCAAUUCUGUAAGAGUUUGGAGACUGAUCACAUGUUGGGCGGGCCCCUUCCAUGUCCACUUCAGUUCUGGUAAGUCCCACAUAGAUAACUCUGCUAAUCUUGAGAGACUCUUUCCAUGCGGCGACUUAGAGGCUUCCAUUAUGCAUUCUAAAUCUUCGCAAUCGCGGACAUCAAGACAAGUCAACUCAUUUAAGCCCCUUUCAUCUAUGCUUGGCACAAUAUUGUAACAACCUAUAAUCCCACUUAAAUAAAGAAUUUCCAGUUCUUGAUACAAUGCCGAAAAAAUACCGAGCGAGGUCGCUUCAGGAGGGUGGUUACCAAUCAUUAAGAUCCUUGCCUUAUCAUCAUGUUCCCUUUCAUCAUAAACUCCUUCAACUUUAUAGAUGACGUACCUUUGCAAUUUCGGGAAUGUAAAGUCUUUUGGAAGACAUACAACAGAUCUGUCGGCUUGGGAGUUCAACUCAGCAAGCCUAGCAUUACUUUCUUCUGAACUCAUCCCUUCAACCUCCCAAUCUUUUAUCCGACCAUAAAAUUCUUCCAAUUGAGGAAAUUUUUUUAUCGUAAUGGGAGAAACAGAACCAGUAUCAAUAUAUAGAAGUUUCAAUCUACCAAGUUCAUCCGACAAUUCUUCAGGAAUUUCAAUGGGAGAUGACUGGAGAUAAAGAAGUUCAAGUCUCUUCAACUUUCCAAGAAAAAACGUGUCACUCACAUCACACCGAAUCAACUGCAGAACCUGGAGGUUGGUGAGGCUCUGAAGCGAUUUAAGUGAAAGAACUCCACCUAUUAUAGUGACAACUUUCAAUGCUGGCAUCCCUUUAAAAAAAUGUUCUGGAACUUGCAAUCGGUGGUCGUAUUCAGGAUUCUCCAAUCGCAAAAUAUGAAGGUUAGGGCAUACCAAACCACUAGAAAGCUCUUAUUUUUUAUUUCCCACCAAAGAGAUUCCUCUGUAUUGUUCCAGGCCUUCUUUCAUUGCCCGUUCUGCCAAUCCAAUGCCAAAUUUACUAAAAAAUUUCUUCUCCUCUAGAACUAUUGAGCCUAUCCAUAUGGCUACAUCACGAACCAUGUCAUGCAUUUUCACAGAUCUGUCAUUACCAGUGUCUAACAGCAGUGACGCAGCUUUGAGCGCGUUAAUCGUUCCAUGCAGUCGGCUUCUGGCGUUUUCUAUUGACGGAGCACAUUGAUACCAAAUAACCCCCACUGCGUAUCCAACCAAAUCCUCCAAAUAAAUCUCAUAAUCUUCUGGAAACAGAGAACACAACAAGAAGCAUAACUUGGACUCCUCACUAUUUAAAUUGUCGUAACUGAAUUUAAGACAACCGUAAACGUCUUGGUCAUCCUUGUCAAUACCUUCUAUUGCAUAGAGUUUUGCUUCCUUUAGGUUAUUUAGUGCUAGUUUCCAUUCAUCAGAUCCUUUUUCUCUUAGUGCACUUCCAACAGCUUCAAUAGCUAAAGGCAGCCCCUUAAUUACAUUCGUCGGCAACUUGUUUUGAAACACCAUCCAAGGAGGAGUCGUUUACAUUAAUACCGGCAUUCAUUUUUAGUAGAGUCAAUCCUUCUUCUGGUGUUAUUGUACCAAGUUCAAUCUGUGGGUAACAACCGAAAGAACCACAAAUUGACUUUUUGCGAGUGGUUAGAAGGAUUUUGCAACAAUUGUCUCUAUCACCAAUGGGAAUACCUAAUUUUUUCUCCAAGUCGAGUUGUUUCCAAACAUCACCAAGGAUUAUGAGGAUUUUGCUGCUUUUACUCUCAGAAAACAUCAACCGCAAUCGAUCUGCUCUCUCUUUUUCAUCUGUCUCAUUUAACGCCCAGCCUAACGACUUUACCAGCUCACUUUGAACCUUUAUUAUAUCUGGAUCCUGAGACACAGUGACUAUCCCAACUUCAUCGAAAAUCUUUUGUUGCCGAAGUUGAUUGCCCACAAAAUUUGCCAAGGUCGUCUUCCCUACACCACCGAGACCGUGCAAUCCCACCAUCUUUGUGCUCUCUUUUUUCAGUGCUUCAGUGAUUUGAAUGCAAGCCAAAUCUGUAGCCUUGAAAGGAGAAAAAGAUCUCGGUAUAGGCAAUUCUUUGUCUGAUGGUAGAGGUUUAGGACGGGCAACUGUGCUGAAUUUGCUGCGGUCUUGUAGCAGAUCGGACAACUUGCUAGUCUUCUUUGAUGCUUUUGUACCCAGCCAGUAUCGGCAACCCCAAUUAGGACACCAUCCAUUAAGACAACUCUUCUUUUCAUCUAUCUUUGCUUUUAAAUUUCGAACGUCGGCCAUUUCUUUAUCUACAUCCUCAAGCCAUGUCUCGACAUCUUUCUCGACUACUAUAGCACGGUGUAUUUGUCGUUCUUGUUCUACUCUUUCAUUGAUGCCAUCUUUUUCCUUCUUCAAAUUGGUUUCUUUAACCUUAAGUUCUUUAUCUAUGCUGUUGAAACACAGCAGAUAACGAGCUUGGUUUAUGGUUGCAUCCACCAACAAUUCUCCAAGCCUUGAUGCAACACCUGACAAAAGUUCCAUGCUAUUUAUCUGCAAUUAAUAAAGUUGAUCUCAGUAAGCUAUAAGCAAAACAAUGAGGCUUGAUCACAAGAUCGAACGAGAAAGUUUAAUUACCUUUUUCUAUUCUGUGAAUGCACGUUUAUUGACACUAGCUUUGACCAGUAAGAGCAAAAUGCAAACGCCGAGCUUUAAGUGGCCUUUAGCUGCAAAACAAAAGAGAGGAAAUAAGGUAAUUUAUUAUUAUUAUUAUUUUUAAGGACGGAUAAAGGUUAGCUAGCUUGCAGACAAAUUUACUAAAAUCAAGACAAACCUAAGAGUUUUCCUAAUUUGUUCAAACAUGGAAUAAGCGUUUCACAACAGUAUAUCCAUAAAGGCCCCAGCGAACGUAAUAUGUGCUGGACUAUAUUGAAAUUAGAUUAUUUUAGAAAAUUUUAAAUAAAAAAUAUCAAACAACAAAGAAAUCUAAUAGAAUCUGGAUAAACAGCAUGGGAGAAUAUGGUAAAAUUGAUAAACUUGGUUCAAAAAUUACAAUUCUUUUUGAGAUUUGAACCAACGAUUUUGACUAAGGUCUCCUAAGCCACAAAGCAUAACUCUUACUACUAAAUUACGCGCAUUUUGUUACAUUUAAAUGUGGUCAUAUUCUUUUUAUUAUCUUUUUUUAGAAGGGACUCAUGGUAUACUUAAAAGAAAUAAUAAUGAUUUAGAUAGGGCUGAAGCCCACUCAUGAAAAAAUUCAAAGGUUUUCAAGAUAAUUACCGAUUUUUUUCCACCCAAUAUUCUAAUAGAAUGGUGCCAGAAUUCUCAAAUAAUAUCUUAAUAUUAUUUAACUGGUUGGCACCCACCUAUUGGAUGAUUAAUUUAAUAAUUUGUUACAUUAUUUAAUACUCCAUCUCACUAUCUAGUGAUGUAAAUGGUGGAGAAGGAUCGUCUCCUAGACUUUUUUCUCUCACUAAUCUCUUAGUGAAAUAAGUGGCCGAAAUUGAAUUUUAAUUUUUGAUAUUGACAAUUAAAUUGGCUUGUUUCACAUUAUUAACAAUUAAGCCAAUUUUUUUUUUCUCCUUUUUUCAAUUAGAUUUGGAAGGCUAUAAGAGAGUAGGAGAGAAAAAACACUAGAAGGAGAUCUUAAUCCAUAAAUAGUACCUUAUUUGGGAUGGUAAAGAUUGAGAUAAAUUUCCUCUUAGUCUCUAAAAUUUUGGCCUAUGCGCAGCCAUAAUUUUAGUAUUUUUAAAAAGAAUGGGAUUAUUUACAUUCUAAAAUCUAUUUUGAAUACUCUUUUACUCAACACACUCAUUCAAUAAAUAAAUUUUAAAAAAUAAUUUUUACUUUACACACUAUUUCGAGAGUCAAAACUAUCCUUCAUUAGGACCAUUUCAUUAACUAAUUAUUUUCUAUUGACACCCAUAAAAUAUUCAUCAUUCUUGAACCAUGUGGCGUUAAUUAAUGAUUCCGAAGCAUUAUCAAGAUUCAAGAUUUAUGUUGAAAUUCUUUCAUCUGACAUUUGAACCCAGCCACUAGCUAUAUACAUAUAUACUUUCAAAUGCAGCUCCGGGAAUAUUUUGUGACUGAUUUUAUAAAGUGUUUUAGUUACAUUAAUGCAGUGAAACAAUAAAGAGUACGUGGCUUGCUGAUUUCCAAAUCAAGUUGGGGGAAAAAACAGAGCAUUUUUCUUUUAUAAUGGAUUAGAUUAGACGAUGAAGGAAAAAUUAUUAGCGAUUAUUAGUACUUUUGUGUGUGUUAAGAGUAAUAAUAUUAUUUUAAAUUAUAUUAAUGCCUUUGGUACUGAAUUCAAUUAGGGUUAUUUUAGUAAUAUAAAUUUUCAUUAAAAUUAAAGUGUCCAAAUUAUAAUUUAGAUUUUUCAAAUGUAAAAUAAUAUUUAUUUAUUUGAUAUAAAUUAAAAUUCAAACAAAUGUAUCAUGCAACAAAUGAAAAGUAAAGAAUAUUAAUUAGGUUUUAAUAGAAACAAAUAUAAAUAGAUGUUUUGAGUAGUUAAUUUUUGUUAUUUUAUGCUAUUGGUAGUUUGUGGAUUAAAUAAUUUGUAUAAGGAUAAAUGGGGGUUUGUAUAAUUUAUACGAAGAUAAUCUCCAAAAUAAGCUUAUAUGUCGAAUUUAAAAGUGUUAUAUAAGUAGUAAUCGUAUAUGCAUCAAAAUUUUUAAUAAAAUUUAUUUAGAAAUUGGCCAAUUGAGUUUUAUGAAGAAAAUAGACGGGCAAGUAAUUUGUAGGUUGUGGUACUUCUCCAUACUUCAAAUCACUUUUAUCUAAUCAAUUGAUAAAUAUUUUUGGGCUCCAACAAAAUGAAAAGAAAAAGUUAAAAAUAAUUCUGAAAUUAAAAACGUUAGGUACUGCCUAUAAGCUAUACAAUUUUACCUUUCCUUCUAUCACAAUUAGUAUUAGAAAUAAAAAUAGUUUCGAAAUAAAUGUAAUUAGGAGGUAAUAUUAUCUCAACAAUACCUUAUAGGGAAAAAAACAUCUAUAUCCUAAAGUUUGGAGAAAUGGUCGUAAAGACCCCAGGUUUUCAGAAAGGGAUAUCAAGACCCUUUUUUGACCGUAAUACCCUUUAAAUCUAGUAAUUAAAAAAUUGACUUUAAGAUUUUUUAAUUGACAAAUUUAAUAUAAAUAAUAUAAUCUAUCUAGUAGAUUAAUAAUAUUAACAAUAAAAAUAAUAUUAAAAUUUAAAUUCUUAUAUUUAUUCUAAUAAUAUUUUUUUAUUUAUUAUAAAGAUUUUAAAUAAAUCCUUGGGUUAAAUAGGUUUUCCAGUUAACAAAAUAUACCCCUAUUAAAAAUAUUGAAAUUACUUUCUACAUAAUAUUUAAAAUAAUUACAAUUUAUUUAUUUUAAUAUUAUGUUUCUAUUUAUUAUUAAAAAUUACUUUAUUAGAGCAAAUUUUUAUUAAUUAAAGCUUUAAAAUUAAUUUUCUAAUUACUAAAUUAAAAGGGUAUUAUGGUCAAAAUGGGUCUUUCAUUUUUGAAAACUUAGGGUUUUUGCGACCAUCUCCCCAAACUUUGGAGUAUAGGUGUCCUUUUCCCGACUUCAUAUAAAGAUAUUCCAGAAGGUCUUAUAAUAACUUAUGUUAUAUGAAUUUAAUUAAAAUAUCAUUAAUACUUAAAUAAUAAUAAUUAUAGAAGACAUUGUAAUAAAUUAUUUGAUAUAUAUUAUUAAUGAUACUAUAUAUAUGUGUAUAUAACUACAUGAUGGCUUGGAUAUAUAUUGUUUAGUGGUAAUAAAUUUUUUUAAAAAAAUUUAAACUAAUGAUUUCAUGCGAUUCAAUGUUGGAUGAUUUAAAAUCAUAAAAUAUUGUUUUGACUUUCAAUAUCAACCGUUAGACUGUGAGAAAUUAAUUGCUCAAUAUUUUGUGUUAAAAUUUUAAAUUAAAAUAUCCCAAACCAUUUGUUUUACUUAAAAUACAAAAAAUAUAUAAAGAAAUUUUCUCAUUAAUUUUCAUAUUUUUAUUAGAGGUAAUAUUUUAUGUAUCGUCACCAUUAAUUGCCGUCAUUAAAGUAGUGACUCUUACUAAUAUAAAAUUUUAUAAUUAGUUAAUUGCAAUCAAAUGAUAUCAAUAAAAUAAUAUUUCAUGAUUCAUAAAUUAAAUCUAAUUAAGAAUAUAUGUUAGUUUUAACUUUUAUGAAAUCAACUAAGUGAUAUUACAAAAUAAAAUGAAAAUAAACUAGUGAAAUGAUGUGCUCAUAAUUUAUCUAUUAUUUUAAUGCUUCCAUAACUUAAUUUUAUGUUAAAUUAUAUUUUAUUAUAUUAAUUUUUAUCUUAAUUUUUAUAUUUUGUCAUUGUAGGAAUAAUGGGAAUAUUCAUGAGAAAAGAAGCUUAAAGAGGAAACAAAUUAGAGUAUAAUGAAAAUAAUGUGGAAGCAAAAGGGAAAGAAAUAAAAAGCCAAAUCAAGGCUGAUUGAAUUUAAUCAUCAUGCAUGCAACACGUGGGGGGAGCAUUAAAGAAUUAAUUUGCAAAUUGGCCAAUUAAACUUUACAAGUCACGUGGAUGGGCUUAAAAGGUGGCUAGAAUUGUUUUGUUUUAAAAAUCCCUUUCAUUUAAGGAUUCGUGGGCUGGAUUUGCAAUCCUUUUCCUUUAAGGAUUUGGAAGAAACCACAACAUUAUAAAAGAGAAGAAAGGCAGCCGCACAAGAGGGAUGGAAGCCAAGAGAAAAGAAAUAAUUGAGCAGCAACCGGAAGUCUUGAACGAAAACCGAAGAGCAGCAGCAAUAAUUUAGAGCAGAAGGAAGACACGUUAAUUCUUGAGUUUUUCUCUCUCUCUUCUCUAUUAUCUUGCUUGAAUGUUUCCAAUUAAAUUAAUGAAUUCUCUUUAUAUUCCCAUGAACUAAUUUAUUUACUAGGGCUACGAUGUAGCCUAAUUAUGAAGAUUUAAUUCCAUAAAUCUAUGUUAUUUUUUAAUUAAUUAUUCCAUGAUUGAGUGUUCAUUAUUGUGCUUAAUGCUUUUAAAUAUCUGGCCAAUAUUUGAAUGAUUCGAGGAUACAUAAUGAGACCGAGAUGAGAUUUAUGUAUUUUUGCUCUGUGUAAUGGAUGCCAUGAAUUGAACGAAAGACAUAGAUGUGCCAACGUGAUUCAUGCAGUUUUAUCUAAGAAUUUCCAUAGAACUUAAUGAAUCUUUGCAUAUUUAAAUUCACAUAGAGAUAUAGUGGGUUGAUAUGUGGAGAUAUUUUUGAUAUUACUCGAGAGAGGAUAUUGAAUAAAUUAGGGAAAUUCACUGUCAACAUGGGUAAUAAACUUUAAUAGCAUAGAUAGAGGAUUAAAUUGGAUUGGUUAUGGUGAAAUCGGAUGUCCUAGUGUUUUAAUCUCUUGGUGAUUUCUAUUACUGCCUGCGUCUUCAUUUAAUUUUUAAUUAUUUUAUUUUAUUUAACUUUAAUCUAAAUUCGCCUAAUCGAUUGUUCAAAUAAAGCAGGGUUAGAAUAAUUUCGGUAACUAAUAGGAUAUACAAUCUCUGUGGGACGAUACUCUACUCUUCAUUAUAUUACUUGUGCCGACUAGUACACUUGCUAAUUUACGCAACAAGUUUUUGAUAUAAAAUUUACACUUGCUAAAGUAGUGACUCUUACUGAUAUAAAAUUUUAUAAUUAGUUAAUUGCAAUCAAAUGAUAUCAAUAAAAUAAUAUUUCAUGAUUCAUAAAUUAAAUCUAAUUAAGAAUAUAUGUUAGUUUUAACUUUUAUGAAAUCAACUAAGUGAUAUUAGAAAAUAAAAUGAAAAUAAACUAGUGAAACUUAAAUUUUAUAAGGUUUGAAUAAUUUUCUACCACGUAAGAAUAUUAAUUGUGACAUAAACCAUAGUUUCAUGGUAUAUGUAUGCCAAAUGGGGUAACAAAUAAUAUAUACUUCAUGAUCAUGAUAGUAUAUAAAGUAGUGGAUAUUUUAAUAAAUAACAUAAAAUUCUUUAAGACAUAGGUGGUCAAUUAUAUAUUUUUUAGGAUAUAGACAAUCUCAAUCAAGAGUUUAUUGAUGUGAAUAGAUGGCAUUCACUUAAAUGUAUAUACUUAAUUGUGUUGUUUAUUGGUAUUACAUGUAACAAAAUUUUAUAUUAAAUUUUGAAGUUUUAUACUGUUGUUUCUAUUGAAUUUAUAAAUACAAUAAAAUUAUGGCCAUCAACAAUCACAACCAACUGCCACCAACAAUUACAUUCUCAUAUCUGUUGACGACAAUUUUUUAUACUAUUGGAACUCCAAUCUUUGAUGCUACACAAUAGUUAAAGUACCGACAUCAAUAGAACUUCCGUUCAUUGUAGAUCUAUAGUCAAAGUUUCGAAUCUUAAAAAAUUGACAGCAGAUUUAUGUCAAAUGAAAGCUUGUUACCAGUGAUUCUUAUACAAUUAUGUUGUUAUAGUAAUAAAGAUUCUAAUGGUACUAAAAUGCACUCCAUUAGACAUAAAGAUCCGACGACUAGUGGCGACAAUAACUAUCAUUAGUGACUUGGAGGUAAUUGCCGUUAAUAAAUUAUUUUUAACUUAAUAAUUAAUACAAACAAAUAAAAAAGUAAUUUAAGGAAAAUUAAUGUAAUAAAUAAUUGAAUUAAAAAAAUUAAAACCUAAAUUCUCGACCAUUUAUCCGUAUCUUUGGAAUCCAACGUUCAAAAUUGGAAUAAAACAUAGUAUAGCCAUUGGAAGUAAAACAAACAUUAAAGAGACUAGGAAAAAAUAUCUCAUACCUUCUAUAAUGAUACAUCCUCAAUCACUGCAGAAAGCUCCAAUUAAAAAGUCGCACAAGUUCGGAGAAAAUUACCAACUGUACCUAACAACACAAAUAAACAUCAAAUCAAAGCAACAUAGGAUCCAGCUAAUUAACAUCAUAAGUAAGUCCUUGUUCUCAGUCAAAUCUUUCGUUCUUAGGAAAAAAAAAAAAAUUGAAAGAAUAACGGUAACUGGAAAGUUUGACGACAUAAAGAUCUAGCUAAAUUUUAAGAAGCAAAAGUAAAUAAUGAAAGCUCAAUAAAAGAUCAUCAGCAUUAACAUACCGAAAUGAGAGCAGCUCACAGAACUGGUAAUUUCCAAGAACAGGAAAAAUAAGUGAGCUGAUAUUGAGGACAACUAAAGUAGUCAUGGAGUAAUUUGCUAUUGAGGACACCUAAAAUAAGAAAAUUAAUUAACAUUGCUCUAUACACCAUUUCAAUAAUUUGACUAUUAAAAAAAAAAUCUAUCUAGAUCACGAUUUCUCAAAAUGAUACUUUUUCUAAUUAAAUAAAUCAAAAUGCUUGCUUCUUUCUUUUUCAGAAAAGAAAAAGUGGCAAUGGCAUCAAUUUUUUUGCUAGAUUAUUAUCACCAAAAGCACAAGCAAGGAAUAAGAAUACUCUCUGAAACCAACCAUGUAAAGAGUAGAAGUAAGUGGUCAAUUGUAAAUUAGUCUUUCUUUUUUCUUUGUUAUUUUUUUCAUUUUUUGAAUGUGAACUAAAUAAAUUUAAGGGUGAAGCUAUUACACCUUGAAAACUAUAACUGAACACCCAUUUUUUUAAUUAAAUUUUUAUUACUAAAAUAACCAUGGAGUAAUUUGCUACUAAGGAAAACUAGAAUAAUAAAAUGAAUAAUGAUUGCUCUAUACACCCUUUUCUAAGUCUAUCUUCUUCUUAAUUUCAUAAUUUGGCUGUCAAAAAGUAAUCUAUCUAGAUCACGAUUUCUCAAAUGAUGCUUUUUCUAUCUAAAUAAAUGAAAAUGCUUGUUUCUUUCUUUCUCGAAAAGAAAAAGUGGCAAUGGCAUCAAUUUUUGCUUGCAAGCACAGCGAGGAAUCAGUAUACUCUCGGAAACUAACCAUAUUAAGAGUAGAAAUAUUUAUUUGGUUAUCACGAAGUAAGUUAGAAAUCAAUUAUAAAUGGUCUUUUUUUAUUUUUUAAUGUGAACUAUAUAAAUUUAAGGUGAGGUUAUUUACACUUUGAAAAACAUUCUGAAAACCAUUAUUUCAUUAAAUUUUUUAUUAUUAAAGGUCCGUUUGGGGCAGCUACGUUGAAGCAGCGCAGCUGCCCCAAACGCUCUCUAAAAUAGCCAUGGAGUAAUUUCUUACUGAGGAAAACUAGAAUAAUAAAAUCAAUUAUCAUUCUUCCAUGAACCCGUUUCUAGAUGUAUCUUCUUCUUGAUUUGGUAACUUGGCUGUCAAAAAGAAAUCUAUCUAGAUCACGAUUCCUCAAAAUGAUGCUUUUUCGGAUGAAAUAAAUGAAAUUGAACCUACAAUCUGUCACAAACACGUUAUAAUGAGCCUAAUGAAAAGCAGUAUGAGAAAUUUUGCUUCCAUGUUGUUUCUUCCAUAUGUAAAGGUAGUAAAAAGAAAUUUAAGUCCUAGAAACAAAUGGAUGAAGAAUUAUCAAUAAUUAAAAUUAAAAAAAGAAACAGAGUUAUAAAAGAAUCACAGUUCCACCAAAAAUUAAGAGUUAUUUUAUUUGGUGGUUUCCUAUCCCGAAAGCAUUACUUGUAAAUAUGUGCUAACAAGUAAUAAUUAAGAAAGUUAAGGCCAAUCAUUUAGAAGGGAGAAAAAUGGAAACAUCCGGAAUAUUGUUAUGUGUUUUCAGUGCGUAUCUACCAAUCAAUAAUGAAAAAUUAAAUACGCAUGUGACGAAAAUUUAAUAAAGAGAACUGGAGGUGACAAAAUUUUUAUUAUUCUAUCUUUCUCUCCUCUGAAACUUCCUUAAUUUGGUUGGGAAGUGCUUUGUCUUAGGCAGUGGAUCUGUUAUAAAUACCCUAUGCUAAAGUUAAUAUUUUGAUUGAAGAAAAAAAUAGAGGAGAAAAAUUUUAUUAAAGUAUAACAUAAUUUGAUAAAUUUAGAAUUGAGGAGAGAAAAUGAGUCUAAAUUCGAAAAUUUUGGCACUAUUUACAUAUAAUUAUUUGGGCAAAAAUUCAUUUCUCUGCUUUCAUAUGAUUUGGUCUUUCAUUGUUACGGUGCCAAUUUUUUAUUUAAAGAUGUAAGAUAGUGGUACUAUAGCUUAGAUUUUCCGUAAAUACUACAUGGUAAGUACAAAAUAAAAUACUAGUUUAAAAUAUAAAAAUGAAAAACUAUUUUUAUAACCAAUAUUCAAUUAAAUACACUUGAAACUCUAUUUUUUCUUAAUAAAAAAAUUCUAAUUUAUUUUCUCAAUUUAUCUAAACAACUUUACCUAAUCAAGCUAAAUCUACAUAUUACCCUAAACCUUAAUUCAUAAACACCCAAUCAAUCCAAUUGUUAAAUCCGAUUUCAUAAUUAAAAAAGCUAAAUUCUAUUUUAUUAUUUAUGGUGCAAAGUAAAAAAUGCCCUUGAAGUUAAGGGUAAAAUUGAUAUUUUAUUUAAAUUUUGUUAAUAUUCUAAUAAUGUUAAUGUCUUAGUGGUUAAUAAAAUCACAAAGUCAAACUUUUGUAGUAUUUUUUAUAAUAAGUUAAAGAUAUAUGUUUGAUAAUUUUCCUACGUCUUUUUACGUUAAAUUGAGUCUCAAGAGAAAAAUGAUUAAUUUGCUACAAUUCUGUCAGUUUUCUGAUGGAAGAUAAUGAUACAAUGAAUAAAUAAUACAAAUUAUUAAAUUAAUGUUGAUGAAUGAUACAACUUGAAAAUAUUGUAGUAUUCUUAAUAGUAGAGAAAUGUAAAGGUGGAUGGUUGAUAAUUUAAUGAAGUAACUACAGAAUUUUCCUUUCAAAUAUUUUUUUAAAAUAUAUAAUGAGUAAAAAUCAUUUUACAGAAUGAUCAUACGCAUUUUGUAUCACAAACGAAAACAUGAACCAACUAUGUAUAGAGUCAAUUAACUAAAGUUCUCAAGAGUUGACCUGUGCUCCUGAAUUCUUGGAAUCAUAUAUCUCCUUCUGAAUUUCCACGAAGCCUGGGACAAUUAUUAACAUAUACAAACUUGGCAGAUGGAAAUGGGAUCUGAUAACCCGUAGGCCAAAAGUUGGUGAGGUUUGGUAAAUCUGACAGUAUCAACUCCCCAAGUUCAUUCAUAACAAUUUCAUUGUACUCCGUGACGUCUGCUCCAUCUUUAUGCCAGAAUACUUCUUCUAAUUCAUCAUUACCUAUUAUCCAUAUGUACUUCAGUUUUUGAAGACUUGGAGCUACGCUGAUAUGAAAUAGAUGCUUUAGUUUGGGGCAAUAACCGACAGAGAUCCUUUUGAGUUUUGGGAAACAUACAGGUUGGAGAUGAUCCUCAUCCUCAUCCUCAUCAAUGAUUUGCUCUAAUUCGAAGCAAUUCCAAACAUAUAACGCCUCCAAUUGUAACAGAUUUCGAGCAAAUGUUGAUGAGAAGAGACGUCUCAGCAUAGUGCACCCGUCCACUGUUAAAUAGGUAAGACUUUGCAGGCCAAAAUUAUGCGUGGGACCUACGUGAUAUAAUACUUGCAGUUCUCGAAGGCUUUCCAACUGCACCUCCUUCAAACAUGGGAAUAGUUUGUUUUCUUGUCCCUCAGCGAUAAUAGCUUCCAAUUGAAAUACCACAUGUACUCCCAGUCGUCUAAUACCCAAUUCUUCCAAAUUUUUUAAGCCGUGCUUCAACAGUGCUGGAAUCGUGUCACUCAAAUGGGAACAAUUGUCCACAUAUAGAAUUUUUAAGUUCUGAGACAAAUAAAUAAAUAACUUGAUGCAAUUAAAAUUUAUUAGCAGCUAGGAUUAUCACAUGAUAAGUGAUGAACACCGCAAAAAACAAAAACAGAAAACAAAAUCCAUACAAAAAUAUCAUAAUACAUAUGUAAACUAAUAAAAUAAUUAAAAACUAAUGGAUUUAAAUAAAAAAUGAAAUUAGGUAAAAGAGAUCAUGUGAAUUGAUAUAAACGUGACAUUAGAUUGUUUUAGAAAAAUUAUUAUUCUAUUAAUUUAUAUGGCUUGAUCAACUAUUUAAUUGAAUUUGAAUAAUAUUAUAUACACUUCAGAAGUAUUUGCAUCAAUUCUUUCUAAACCAAAAUGAGAUGUGAUUUUCAUUUGAAGAAUGAUUUUAGGUCUUAUAAUAAAGAAAUUUCUCCAAAAUAUCUGAGCAUUAUUAUUAUCACCACCACAUCCACCACCAUCAUCAUCUCCAUAGGAUCAAAAGUUUAAUGGCUGAUCAUAAAAUUUAUUGCUAAACUAUCAUUUUGAGUAAAAUUGAAUGAAAAGAAAAAACAUGAACCCAAACAAACAUACCUCUUUGAGAUACUGCAAAUUGGCUUCAAGUUCAUUACUGUUGAUGGUCAAGUUGGGACAGUUAUGAAGGUCUAAAUUUUCCAAUGCUGUCCAAAUUGAACAAUAAUUCUCUGAACAGAACUUGGUGAGUUCUGGGAGAUCUUUAAGUUUUAAUUUUCUCAACAAAGGGAGGGCGAGCAUCGUAUUUCCAUCUCCGACACUUAUUCCCCCUUCAUUGUGAUCAAACUUUGCUUCGACAAUAUAUUCCAGUCUCUCGCAAUAAGUCACAAUGAGACUUUUAAGCUGCUCCAAACUUCUAGCUUGUGACAACGUGAAGAUGUAUGUCAACUUGUUGCACAUAUGCACAUUCAAUUCUGUAAGAGUUUGGAGACUGAUCGCAUGUUGGGCGGGCGCCUUCCAUAUCCACUUCAGUUCUGGUAAUUGCAACAUAAAUAACUCUGCUAAUCUUGCGAGACUCUUCCCAUGCGGCGACUUAGAGGCAUCCAUUAUGCAUUCUAAAUCUUUGCAAUCGCGGACAUCAAGACAAGUCAACUCAUUUAAGCCCCUUUCAUCUAUGCUUGGCACAAUAUUGUAACAACCUAUAAUCCCACUCAAAUAAAGAAUUUCCAGUUCUUGAUACAAUGCCGAAAAAAUAACGAGCGAGGUCGCUUCAGGAGGGUAAUUAUUAAUUAUUAAGCUCUUUCUCUGACUAACAUAUUUCAUUUUAUCAACAACUCCUUCAACUUUAUAGAUGAUGUACCUUUGCAAUUUCGGGAAUGUAAAGUCUUUUGGAAGACAUACAACAGAUCCGUCGGCUUGGGAGUUCAACUCAGCAAGCCUAGCAUUACUUUCUUCUGAACUCAUCCCUUCAACCUCCCAAUUUUUUAUCCAACCAUAAAAUUCUUCCAAUUGAGGAAAUUUUUUUAUCGUAAUGGGAGAAACAGAACCGGUAUCAAUAAAUAGAAGUUUCAAUCUACGAAGUUCAUCCGACAAUUCUUCAGGAAUUUCAAUGGGAGAAUCCUCGGGAUAAAGAAGUUCAAGUCUCUUCAACUUUCCAAGAAAAGAUGCGUCACUCACAUCACAUCCAAUCAGCUGCAGAACUCGGAGGCUGCUGGCGAGGAAUCGAAGCGAUUUUAGUGAAAGGACUCCAUCUUUUAUAGUAACAACUUUCAAUGCUGGCAUCCCUUCAAAAAAAUGUUCUGGAACUUGAAAUUUGUAGUCACAUAGAGUAUUGUCCAAUCGCAAAAUAUGAAGGUUAGGGCAUACCAAACCACUAGGAAGCUCUUCUUCUUUAUUUCCCAUUACAAAGAUUCCUCUGUAUUGUUCCAGGCCUUCUUCCAUUGCCCAUUCUGCCAAUCCAAUGCCAACUUUACCAAAAAAUUUCUUCUCCACUAGUACUUCUGACCCUAUCCAUAUGGCUACAUCACGAACUAUGUCAUGCAUUUUCACAGAUCUGUCACUACCAGUGUCUAACAGCAGUGAAGCAGCUUUGAGUCCUUCAAUUGUUCCACGCAGUAGGCUUCUGGCGUGCUCUAUUGAUUCAGCUUGAUACCAGGUCAACCCCACUACAUAUCGAACCAAAACCUCCAAAUUAAUCUCAUAAUCUUCUGGAAACAGUGAACACAACAAGAAGCAUAACUUGGAAUUGUCAUCAUUCAAAUUGUCGUAACUAAAUUUGAGACAACCGUAAACGUCUAGGUUCUCCUCAUCAAUACCUUCUAUUGCAUAGAGUUUUGCAGCCUUUAGGUUAUGUAGAGCCAGGUUCCAUUCAUUAAAUCUUUUUCCUCUUAGUGCACUUCCAACAGCUUCAAUAGCUAAAGGCAGCCCCUUACAUUCUCCAGCAACUUCUUUGGAAACAUCAUUCAACGUGGAGUCAUUUACAUCAAUGCCGGCAUUUUGUCGCAGUAAAGCCAAUCCUUCUUCUGGCGUUAGUGUACUAAGUGGAAUCUGUGUGUCACAACCCAAAGAAUCAAAAACUGACUUUUUGCGAGUGGUUAGAAGGAUUUUGCAACAAUUAUCUCUACCACCGACGGGAAUACCUAAUUUUUUCUCCGAGUCGAGUUGUUUCCAAAUAUCAUCAAGGAUUACGAGGAUUUUGCUGCUUUUACUCUCAGAAAACAUCAAGCGCAAUCGGUCUGCUCUCUCUUUUUCAUCUUUCUCAUUUAGUGCCCAGCCUAACGACUUUGCCAGCUCACCUUGAACCUUUAUUAUAUCUGGAUCCUGAGACACAGUGGCUAUCCCCACCUUAUCGAAAAUCUUUUGUUGCCGAAGUUGAUUGCCCACAGAUUUUGCCAAGGUCGUCUUUCCUACACCGCCGAGACCAUGCAAUCCCACCAUCUUUGUGCUGUCUUUUUUCAGUGCUUCAGUGAUCUGAUUACAAGCCGAUUCUGUAGUCUCGAAAGAAGAAAAAAAUCUUGGAAUAGGCAUUUCUGUGUCUGAUGGUAGAGGUUUAGGAAGGGCAACUGUGCUGAAUUUGCCGCGGUCUUGUAGAUCGGACGACUUGAGAGUCUCCUUUGAUGCUUUUCUACCCAUCCAAUAUCGGAAACCCCAAUUAGGACACCAUCCAUUAAAACAACUCUUCUUUUCAUCUAUCUCUGCUUUCAAAUUUCGGACAUCGGCCAUUUCUUCGACUACAUCCGCCAGCCACUUCUCUACAUCUUUCUCAACUACUACAGCGCAAUGUUUUUGUCGUUCUUCUUCUACUUUUUUGUUGAUGCCAUCUUGUGCCUCCUUCAAAUUAGUUUCUUUAUCCUCAAGUUCUUUAACAAUGCUGUUGAAACAGAACAGAUAGCGAGCUUGUUUUACGGUAGCAUCCACCAAUAAUUCUACAAGCUUUGAUCCAAUACCUGAUAAAAUUUCCAUGCUAUUUAUCUGCAAUUGACAAAGUUGAUCUCAGUACACUAUAAGCAAAACAACAAGGCUUGAUCACAAGAUCGAACGAUAAUGUUUAAUUACUUUUUUAUUGAAUGUUUAAUUACUUUCUUUUAUUCUAUGAAUGCACGUUUAUUAACGCCAGCUUUGAUCAAUAAGAGCAAAAUGCAAACGCCAGGCUUCAAGUAGCCUUUAGCUGCAAACAAAAGAGAAGAAAUAAGGCAAACGUGAUAGAUGGUGGAUUAUAUUGAAAUUAGAUUACUUUAGAAAUUUUUAAAUAAAAAUAUCAAACAACAAAUUUAAUAAUAGAAUCUAGAUAAAUCGAAGAGUUUGUUAUGCAUUGCGAGUGAAGACAGGCAGUUACAUGGGGGAAUCUUGUAAGAGUGAUGAAAAUUAAAAAGCCAUCCAUAAUUGAAGUUAAAAAGAGUAUUAGAGAUUAGAGGGGUUCAACAUCUUAUGCAAGCUCACUCAUGAUAAAAUUUGAAGAUAAUUAUCCCAUUUUUACUUCAAUCAAUAUUCUAAUACAAUAAUUCCAUAAAUCUCAAAUAGUAUCUUAAGAUUUUUUUUUUUCCUCAAAAUUACCAUUAAAAGUAAAACAAACAUGAAGCUAAGAGCCUAUGAAACAAUAAUAUCUCAUACCUUCUUUCUCAUAGAUCCUCAAUUACCCCUGAAAGCUCCGGUUAGAGAGUCGCACAAGCUCGGAGAAAAUUAAAAGCUGCAUCCAGCAAUAUAAAUAAACAUCAGAUCAAAACAACAAAGCAUAUAUCUAGCUAACUAAACAUCAUCUAUAACUCCUCGUUCUCAGUCAAAUCUUUCAUUCUUAGGAGAUAAAAAAAAGAUUGAAAUAAUAACUGUAACUGAUAUAGGAAGCAAAAGUAACAUACCAAAACGAGAGCGGCUAGCUCACAGAUCUGGUGACUUCCAAGAGCAUGAAAAAUGAUUGAGGUUUAAUAGCAAGUUCACAGAUGACAGAUGUGGUGACUUCAAGAGCAUGAAAAAUGAUAAAACUUUGGUAGAAAGGUCUGAGCCGUGUUUCACAAGUUGCUAUUGACUUCGUGGCUUCGCUUUUAUUUAUUAUUAUUAUUAUUUUUUUAAAUUCUAUAUCAGUGAGAAUUGAAAUGUGGAAAGUGAAAUGAUACACAUGCCUUAUCAUCUAUCAUGAGGGGUGAUUUGGUAAAACCGAUUUAAAAUAAAAAAAAGUUUAAAAAGAUGCUUUGUGUCUGACUGCUUGUAUUUGGGGUAUUUUUCGGGUUGUUGAGAGUGAGUUUAAUUAAAUAUAAGAUUUUCAUUUUUCUUAUUCUAUUUUUCUCUUUAGAAUGAAUUUAAAUCUCAUUCUUAUUAAAUCCAUUUUUUUAAAUGAAAGUAGAUUUCUCUCCACACAUUUGAGAUAUAUUUUAAAAUUAAUGUUCAGUAUAUCUCUAAAUUAUAUUAUAAAUAUUUUUAUUUAAAAUCUCAACAGAUUUCAUAACGUACAAAGAGAAAUACAUAUAUAUGUUGUAAUGUUUUAAUGAUGGAUCUCCAAAGUUAUCAAGUUAAAAAAUAAAUUAAAAAAUAAAAAAUACACACUUCAACUUAUUAUAUGAUAAAAUAUAAUAAAUUAAAGUGAGUAUUAUAUUUAUUUUUUAUUUUAUCUCUUAACUUAAUAACCUAAAAUAUAUUUAUUUAAUAAUGAUUAUAUAUAUAUCUAUAUAAUUUUUUUAAAAAAUAAACAAUUUAAGUGAAGCAAAGGACAUUUUAGAGGCAUUGCGAGACUACCAAUUUACCAUUUUGGGUUGCAAUAAAGUGAAAACUGUAGACUACCAAUCUACCAUUUUAUUGAAUCGGGUCCCGCUGACUUGGAGCUUAUGUAAAGUUACAUUCAUAACAAAUUGAUACUUGUCUUUAUUAUAAAUUAUUCUUUUAUUCAAAUAUACGUUCAUUUCUUCAAUCAAGUCCUCAUAUUUGUUCAAUUUAUGAUAAGAUCCUUGUAUGGGAGCAUAUCUGCAAAUGUAAUAAUUAUUCUUCUAUUUCAGAUAGUUUUUGUGAAAAAAUACUUUUAUCAAUUAUUUAUGUUUACUAAUUCUUAUGUCUUUUUUUAUUACUUUCCAUAGCUCUAUACAAAUGUUUGCUAUAGAAUUUGUGUUAUUUCGCUAUAAUAUAAUUUAUAUUGUAAACCUCUGUUCAUCUGUAAAUAAAAUGACAAUUUUUUUGUUUACUCCUAAAAAAUAUGAAAAUAUUAAUUUACUCUCAUAUUUAUUUAGAAGACAAUGGCAAAUAAGGUCGCAUUGAUAAUUUUUUUUAUUUACUUAUUAAUUAAUUAGAGUAAAUUAAUAUUUUCAUAAUGAGAGAUACAUUGAAGAUUGUCAUUCUUAGUAGAGGGUAAAUUAAAGUUUAUCUAAUUAAUUUAAAAUAUCAUUAAAAUUUAACAUUCUAAUCUGGAUUAGAUUUCUGGGGGGGAGGGAGGGGAACGUCCUUAUUCGGAUUAGACUCAGCUGGAAGAGGCACAUCCUUAGCUGGAUCAAUUUGUUCAAGAUUGGAUGCAUCCAUCGGUUUCAAAUUUGUCUCUUGUAAGCAUCAUCGGAUUUCUUUACUAAAAUUUAGAUUAUCAAUCACAUCUAAAACUUAUUGAAUGAUACAUUUCAUUUCUAUAAAAUUGAGUUACUAUUACCACCUCACAUCUUAUAAAUUCUAGAAAAUAAUCAAGGCUUGACAUACUUUUAUUUAUGCAAAAGCAUAAGAAAAUAAUUCAAAGUACUAAUUAGUGCAGUAUUACUCAAAAUUCUAGAAUAGAUUUGCUAGUUCUCUUUAGCCAUAGAUUGGUCCAUGAUUGGCACCGCAAUAGCUCAGAAUCACCUCAACGAUUGUUCCACACAGCCCAACAUGACACACUGUAAACUAGUCUAACAUGAACUUUCUGAGUGGCUUUCUAACAAUAGUCUUAGAGAAAGUGUUUAGUAGUAUGAAGUCUUCUUUUUUUAACAUAAAUGUUGGCAUGAUAUUCUUAAUAUAUUUCUAAAAUCAAAAUAAGAUGCAUAGAGGACGAUGAUAAUUUUAUUUCAUAAUUGAAUUUUUUGCAAAGAAAGUUUGAACAUGAGAGUGAUGAGAGAUGAGAAUAUUGAUGAUGGUGUGUACUUUAGAUGUAAAAAUAGAUUGGAAAUAUAUAUAGACAUAUUAAAAGAAAAAAAUUUGGUCUAUUUCAUAAGAGAAACAAAAAAUUAUAAACGCGGGUGUUAAAAUAUAUUCAGAAUUUAUAAAUUUUUAUAAAUAUGAUAAUCAUUAGACCCUUAUAAAAGUAUAGCAAAAAGUUUAAAUUUUUUUAAUAAAUAUCGAAGAGAUGGACGAAGAAACCAUCCACCAGUUCAGAAUUAAUAAUCAAAGAUAUGAUGACUUGAUUGAAGAAAUGGUGAAAAAUAAAAGGACAGUAGGACACUGGGUUGGUUGGCAGGACCCUAAUAUUAAUGGUUAAAAAUAAAAGGACACUGGGUUGGUAUCAAUUUCUACCGUGUAGGUUCAUAGCCGGGGAAGUAAUUGGGCACAAAUAUCUCGGAUGAGAAAUAACCAUUUUAUCCCGCAACCAUAUGUUUAUGGCCUCUAAAAAUUUUCACCUCUUUCACUUCUGGAACCCGUGGUUUCUGGCACAUGCACAAUACUUGGUUGCUACUUAUAGAGCGUUUUUAGAAUUGCAAUAUAAUCUACAGCUGGUUGUUGACAUUACACUGCGGGUGUGUAAUUAUUACAUAUGCAGAUAUUCUCCCAUGCGAGGAUCUUAUCAUAAAUUUAAAGGAUACGAGGACUUGAUUGAAGAAAUGAACGAAUAUUUGAAUAAAAAAAAAUUUUAAAAUAAAGACAAGUAUUAAUUUACUAUGAAUGCAACUUACAUAAGUUAGCGGGACAAUAUUGAAUCACACGCAAAAAACAAUCUGUCUUCUUCUUGAUUUCGUAAUUUAGCUGUCAAAAUAUAAUCUAUAAAGAUUACGAUACCUCGAUUCAAAAAAUGAUGUAUCUGAUGAAAUAAAUGAAAAUUGAACGUACAAUCUACCACGAACACUAUUCAAUUAACCGUUUAUUUCCCCUUAAAUUUUUAAUUUCAAUGAAACAUAGAUCUAAUGGGAACUACAUAUAUAUAAAAAUACUAUAGAUUGAAGAAGUUGAAUUUUUCUUGUGUGUUAAGUAUUUUUAGUUAAUACAAAAGGAUUCUAGCAAGUUAAUACAAAAGUAUCAUAAAUUCAUAGUAGUACAAGAGAUUUUUUUUUUUCUUUGAUGUUAAGAGUUUUGGAGAUAAAAAAAAAUAUAUAUAGGUGAAAGAAGAAGAUGAGAGAAGAGAAAAUAUUAAGAAUAGUUUUGGAAUUUUGAUGCGUUUUAUAGAGUAAAAUCUAUAUUUUAUAGUAUAAAAUGAUAUACCCAAAAUUUAAUGAUAAAAUUUUAAGAAAAAAUUGCACUCGUCAAAAAAAAAAAAAGCUCAGCUUAGCCCAAAAUUUUUUUAUUAAUCAUCUAGUCACUAAUGUAAUCUCUUUUUUAUGAGAUUCUUGAGCAUUUUAAUUUAGUCCAUUGUUAGCUAUCCUAAUAGCUUUUAUGUGCAUCUAUUUUUAUUUGAAAUAUGUUUCAAGCUUGAAUAAAAUCUGCGGGACAACUGGUAAGUAAUAAAGCUCAUUAAUUUUUUAUUUUGAAAAUAAAGGGAAUCACUUACACUUAGCAUGAUAUUAUUUUUGAUAAGUCAUUUUUUUGGUAGAUUAUUUUUUCUGACACGCUCUUAGAUUUAGUGAAAAUAAAUUGUAUACUUUAAACGAAGAAAAGUAAAGAUCAACCAAAUAUUUUGUUCUUUCCGACAACUUUUGCGUUCUCAAGUGCGCCUGAUACCCUUUUUUUUUUAACAUGAGCCCACGUGCCAUUGUUUCCAUUUCAAGUUCAUAAUUUAACAGUAGAAAUGGGUUCCACAGAUACUUUAUUUUAUAAUUUUUUAAAAAAUUACCAAAAUAUAAUAAAUAAGGUAAUAAUAAUUAAUAAAAAAGUAGAUUUUAAGAUGGAAAAAUCUUUUUGUGUGCUUAAUAAAAAGAUGAUAAGAAUGGGAUGCUUUUAGUUAAUUGGUUUACAUUCUCAUGGUUAUUUAUACUGAAAAAUUACAUCAAAAUUUAAUUAAUAAAUCAGUGAACUGCAGACUUAUUAAAUUUAAGCUAUUUUAAUAAGUCAUAAAUAUACUAAGUUAAAAUAGUAGUAAACCCAUUGUUACACAAUACUCUCCAUUGAGUGUUCACCAUUUUAAGAUAAUCAUAAAAUGACACCGGAAGUGCUAUUAUAGCUGUCUCAUGGAAAGCCUUCACCAAUAAAAAGGAGGAUAGAGCACAUACAUCCAGUUUUUAUACCCUUUGAUGCUCAGUCGACACGUGCCAAUGCUAUAGACUAUCGGAUAAUCUACUAAGGUGACGCAUGCCAAUGCUAUAGACUAGCUUUUCAAAGGUUGAACUGGGAAUACUUUUAGUAAAAAGACCUGCAAAAUCAUAGUGUACCUAUUUGACAUCAACUUUUUUUAUCUGCUGGAGCUUAUGAUUAUAGAAGAUCUUCGGUAAGAUGUGUUUGAUAUUAGAAAAUCUCCUUUUAUAUAUCCUCUUCUAACUUGUGUAAUAGUAGUAAACCCCUGCCCCUCUUUAUUUCGUUUAGUAUUUUCUAAAUGGCCGAAGGAAAAUUGGUAAAAACUCAUUUAAAAAUUAAAAAAUCAAAGAAACUCAAGAAGAAGCUUUUGUAUCUGCCAUUUGUAUUUGGGGUAUUUUUUUGGUUGUUAAGUGAAUAAGCUUAAAUCUAAAACAUUUAUUUAUAUAUUUCUUGUUGGAAAGAAUUUAAAUUUUAUUCUUAUUAGACUUAUUCUCUCUAAACAAAGGUAGAUUUUUCUCUAUGUGUUUAACGUGUAUUUUAAAAUUAAUGUUCAACAUAUCUUUAGAUUCUAUUAUAAAUAUUCAUAUCUAAAAUCUCAACAGAUUUCAUAAUAUAUAAAUAUAUAUAAAGAGAGAGAAUAACGUUUAUAAUAAGAAAUUUAUUAAGUUAAAGAAUAAUUCAAAAGAUAAAAUAACACACUCUAAUAUAUUAUAUAAUAAAAUAUACUAUAUUAAAAUAUAUAUUUUGUUUACUUUUUUUAAUAUAUCUCUUAAUAACUUAAGAAAUCCUUUGUUUAACACACACUCUCUCUCUCUAUAUAUAUAUAUAGAGAGAGAGAAAUGUUCGCGGAAAACCUUUAAAACCACAUGAUUUUAAAUAUUUAAACUUUAAGAACCGAUGAACAAUUUUUGACAAAGACGUUGCGACCUAAGUAGGGAUAGCAACUAAAUUCGGAUCCAACUCCGCAUGUAAGGAUCCGAAAGAUCCAGAUCCAGAAAAUUUUUAUCUGAAUAUUAAAAAAUGUUGAUCCGAAUAUAGAAAUUUGGGAUCUGCACGGAUUGGGAUGGAAGUACAUUCGGAAAAUUGGAUAUCGAGAUCUGGAUAAAUUUUGUUUCAAAUUAAAAAUUAAAUUAAAAAUUAAAUGAAAAAUUAAAAAAGUAAAUUUUAUUUGUGGAUUUAUGAUGUUGUUGUAUAUUAUUCAUGUUGAAUUAUUAAUUGUUGGAUUAUGAUUGAAUUUUGUUUGAAAUUAUUGGGUAAAUUUUUUAAUUUUAUUUUAAAUUAAAAAUAUUUAUUAAAAUUAAAUAAAAAUAAAACAUUAAAUUUUAUUUGUAAAUUUAUGAGAUUAUUGUAUGUUAUUCAUUUUGAAUUAUGAUUAAAUUUUAUUUGAUAUUAUUAGGUAAAUUAUUAAACUUUCAAAUUAUAUAUUAAAUUAUUUAAUUUUAAUUUUUUGCGGAUCCGAAUAUCUAGAAUAUCUGUCCGCAUCCGGAUCUACAUAUUUUUUUAUGAAUCCAGAUAUAAGAAUAUGAAUGCGGAUCCAAAUUCGGAUUUUGCCAACCCUAGACCUAAAAUGUUGUGACUUGUCUGUUCUACUUCAAUAUUAAGCACAAAUUCUCUGUCAACAUGUCUGUUCUACUUCAAUAUUAAGCACAUUCAUAGCGGUAUCAAAAUGUUGUGACUUGUGACUACCCAAAAUCCCCAGAAAGAGUGAGAGAUUUCACUGAAGCUAAGUUGUGACUUGUGACUACCCAAAUGUUCUAUAACACGAUAUGAUUAUUCUAGUAACACAAAUCCAAUAGCAUGCAACAUAAUCUACUCUCUAACAUUGUGCAUUAGUAAAAUAAAACAGAGUAAAAAGAGAAACCAUGCCUGUGAAUCUCUUCUUUUCCCCCUGCCACCCCUUUUUUCGGUGAAGUCCAUCAAAUGAAAAUGCAGCAUGACCACGUUGGCCACUGCCACUGCCAUUGCUUCUUCAACUGUGCCUUUUGUUGCAUGAAAUAUUCAAUUGAAAGAUGGUUUAUAUAAUUCAAGAUUCCAAUAGACCUGAGCUGCAAAGGUUGCCUUCCACUAGCCUAUCAGAGAAUAUGCUUUCUAUUUUCCUAGUUUUUUAAUCAAAAUUUUGCAAGAUUUAUUUAUGGAAUACUUGAACAAAAUUUUAUGUAAGAUACCAUAAAGCCAAAUGCAAUCUUUUUAAUCCUCAGCAGCAACAUUUAAAGUAAAAAAAUGGAAGCCAUAUAAAUAUAACUAUGUUUGGUACAAGCAACAAUUAUUUCAAGCUUUCAGAAAUGCUAGCAAGAGAUUGUAAGAGAACUUUACCUAGUCACAGAAUAUGUCAAACAUACUACCACCAACUGUCUUCAGCACGAUUGUUAUGAAGUCGCUUUUGAAUCGGAAGAUUCCAGCUUCCACCAGGCACCAUUAUUUUCAUUCUUGAUACUAUCUGCAUCACUGGCAUUAGUUAUAUCAUCAACUUUUGCAUCCUCACUCUCAUCAUCCCAAUCAAGGCUUCUUCUCCAGCUCUGGAUUAUAAGUCCACUCCGACAUCUUCAAACAUCUCGGUCCUUCCAUUUGCCAACAACCGAUAUGGCUUCCUUCCUUGCCUUCCCCAUUAAUAUAUCACUCGAAGGAAAAAUAGCCCCCACAAAAAGGGUCUUCAGACACCGCAACUUUGCCUUCUGCAAAACCUCCACAAAAUCUGAAUUAUCCAACACAACAGCCAGACACUCAAUCCUUCUUUUGUCCAUCUUAUCCACCGUAUGAUUCCUCAACAAAAUAUCUACAGCUUGUGGCUUAUCUAACACUGUCUUGAUCCAAAACCCCGCUCUUUUCAACUCAUCUGCCAAACCAUAACCCACUUUUGGAGUCAAAAUUGUCCUUGCAGCCCUUUUAUAUUUUUCCAUCUCCAUCGAAUACUUGCCACUCAAAUGGAAUUACCAGACAGGAAUCCCAGUAACAAGUCCACUCAACUUCUUCUCAUCUGAUCCCUCUUUCACUCUGGCGGAAACAUUAAUAACCAUUCACCAGCCACAAAUUACCCAAGUAAGUACUCGUGUCGUCAACACUUACCCUUCACUUCAUCGACGCAAACAAGAAUUCAAAUUGCUUAUUAGCUAGUGCUCGAGCGAAAGCCAAAAUAAAUUAAAUAUGUGUGUGUGUGUGUGUUAAAAGAGAAACGGUAGCGAAGUUAUUAUACAAUCAAGCAAACAAAAAUAAAUUCUACCCUCAUGUGGGUGUUUCGCUCGCAAAAUCUGGACAAGAAAAAAUAAUAUUGAUACAAUCUCCAAAUAAAGAGCAUUCCUCUUGGUAAAAUAGACAAAUCCUAUAAAUUUUGAUUAAUGGUGCCAAAUGAAAGAGUUGUAAUUUCAUGUACAUUUUGUUAACAUGAAUAAGGGUACAAAAUAGAUAACAAAGUGACAAAAACAAGGCUAAUCACAAUGGAUGAUAAGGUUUAGAGUAAACAUAAAGUUAUAAUCUUGAACAUAAGUGGCGCUCAAAGCCAUGAAUUUGAUAUCAUCAACAAGGGGAGUUCAAACAACGGCAUGUAAGAAGCAACAACUGUUGAGAAAAAAAAAAUUCAUAGUAACACGAGAAUAAAUUGUAAAGAAAUCCCAGUUUGUAUAAAAGAAAGAAAACAAAAUUAAGGAAAACAUAAACACAACAAAAUUUGACUGAUUAUUAAAAAUGAGAAAUGAGUUAUAAUGAGAAUUUUGGCUUUGUGGUGAAAUAAAUUGGGAAGUAUCCAAAAUUCGCAUGUAAAUAAUAUAAAUGAUAAGAAGACGAAGGGAACAAAAUGAUAAUAAGCAAGCCAAAUAUUAAAAUGUAUUACACCUCCUAAAGUCAUGUUAAGAUAGUUAGUGAGCUGAUAAAGUUUGUUGCACGUUUGAGUUGGUUUUUUUUCUUUUUAAAAGAAAGUAACCAACCCUUUCAUUAAUCACAAGAACUUGAGUACAUCGUAUAAUUCAGUUAGAAUAUUUUCCAGCCACAUAAAGGGAGAGUUUUUCUCCAAAACUAUCUUAUUUAAGUAAUGGGCACAUGCAUUACAAUGUCUUAGAAUGUGAUUGACAACAACUUUUUGGAAGUUUUUCAUCUGGUUUUGGAUUGCCAGAAUUGUCCAAAAAAAUUUUGAUCUGUUGCCCUUGGUGUUGUUCACUAGCUGGACCACCUCUAAGCAAUCUGACUCAAUGAUCAAAGAGGUUACAUCCGCACUUCUUGCCAGCUGAAGGCCCCAAAGCACAGCCUCUACUUCAGCCAAGCUUACUGACCCCUUUAGGAGGUUCUGAUUAAUCCCAGCUGCAACUAUCUUACCAUUAGAGUCUCUAAUCACAGCUCACACUCCUUCACUCAGAUUCUUUGAAUUAAUAGCAGCAUCCACGUUAACUUUGAAAACAUUCUCAGGGAGGAGCCACUCCUGAUGCUUCUCUUUUCUGUGGAGAGAGAUAUGAGCUUGCUCGGGCUUCUUAACUCUCUGAAAUGCUAUCAACACAGAUUCCACUUUAGCAGCUGAGAUAAUAGGAUUAAUCUCCCUGCCAUCGAAAAUACAUUUGUUCCUAGCCUACCAAGCAGACCAACACAGAGCUACCAUUAAUUCCAAAUCUGUUUUCCUCAGCUCCUUAGCCAUUCUUUGAAGAGUGCUGAAGAUGUCCUAAGAAUUAGCUUCUAAGUUAUGGGCUGUAAAAGGGGACUGGAGCCAAAUCUUUCUCGCAACCUUGCACUCCAAGAGGGCAUGGCUGAUAGUCUCUACACUUAUUUUGCAUCGCUUACAAGUUGGCUCCUCCACUAACUUCCUUUUCCACAAAUUUUCCACCGAUGGAAGCAGAUUAUUUGAGACCCUCCACAUGAAGAUUUUAAGCUUCUCAGGUAGCUCCAGUGACCAAAGGGCACUCCAGUACUGGUUGGAAGCCUCUGAGCAGCUGGUAGAAUCUGAAAAUUUCGUUCUCAAUGCUAGUUGGUACCCACUCUUGACAGAGUGGUUCCCUCUUUUGCCGUAAUGCCAAAGCACUUCAUCUUCCGUUUGCUCAGCUGGGAGGGAAAUCUUGAGGAUCUCUGCUGUGUCUGCAUCCAUGAAGUGCUGUCGUGGCUUGAUUUCAUCCUAUUGGUUGUUAGCCUUAAUUAAGUCUACAACAACUGAGUUUACAGGCAAUGAUGGAAAAUAGAUCUGAAGGUCUCUGGUCUUGGCAGCCAAUUGUACGAGAAAAUUGCUAUCUUCUUGCCAUUACCUAUAUGCCACUCAGGCCCUUCUUAAUCACUUGCCUACCUCAAAGGAUGCUUCUCCAAAUAUACGAGGCAUUGGCUCCUGCUUCUGCACAUAAAAAGCUGGAUUUCCUGUAAUAUCUUGCUUGAAGGACUCUUGAGACUAGGGAAUUUAGGUACUGCAAUAACCUCCAUGCUUGCUUAGCUACCAAUGCUUGAUUGAAACAAGUAAACUCUCGAAAUCCCAGCCCCCUCUAAUCUUUGCUUGGCUAAGCUUCUCCCAUUUCCGCCAAUGGAUUCCGCGCUUAUCCCCUUUCGAGCCCCACUAGAACUUCACUAUAGCUCAUUGAAUAUCAUCACAAAGGCCUUUUGGGAGCUUGAAAACACUCAUUGCAUACACUGGAAUUGCUUGGGCUGCCGCUUUGAUCAGAAUUUCCUUCCCCCCACUAGACAACAUUUUAUGCUGCCAUCCUGCAAUCUUGUUCAACACUUUCAGUUUGAUGUCAUUAAAGAACCCCAUCUUCUUCCUCCCAAUCAUUGAUAGAAGACCGAGGUAUUUCUUGUGCUUUGAGACCACAUUUAGAUUAAAGAUACCCCUUAUAGCAGCCCUUUGAUGCUCUAGAAUUUUGCCACUGAAGAACAAUGAGGAUUUCUGAAAAUUAAAGAUCUGUCUUGAUGUUGCAGCGUAUUUAUCAAAAAUCUCUUUUAAAUGAAUGCAUUCAGCCACUGAUGCACGAGAGAAGACCAAGCUGUCGUCCGCAAACAACAAGUGAGUAAUUGAAACUUCCCGUACAAAUUUGAGGCCUCGGAUUAGCUGGUUUUGUUAUGCCAAUAUCAACAAAUUGGAGAGAGCCUCUGCACAAAGAAUAACAAGGUACGGGGAUAGUGGGCAGGCCUAUCGCAAGCCUCUUUCCAGCUGGAUCAUUCCUUUUGGCACACCAUUAAUAAGCACCGAGAAUGAAACGGAAGUAACACAUCUCAUUAUCAAAGCUACCCAAUUACUAGGAAACCCCAACUUUAUCAUAGUUUGUUCUAAAAAGGGCCACUCAACUCUAUCAUAAGCCUUACUUAUGUCCAAUUUUAAAGCCAUAAGUUCGUUCUUCUUCCCUUUGCUAUGUCUUAUUUUAUGAAUGCAUUCAUAACCAAUAAUGACAUUAUCGGUAAUGAGCCUAUUAGGGAUGAAUGCACUUUACAUUGGGGAGAUGAUUUGGGAAAGGAUCGGCUUCAUUCUAUUUGCAAUGGCCUUAGCUACAACUAUAUAAAUAACAUUACAAAUGCUGAUAUGUCUAUAAUCACUCACUUUCCUAGGAUUUGCAAUUUUUGGAAUCAAAGCAAUAAAAGUGUGAUUGAGGAUAGAUGGGUUACCUUGCUCAUUAAGGACAUUAAGACACGUUGAGAUCACUCAUUUACGGACGGAUUUCUAAUGCUUCUGAAAGAAGACAGCUGGAAGACCAUCAGGCCUUAGGGCCUUUGUGGGGCACAUGUUGGCAAGGGCUUCCUCUACGUCUUCAGCGAUGAACGGCUUUUCCAGCUGAACAUUCAUCUCCAGAGUUACUUUUGCAGUCAUUCCUUGAAGGGUUGCUUGGAUUUGGCUUGGAGUCGGGCUGGAAGUAGUGAAUAGCUCUUGGAAAUGGCUGCAAAACUCCUCCUCUAUUUCAUCCAUGUCCUUCACCCAAGUGCCUUAGUCGUUUUCAAUCCCCCACACCUUGUUCUUCCUUUUGCAGGCAGAAGCUUUGGCGUGAAAAUACUUCGUGUUCUUAUCCCCUUCUCUAAGCCAGUUGGCCCUCGAACGCUGUUUCCAGUAAAUCUCCUCGUCAACUAGCAUAGAGUUAAUCUGACUUUCCAACCUCUUAAUUUCCUUGCCAUCAUCCAGCUUUGAAUUCCAUCUCAUAGCAUCUUGAAGGCUCUGCAUCAACUUUUCUUGCUUUCUUUGCCUACCAUUAAAUUCGGUUUUGCUCCAAAGUUUUAGCUGGGCCAAUGAAGCUUUGGCCCUUCUCUAAAAUUGUUGAACAGGGGAUUCCCAAGCUCUAGUCCCAUGUCGACUCCACUCUUCCUGGACUCUACUCUUGCAGCCUUCGUGAGAACUCCACAUAUCCUCAUAAUGAUCUCGGGGGAAUGAUUUGCCCACAUUUCUCGAAUUCUUGCUUCGCUCAUUGAAUUCUAGAAUGAUUGGGCAAUGGUCCAAAGUCCAGUUCACUAGAUUUGUGGCUAUAGAUUCUUGGAAUUUAAUCCCCCAAUCCUUACUACACAGAAAUCGGUAUAAUCUCUCCUCAAUGAAAUGAUCUCCGUAUCUUUUAUUUGACCACGUAUAGAGAUAUCCCUUACUACCCAUAUCCUGCAAAUUGCAGUUUUGCACAACUUCCCUAAACUCGGCAACCAUAUUCAGAUUUCUCUCAUUGCCCCCAUUUUUCUCAUGCAUAUGCAUUAUCUCAUUGAAAUCCCCAAAACAGCACCAAGGAUAGGAGAAUAGACUGGCAACCCUUUUCAUGAGAGUCCAAGUAUUAUGCUUCUGGCUGAACUCGGGAUGGCUGUAGAUCCCUAUGCAUCUCCACCUCAAUCCACUUUCAUUACUCACUAUUGCAUCUAUAUGAUGUGGGCUGUACGAGGUAAUGCUAACAUUAACAUCUGCACUCCAAAGCAAGGCUAGACCUCCCCCCAUGCCCGUUCUAUCUACUGCAAAACAAUUCUCGAGAUUAAAGUCUCUACAAAUAGAUUCAACUUGCCUAGCCAACAUCUUGGUUUCACAAUAGAAAAGAAUUUGAGGCUGGUGUAGGUGGAGAAUUUUUUUGAGAGCUAGGCGCGUUCGAGGUUUCCCCAGACCUCAAACGUUCCAACUUAGGAGUUUCAUGGUUGUCGACGGGCCUGAAAUUCAGCACCCGCCGAUACUUCUUCUUCCAUAGCUGCCACAUUUUCCCCUUCAUCUGAUAUCUCUUCUGUUAUCUUUAGCUGCCGAGCUGUUCUGUUGGAGCUAAUGUGGUUGCAGUAGUCUGAGUUUAUUGCUAAACUUAUGUGGUUUCCCACGUGUGGUUGUUUUGGUGGACUGAGCACUCUUUUUUUUUGUGGGCUGAGCUGAUUGUCAUCACUACUAGGUCUUUUUGCUCCUAUUAACCCAUGAUCCUUCGCUCCUUUUGCUAUGGGAAUUCUUGCCUUAAGUUUCCAUUUUCUUGCUUUGGGCUUCACGUUAGUCUUGCUUGGCCCACUAUCCAUUUCUUCCAUAUCUGAUCUGGCACUCUCUUCAGCCUGCUUCCUUUUAUCUUUUAUUAUUUUCAAUCUUGCUUUAUCCAUAGGAUUUUCGUUUUCCUUCAAAAUCUUUUCUCCCACCUUUGUACUUUCAUAGCUAUAAUGGCUAUCAUUACUUGCCACCCUAUUCUGCACCUCGUCGAUGUCACAGCCCAUACUUUGACUCCCCACUUGCUGAUUUUUCGUCUAUGAAGAGGUCAACAUUAAAUGUGCUUUGUCAUAUUUCAGCAUGUUUCUUGUAUCCUCUAGUUCUGCUCCAUCUUUUAUUUCCUGAUUCGAUUUGUUCAAUUUUGACCUGUCUCGAUCAAUCGGGUUGUUUGAGCUUGGGCUGGUUGUUGCUUGCACAUUUGCUUUGAGAUUGGAUUGCUCUCGAUUGCCUUUCUCUCUACUUCGAUUUUGCUUUAUCCUGUCAGCUUGUGUAACAGUUCUCAUCCAUCCACCAUAAGGCAAGUCCUCCUUUUGUUGCCCUUUGUAUCUCAGGCAUUCCCUGUACUGGUGACCGAUAUGCGCACAACAAAAGCAAAAAUCAAGAAGUUUUUCAUACAAAAUUGGCAUUGGAGUUUUGCCAUCCGCUUGUUGUAGGAACACAAUCUUUUUUAGAGGCUGUGAAAUGUCAAUGGAUAUCCUGACUCUCGCAAACUGCCCAAUACAUUCCCCAGCUUCGUCUGUCUCCACUUCCUUGACUGUACCAAUUUUUUCUCCCAGCUUUUGGAUGACCUCCUUGUUCAUACACAUUAUUGGUAUGUUAUGGAUCUGAACCCAGAAUGUGGUAUGUGUAAAAGAUUGAUUUUUGAUAUCUCCAGUCAAGACUAUCAAUACUUUGUCGAAAUGCCACGACCCUCCCAUGAGCACCCUUUUCUUUUCUUCUUCAUAGGCGAACUUGAACAUGAAAAUGUUAUCCCCCAUGCUUUCUAUUUUAACCUCUUUGACGGAUCUCCAAGCCAUUUGCAUUGCAGCUUUCAAGCCCUCCUUGUUUAUACUUCUUGAUGUUAGCACUUUGCCCACUAAACAAUUCGCAGCUACUUCCUCUCCCUUUAUCUUCAUCCGCCCCAUGAAUGUUACGUUUAAUAUUAUAACGCUGUCAAUGGCAAAGUACGUGAGUGAUACAAAUUAAAAACAAACAAAUCAAACCCUGUGCACUGUCAUCCCUAAUUAUAUUUACCACUUCAUACUCACAGUGAUAAUAACUGUGUAUCACAGUUGACUUUCCAGACGGCUAAAAGUUCCAAGUCCGGAUGCUUGGUUAUUGAAACUUGAUGAAAAGGGCAUGAAAGAAAAUAAGAAAUUAAAUAAUACAGGAGGUAUUAAUCAUAACAUCUCUAGUUAAUGAAAAUUGAUGAACGGUAAUCCAAUAUUUCUGCAGACAUGAGCCGUAAUUAUGAUACCAUUAAGAAUGAAGCAGAAGAGUUUCCCCAAAAAAGUUAAAACGCGGCACUUGGAUUUAAAGAAUUAUCAUAUCACAGUACCGGGACAAAAAAAGGUUAAUGCAACAACAUACAUCAAGUUAAUUCCAUAAUCUAUCGCCAAAGAAAGACAAACACAAGCUUAUAAGAUUAAAACUUUGGAAAACAUUAGAGUCGGACAAAAUUGUGCAAUCUUCAGAGUUUGGAGCCUAGUUCAUCCAGGAAAGCAAAAGAAAUAAUAAUAAUAAUAAUAAUAAUAGUGGUUUGAUCUCAAAAGGUGACAUCAAGGUGGUAACUUUGAGGUAUUGGAAGCUAAAACGUCUUCAACUUUGUCCUGAUUUUGAAGUCCCUUAACCCAUCCGCCAUCAAUGGAUUGAAUGCUUCCAUUCAACCCAUCAUCCACAAAAUCACCAACCCGUUUCACCUUCAUCUCCUUCGGCUUAACAGGGUACUUCCCAUAGAAGCAAGCAUAACAAAAAUUCUGAGAAUCAUCGCCUGACAACUUGUUCAGGCUGUCAAUUGGCAGAAAAGCAAGCGAGUCACACCCAAUAAACUCCCUGAUUUCCUCGACGCUCAUCCUGUUGGAAAUCAACUCCUCACUACUUGGGGUGUCCACUCCAUAGUAACAACUUAACAAGAAGCUAUGAUUGGUGGGCUUGCAAUUCUCAUGUGAACCUCUUUAGCUCCAGCCUCCUUAAGCAACCGAACAAUUUUCGAUGAAGUUGUUCCUCUCACUAUUGAAUCAUCCACAACCACAACUCUCUUUCCCUCCAACACUCCCCUUACAGGAGAGAGCUUAAGCUUGACACCAAAGUCCCUAAUUUUCUGGGACGGCUCAAUGAAAGUUCUCCCAACAUAGUGUGACCUUAUCAACCCUUGUUGAAAUGGUACCCCGGCUUUCGCAGCGUACCCAAGUGCAGCCACCACUCCAGAAUCUGGUACUGCAAUCACAGCAUCACACUCAACAGGAGCCUCGGUAGCAAGUACUUCCCCAAAAUGAUACCUCAACUCAUAAACAGACCUACCAAAUACAACAGAAUUGGGCAAAGCAAAAUAAAUAUGCUCAAAGAUGCACUGGUUAGGUUCAGGGUGAGGCAUCAAACAAAGUGAUUGAACCCCAUCUUUAUCCACCAUCAAAACUUGGAUAUACCUCUCUCUCGUAUGUGGCCUCAAUCAAAUAGUGCACAAGUCUCUGUCGCAAAAACCAGAGCACCAUUACUCCUCCUACCCAUCACCAACGGCACAAACCCAUACGGGUCACGAACCGCAACAAGCUUAUCCUCAGUAACAAACACCAUUGAAUAAUUAUAUUAUUAUUAUUAUUGUUUUUAAAAAUAUCAUUUAUUUAUUUUUUAAAAUUUUUUUAAAGGUAAAGAAGUGGGUAAAGAUCAAAUUCAAUUUUUAUUCCUUACCCCCUAAGAUUUGAACUUAAGUGACCAAAUGUAUAAUAUUAAGCAUCUCAAAUUUCAUUUCUAAUGAUAUACAAUUUAUUAAGUGAUUGUUAAUCUUUACAAGAUUCGAGUGAAUUAAUUAUAUUAUUUCACUAUUAAUAAUAUGAGUAUCAUAUUAUUUGGAAUAACUUUUGAAUAAAAACAUUGUGAUGGAUGAAAUAUUCUUUUGAGAAUUUAUUGACUUAUCUCAUUUAUGAUUUAUUGUUGCAUUUAAGUGAUAUUGCAAAUAAUCUCAGAUAAUUUCAAGCCAUAUGUCAUUAUUGGGAUAAAAAUAAAGUAAAAUGGUUAAAACUAUUUUUAUGUAAUUUAUAAAAAUUAAUGAAGCAACUACAAAAUUUUUUAAACGAAAAACAAUUGAAAUGUGUGUGGAAAAAGAAGAAAAAAAAUAAGGCAUUUAAAUAUCUUCUUAAAAAAUACGAUUGAGUAAAAUCAUUUUAACAGAAUGCUCUUCCAAAUACAAUUCCACAUUUUUUUUAUUGCAGUGGGAUAUUCCAAAAUUGGCACAACUCAUUAAGAAUUCGGCAACUCAAAUUUUAUUUAUCACUCUAUGCAUUUGACAAAUUAAAAAGAAAAAAAAAAUUCAUAUAUCUUCUGUUCAAAAGAAACCUUGGUAAAUAUUGUAAAACAAAUUACCAUUUUUUUUAAUUUAUGCCAUUAUAUCGUCGCUAUUUUCUCGCCCACUUUCUUAAAAUAGAAUCAAUAUUCAUUGAUGGGUUGGGUUCCAGAGUAAGCACCAAUUCUGCAAAAUGGUUUUAUAGUAGAAAAAGCACUUGUAAGACAUUCAGAACACAUUUUUCAAUUUUGUCUUUUGAAAAUGAGUCUUGAGUUCCACAAGCCAAGAAGAAUGGCUAAAAAAUGUAUGGUAUCAAAGAAAGAGAAACACCCACACACACAGAGAUUAAUGGGGAGAUAUAUGAUUGUGUAAUUUGCAUAUAUAUCCCCAUUAAUUGUUGAUAGUCCAAUGGGUCUAUGCAAAAGGAAAAAAUUGGCUGUCCUUAAAGACAAAAUUGACUGUCACAUGAAAAUAAAAAAAUUUGUUACCACGCAACGAAAAUAAAGAUUUCAAGAACAACUUUAUGGUCCCCUUUCUGUCCAAACAUAUGCGAUAGCAAUUAGUGUAAACGACACUUGAAAUAUAUAUAGUAGAUCCUCACGCAAUUGAUAAAUAUUUAUAGUAGGAUGGAGUGAUAAAUAGUUUCACAAAAUUAUUGGAAUUAACUAUUGAAUACAUGAGAUCUAUCUCAUUAAGGAUAAAAGAUUUGAGUGCUACUUCAAAAGCAUGACGUUGCUGGCAACAAAUUUAACACAAAAGUUUAAUUAAUUAUCUUAGUUGAGACGAUAAAAUCUUGGAUUAAGAACAAAAGGUUUGAGGUUCGAACCUUCUCAUUCAAGAAAAUCAAAAUAUUACAUCUUCCAGCACAUAUCAAACAUUUUUUCAAAGGCAGACUGACAAUUCAGGGUAAAAAAAACAAAAAAACAAAAGGAAUAUAUGCUAUUGAAGACAAGUAUACCUUGGACAUGAAGUCUGAGUCCAGAACAAGAAGCAAUUAGCUGAUCUUUCAAUUUCCAAAACCCAACAAAAUCUUUGUCAAAAUAUACGAUCUAGUCCCAUAUUAAGCACAUUCAUAGCCGUAUCACCAGGUUCAAAAUAUUUUCCCCAAAAAGAGAUAGAGAUUCCAUUGAAGUUGAGUUGUGACUGUCCCAACGUUUGUAAUUAUAUGUUUCAGGAUACCAUGCCUAUGAAUCAUUUUUUUUUUCCAUGUUUCGAAGUCUAUCAAAUGAAAAUGUAAUUAUAUGGUUCAGGAUACCAAUAUGCCAGAGCUGCAAAGGUUGACUUCUACUAUCCUAUCAAUGUCUAUACUUUCUAUUGAAUUUCCUUGUUUGUUUUUUUAAAUUGCGAGAUUUAUUUUUAGAAAUCUUUGACACAUUUUAUGAAAGAUACCAUAAAACCAAAUACAACCAUUUUGAUUCAGCAACAACUUUUUUUUUUCCUUUUAAAAAAAGGAAGCCAUAUAAAUGAUGCUUUAAACAUUAUUUGCAGCAAGGAACAAUUAUUUCAUGCUUUCAGGUAUUAGAAACUUCCCAAAAAUGCUAGCAAGAAAAUGAAAUGGAACUUUACCUAGUCACAGAAUAUGUAUUGCUGUUAGCCCAAUUGUUAUGAAGUGGCUUCUGCAUCAGAAGAUUCCAGCUCCCACCAAGCAUUGUUAUCUCUCUUCUGAAUACAAUCUGCAUCCCUGGGCAUGAGUUAUAUCAUUAAUGUCUGCAUCCUCACUUACAUCAUCCCAAUCAAGUGUUUUUUCUCCAUAUCUGGAUUAUAAGUCCACUCUAAUCUCUUCAAAACAUCCUAGUCCUUCCAUCAUACGACUUCCUUCCUAAUUACUUUCCCAUUAAUAAAUCGCUCCAAGAAAAAAAAAGCAUUAACAAUUCUCUUCAACGCCCCAUCACUCAUAUCCCCUACAACAAACAUCUUUAGACACCUCAAUGUUGCCUCUUGAAAGACCUCCACAAAAUCCGAAUCAUCUGACACAACCAUCAAACACCUAAACCUUCUUUAGUCCACCAUAUCCACCAUAUAAUUCCUUAACUAAACAUCGGCAUCUUGUGGCUUAUCUAACACCUUCCUGACCCAAAACCAUGCUCUUUUCAACUAAUCUGCAAAACCAUAACCCACUUUUGGAGUCAAAAUUGCGCUUGCAGCCAUUUUAUAUUUUUCCAUCUUUAUUGAAUAGUUGCCAACCAAAAGCACUCUCACCUUCCCUCUAGUUGAUUCUAUUUGAUUCGACCUUUUCUUUUGUUCACCCUCAUGAAUUUGCCUAAAAUGAUUAAUAAGUUUGUCAUUAUUAUAAAAUCUCCUUCCACAAUCACCAAUACAUACGGCUUAGCAGGCCUAAUUACACCCUUGAUUUAUAAUUGGAUAAACAAUUCUUUUUCUUUCUUUGCUCUCUUACAACUUGAGGCACAUAACUAAACGUGUGGCUAUUAGCAUUUGCCACCAUGUAUUUAACAACCCCAAAUGAAGAUAUUAAUUUUUUUAGUUUAAUUGCUGCUUCAAAAUGGGGUACUGCAUUUGGAUUUUGUUAUUCAAAUUCCAAAAUGUUCCCACAUUGUGUUGGACAGUUUUUGGUUCUAAAGUUUAUGACUGGUUUUGCCAAUCAGGCUUCAAAUGAGAACUUCUAAACAAUAAGACAAAUAGGUUUUGAGUUUCUAAUCUUAUAAACUUUGUUCUAUUGUAUAAGUUAUGAAAUCGCUGAAACAUCACUACAGCUACAGGUCUUUAUGUGUCAAUGAACUGCAGAAGCUGAUGAUCUACUUGUAGUAGACUCCUAUUGCCCCUGCCAUUCUAGGAAGACAAACAAGUUCAGGAACUACAUCUGGACCAAACUCGUAAUAUUGCCACUGCUUUGUGCCAAUCUGAGACGGAAAGAAGAUUGAAGUUCCUAAAUAAGGCACAUCAUGAUUUAAUAGAAGUACCAUUAUAAGGAAAAAAUGAUUUCAGGAAAGCACUAAAAUAUGACAUAAUCUCCCCCUAAUGGUCUAAAGUAGUCAAGAAAUUAUAUCAACCAAGCAAAAACACAUAAACUAGUUGAGAUACAAAGUUAUCAUAAAAGUCAAUUUUGAUCACAAAUCCAUUAAAAUUAAAAGACAUCAGAAAGUUAUAGAACAUUAUAAUUUAGGACUUAGCUAAGUUGCAAAUUCUGUAAUUAACAGCUGAGUCCACAUUGGCCUUGCAUCAGCUGAGUUUGGGUUGCUUUUCCUCUCUCCUGCAACGCGUGAAAGCGUCCCAUUUGCUGUGUUAUAUACAGAGUCGGUACCGUAGCAAGCUCCUAUAAUUUAAGUUUGAUUACUGUAGACAAUAGUCUGCCUCUGUUCAAAAGCUAUGCUGCAAGAUAUAACGUCUUUGCAAUGUUGUACUUUCUAAAAGUAAUAAGAAAUGAAACCAAGGGGUAAACCGAACACCAAAAGAAAUUUAGUCGGCCAACCAUAUUAUGUUCCCACACAGUCCACUAAUUAAGUUAAUAAUUAAAGGGAAUUAAAAUCUAAGAAAUCUCAUCUUCAAGCAGAAUACAAACACACCAGGAUUGAAAAUCACAAAAUCAUAAAAAGAAGCUGACUUGAAAAGCUCAAAUAUACGUUCAUCAGCCUCUCAACUUAUAUCUAAGAACAAAUGCCUGCAGCCUGUGAAGACAUAGAUAAUUGAAGCUGAUGAGGCAUAUUUAACAGAUGAUAAUCAAAACUCAUGUGAUUAAAAUUAUAAUUCAAUAAUGGAUCACAUAAAACAACAAGUAACUAGUUGUAUAUAUACCAAACAACUUUCUGAAGUUAAGGCGUAAAACAAAAACGUAGAACAAAUUAAUUAAAUAUACUAGCACCAAUACUCUUAUUAUUAUCCACGUAGAAAAUAACAAUGUAUCAAACAAGGAAAAUGAAAUAUUGUUAAUAACUCAAAAACCACUAGUGUCAAGAACUAGACUAAUAAGUGAAACCCAUAAUCAGACACAACCACAUCAAAAUCUCUGAAAAUUGAGGUCUAAACAUUGAAAACAAUUAGACAUAUAUAACAGUCAAUCGAAACAAAGCCUCAAAAUAAUAAUAAACUACAAUAAGACAGAACCUAAAUUGUAAACACACGCAUACCCAGUAACAGUAAUCAAGUAACAAGUCAAAACCAGAAUCAAACGUAGAAUUUUGAAAUCCAUACGAACUCUAACGUAUUAGAAUGAAAGAAUAAGGAUGAUCAAUAAACUAGACUCAAACAAAAACAUGCCCAGUUAAAAAAUGAAGGUAAAUAAAUAAAAAUGGUAUAAAACUGCGAAAAAAAUUAAUGAAAUGAAGAGAAAAUCACAGGAAUCCUAUGAAGAGGAAGGUAAAGAAACCUUCCAGAGCCGAGAAGAUGCCUUUUUGGUUGACGUUUGUGCCUAUACAUAUAUAUAUAUAUUUUUUAAUUUUGAAGAAAGCAUUGGUUAACAGAAAGGGAUGGCAACGUGGCAGAUAUAUAUUAGAUUUAUUCUACUCCAGAUUCGUAUCCAUAAUAAAAAUUAAAAUUCGUAUAUGCUCUAUAUUUGUCAUAAAUUUAUAUUUUUCGUUCCAUAUUCAGAUCUAAAAAAUAAAUAAAUAUCUAUAACUGCUCUAAAUCUGGAAAAAAAAAUUAAAAUCCAAAUAUACUUUAAAUUCAUCAUGAAUUCUAAAACUUAGUAAUAAAAAAGUAAUAAUUUUUUAGAAUGAAAAUUGAAGACUAAAAUGUAUUGAUAACAAUAAAUUAUAUAUUUUUUCUCAAAAAUAUAAUAAAUAUUGUAGCUUAUACUUUUACACUAAAACAACAAAUAAGAAAGAUAAUAAAAUAUUUUUCAAAAGUAAUUGCAGGAGUAAGAUCAAUAUAAUAUUAUACUGUCUCUUUUAUCAUUUUAAUAUCCAUGACACACCUACCCUUAUUUCUACAACAUUAGAUAAUGACAUAUAAAUUAAAUAUGAUUUAUAUUCAGUGCUUUUUAUUUUUAUUAUGACCAUAUUUAACUAAAUAUAUGAAUAAUUAUAUUCAUUAAAAAUUAUUUGGCCAAUAUAAUGAAAUAAAUUGUCAGGUUGUAUUACUUGGCUUGCAAUUUGAAUAUUGCAUGUACAUGCUUUGGGGCUGGCUGAUCUUUAAAUUUACAAAACUAAUCUUUAAGUUUUAAGAGUUUAAAUACAUGGUAAAUAUUACUAAUAUACUAUGAAUAAAAUUUAUUAUCAUUAUAAUUCCACAAUUUUUAAGAAACUUUUAAAAUAAAAUAAAAUUAAAAGAUUGGUGGAUAUGGAUAUGGAUUUAGAUAUUAUGAUAGAUCCAGACCUGCUCCAGAUCUGUCUUAGAUCCGCACAUCAAUAUCCAAAUAUGAUCUAAAUUCAUUUUAAGCUGACCCAAAUCCGAUCCGAUUGGAUUUAGAUCACGUGGAUCUUGAGUCAGAUCCAAUCAUUGCCAUUAGGGAUGGCAAUUUGCGGGCCUGGGCCGGGCUUUUUAAAGCUCAGGCCCAAGCCCACAUCAGUUAAACGAUGUCCAGGCCCUUCAAAAGCCCGCCCAACCGAACUCGGGUCAGGCCUAAGCGGGCCUAGGCUAGGCUCGGGCUUUUAAAAUUAAUUAUAAAAUAUUUUUUAAAUUAAGAAAAUUAUUUAAAUUAAAGAUAAUAAUAUAAUAUAUAAAUAGAAUAAUAGUCAAAUACAUUAAAUAUUAGCAAUACAACCUAAUAAAAUAACAAAUACUAAUAUAAAAAAUUAAAGUAAUUUAAUAUUUUGAUUUUUUUCUUUUUUAUUUAAAUUAAAUUUAUUUUUUAUUCAUAAAUUUAGAAAGCCCUUGCUUUUUUGCUAAGCCCUUGUCUAGGCCCAACAUAUGUGGGCUUUGUAAUUUUUAGGCUCAUAUCCAAGCCCACCCCCUUGCGGGCCGGGUGUUAGGCCCGCGGGCCUGGGCUGGGCUUGACCGGGCCUGGGCCGGCCCGGGCUUUUUUGCCAAAUAUGAUCUAAAUUCAUUUUAAGCUGACCCAAAUAUGAUCCGAUUGGAUUUAGAUCACGUGGAUCUUGAGUCAGAUCCAAUCCAUUGCCAUCCCUAUUAACAGAACGAAAUAUUAAUAAUAGAUGUUGGCAAUUUCAACAAGGACAAUCUUGGAUUCAAAUGUACCCCUAUGAUAAAGAAAAAGCCAGCUUGGCUAAAUUUUGAGCACCACAUUACAAGAUCUAGGUGUAUGCUUAACUAUGCAAAAUGAAACAUCUAUUAAUUGUAAGUCCCUUGACCUCUGUAACCAGCCAACCGGUCUCUUUCCUACUAGACAACCUUCCAUCGACCAGAUUAAUAAUAUUUACUAAAUCAUGUUCUAUAGUUAAUGAAGUUGGACCAAGGCAAUUGUUAGCUUAAUGUCACAGGCCGCUCAAAUUUGCCGUAAUUGGAGGAUAAUUAUGUGCACAUGAGUUUGCUUAGCAAAAGUCCGCCUCGACGUGGAGUGCGCUUAAAAGCGGGAUGCACUUAGAAGUGGGAUGCGCUUAGCAAAUCAUCCAAGCCCAACCCAAGAUCUAGAACUCUCUGCAAAUUAUAAAUAAGUUAAAAGUUUUUAUAUUUCUCCACGUAGGUCCCUAGGAUAUUUAUGGAAGUUGCUAGGAAGUUUCCUCCCCUAAAAUGUUAACAUUUUGGUGGACGGUUAAUAUAAGUUACAAACUUAAAAUAGAAAAUCAAAUAAAUUCAAAUUUUCAAACUAUUUAUGGCAAAUUUAGGACAUAUGGUUAAUAAUUUUCCCAUGUCUUUUUACAUUGGUUGGUAUAAGUUACAAACUUAAAAUAGAAAAUCAAAUAAAUUUAUAUUUUCAAACUAUUUAGGGCAAACUUAGGGUAUAUGGUUAAUAAUUUUCCUUUAUUUUUUUUUACGUUAAAUUGAGUUUCAAAGGUAAAAUGGUCAAUUUAUUAUAAAUCUGUUAAUUUUUUAGUGGAAGCAAAUGAUAUAAUGGACGAAUGAUAUAAAUUGUAAAAUUAAGUUGCAUGAAUGAUACAACUUUAAAGUAUUGUAGUAAUCUUAAUAAUAGAACAAUUUAAGGGUGGAUUGGCAAUAAUUUAAACUUUAAUGAAGCAACUAAAAAAAAUUUUUAACAAAAGAAAAAUAAUUGAAAUGCUUUAAGAAAAAUAAAGGAAAUUAAAUAUCUUUAUAAAAACAUAAUUGAGUAAAAUCAUUUUACAAAAUGCUCUUUCAAAUGCACAUUCCACAAGUCAGGGAGAACGGGUGGCUAACAAAAAUCUCACUUUUUAUGAGUUUAUAAAAUCUCACUUUUGCAGAAUUCAAAAAUAACAAAUACUAAUCACACAAAAAAUAAAAAUUAUUGCUGUCACGACAUUACGCACUUUCUUCGUUGUCUAGAAAGGUAGAACAUUUCGAUGUUCCUCAAUACAAAAUGCGUGCUACUACUAAAUUGGCCCAAUUAAUGCCCAUCGAAAAGGCCAUGAAUUUAGCCAACAAUUUUGUCAAAAUUUCAGCAAUUGAAGAAAUAAUGAUCACAAACAGAACAGUUGAAUUUUGAAGUUUGAAAAAAUCUCCAGAUACGUACAACAAAGUCUUGAAGCUCUGGUCUUUACAAUUUGAGCACAGAAUAAAUAUUAACUACCUGCCAUUUAUAAUUUGUAUUAACUCUGUACCAAAACGUUAAUCGUCAUUCAUAAUUAAUGACGUGACAAUGAUAAUUUAAACAUUUGAUAUGCUUAAUAAAAAAUAAAAUAAUAACUUUAAAUAUAAAAAUUAAAAGAUAUUUUUAUAAUCAAUUCAAUUAAAUACACUUAAAAACUCACAUUAAUCCACAAAAUGCAUACAAAUGUACAGUACCAGAGAAUGAGAAACACACAUUUAUAGGCAAUCCAUUUGAGUUUAUGAAAUCUCAGUUCCCAAAAUCCAAAAAUAUUCAAUACACUCACAAACUUAAAAAAUAAAAAUGAUUGCUGUCAAGACACUUUUUAGCUGUCUAAAAAGCUAAACAUUUGAAGUUGUUUGAUACAAAAUGCAUGCUAAAUUGGCACAAUAAAUCCCCAUCGAAAGGUUAACAAUUGAAGGACAAUGAACACAAACGUAAUCUUUAGAUACAUACAACCAAUCCUUCAAACUUUAGUCUUCACAAUUUGAGCACGCCAUAACCACCCGCAAACAAGUUUUGGUAGCUUCUUGCGCGAACUGAACCCGCUGAAAUGUUUCUCUUAUUUUGUUAUUUUUUUUCUUUUUUUUUCUUUUUAGUCAUUUAUGUUCGCUGGCAUCUUCGUUGGCGUCUCUAUCUUCGCUGGCAUCUGCCUCGCCUGUAGUUUCAGUGCUAAUAUCCAACCAAUAAAAUGGGCAUUAAAUAUGAAUGAUGAAUAAAAUAAAAUAAAACAGAGAAAAUAAUGACAAGAAGAAAAACAAACUUUAAAAAAAAUUAUUAAAAGGGAAAUUUUGAGUUUAGCAUAGAUCAAACAGGCAUCACAAACUAAAACAAGAACCAACUAUAAAUAGAGUCAAUUAAUUGAAGUUCUCAAGAGCUUACCUCUGCUCCGGAAUUCUCGGAAUCAUCCACAUAUCUCCUUUUGAAUUUGCACCAAGCUUGGGACAAUUAUAAACGUAUGCAGAUGGAAAUCGAUUUUGAAAAGAGCUGUGGAAAAAGGGAUGGCGAAUGUUGCGAUAUGGAAAAUUUAGCAGUUCAAACUCCCGAAGUUGCUUCAUAACAAUUUGAUUGCAAUCCACGACGUCUGCUCCAUUUUUAUGCCAGAAUAUUGCUUCUAAUUCAUCAUUUCGUUCUAUCCGUAAGAAAUAUAGUUUUUGAAGACUUGGAGCUACGCCGAUAUGAAAUAGAUGCUUUAGUUUGGGGCAACCACAGACAGUGAUGCUUGUGAGUUUUGGGAAACAUACAGGUUGGAGAUGAUCCUCAUCCUCAUCCUCAUCAAUGAUUUGCUCUAAUUCGAAGCAGUUAUCAAUAACCAGCCCCUGCAAUUGCAACAGAUUUCGAGCAAAUGUUGAUGUGAAGAGACGCCUGAGCAUAGUGCACCCGUCCACUCUUAAAUGGGUAAGAUUUUGGAGGCUAAAAUUAUGCGUGGGACCUUCAUGAUAUAAUAAUACUUGCAGUUCUCGAAGGUUUUCCAACUGCACCUCCUUCAAACAUGGGAAUAAUUUGUUUUCUUGUCCCUUAGCGAUAAUAGCUUCCAAUUGAAAUACCACAUGUACUCCAAGUUGGCUAAUACCCAAUUCUUCCAAAUUUUUUAAGCCGUGCUUCAACAGUGCUGGAAUCGUGUCACUCAAAUGGGAACAAUUGUCCACAUAUAGAAUUUUUAAGUUCUGAGACAAAUAAAUAAAUAACUUGAUGCAAUUAAAAUCUAUUAGCAAGCUAGGAUUAUCACAUGAUAAGUGAUGAACACUGCAAAAAACAAAAACAGAAAACAAAAUCCAAACAAAAAUAUCAUAAUACAUAUGUAAACUAAUAAAAUAAUUAAAAAGUAAUGGAUUUAAAAAAAAAUUAGUUAAAAGAGAUCAUGUGAAGUGAUAUAAAUGUGACAUUAGAUUGUUUUAGAAAAAAUAUUAUUCUAUUAAUUUAUAUGGUUUGAUCAACUAUUUAAUUGAAUUUGAUUAAUAUUAUAUACACUUCAGAAGUAUUUGAAGAAUGGUUUUAGCCUUAUAAUAAAGAAAAUUCCCUAAGAUAUCUGAGCAUUAUUAUUAUCAUUACCACAUUCACGACCACCAUCAUCAUCUCCAUAGGAUCAAAAAAUUAAUGGCUGAUCAUAAAAUUUAUUGUUAAAAUAUCCUUUUGAGUAAAAUUGAAUGAAAAGAAAAAAUAUGAACCCAAACAGACAUACCUCUUUGAGAUACUGCAAAUUGGCUUCAAGUUCAUUACUGUUGAUGGUCAAGUUGGGACAGCAAUCAAGCUGUAACUCUUCCAAUGCUGCCCAAAUUGAACAAUAAUUCUCUGAACAGAACUUGGUGAGUUCUGGGAGAUCUUCAAGUUCUAAUUUUCUCAACAAAGGGAGGGCGAGCAUCGUAUUUCCAUCUCCGACACUUAUUUCCCCUUCAUUAUGAUCAAACUUUGCUUCGACAAUACAUUCCAGUCUCUCGCAUUCCCUUACAUGGAGACUUUUAAGCUGCUCCAAACUUCGAGCUUGUGACAACGUGAAGAUAUAUGUCAACUUGUUGCACCUAACCACAUUCAAUUCUGUAAGAGUUUGGAGACUGAUCACAUGUUGGGCGGGCGCCUUCCAUAUCCACUUCAGUUCUGGUAAGUUCCACAUAGAUAACUCUGCUAAUCUUGAGAGACUCUUUCCAUGCGGCGACUUAGAGGCUUCCAUUAUGCAUUCUAAAUCUUCGCAAUCGCCGACAUCAAGACAAGUCAACUCAUUUAAGCCCCUUUCAUCUAUGCUUGGCACAAUAUUGUAACAACCUAUAAUCCAUCUUAUAUAAAGAAUUUCCAGUUCUUGAUACAAAGCCGAAAAAAUACCGAGCGAGGUCACUUCAGGAGGGUCAUUCUCAAUGAUUAAGCUCUUUCUCUGACUACCAUAUUCCAUUUUAUAAAAAACUUCUUCACCUUUACAGAUGACGUACCUUUGCAAUUUCGGGAAUGUAAAGUCUUUUGGAAGAUAUACAACAGAUCCGUCGGCUUGGGAGUUCAACUCAGCAAGCCUAGCAUUACUUUCUUCUGAACUCAUCCCUUCAACCUCCCAAUUUUUUAUCCGACCAUAAAAUUCUUCUAAUUUUUUUAUCGUAAUGGGAGAAACAGAACUAGUAUCAAUAUGUAGAAGUUUCAAUCUACCAAGUUCAUCCGACAAUUCUUCAGGAAUUUCAAUGGGAGACGACCGGAGAUAAAGAAGUUCAAGUCUCUUCAACUUUCCAAGAAAAAACGCGUCACUCAAAUCACACAAAAUCAACUGCAGAACUCGGAGGUUAUUGGCUAGGAAUCGAAGUGAUUUUAGUGAAAGGACUCCAUUUAUUAUAGUAACAACUUUCAAUGCUGGCAUCCCUUCAAAAAAAUUUUCUGGAACUUGCAAUUUGUAGUCACAUAGAGUGUUGUCCAGUCGCAAAAUAUGAAGGUUAGGGCAUACCAAACGACUAGGAAGCUCUUCUUCUUUAUUUCCCAUUACAGAGAUUCCUCUAUAUUGCUCCGGGCCUUCUUCCAUUACCCGUUCUGCCAAUCCAAUGCCAACUUUACUAAAAAAUUUCUUCUCCACUAGUACUUCUGAGCCUAUCCAUAUGGCUACAUCACGAACUAUGUCAUGCAUUUUCACAGAUCUGUCAUUACCAGUGUCUAACAGUAGUGAAGCAGCUUUGAGUCCGUCAAUUGUUCCAAGCAGUAGGCUUCUGGUGUUCUCUAUUGACUCAGCUUGAUACCAAGUCAACCCUACUGCAUAUCCAACCAAAUCCUCCAAAUUAAUCUCAUAAUCUUCUGGAAAUAGCGAACACAACAAGAAGCAUAACUUGGAAUUGUCAUCAUUCAAUUCGUCGUAACUAAAUUUGAGACAACCGUAAACGUCUAAGUUCUCCUCAUCAAUACCUUCUAUUGCAUAGAGUUUUGCAGCCUUUAGGUUAUGUAGAGCUAGGUUCCAUUCAUUAAAUCUUUUUCCUCUUAGUGCACUUCCAACAGCUUCAAUAGCUAAAGGCAGCCCCUUACAUUCUCCAGCAACUUCUUUGGAAACAUCAUUCAAGGUGGAGUCAUUUACAUUAAUUUUGGCAUUUUUUCGCAGUAAAGCCAAUCCUUCUUCUGGCGUUAGUGUACUAAGUGGAAUCUGUGUGUCACAACCCAAAGAAUCACAAACUGACUUUUUGCGAGUGGUUAGAAGGAUUUUGCAACAAUUAUCUCUACCACCGACGGUAAUACCUAAUUUUUUCUCCGAGUCGAGUGGUUUCCAAACAUCAUCAAGGAUUACGAGGAUUUUGCUGCUUUUACUCUCAGAAAACAUCAAGCGCAAUCGGUCUGCUCUCUCUUUUUCAUCUUUCUCAUUUAGUGCCCAGCCUAACGACUUUGCCAACUCACCUUGAACCUUUAUUAUAUCUAGAUCCUGAGACAUAGUGGCUAUCCCCACCUUAUCGAAAAGCUUUUGUUGCCGAAGUUGAUUGCCCACAUAUUUUGCCAGGGUUGUCUUUCCUACACCACCGAGACCAUGCAAUCCCACCAUCUUUGUGCUCUCUUUUUUCAGUGCGUCAAUGAUCUGAUUGCAAGCGGAUUCUGUGGUCUUGAAAAUAGAAGUAAAAUGCCUUGGCAAACUUAAUUCUCUUUCUAAUGGUAGAGGUUUAGGAGAGGCAACUGUGUUGAAUUGGCUGCAGCCUUGUAGCAGAUCGGACAACUUGCUAGUCUUCUCUGAUGCUUUUCUGCCCAGACGAUAUCGGCAACACCAAUUAGGACACAAUCCAUGAAGACUACUAUCCUUUUCAUCUAUCUCUGCUUUCAACUUCCAAACAUCGUCCAAUUCUUCGACUCCAUUAUUCAGCCACUCCAUUACAUUUUCAUCGACUACUAUGUCGGGGCAUUUUCGCAGUUCAUCGUCUAUUCUUGUUUUGAUGCCAUCUCGUGCCUUCUUCAACUUAGUUUCUUUAUCCUCAAGUUCUUUAACAAUGCUGUUGAAACAGAACAUAUAGCGAGCUUGGUCAAUGGCUGCAUUCACCAAUAAUUCUUCAACCUUUGAUUUUAAAGCUUCCAUGCUAUUUAUCUGCAAAUAACGAAGUUGAUCUCAGCACACUAUUAGCGAAACAACAAGGCUUGAUCACCAGACAAAAUGAGAACGUUUAAUUACCUCUUUCUGCACUGUGAAUGCACGUCUAUUAACACCAGCUUUGACCAAUAAGAGCAAAAUGCAGAGGUGGGGCCUUAAGAGUUUCGGUGGCCUUUAGCUGCAAAACGGCAGAUGACAAAUAAGGUGAACGUUCCUAGCAAACGUGAUUUACGGUGAAUUAUAUUCAAAUUAGAUUAUUUUAAAAGUUGGUAAAUUAUUUAUCACUCUAUCUUAAUGAUACCUUAUUUGGGAUGAUAAAGAUUGGGGUAAAUUCCCUUUUAUUCUCACAUGUUUAUAGUAUUUAUAUUUUUAUAAAUUACCUAAAACAUCCAUGUAACUUACUUUUAUAGCUAUUGAACAUAUCAUUUCAAAUAUAAAAUACUAUUUCUGUCUAAUAUAAAUUAAAAAUCAAACAAAUCUAUCAUGCAAUAAAUGAAAAGUAAAGAAUAUUAAUUAGGUUUUAAUGGAAACAAAUAUAAAACAUAGAGGUUUUGAGUAACUUUUGUAUUUUUUUUAAUGUUCAAUUUAGAAUUGAAUAAUUUGCAUAAUGAAAUUUUGAGGUUUCUAUAAUUUAUAUGAAGAUAAACUGCGAAAUAAGUUUAUAUGCCGAAAUUAAAAUAGUUAUAUAUUAGCAAUCAUAUAAUAAUAAAAAAUUUUAAUAAAAUUUAUUUAAAAAUUGGCCAAUUGUGUUUCAUGAGUAAAACAGAGAGCAUAAUGGACUUAUGUUGGGUCUUGGGAUUGAAAGACUAAGGGUAAGGGGCCGGGAGGUAGGACGGUAGGAAAAUUAAUUUUUGUUAUUUUUAAAGUAUGGUCAACAUUAGUGACUUGGAGGUGAUUGCCGUUAAUCAAUUACCUUUAACUUAAGAAUUAAUACAAAUAAAUGGCAAAAAUAAUUUAAUGAAAAUUAAUUUAAUAAAAAAUUGCACUAAAAACUUAGAACUCAAAUUCUCGAUCAUUUUAUCCGUACGUUUUAAUCCGACGCUCAGAAUUGGCAUAAAACAAACUAAUAUAGCCAUUGGAAAUAAAACAAACAUCAAAUCAAGAGCCUAUGAAACAAUAUUAUCUCGUACCUUCUUCCUUAUAGAUCCUCAAUUGCUGUUGAAAGCUGCAUAUGACAAUAUAAAUAAACAUGAGAUCAAAACAUCAUAGGAUAUAUCUAGCCAAUUAACAUCAUAUAUAACUCCUUGUUCUCAGUCAAAUCUUUCAUUCUUAGAUUAAAAAAAAAAUGAAAUAAUAACUGUUAAGUGAUAUAGGAAGCAAAAGUAACACACCGAAAUGAAAGCAGCUAGUUCACAGAUGACAGAUGCGGUGACUUCAAGAGCAUGAAAAAUGAUUAAACUUUGGUAGAAGGGUCUGAGCCGUGUUUCACAAGUUGCUAUUGACUUCGUGGCUUCGCUUUUAUUUAUUAUUAUUAUUUUUUUAAAUUCUAUAUCAGUGAGAAUUGAAAUGUGGAAAGUGAAAUGAUACACAUGCCUUAUCAUCUAUCAUGAGGGGUGAUUUGGUAAAACCGAUUUAAAAUAAAAAAAGUUUAAAAAAAUUUAAAAAGAUGCUUUGUGUCUGACUGCUUGUAUUUGGGGUAUUUUUCGGGUUGUUGAGACUUGAGAGUGAGUUUAAUUAAAUAUAAGAUUUUCAUUUUUCUUAUUAUAUUUUUCUCUUUAGAAUGAAUUUAAAUCUCAUUCUUAUUAAAUUCAUUUUUUUAAAUGAAAAUAGAUUUCUCUCCACACAUUUGAGAUAUAUUUUAAAAUUAAUGUUAAGCAUAUCUCUAAAUUAUAUUAUAAAUAUUUUUAUUUAAAAUCUCAACAGAUUUCAUAACACACAGAGAGAAAUACAUAUAUAUGUUGUAAUGUUUUAAUGAUGGAUCUCUAAAGUUAUCAAGUUAAAAAAUAAAUAAAUAAAUAAAAAAUACACACUUCAACUUAUUAUAUGAUAAAAUAUAGUAUAUUAAAGUGAGUAUUUUUUGUGUGAAAUAAAAUUAAAGUGAGUACUAUUACCACCUCACAUCUUAUAAAUUCUAGAAAAUAAUCAAGGCUUGACAUACUUUUAUUUAUGCAAAAGCAUAAGAAAAUAAUUCAAAGUACUAAUUAGUGUACUAUUCCUCAAAAUUCUAGAAUAGAUUUGUUAGUUCUCUUUAGCCAUAGAUUGGUCCGUGAUUGGCACCGCAAUAGCUCAUAAUCACCUCAACAAUUGUUCCACACGGCCCAACAUGACACAUUGUAAACUAGUCUACAAGAAUUUUUUGAGUGGCUUUCUAGCAAUAUUCUUAGAGAAAGUGUUUAGUAGUUUCAAAUCUUCUUUUUUUAACACAAAUGUUGGCAUGAUAUUCUUAAUAUAUUUCUAAAAUCAAAAUAAGAUGCAUAGAGGACGAUAAUUUUAUUUCAUAAUUGAAUUUUUUGCAAAGAAAGUUUGAACAUGAGAGUGAUGAGAGAUGAGAAUAUUGAUGAUGGUGUGUACUUUGAAUGGAAAAAUAGAUUGGAAAUAUAUAUAGACAUAUUAAAAGAAAAAAAUUUGGUCUAUUUCAUAAGAGAAAUAAAAAAUUAUAAACGCGGGUGUUAAAAUGUAUUCAGAAUUUAUAAAUUUUUAUAAAUAUGAUAAUCAUCAGACCCUUAUAAAAGUAUAACAAAAAAGUUUAAAAUUUUUUAAUAAAUGUAGAAGAGAUGAACGAAGAAAUCAUCCACCAGUUCAGAAUUAACAAUCAAAGAUAUGAGGACUUGAUUGAAGAAAUGAUGAAAAAUAAAAGGAAACUGGGUUGGUUAGCGGGACCCUAAUAUUAAUGGUGAAAAAUAAAAGGACACUGGGUUGGUUGGCAGGACCCUAAUAUUAAUGGCAAAAAAUAAAAGGACACUGGGUUGCUAUCAAUUUCGAUCGUGUAGGUUCAUAGCCGGGGAAGUAAUUGGGCACAAAUAUCUCGGAUGAGAAAUAACCAUUUUAUCCCGCAACCAUAUGUUUAUGGCCUCUAAAAAUUUUCACCUCUUUCACUUUCUGGAACCCGUGCUUUCUGGCACAUGCACAAAUACUUGGUUGCUACUUAUAGAGCGUUUUUGGAAUUGCAACAACAUGGUGCUCUUUGAUAAUUCAAAAAUCCAAUAUAAUUUAUAGAGAAUUACAGAAUUGUGGUACGUGAUAAUUUGCUGAUGCAAUGAGGCGCCGAAAUUCUUAUACAUGUGAUUUAAGUUAUAUAUGUAUAAUUAAGUAAUUAGAAUAUACUAGUUGGGGGUAUUUGUGUCCAUGAAAAUUUACAGCUGGUUGUUGACAUUACACUGCGGGUGUGUAAGUGUAAUCAUGGAUCUGACCAUUCAAAUUUAAAAAAUGGGGGUCCCGCUAGCUUACGGAGUUAGUAAUUAUUAGAUAUGCAUAUAUGCUCCCAUACGAUAAUCUUAUCAUAAAUUUGAAGGAUACGAGGACUUGAUUGAAGAAAUGAACGAAUAUUUGAAUUAAAAAAAAUUUUAGAAUAAAGACAAGUAUUAAUUUACUAUGAAUGCAACUUACAUAAGCUGUAAGUUAGCGGGACACUAUUAAAUCACAAGCAAAAAGCAAUCUGACUUCUUCUUGAUUCCGUAAUUUGGCUGUCAAAAUGUAAUCUAUAAAAAUUACGAUACCUCGAUUCAAAAAAAUGUUGUUUCUGAUGAAAUAAAUGAAAAUUGAACGUACAAUCUGCCACGAACACUGUUUAAUUAACCGUUUAUUUCCCCUUAAAUUUUUAAUCUCAAUGAAACAUAGAUCUAAUGGGAACUACAUAUAUAUAAAAAUACUAUAGAUUGAAGAAGUUGAAUUUUUCUUGUGUGUUAAGUAUUUUUAGUUAAUACGAAAGGAUUCUAGCAAGUUAAUACAAAAGUAUCAUAAAUUCAUAGUAGUACAAGAGAUUUUUUUUUUCUUUUGAUAUUAAGAGUUUUCGAGAUAAAAAAAAAAAAAAUAGGUGAAAGAAGAAGAUGAGAGAAGAAAAAAUAUUAAGAAUAGUUUUGGCAUUUUGAUGCGUUUUAUAGUGUAAAAUCUAUAUUUUAUAGUAUAAAAAGGUACACCCAUAAUUUAAUGAUAAAAUUUUAGGAAAAAAUUGCACUCGUCAAAAAAAAAAAGAAAAGGCUCAGCUUAGCCCAAAAAUUUUUUAUUAAUCGUCUAGUCGCUAAUGUAAUCUCUUUUUUAUGAGAUUCUUUGGCGUUUUAGUUUAGUCCAUUGUUAGCAAUCCUAAUAGCUUUUAUGUGCAUCUAUUUUUAUUUGGAAUAUGUUUCAAGCUUGAAUAAAAUCUGCGGGACAACUGGUAAGUAAUAAAGCUCAUCAUUUUUUUAUUUUGAAAAUAAAGGGAAUCACUUACACUUAGCAUGAUAUUAUUUUUGAUAAGUCAUUUUUUUGGUAGAUUAUUUUUUCUAACACGCUCUUAGAUUUAGUGAAAAUAAAUUGUAUACUUUUAAUGAAGAAAAGUAAAGAUCAACAAAAUAUUUUGUUCUUUGCGACAACUUUUGCGUUCUCAAGUGCGCCUGAUACCCUUUUUUUUUUAACAUGGGCCCACGUGCCAUGUUUCCAUUUCAAGUUUCAUAAGUUAACAGUAGAAAUGGGUUCCACAGAUAAUUUAUUUUAUAAUUUUUUUUAAAAAUUACUAAAAUAUAAUAAAUAAGGUAAUAAUAAUUAAUAAAAAAGUAGAUUUUAAGAUGGAAAAAUCUUUUUGUGUACUUAAUAAAAAGAUGAUAAGAAUGGGAUGCUUUUAGUUUACAUUCUCAUAGCUAUUUAUACUGAAAAAUUACAUCAAAAUUUAAUUAAUAAAUCAGUGAACUGCAGACUUAUUAAAUUUAAGCUAUUUUAAUAAGUCAUAAAUAUACUAAAUUAAAAUAGUAAUAAACCCAUUGUUACACAAUACUCUCCAUUGAGUGUUCACCAUUUUAAGAUAAUCAUAAAAUGACACCGGAAGUGCUAUUAUAGCUGUCUCAUGGAAAGCCUUCACCAAUAAAAAGGAGGAUAGAGCACAUACAUCCAGUUUUUAUACCCUUUGAUGCUCAGUCGACACGUGCCAAUGCUAUAGACUAGCUUUUCGAAGGUUGAAGUGGGUAUGCUAUUAGUAAAAAGACCUGCAAAAUUAUAGUGUACCUAUUUGACAUCAACUUUUUUUAUCUGCUGGAGCUUAUGAUUAUAGAAGAUCUUCGGUAAGAUGUGUUUGAUUUUAUCUUCUUUUAUAUAUCCUCCUCUAACUUGUGUAAUAGUAGUAAACCCCUGCCCGUUUUUAUUUCGUUUAGUAUUUUCUAAAUGGCCGAAGGAAAAUUGGUAAAAACUCAUUUAAAAAUAAAAAAAAAUCAAAGAAAUUCAAGAAGAAGCUUUGUAUCUGUCAUUUGUAUUUGGGGUAUUUUUUUGGUUGUUAAGUGAAUGAGCUUAAAUCUAAAACAUUUAUUUAUAUAUUUCUUGUUGGAAAGAAUUUAAAUUUUAUUCUUAUUAGACUUAUUCUCUUUAAACAAAGGUAGAUUUUUCUCUAUGUGUUUAACGUGUAUUUUAAAAUUAAUGUUCAACAUAUCUUUAGAUUCUAUUAUAAAUAUUCAUAUCUAAAAUCUCAACAGAUUUCAUAAUAUAUAAAUGUAUAUAAAGAGAGAGAAUAACGUUUCUAAUAAGAAAUUUAUUAAGUUAAAGAAUAAUUCAAAAGAUAAAUUUGUAUUCAACCCAUUUAUAUGAUUAAUUAAGGUUUUAAACAAAUUUUGGACUUGUUCUAUUGUAGAGCUUAAAUUCAAAAUGGAAGAGUGAAGAAGGGAAAAAGAAGACGAAUAAAGAAGAAAAGAGGAGAACAACUUAUACAAAAGAGGGAGAACGAAAAAGUGAAGGGCAGAAAAAGAAAAAGAAUAAAGAAGAAAUUAAUCAUCGCUGAUAUGAAAAUAAUUCCUUCUUCUUUAUUGUUCUUAGUGGUUCUACUUUUUUUUAUUGGAUUCUAAAUUUUUGUCGUAGAUGGAUUAUAAGAACUAGAAAAUUAUAAAGAUAAUUUUUUAAUUAUUCGAUUAAUUAAUUCCAGCAGAAGACAAGAAAUUGAUUCUGCUUCGUUAGAAAGCCAUCACAUUCUAUACGCAAUUGCAAAAAGUAUAUAUUUUUGUCUGUUUUAGACAAGAAUAAAAGGGAUACCUGGUAUUGCAAAUCUAGACACGUUUUAGUGCUUUAUGUCCGAAUGAAUUCUUUCUUGCAACAAUAAACUUGGCCGAUCAGGAUUUGCCGUUUACAUAUGUAGGUCCUGUUGGUUCUGUAGUAGGACUCAUAAAUUUUUAUUUUUAAUUUACUGAAUCCAUAAAUUUAAAAUAACGGUGCAACUCCUGAGGAUGACAAUGGGGCGGGUGAGGUCUUGGAGUCCUGAAAAAAUUUAUAUCUGCAUAUUAAAAAAUGUGGAUCCGAAUAAGAAAAUCCGCAUGAAUCCGAAUGCAAGUGCAUUUGGAAAAUCGGAUAUCGAGAUCUGGAUAAAAAUUUAUUUCAAAUUAAAAAUUAAAUUAAAUAUAUAUUAAAAAGUAAAUGAAAAAUUAAGAAAGUAAAUUUUAUUUGUAGAUUUAUGAUGUCAUUGUAUAUUAUUCAUGUUGAAUUAUUAAUUGUUGGAUUAUGAUUGAAUUUUAUUUGAUAUUAUUGGGUAAAUUAUUGAAUUUCAUUUUAAAUUAAAAAUAUUUAUUAAAAAUUAAAUUUUAUUUGUAGAUUUAUGAGAUUAUUGUAUGUUAUUCAUUUAAAAUUUUUAAUUAUUGAAUUAUGAUUGAAUUUUAUUUGAUAUUAUUAGGUAAAUUAUUAAACUUUUAAAUUUUAUAUUAAAUUAUAAGCAGUAGGAAAUUAUGGUAUUCAGAACAUGUAUACCUUCGCACAUGAAGCUUGAGUCCAGAACAAGAUGCAGCUAGCCAAUCCUUCAACUUCCAAAACCCCACAAAACCUCUGUCAACAUAUCUGCUCUACUUCAAUAUUAAGCACAUUCAUAGCGGUAUCAACAGCUUACAGCUCCAAAAAUAGUUUGAGAUUUCAUUGAAGCUAAGUUGUGACUUGUGACUGUCCAAAUGUUCUGUCACACGAAAUGAUUAUUCUUGUAACACAAAUCCAAUAGCAUGCAAUAUAAUCUACUCUCUAACACUGUGCAUUAGUAAAAUAAAACAGAGUAAAGCAUUAGUAAAAUAAAACAGAGUAAAAAGAGAAACCAUGCCUGUGAAUCUCUUCUCCUCCCCCCACCACCCCUUUUUUUGGUAAAGUCUAUCAAAUGAAAAUGCAGCAUGACCACAUUGGCCACUACCACUGCCAUUACUCCUUCAACUGUGCCCUUUGUUGCAAGAAAUCUUCAAGUGAAAGAUGGAUUAUAUAAUUAAAGAUUCCAAUAGAAGCAGCAAAGGUUGCCUUCCACUAGCCUAUCAGAGAAUAUGCUUUCUAUUUUCCUAGUUUUAAUCAAAAUUUUGCAAGAUUUAUUUAUGGAAAACUUGGACAAAAUUUUAUGUAAGAUACCAUAAAGCCAAACACAAUCUUUUUAAUUCUCAGCAGCAACAUUUAAAGUAAAAAGAUGGAAGCCAUAUAAAUAUAACUAUAUUUGGUACGAGGAACAAUUAUUUCAAGCUUUCAGAAAUGCUAGCAAGAAAUUGUAAGAGAACUUUACCUAGUCACAGAAUAUGUCAAGCAUACUACCACCAACUGUCUUUAGCACAAUUGUUAUGAAGUAGCCUCUGAAUCGGAAGAUUCAAGCUUCCACCAGGCACAAUUAUUUUCAUUCUCCAUACAAUCUGCAGCAGUGGCAUGAGUUAUAUCAUCAACAUUUGCAUCCUCACUCUCAUCACCCCAAUCAAGGCUUCUUCUCCACCUCUGGAUUAUAAGUCCUCUUCGACAUCUUCAAACAUCUCGGUCCUUCCAUUUGCAAACAACCGAUAUGGCUUCUUUCCUUGCCUUCCUCAUCGUUUAUAUCCCCCAAAAAAGGGUCUUUAGACACCUCAACUUUGCCUUCUGCAAAACCUCCACAAAAUCUGAAUUAUCCAACACAACAGCUAGACGCUUGAUCCUUCUUUUGUCCAUCAUAUCCACCGCAUGAUUCCUCAACAAACAUCUGCAGCUUGUGGCUUAUCUAACACUGUCCUGACCCAAAACCCCACUCUUUUCAACUCAUCUGCCAAACCAUAACCCACUUUUGGAGUCAAAAUUGUCCUUGCAGCCCUUUUAUAUUUUUCCAACUCCAUUGAAUACUUGCCACUCAAAUGCACUCUCCUACCUCUAGCUGAUUCUACUUGAUUCAACCUCUUCUUUUGUUUACACUCAUGAAUUUGGAUAAAAUAAUUAACAAGUUUGUCAUUAUUAUAAAAUCUCCUUUCACAAACACCACAUAAAUAUGGCUCAGCAGGCUUAAUUACACCCUUGCUUUCCAAUUGGUUAAACAAUUUUUCUCUUCUCUUUGCUCUCUUACAACUUGAGGCACAUAACUAAAUGCAUGGCUAUUGGCAUAUGCCACCAUGUAUUUAACAACCCAAGUGAAGAUAUUGAUUUGGGGGUUUGUUGUCCAAAUCCCUAAAAAUUCACACAUUGCGUUGGACAGUUUUUAGUUCUACAAUUAAUGAUACGUUAUGUGAAUUAAGCUCCAAAUGAGAACAUCUAAACAAUGAGACAAAUGGGCUCUAGGUUUCUAAUCAGUAAACAUCGUUCAGUCGCAUAAUUUAUGAAAUUUUUGAAACAUCACUACAGCUACAGGUCUUUAUGUGUCAAUGAACUGCAGAAACUAAUGAUCUACUAGUAGUAGACGUUUGUUGUCCCCACCGUUCCAGGAAGAAAAAUAAGUAGAAGAACUACUUUUAGACCAAAAUUAAAAAAUUGAAACUAUCUUGAAAGACUUUCCCUUCAACUAAGUAAAAAAGAAAAGAAAAAAAAAAGGUAUUAGACAAGCAUUUUCAAAGGAAAAAGAUCAUCCAUUUAUUGUAUGUACUCAGGAAAAAUAAAUGUACUAAUAGGUAGAAACACAGCAAUAAAACUCAAAAACUAACAUCUAUAAAGCUCAAUAACAAUUAUGAAUUAGAUAUUUUGGUCCCUUCAUAAUUCCUCCUCUUGACUUCACAUUUCCCCUCAGCCCGUGAUAAUUUUACCUAUUGAAUUCACAUUUCCCCUCAUCCAUUGAACUUUCCCAAUAACAAGAUGAGUCUAAAUCAUCAAUCUCAUUAAACACUCACAUCUACUAAAUAAUAUCGCAUGCAGUAACUUUAAGUAAGGAUCUAAAACUUACAAGAAAAAGAAAACUACUGUUUAUUAAUUUCAAAAUUUACACAAAAUUACAAAUGAUUUUAUAAACUGUACCAAAACAUGUUCUCUAAAAGAGAUUCAUUAUCCUGCAUUUUCAAAAACAAUAUAAACUAACACUAGAAUAGCCAUUUGAUAAUGAUGUGAAUUUGGGCAGCACCAAGAAGCAGUGAGCCCCAUUUGGUGAAAGCAAAAAGAAAAAAAAUUAAAAUAAAGCACUAUAAAUUCUAAUCAAAUUAUUAACAUUAGCUACACAUCAAGAAACCAGAAUAAAAUCGUUAUCUAAACCACAUACUGAAAAAGAAAAAACAAUGCAGUUAAAAUUCUAUCAUUUUCACUUACAAACAAAUAAAGAAAAAAUUAAGAACAAAGGUUGAAGCAAAGAAUGAUUGUACCUUGAGGUACUUGAGGUUAAUGUUUCCAUAAACGAGACCGAGCGAAAAAGCCGAAACCAGAGCAACCUAUUCUUACUACUCAAAAACACGCCCAGAUCAGAAAAUAAAUGAUCAUUCAAUAACAAUUCAUAGGAAAAUGAUGUUUGCCCCGGGUCAAACCCCGGGUCAAACCCCGAAAAUAACUUAAACGGCGUCGUUUUGAUUAUUUUUUUUCUUUUGGAAUACUCCAAAACGACGACGUUUCUGAUGAUAUUUUGAGAAGAAUAAAAUCUAUCUUCCUCUUCGUUUUCGUUUCUUCGUUUCACCUGUGAAAGAACAGAGCAACAGAGCAACAGAGAUCCCAACUUGGUCUUGUUCCGUUUGACCGUAAAUCUCUUCAUUUCUUCGUUUCUUCGUUUCUUCAAAUAACGGCAAUAUCACCCAAAACAAAGUUUCAUGCAAUGUUGUAAAAAAUAAAUUAUGAUUUGAGAACUGAAAAAAUAAUAUGAGAACUAAAAAAAUGAGACAAAUCAAGAAUAUGAGAACUGAAAAAAUUAAUUCAAUGUUACAAUGUUACAAUGUUCUAAAAACGAAGGCCAACUUCCUAAAAUAAAAUUAAAAAACAAAAUGCUACAAUGUUAAUCUUCGAAAAUUAAACUGAAAAAAUGAGACAGUACCGAAAAAAACAAAUCUUCGAAAAUUCAAGCUUGGCACAAUGUUAAUCUUUCGUCCAAACUCAGCUUUCAACCGUCCAAAUUCAGCUUGUCCAAACUCAGCUUUCAACCGUCCAAACUCAGCUUGUCCAAACUCAUCUUUCAACCGUCCAAACUCAGCUUUCAAGGACACAUUUCGCAGCCGAAACUCAGCCGAAACUCAGCUGCUGUUGGUCUUGUUCUUCAAUGGGUACCAAACGAAAAAGAAACGAAAAAGAAACUCAGACGCUUUCAACUCAGCUUCCAAGGACAAAUUUCGCAGCCGAAACUCAGUCGAAACUCAGUUGCUGUUGGUCUUGUUCUUCAAUGGGUGCGAAACGAAAAACAAACUCAGAUGAAGAGGAUGGAGCUUUAAUUAGUAGAUCCCGUUCUGCUGUCGAUGAGUGCUCCGGCUGUGGAUCUCGGUCGAGGAUGGAAGAAACGAAAAAGAAACGAACAAACGAAAAAGAAAAUAAAAGAAAACGACGCAAAUCAUUCAAUAAACAAACGAAAAAGAAAAAAAAAAAAGAAACGACGCAAACGACGCCGUUUAAGUUAUUUUCGGGGUUUGACCCGGGGCAAACAUCAGCACUCUUUCCUUUAUGAAUUGGGAAAAUGCUACUUUCCCCGGGUCAAACCCCGAAUUAUUUCAAAACGGUGUCGUUUUGUUUUUUUUUUUUUCUUUUUACUUGCAUGAAACGUGGUCGUUUGAGCUAGUAAAAACAAAACAAACUAAAGCAGAAAAAACUCAAGUGCUUAUCUUCUCUGCCCCUUUCUUAAUUUCCUUUUGACAAACCACGGAAUCACACCCACAAACAACAAUCACCCACAGUCACGCGAACAGCCGGCACAGACGAAGGAUGAGCCCACAGACGACGGACCACCGCAUUGAAAUCUCUGUCCACAUCACCGGCACCAUCAUCGUAGGUCUGUAACAAACUGUCGUAAGUUAAACCCUUCUCACCGUCGAUGAACUCGACGUAAGUACGGAAUACUUCGUCGAGAAUUGCGUUGAUUUGUUCGUCGCUGAAUUUGACUCGAGGGUUUACGGCCACCACUAAAGCCGCCAUUUCUUCUCUAUUACGGCCACCGUCGCGGUUCGUGUCAAAUUGUUGAAAAAUUCUCUUCACUUUCUCUGAUCUGCUUCCUCUCGUAGCCAUUUUUUUUUUCUGUUUUUCUGGGGGUCAGUUUGGUUUCUCAGUGUUUGUUUGAGAAAGCGGAAUUAGUAGAUAAGGGAAUAUAAGGAAAAGUUGAUAAAAAGGCAAAGGGUGGUUACUUUAAUUGUUGGUGAGAAUAAUGAUGAUGAUGGCUUAAUUCUGGGUUUUGUUGGAUCUGAAUGAAUUCUUAACGGCAAAAGUUAAAGAGUAGAAGAAGAGCAAGAGGACGGACUCUCAUUCUUUCCCUUUUUUCUUUUAAUUUUAAAUAUAUCAAAAACGGCAGCGUUUUGGAGAAACAAAAAAGAAAAAAAAAUUAAAACAAAACGACGCCGUUUUUGUUUUCGGGGUUUGACCCGGGGCAAACAUCAGCACUCAUUCAUAAAAACUCCAUCCCAUCGCAUUUAAAACAAAACAAAGAAAAUAUUGAUUAGAAAAAAAAUUACACGCAUGGAAUAAAAGAAUAUAAAAAUGGAAUUACCAGAGGGAGCUAGUGCCGGAGUAGGAACCAGAAGGCAGCGCCAUAUGAUGCUCUUGUUAUGGUUUUCCUUCUUGUGGGUCUGCGCUGAAGUCGAAGAUGAAGAAACAAGAAAGAGCCAGCAAAUUGAGAAAUCGACUACCAUCUUCGAUUCCGACUCGCAUGGCCAUUUUUCUUUGAUGAAUGAAAUAUUGUUUUACUCCCUAAUUCUUAACCAAAUUACAAGUUUUGACUUCUGUUUGUAUGUUCUUUCAUACGGGUUCUUGUUCACAGGAAUAACAAAUGGGCCGGACGUGUGGCUAAGCCCGGGCCUGGUGUCGAUAGCCAGGCCUGGGCUUUUACGAGCCCAGGCAUUUUAUUCUGAGUAUGAUCCUUAUAUCACUUCACUUUUGUAAUCGUAAUUUUAUUGUACUGAAAAUUAUAUGAACGAUUAAUAUGAAUUUAAUUAAACAAACAUGUCUUUACAACUCAUGCAACCUUACUAUUUUCUAAUCCUAAUAUGUGAUAUAAUUAAUUUUACUGAUAAAAUCAAAAUAAUUUUUAAACAAUGAAGAAAUAAAUUAUAAUAACAGUAAAUUUAUUACGAAAAAGUAUGUUUACAAAAUUUAUUUUAAAUGAUAUGAAAUCUAAUUAAAAUUCUAUUCUAAUUUUAUGCCCUUUUUUACAAUUUUAUUAAAAAGUGGGAUCUCUUAAGAUUUUAGGAGUGUUGGAAUUCUAUUUUUCCAGAUUUGAAUUUUAGUGACCUUUACUUCAUUUAAAUUUUUUGUUAUAAACUUGCAAGCAAGUGCAUUUAGGAUAUCUUUGGUGAACUGGAUUGUAACAAUAAUUUUAUUUAUUAAAAUUAUUAAAAGUAUUUAAUUAAUAAAACUUCACGUAUCCUCGGGUCUAACCAAUCAAAUUCUUUCUCUCAAAAGUACACAAAAGUGAGAUUGGCUCUUGCCUAUUAGUUAACAUAUGCAUAUUAAUUAACACUGACAGAUAUAUAGAUAUACAGCACAGCUAGCAGCACAUUCGACUUACAGAUAUACAGAACUUGAACAUAAUUCACAUAUCUGAAGGGAGAGGGAUAUCGAUGUUGCGGCCUGCAAUUCAUAACAUAUCAUCGGUCAUUUAAUCUAGAAUUGAGGAGAGAAAAUGAGUCUAAAUUCGAAAACUUUGGCACUAUUUACAUAUCAUUAUUUGGGUGAAAAUUCAUUUCUCUGCUUUGAUAUGAUUUGGUCUUUCAUUGUUACGGUGCCAAUUUUUUAUUUAAAGAUGUAAGGUAGUGGUACUAUAGCUUAUAUUUUCCGUAAUUACUAUCCGGUAAGUACAAAAAUAAAAUACUAGUUUAAAAUAUAAAAAUGAAAAAUUAUUUUUAUAACCAAUAUUCAAUUAAAUACAUUUAAAACUCUAUUUUUUCUUAAUAAAAAAAAUUCUAAUUUAUUUUCUCAAUUUAUCUAAACAACUUUACCUAAUCAAGCUAAAUCUACAUAUUACCCUAAACCUUAAUUCAUAAACACCCAAUCAAUCUAAUUGUUAAAUCUUAUUUCAUAAUAAAAAAAAAUUAAUUUCUUUUUUAUUAUUUAUGGUGCAAAGGAAAAAAUGAAUUUAAAGGUAAAAUUGAUAUUUUAUUUAAAUUUUGUUAAUAUUCUAAUAAUAUUAAUGUCUUGGUGGUUAAUAAAAGCAUAAAGUUAAACUUUUGUAGUAUUUUUAAUAAUAUGGUAAAGAUAUAUGUUUGAUAAUUUUCUUAUGUCUUUUUACGUUAAAUUGAGUCUCAAGUAUAAUGAAUAAAUAAUACAUAUUAUAAAAUUAGUGUAGAUAAAUAAUACAACUUGAAAAUAUUAUAGUAUUCUUAAUAAUAGAGAAAUUUAAAGGUGGAUAGUUGAUUGUUUAAUGAAACAACUACAGAAUUUUCCUUUCAAAUAUCUUUUUGAAAAAACAUGAUUGAGUAAAAAUUAUUUUACAGAAUGACCUUUCAAAUGCCCAUUCGACAAGCCAAGAAGAAAGGGUAGCUAACAAAUUUACAAGUACCAGAGAUCCAGAAACACAUUUAUAGCCAAUCCAUUUAUGAGUUACAUUCAACACUCUCACAAACUGAAAAAAUAAAAAUUAUUACGGUCAAGACGCACACUUUUUGACAUCCAAAAAGCUAAACAUUUGAAGUUCUUCAAUACAAAAUGCAUACUAAAUUGGCACAAUUAAUGCCCAUGGAAGGGUCAUCAAUUUAAGCCAACAAAUUUGCCAAAGUUUUAACAGUGAACACAAAAGGAACAUGUAAAAUUUGAAGUUGAACAAAUCUUCACAUGCAUACAACAAGCCUUAAAACUUUAGUCUUCACAAUUUGAGCACGCAAUAAAUAUUAAGUGACCACCCGCAGAACAAGUCUAGAAUAAACUUGUUAGGUUCUUGCGCGAACUGAACCCCUCUGAAACACUAAAAGAGAAAGUACAAAAUAAAGAAGACCAUAUUACGUGGCUAACUAACAGCCAUUCCCAAAGAAAUGAGAGUGAUGAUAACGUCUUUUUUUUUUUUUUUUCCUUUCAAUCAUAUUUCUCGUCAUCUUCUUCUUCACGGGCAUCUACACUGACGUCUCCCUCUUGGCUGGCAUCUUCCUCGUUUGUAGUCGGUCGCUAUCCAACCAACAAAUUGGGCAUUAAAGAACAAACAGAGAAAAUUAUAACAAUAAGAACUAUAAACAUGAAAAGAAAAAAAAAAAAAAGAUAUUUGAAGGGAAAUUUUGGUAGAACUCUAUGGCUCAUCCGUGAAAUUAAUGUUAAUAUAUAUGUUUAUGUAAUGACGGUCUAUUGAUUUUAGGAUAGAUCAAUAAGCUAUUACAAACGAAAACAUGAACCAACUAUAUGUAGAGUUAAUUAAUUUAAAGUUCUCAAGAGCUUACCUCUGCUCCAGAAUUCUCGGAAUCAGCGCGAAACUUGGGACAACGACAAACGCGUGCAAGUGGAACUGGGAUCUGAUAACCCGUAGGCCAAAAGUUGGUGAGGUUUGGUAAAUCUUUCAGACUCACGUACGGAAGUUCGUCCAUAACAAUUUCAUCGUAAUCCAUGACGUGUGCUCCAUCUUUAUCCCAGAAUACUUCUUCUAAUUCAUCAUUACUAAAUAUCUCUAGUUUCAUUAGUUUUUGAAGACUUGGAGCUACGCUGAUAUGAAAUAGAUACUUUAGUUUGGGGCAAUGACCGACAAAGAUCCAUGUGAGUUUUGGGAAACAUAUAGGUUGGAGAUGAUCCUCAUCCUCAUCCUCAUCAAUGAUUUGCUCUAAUUCCCAGCAUUUCCAAAUAUAUAACUUCUCCAAUUGCAACAGAUUUCGAGCAAGUGUUGAUGAGAGGAGACGUCUCAGCUUAAUGCACCCCCUUACGGUUAAAUCAGUAAGAUUUUGCAGGCUAAAAUUAUGGGUGGGACCUUCAUGAUAUAAUAAUACUUGCAGUUCUCGAAGAUCUUCCAAUUGCAACGACUCCAAACAUGGGAAUAGUUUGUUUUCUUGUCCCUCAGCGAUAAUAGCUUCCACUUGAAAUACCACCUGUACUCCAAUUUCCACAAUAUUCAAUUCUUCCAAAUUUUUUAAUCCAUGCUUCAACAGUGCGGGAAUUGUGUCACACAAAUGGGAGCAAUCUUCCACAUCUAGAGUAUUUAAGUUCUGAGACAAAUAAAUAAAUAACUUGAUACAAUUAACAUCUAUUAGCAGCUACGAUUAUCACAUGAUAAGCAAUAAACUAACACCAAAAAAAAAAAAUCUAAAUCCGUACAAAAUAGUUAUACUUUAUGAAAGUAAUGGAUUUAUUAAAAAAAUGAAAUUAGUUAAAAGAGAUCGUGUGAAGUGAUAUAAUGGUGAAAUCGGUUUGUUUAUGAAAAUUUUGUAUUCUAUUUCUAUGGCUUGAUUAACGAAUUAAUUGAAUUUGCUUAAUAUUAUAUGUACUCCACCAGUGUUUGCAUCCAUUUUUUUUUCCUUCAAAAGCGAAGCGAGAUUUGACUUUCAUUUGAAGAAUGAAUUUUAGGCCCUAAAAUAAGGAAGUUUCCCUAACAUAUUGGAUUUUAUUAUUAUCAUCACCAUUAGCACUACGAUCAUCAUCAUCAUCUCUCUCUACAAAGCCAAAUGCAAGGUGGUAUGAAUGGCGGAUCAUAAAAAUUAUUGAUAAACUAUCAAUUUGAAUAAAAUUGAAGAAAAAUAAAGAAAAAAACAUAAACACAAACGAACAUACCUCUCCAAGAUACUGCAAAUUGGCUUCAAGUUCAGUAUUGUGGACAGUCAAGUUUGGACAGCUGGUUACAUCUAACUUUUCCAACGCUGGCCAAGUUGAAUAAUAAUUUUCUGAACAAAAGCUAAUGAGUUGGGAGACCUUCAAGGCUUAAAUUUCUCAACAAAGAGAGCUCGAGUAUUCUAUUUUCAUCUGCUACACUUAUUUCCCCUUCAUUAUGAUCAAACUUUACUUUGACGAUGCAUUCCAGUCUCUCGCAUCCACUCACUUCGAGACUUUUAAGCUGCACCAAACUUCGAGCUUGUGACAACGAGAAGAUAUAUGUCAAGUUGUUGCAUCCGUACACACUCAGUGCUGUAAGAGUUUGGAGGCUCACAUGUUGGGCGGGCGCCUUCCAUAUCUGCUUCAGUUCUGGUAACUCCUGCAUAUAUAACCUUGCUAAUCUUGAGAGCAUCAUAGGAUUCCCACUCUCUCCUUGCGGCGACUGAGAGGCAUCCAUUAUGCAUUCUAAAUCUUCACAAUUGUUGACAAAAAGAAAAGUCAACUUAUUUAAGCCCCUUGGAUCUAUGCUUGGCACAAUAUUAUGACAACUUAUUAUGUCAAACAAAGGUUUCAAUGCAGAAAAUAAUUCUUUCGUAUAUUCUUCUCCAAAUCAGAGGCAAUAUAUGAAGCUAAUUACAUCCUAAAAAAGGAAGAAAUAAAUUGUUUCUAUAUUUAAAUACAAGAUUGAUCAACUAAAAAGAUUCCCGGACGUAAUAACAAAAUCAAUUCUAUAAUUGACAGCACAUGCCGACAGCUCAUGCUAGCUCAUGCCGACACUCCCCCUCAAGUUGGAGCAUAGAUAUCUAUCAUGCCCAACUUGUCAAUUAUAUCAUGAAACACCCUUCCUGAUACUGUUUUUGUGAGUAUGUCAGCCAACUGAUCUCCAGAUUGAACAAAUGGGAACUGUAUAGUUUUCUCGUCAAGCUUCUCCUUGAUGAAAUAACGAUCUACUUCAACAUGUUUUGUGCGAUCAUGUUGUACAUGAUUCUGGGCAAUCUCUAUGGCUACUUUAUUAUCACAUUUAAGAUUCAUGGGUUUUGCAUAAUCAAUCCCCAAAUCUUUCAGUAUGUUCUUGAUCCAUAACAUCUCACAUACACCUUGUGCCAUUCCACGAAAUUCCGCUUCAGCGCUUGAUCUUGCCACAACCUUCUGCUUCUUGCUUCUCCAAGUGACGAGAUUGCCUUCAACAAAUGUAAAAUAACCUGAGGUAUAUCUUCUUGUUGUCUGGUCACCUGCCCAAUCAGAGUCCGUAUAUCCUUCAAUGUUUGAGACAGUAUUUUUUGAGAACAAUAAACCUUUUCCAGGAGCACACUUCAAAUAUCUCAGAAUUCGAUAGACUGCAUCCAUAUGUUCUUCACUUGGUGAAUGCAUGAAUUGGCUUACUAUACUUACGGCAUACGCUAUGUCUGGCCUUGUGUGGGAUAAAUAGAUUAACCUCCCAACUAGCCGUUGAUAACGACCCUUAUCAUUUGGUAAAAUCCCAAGCUUGUGAUUCAUCUCUAUAGGCGUUUCAACUAGUUUACAAUCAAGCAUACCAGUUUCAGUGAGGAGAUCUAACACGUAUUUUUGUUGUGAAAGAAAAAUUCCACUUUUCGAUCUUGCUACCUCAAUCCCCAAGAAGUAUUUAAGCUGCCCAAGAUCUUUCAUUUCGAAUUCAGUAGCCAAAUGUUCUUGUAGUGCUUUCAUUUCAGAUAAAUCAUCCCCUGUUAACACCAUAUCAUCAACAUACACUAUUAACACCGUCACUUUUCCGCCUUUGUGUUUUAUAAACAAAGUAUGGUCUGAAUUACUUUGUUUAUAACCAGCAGCUUUCAUUGUCGCUGAAAACCUCCCAAACCAUGCCCUAGGUGACUGUUUUAGUCCGUACAAGGACUUCUUCAGCUUACAUACUUCAUUCCUAUGCAUAGAACUAUGUUUGACACCAGGAGGUAGCUCCAUGUAAACUUCUUCUUCUAAAUCUCCAUUGAGAAAAGCAUUUUUGACAUCGAACUAUUUUAAGGGCCAAUCUCGAUUUGCUGCUAUAGAAAUAAUAAUACGAAUGGUAUUUAUCUUGGCUACUGGUGCGAAAGUGUCUUGGUAAUCUAAUCCAUACCUUUGUGUAUAUCCCUUUGCCACUAGUCUCGCUUUAUACCUAUCAAUGAUUCCAUCCGCUCUGAGUUUUACCGUGAAUACCAUCUACAUCCAAUUGUUUUCCUUUCCUUAAGUAGUGAAACCAGUUCCCAAGUGGCAUUUUUUUGUAGAGCUUCCAUCUCUUCAUUCAUCGCCUUAGUCCAUUUUGGAUCCUCCAAAGCAUCCUGUACACUACUAGGAAUAGAUAUAGUGGAUAAUUGAUUAAUAGUAAGUGCAUAUGAUUCACACAACCUAUGAGAUGACAUGUAGUUACUGAUUGGGUAUUUUAUUUUGGAUUUGGGAUCAGGUUCAUAUUGUUUAUUUGGAAUUCCUCUAUUUGACCUUUGUGGAUAUUUAGGAUUCAUGUCUUCUACAGAAAAAAAUGGUUCAUUAGACUCAUUAGACAAUGGAUUUGAAAUUACAUGAGGAGGAACACUUUCGGUUAAUUCUUCAGUUAAUGGUGUAGACAUGGGUAGCUCUAGUGGCCUUGAUUGUGCUUCAGACAUGUCCAGAAAAUUGGAGGGAUCACAUUCGGUUUCAGUCAUGUUAUCACACCCUUGUUGAACCUCAUUUCCAUCACUGUUUUGAAGUUUUUCGACCAUGUCUUCUAAUUCUACAAAAUCACCUCCUCCUUCAUUUUCCCUUUGACCAUUCUCUUCACACAAACUCUCCCCCUGGAGGGAAUGGUAAGAGACUCCCCCUGAGUAAUAAGGUUCUAAUUCAUGAAAAGAGACAUCCAAAGUUACAUGCAAUUUUUUUGUGUGUGGAUCAUAGCACCUAUAACCUUUUUGAAGAUCAGAAUAGCCAAUAAAAACACAGCGUUUGGCACAUGGAUCAAGUUUAGUUCGUAAACUUUUUGGAAUGUAAGCAUAAACAAUACAACCAAAUAUUCGGGGUUCAAGAUUAGGAAGAUGAGGAAUUGAGAGUAAGGAUUGCAUUUUUUGUUGGGGAGUUUGAAAAUCUAGCACUCGUGAAGGGGUUCGAUUAAUGAGAUAAGCUGUCCCCAAUAAAACCGAGGCAUGUUCAUGCCAAAAAGAGAAGCACGAACCACCUCUAAAAUCUGUCUAUUUUUCCUCUCAGCCAGCCCGUUUUGUUGUGGGGUGUAAGUGCAUGAGGUCUGAUGACGAAUUCCAUGAAUGUUUAAAAACUUGCCAAGAGAGGCAUCCAUAUACUCAGUACCAUUGUCAGAUUGAAGUACACGAAUCUGCUUUUGAUAUUGAGUACUUACCAUUUUGUGAAAUUCUUGAAAGGCUAGACAUACAUCGCUUUUUUUUAUAAGUAAAGACACCUAAAUCAUUCUAGUACAUUCAUCAAUAAAUGUCACAAAAAAACGAGCUUUAGAAAGAGAAGCAACUUUUGCAGGACCCCAAACAUCGGAAUGAAUCACCACAAAAAGGUUCUAGACUUUUAUUUAAACUUGGUAAAUAAGAAGUGCGAUGGCUUUUAGCCAUCUCACAAAUGUCACAAUGAAAAUUCAAAUCAUUUAGAGUUGAAAAAAGAUGAGGCUGUAAUUUUUUGAGAUAACCAAAAGAAAGGUGUCCUAAUCUACGAUGCCAUAACCAAACAUUUGCCCGAGUUCUAUCUUUAUUAGAAGCUUGAUUUGCCUGACUGAUAUUUGGUCCCUCAUUUUCUGUCAAUUCCAAGUAAUAGAGUUUACCCCGUCUAACACCAUAAUCAAGAAUCUUCCGAGUUAGGAUGUCCUGAAAAACACAAAAAGCGGGCCAAAACGUUACAGUGCAAGCAAGUGUGGAGGUAAUUUGGCUAACCGACAAAAGAUUAUAUUCAAGAGAUGGGACAACAAGAACUGUAUCUAAUGUAAGAGUAUUACUCAAGGUAAUAGACCCUUCCCCAAUAAUAGGAGAAGUACUACCGUUUGCAGUGGAGAUAACAGAUUGAGAAGAGGGAAGAACAGAUUUUAAUUGGCUAGAAUCUCUGGUCAUAUGCUCAGAUGCACCUGUAUCAAUAAUCCAUAUUCUAUUCUUAGAAGUUACAGAACAUACAGAUGUCUUACCAAUAAUACCUGGGUGGGCAACAUUUGCUGAAGGGGAUGGUUGUUCUUCAUCCUUUGCUGCUGUCACAUUAGCCUUCCCAGAUAUUUUCUUACGGGGCUUCUUUGAGAAAUCCCACCAAUCUGGAUAGCCAAUGAUUUCAUAGCAGCGUUGUUGUGAAUGACCUUUUUCUCCGCAGUGAGUGCACACAAGGUUGUUAACUUUGCUGGAUGAUUGAUUGCCUCGAUUUUUUGAAGAUCCAUUUCGGUUUUGACUGGCCAGCAUGGCAAGGUUCUCCGAAAUUAAAUUAGAGCCUCUCAUUGUUUGUCUCUGUUGGUAAUCCCUUCUAACAUAAGCAUAUGUGCUUUCUAAAUCAAGUUUUGGGUAUUUUCGCAAUAUUUCUCCACGAACCUGUUCAAACUCUGAGUCGAGGCCACUUAGAAAAAUAUGAACUCGAAGCCUAGCCAUUGCAGAAUGCAGCUGUAAUAGCCCUUCGACUGUGCCUUCUUUAGUGGUAGUCCUAUGAUCGAUUUCCUGAAAAAUGGCAACCAGUUCAUUGUAAUACGUUGGCAAUGGUCGCCCAUCCUGUUUGGUAGAGAAAGAUCUCUGGUUCAGCUCAAAAAUACAGGUUUCAUCGGUUCCAUCAUAGAAGGUUUUCGAUACAGCCUCCCAUAUAUCUUUGGCUGUAGGGAGACGAAUAAAUCGUUGCAUCAACGAUGGACUCAUUGAGUCAAUCAACCAGCUCUUGACUCUUUGAUUUUCAGUAAUCCAUGAUCCAAGAUUAGGAUCUCCUGGUGCUGGUUUCUUCGUUUCUCCAGUAAGAUAACCAGCUUUGUUGCGAGCACUAAUCCGCAUCUCUAUGAGUUGAGACCAUAAUGAGUAGUUGGUCUCAUCCAGAGUGAUUCCAGUUGGAAAUGCCGAGUUGUCUUGAUGAACAACAACUUGUGGUGCUGGUGGUGGGAUAAUAUCCAUUGAUACGCCUGUGAUAUCAGUCAUAGAGAUCACAACAACGGUGAAUAUUCAGAAUACGAAUACAAAUUUCGAGAGAAAAAAAGAAAAAAGAAAAUAUUCGGUUGUCAACACAAAUUCUCUUGAUGAGGAACCUGCUCUGAUACCAUGUCAAACAAAGGUUUCAAUGCAGAAAAUAAUUCUUUCGUAUAUUCUUCUCCAAAUCAGAGGCAAUAUAUGAAGCUAAUUACAUCCUAAAAAAGGAAGAAAUAAAUUGUUUCUAUAUUUAAAUACAAGAUUGAUCAACUAAAAAGAUUCCCGGACGUAAUAACAAAAUCAAUUCUAUAAUUGACAGCACAUGCCGACAGCUCAUGCUAGCUCAUGCCGACAUAUUAUCCUGCUCAAAUCAAGAAAUUCCAGAUUUUGAUACAAUGCUGAAAAAAUAUUGAGCGAGGUCGCUUCAAAAGGGUAAUCAAUGAUUAAGCUCCUUGUCUUAUCAGCAUCUUCCAUUUUAUAGUCAACUCCUUCACCUUUAAUCGUGUACCUUUGCAAUUUUGGGAAUGUAAAAUCUUUUGAAAGAUAUACAACAGAUCUGCCAACUUGGAAGUUAAACUCAGCAAGCCUAGCAUUACUUUCUUCUGAACUCAUCACUUCAACCUCCCAAUCUUUUAUCCGACCAUAAAAUUCUUCUAAUUGAGGAAAUUUUUUUAUCGUAACGGGAGAAACAGAACCAGUAUCAAUAUAUAGAAGUUUCAAUCUACGAAGUUCAUCCGACAAAUCUUCAGGAAUUUCAAUGGGAGAAUUCUCGAGAUAAAGAAGUUCAAGUCUUUUCAACUUUCCAAGAAAAGACGCGUCACUCACAUGACGUCCAAUCAACUGCAGAACUCUGAGGCUAUUGGCAAGGAAUCGAAGCGAUUUUAGUGAAAGGACUCCAUUGAUUAUAGUAACAACUUUCAAUGCUGGCAUCCCUUCAAAAAAAUUUUCUGGAACUUGCAAUUUGUAGCGAUAUAGAUUAUUGUGCAGUCGCAAAAUAUGAAGGUUAGGGCAUACCAAACGACUAGGAAGCUCUUCUUGUUUAUUUCCCAUUACAGAGAUUCCUCUAUAUUGCUCCAGGCCUUCUUCCAUUGCCCGUUCUACCAAUCCAAUGCCAACUUUACUAAAAAAUUUCUUCUCCACUAGUGCUUCUGAGCCUAUCCAUAUGGCUACAUCACGAACUAUGUCAUGCAUUUUCACAGAUCUGUCAUUACCAGUGUCUAACAGCAGUGAAGCAGCUUUGAGUCCCUCAAUUAUUCCACGCAGUAGGCUUCUGGCGUUCUCUAUCGACUCAGCUGGAUGCCAAAUCAACCCCACACCGUAUCCAACCAAAACCUCCAAAUAAAUGUCAUAAUCUUCUGGAAACAUCGAACACAACAAGAAGCAUAACUUGGAAUCCUCACCAUUCAAAUUGUCGUAACUAAAUUUAAGACAACCACAAACGUUUCGCUCAUCCUUAUCAAUCCCUUCGAUUGCAUAGAGUUUUGCUUCCCUUAGGUUAUGUAGAGCUAGAUUCCAUUCAUCAAAUCCUUUUCCUCUUAGUGCACUUCCAACAGCUUCAAUAGCUAAAGGCAGCCCCUUACAUUCUCCAGCAACAUCUUUGGAAACAUCAUUGAAGGUGGAGUCAUUCACAUCAAUGCCGGCAUUUUUUUGCAGUAAAGCCAAUCCUUCUUCUGGCGUUAGUGUACCCAGUGGAAUCUGCGAGUCACAACGCAUGCGUUCACAAACUGACUGCAGGCGAGUAGUUAGAAGGAUUUUGCAGCGAUUGUCUCUAUCACCAAUGGGUAUACCUAAUUUUUCCUUCAAGUUUAGUUCGUUCCAGACAUCAUCGAGGAUUAUGAGGAUUUUGGUGCUUUCGCUCGCAGAAAACAUCGAGCGCAGUUGGUCUGCUCCAUCUUUUUCAUCUUUCUGCUUUAAUUCCCAACCUAAUGAAUUUACCAGCUCAUUUUGAACAUUUAUUAUGUUUGGAUGCUGAGAUACAGUGGCUAGCCCCACUUUAUCGAAAAUCUUUUGUUGCCGAAGUUGACUGCCCACAAAUUUUGCCAAGGUCGUCUUUCCUACACCACCGAGGCCAUGCAAUCCCACCUUCUUUGUGCUCUCUUUUUUCAGCGCGUCAAUGAUCAGAUUGUAAGCUGAUUCUGUGGUCUUGUAAGUAGAAGAAAAAUAACUUGGUAAACUUAAUUCUCUCUCUAAUGGUGGAGGUUUAGCAAGGGCAGCUGUGUUGAAUUGGCUGUAGUGUUGUAGCAGAUCAAACAACUUCCUAGUCUUCUCUGAUGCUUUUCCGCCCAGACUAUAUCGGCAACCCCAUUCAGGACACAAUCCAUGAAGACUACUAUCCUUUUUAUCUAUCUCUGCUUUCAACUUUUGAAUAUCGCCCAAUUCCCCGUCUACAUCCUUCAGCCACUCCGUUACAUUUUGAUCGACUACUAUGUCGGGGCGUUUUUGUCGUUGAUCUUCUAUUCUCUUAUUGAUGACAUCUAGUGCCUUCUUCAACUUAGUUUGUUCAACCUCAAGUUUUUUCACAAUGCGGUCGAAACAGAAUAGAUAGGAAGUUCUUUGAUUUCAUUCACCAAAUAUUUUCCAAUCGAUUCUAAAAGUGGUUUAAAAAUUUCUUUUAAACAAUCUUUUAAAAUUUCCAUGCUAUUUAUCUGCAAAUAAAAAAGUUGAUCUCAAUACGCUAUAAGCAAAAGAACGAGGCUUGAUCACAAGAUCGAAUGAAGACGUUUAAUUACCUUUUUUUGUUAUGUGAAUGCACGUUUAUUAACACCAGCUUUUUUUUUUUUGGUCUAAUCCAUCCGGUAUCCGGUGACCACAUUGGGCCCCGACUACUCCGGAUUCGGAGAGAGGGCGUAAUUCUCCUCCCAACGUAGGCGACUCCACCAAGACUCGAACUGGGGAGCAAACCCAGUCGAGCCCCUGAGGGGUUCAGCCCGCUGCCAACUGAACCAACCAGUCGUUGGUUUAUUAACACCAGCUUUGAUCAAUAAGAGCAAAAUGCAAACGCCGGGCUUCAAGAGUUCUAAGUGGCCUUUAGCUGCAGAAUAGAAGAUGACAAAUAAGGUAAAACGUUCCCAGCAAACGUGAUAUGUGGUGGACUUAAAAUGAUACCUUAUUUGGGAUGAUAAAGAUUGGGGUAAAUUCUCUUUUGUUCUCAAAAUUUUGAACCUAUUAUCAGUUGUAGUAUUUGUAUUUUUAAAAAUUACCUAAAACAUGCAUGUCACUACUUUCAUAGCUAUUGAACAUUUCAUUUCAAAUAUAAAAUACUAUAAAUUAAAAAUCAAACAAAUCUAUCAUGCAACAAACGAAAAGUAAAUACUAAUAAUUAGGUUUUAAUGGAAACUAAUAUAAAACAUAGAGGUUUUAAUUAAUUUUUGUGAUUUCUUUUAAUGUUCGAUUUAGAAUUGAAUAAUUUGUAUAAGGAAAAUAAACUGCAAAAUAAGUUUAUAUGCCGAACUUAAAAUAGUUUCAUAUUAGUAAUCAUAUAAUUAUCAAAUUUUUUAAUAAAAUUUAUUUAAAAAUUGACCAAUUGCGUUUCAUGAGGAAAACAGAGAGCAUAAUGGACUUAUGUUGCGACUUGGGAUUGAAAGGCCAGAAGGUAGUGUUAGCCUAUAUGGCUAUAAAAUAUUGAUUUUGAUGAUAACAAACCACAUGUAUUGACUAAGCAAAGAUUUAUAAAUUAUGCUUUUAUAAUAAGAAAAUAAUGUUAUGGAAUUAAAGUAUUUUGGACUAAAAUGAAAGUAUUUUAAAAUCUUUGAUAGUGUUUUUAAAUUUCGGAUUUGGACCUAUUUAAAACUAUUUAAAUGUUUUUGGGUCAUUCUAUAAGUAUGGGUCAGUUGAAAUUUAAUGGAAAAGUUUACGACAUAGUCAAAGUUCGAGAGCUAUUUUCAAUUUGAGGAUAAAACAAUGUUGCAAUUGUUGGCUUGUUGCAACAUUCCAUAACUUUUGUGUAUUUGUGGCUUAAGUAUAUGGCAGUCCUUGAUAUUGUAUAUUACAUAUAUCCUGCCUUCAACUCACUGAGAGUAAGAGUGCCACUGUUGUCAGUGUCCAUCUCUCUAAAUUUUUCCGUUAGCUUUUGCUUUUCUCCUGUUGGAAGAUUUUCCACAAUGACCUGAAAAUCCACUCAGUUUUAUCAGUAGAGGAAGCACAAUUAAAUGCAUAAAUUUAAUGGCUUGCACAUAUAUAGCUAACUGAAUAUAAUAACAAGUACUUCGCAAUAAAACAUUGUUGGUGAGGAAGUGCAGAUGCAGAAAUUCGAUCAAGCAUUUAACUAAUGAUUGUCGCUGUUGUAUCCAAUUCUCAUACUUAGCCCUAAUCUGAGCUAGCUCCUAAAUGGGAAGAAUCUUUUUAAUUACAUGCGUAUGUAUAUAAUUAUUAGUUAGCUAGUUGUGGUCAAUGUGACCUGUAUUUUAUCAAUGGAAUUUUAAUCAGGUGUGCGCGACAUCACACAUUGUGCACUAGAUCAAUCCUCUUAUCAAUUAAUAUAUAUUAUAUAUAGAUAUAGACACGUAUGUGAGUGGAGGAAGAAAAAAAAAUUAAGAAUAAUUUUGGCAUUUUGAUGGGUUUUAUAGAGUAAAAUCUAUAUUUUCAAAUAUGAUAAUUCUUUAAUUUAAUUUGGUGUUAUGAAAAAAGGGCAUUUUAAAUAUGUUUUAAGUUAUAAAUAACUCCAUCCAAAAUUUAAAAAUGAAAUCUGGGGGGGGGGGGGGGGGGAGGAGGGGGGGAAUUUCACCCGAACUAACAAAGGCCCAGAGUAGCCGCGGCUUUUUUCACCAAUUCUCUAAUUCCCAAUGUGGUCUAAUUAUUUACAAGGAAUAUGAGAUUCUCUACCACUCCAAUUUAUCCCAUUGUUAGUAAUCUUAUUAGCUGUUUUAUAUCCUAUUUUUAUUAUGCUCCCCAAACAAAUAUGUUUCACCUAAAGGUGCCCAACGGGCUGCACCGUCCGUCUGAAUGAACGCAUGAGAGGCUCCACAUGACCCGGCAAUCUUUUUCUUUUUAAUGAGGGCGUGACUGAUAUGCUUUUUCAAGUCUAACGCUCUUUUUUUUAAAAUCCAUAUAUUUUUUUAAGCUCAUGUCAAAUUCGGUAGUAAGAGAAUGCAAUGCUAGUUAAUAAGUUAAAGUGCAUCCGUGCCACUUUUUUCUUGUUGUUUUAUUUGUAUGAUAAUUAUCAUGGACCCACGUAACUUUCUUUUCCAUUUAAAAUUUUAUAAUAUAUUAAAUUAGACAAAAGAAAUGAAUCCCACAAAUAAUUUAUUUUAUAAUUUUUUAAAUAAUACUAUUUUAAAAUAAAUUAUUAAAACAAAUUUUAUAUUCACUAAAAUUAAUCAUAUUCAUAUUAUAAAAUAUAAAAACAACAUUUGAAAAAUAAUAUCAAAUACACCCUUAAAUUUUAUAUCGGCACUAGAACCGAUGAACAAUUUUUGACAAAGAUGUUGCGACCUAAGUAGGGAUAGCAACUAAAUUCGGAUCCAACUCGGAUAUGUAAGGAUCCGAAAGAUCCAGAUCCAGAAAAUUUUUUAUCUGAAUAUUAAAAAAUGUUGAUCCGGAUAUAGAAAUUUGGGAUCUGCACGGAUUGGGAUGGAAGUACAUUCGGAAAAUUGGAUGUCGAGAUCCGGAUAAAUUUUGUUUCAAAUUAAAAAUAUAUAUUAAAAAUUAAAUAAAAAUUAAAAAAGUAAAUUUUAUUUGUGGAUUUAUGAUGUUGUUGUAUAUUAUUCAUGUUGAAUUAUUAAUUGUUGGAUUAUGAUUGAAUUUUGUUUGAAAUUAUUGGGUAAAUUUUUGAAUUUUAUUUUAAAUUAAAAAUAUUUAUUAAAAAUUAAAUAAAAAUAAACAUUAAAUUUUAUUUGUAAAUUUAUGAGAUUAUUGUAUGUUAUUCAUUUUGAAUUAUUAAUUGUUGAAUUAUAAUUAAAUUUUAUUUGGUAUUAAUAGGUAAAUUAUUAAACUUUCAAAUUAUAUAUUAAAUUAUUUAAUUUUAAAUUUUGCAGAUCCGAAUAUCUAGAAUAUUUGUCCGCAUAUUUUUUUACGAAUCCAGAUAUAGAAAUAUGAAUAUGGAUCCAAAUUCGGAUUUUGACAACCCUAGACCAAAGCAUGAAUGUGCCUAAAGUUUUUACUAAGAACAUGGAUCAUUCAAUGACCCGACAUGUUUUGCAGCUCUCAUUAGUAUAAUUGAAUAAUUAAUUCAUCUCUAUAUUCAGCUUACACCGUCUCAAAUUGCAUGCAAAUACGAAAGUACACAUCUGAAUCGUUCACUUGAGGAAAAUUAAUUUUAACGCAAUAAGUCCUAAUUCUCCACGUAGAAUUUUAAUUCAAAGCAUAGCAAAUUAGACAUAAUUCUAAUUUAUAUGGGAAAUAUAAUUAGCGAAGACACUCUUUAUAUAAACAUUAUUGUCAUAGGAUGCCAAACCUAAUAAGAUUCAAGAUCUUAACAUACUUCAUAUGAAAUUUGAUCUUGGCGCGUACCGACACGCUUAACAUCAAGACUCUACUUCAUAUAAUGUAACUUCAUGGAUUUUUUGCUCUCUUGUGAAAUUGACAAUUAUUGGCGCUGUGUGGCAGUGGUACAUAAUAAAAUAAACGUUUAUUUUUAGAAUAUUAUUAUUUAUCUCAAUUUUUUAUUUAAUAGUUAAUUUUAAUAAAUUCUUAAACUGUCAUAAUCAAUUAAUUUUUUACAUUAUGGCAUCUUAAAUAAAUUUUGGAUCUAUAAUAAAUAAAAACUGGUAACGUUUGUUCUAUUAAAACAUAAAACAACCGUAACAUUGGUUUUUACAUUUUGAAUUUUUCUUGCAUCACUAUUUAGAAAAAUGAUGUUAAAUCAACUCACAAAAUAUAUCAAGCCAUCUAAAAUCCAAAUAUUAUUACAUUUGUAUUUGCAUUGUUAAAUUGUUGGAACGACGGCAAAGCAAUUGAAAAGAGAUUAACAAAAAAGUAAAGAUUGGCCAAGGAUUAUUCAUGUUUAGGAAAUGCCUUAACUUUUGAUAUAAUCAUUGUUAUAAUUAUAUUGUAGAAAUAAUCAAUUACCUAAUGUUUGUGGUGGUAAAUAUUAUUAACUUGUUUUACUAUACCCAUGUUUAUGUUGGUCUCCUUUUUGUCCAUUUCUGUACAACGAAAUAUUUGCAUGUUUCGAUAGAAAUUGGUUUAAAUGACAUUUAAAAUAGUAUAUCCCCAGACAAUUAACGAAAAAUUUGGAUGGUAGGAUGAAGUAAUAAGUAGUUUUACAAAUUACCGUAUUAGAGGUAAAAAAAAAUCAAGAGGUUACUUGACAAUUAUGACAUUACUAACUACAAAUUUAACACAAAAAGUUUAAUUAACUUUUCUUUUUGAGAUGACAAAAUCUCUGGUGUUGAAAACAAUGAGGUUUGAGGUUCAAGCUUGAAUAUCAAGUUACAAUUAGUAGAUGGUCUUAGGACAUAUCAAAGAUUUCUUUAAAGACAAAAUAAUAAUUACAAGCAAUAGGAAUUUAUGGUAUUCAGAACAUGUAUAUCUUCGCACAUGAAGCUUGAGUCCAGCAAAAGAUGCAGCUAGCCAAUCCUUCAACUUCCAAAACCCCACAAAAUCUCUGUCAACAUUGUUAGAGUUAUAAAUAUAAAGAAUAUUUUUGUAAUGAUUCUGCUGAUGUGGCAGCUGAGUAAGCAAGGCUAUUAUUGUUAGUUUGUAAGUUUGUUAUGGAGCUAAGAAGUUAGUUAAUCACAGCUCACUCUCAACACGUGUGUGAGCAAAUGCAUAAGGUUCUGGAUCUUAGUAUAUAAGGUCAACAUAUGUAUUCAUAAUUCAUUGAAUAAGAUUCGAUCUAUUUUUUCUUAUAGUUUCUCUUAUUGCUCAUUAAAUUUUCCUUCAUUUUCUCUGCAACCAAACAAGCAUAAAUAGCUUGGUUAAACUUCAAUUUGGUAUCAGAGCCACAUCUAGUCUAAUCUCAUGGCAUUAUCAAGCUUGAACACAAACAUCUCUUCUUCAGCAACAACCUGUACUUUCACAACUCCAAUAAAACUUGAUCGAUCAAAUUACUUAAUCUGGAAAUCUCAAAUUCUAUCCUCAGUUCGAGCAAAUGAGCUUAAGAGUUUGCUUGAUGGAUCCAGAAUCUGUCCAGAUCAAUUUCUCUCAAGCACUCAAGGAAAUUCAGAUGCUAUGUUCAAUGCUUCUGCAAGUUCAACUAUUGCUUCACGAGAGAAUCCUGAGUUUAAUGUGUGGAGAAAGCAAGAUCAGAUGCUACUGAGCUGGCUGCUAUCCUCUAUCAGCAUUGAAAUCCUCAGCUUGUGGUAAACUCUAAAACCUCUUAUGAACUGUGGUCUAGUUUAGAGCAACAAUUUGGAUCUGAAACUGAUGUUAAGAAAGUUCAUCUCAAAAUGAUGUUGAAUAAUCUGAAGAAAGGAUCUAUAACUAUGACAGAAUAUUUUAGUAAGUUGAAGUCAGUUACAGAUGAGCUUGCUAUUGCUGGAAGUCCUGUUAGUUCUUUGGAUUUUAUAACUCAUCUCAUCUCUGGAUUAGGUCAGCCUUAUUAUCCAGUAGUUGUGUAUAUUGAAGCAAAUGUUCUAAAAAUGAGUAUUAAUGAGGCUUAUUCAAUGUUGUUGACACAUGAGGCACGUUUAGAAAGCAAUCAAUCUAAUUCUUUCAAGGAAGUGAAACAGAACUAUGCUGCUAACUUAGCUCAGGCUGGAAAUAAUCAAAAGAAAGUUAACAAUCAGGGAGGCUGGAAUAAUAAUAGUCAAGGAGGCUGGAAUGGAAACACUGGAAACAAACCUGGAUUUCAUAACUGGAAUGGAAACUUUACAAACAGAGGAGGUUUCAAUUCAGGAAGGGGACAAAAUUCAGGUAGAGGACAAUGGAAUAAUAACUGGAAUAACUGGAAUGGAAAUCAAGGUAGAGGCAAUUUUGCUGGUGCUGCUGGAAAUUUUUCUGGUAGAUUUCCUGGUGGCUAUAAUGGAUUUGGAAGAGGAGGAGGCAGAGGAAAUAUUGUUUGUCAGAUUUGUUUCAAACACAAUCAUACUACAGUUGAUUGCAAAGAUAGAUUUAACAGAAAUUUUGUUCCUAAUUUUUCUGUGCAAGGAAAUUUUCCAGAUCAGAAUCAAACUUCUAGAUCUGCUUUCAUGGCUACAUCAGAAGGAGUUGCUGACCAAGGAUGGUAUCUGGAUAGUGGAGCAACACAUCAUCUCACAAACAAUGUGGUGAACCUAGCUGAAGGUAAACCUUAUCUUGGAUCUCAGUUGCUGUUAGUUGGUAAUGGACAAGGUCUUAGAAUCACUUCCAUAGGCAAUAUCUGUCUCUUUACAUCCUUUGGCAAUCAAUUAAACCUUUCCAAUGUUCUGUGUGUUCCCAAAAUUACCAAGAAUCUUAUUAACUUAUCUAAACUUCUCUCUGACAAUCAUAUAAUCAUUGAAUUUGUUUCUAAUCUUUGUUUCAUUAAGGACAAGAUGGUCUCUUUAAGCUACUGACUCAAGAUACACCUCUUUCUGAUUCUAAAGCCUUGGGUCUCAAACCUAGUUCAAUGUUGUCUGUUUUUUCAAAUAAAGAGAAUGUACACUCUUUGAAAGAGUUGAAUAACCAAAUAAAUGUCUGUUCAAAUUUGAUCAAUUCCAAUAAUGAGAAUUCUGUCAGUUUUUUAGCUUCCAGUAGUGAGUCUAUGUAGUUGCUACACAAUAGGUUUGGUCAUCCAACCAAACAUGUCUUGCAAACAAUAAUGAAAAGUCUUCCCAUGCAUUCAACCCAUUCUCAAUCUCUUAAUUUUUGUGAUGCUUGUCAAUAUGGCAAAUUACAUUAAUUCCAUUUUCCAGUCACUGAUAUAAAAUCAAAAUUCCCUCUCCAACUCUUAUAUGCUGACUUAUGGGGUCCAGCUUCUGUGUUGUUUAUGGACGGAUACAAGUACUAUAUUUCUUUUGUUGAUGAUUUCACAAGAUAUUGUUGGAUAUUUCCACUCACACUCAAAUCUGAGGCAUUUGACACCUUCAAAUAUUUCAAGUCUCUUGUCGAAAAACAGUUUUCUUUAUCCAUCCAAACACUACAAACUGAUAUGGGGGGUGAGUUUAUAGCUUUCAGAUCAUUUCUCCAACAAGAGGGUAUUCAAUUUAGAUAUAGUUGCCCCCACACUCACCAUCAAAAUGGUGUGGUGGAAAGGAAGCAUAUGCAUGUUGUUGAAACUGGACUCACACUCUUAGCUCAAGCUCACUUACCUCUCUCUUUUUGGUGGGAAGCUUUUCAUACAGCCACUUACUUAGUGAAUAGAAUGCCAACACCUGUUCUAAACAAUUUAUCUCCUUUUCAGAAACUAUACAAUCAGCUUCCAUAUCACAAGUUUGCUAAAGUGUUUGGAUGUUCUUGUUUUCCUUUUCUUCGAAAUAAGUGAAAAUUAAACCUACAAUUCAAAAUAGAGGACUGUAAAUGCGUAUAAAUUGAAGAAGGUAAAUUUUGUGUGUGCGUAAAUAUUUUAGUUAACAACAAAAAAUUCUAACAAGUUAAUAUAAGAGUAUCAUAGCAGUACAAGAGAAUUUUUUUUUUUUUUUAAUGUUAAGAGUUAUCGUGAUACCCAAUAUAUAUGUGUGUGUGAGAGAGUGGAGGAAGAAAAAAAUAUUAAGAAUAGUUUUGGCAUUUUGAUGGGUUUUAUAGAGUAAAAUCUAUAUUUUCAAAUAUGAUAAUUCUUUAAUUUAAUUUGGUGUUAUGAAAAAAAAAGGGUAUUUUAAAUAUGUUUUAAGUUAUAAAUAACUCCAUCCAAGAUUUAAAAAUGAAAUCUUAGGGGGGAAAAAAUUUCACCCGAACUAAGGCCCAAAGUAGCCGCGGCAUUUUUCACCAAUUCUCCAAUUCCCAAUGUGGUCUAAUUAUUUACAAGGAAUAUGAGUAGGUGUGGGCACGGUUCGGUCCGGUUCGGUUUGGAUCGAAAUUAAGCAGAACCAAUUUAAAUCGGUUAUUUUAGAAAAAGAACUAAAUAAGAACCGAACUCAAUAAAAACCGAAGAUAAACGAAUCUUUUCGGAUUGGUUCGGUUCGGUUCGGUUUUUUCGGUUUUGGGCCUAUUGGGCCUAUUUUCAAUUUUUAAAUUGUUAGCCCAUUAGGCCUCAUAAAUGUAAUAAUUUUAUUCAACAAUUAAUUUAUCCUAAUUUCAUUACAAAUAUUAACAAUAAAUACAAAGUAUUCAAAACACAUUUUAUCAUUAAUAUCUUACUAACUACUAAUAAGGUACUUACAAAAUAUGAAAUAUUAAGAUUUCAAAAUACAUAAUCAAACUCCAAUACUCCAUCUACAUAAACAUAAUGUUGUAAAGAAAAAUAAAAAUAACAACAAUUAAAACUUACAACACAAAAUAAAAAGAAAAUUUGGAAACAAACACCAACAACAAUUUUUAAAUAUAUAUAUAUACCAGUAAUUGUGUGUGUUCAUGCCUAUUUUAGUUAUCUCACGCAACCAAUUAAAAUUUAACACGUGUCUAUUUAAAUAAAAUUUCAAGAAUAACUCGGUUUUUCGGUUCGGUUUUUUGGUUCAGCUGAGUGAACCGAAUAUCGAACCUGUAUUUCGAUUUUUUUUACAAACCAUAUAUUUCAGUUAUUUUUUAAAAUUAAAACUAGUCCGAACGGAACGGAAUGGUUCGAAUCAAUUUUCUCUAGUGCACGAUUUUUUUGCCCACCCCUAAAUAUGAGAUUCUCUACCACUCCAAUUUAUCCCAUUGUUAGCAAUCCUAUUAGCUGUUUUAUAUCCUAUUUUUAUUAUGCUCCCCAAACAAAUAUGUUUCACCUAAAGGUGCCCAACGGGCUGCACCGUCCGUCUCAAUGAGCGCACGAGAUGCUCCACAUGACACGGCAAUCUUUUUCUUUUUAAUGAGGGCGUGUCUGAUAUGCUCUUUCAAGUCUACAUACCUAACGUUCUUUUUUUAAGUGCAUAUAUUUUUUUUAAAGCUCAUGUGAAAUUCAGUAGUAAGAGAAUGCAAUACUAGUUAAUAAGUUAGAGCCUACAAAAUAAUAAUAAUAAUAAUAAAAUUUUCUUUAAGGGUUAACAUUUUAUUGUUAAUUUGAAUUUACAUACAGUUAUAGAUUAUAGUCUAUAAUAAUAUUAAUACUUACAAGUUUCAAAUUAAAAUUUAAUAAUUAACGUUUCAUUAACACAACUAUAUUAUCUAAUUUUGCAAUAACCAAUUAUAAUACAACAAUACAUAAUUCUAAUUUCAUAGACCAUGGUAAUAAAAUCUAUACGUUAAUGAAAAAUUUUAUUUUGAUAUACGUCGGUCUGCUUGUUAUUGAUGGCCGAUGGUCGUAUGCUAGCCUGCUAAUGAAGUGUGUUUAUUAUUGGUUUUUUCACGUGUCUUGCUUUACCACAUCUCUAGUCAAAUUGUGUUCUUAAAAUCCACAGCCUAACCUAGCCUCUGUGUGUGUCCUGUUGUGCCAUACUAUACAAACACGUAUCCAGUACAAUGCCACAUACCGGUCGGCCCUUAGCCAUCUCUAGUUUCACCCCUAAAUGAAAUCUAAACGGCUACUGGCAAGUAAGAAAACUUGUUAUUCUUUAUUUUGAAAAUAAAGGGAAUUGCUUAGUUUGAUAUUGUUUUUGGUAAGUCAUUUUUUUGUUUUGAAACAUUUUUCUGAGAUGUUGUUGUAUUUGGUGAAAAAUAAAUUAUUUUAUUUUAUACUUUUAAUGAAGAAAAGUAGAGAAAAACAUUUUGUUGUUUUCGACAACAUUUGCCUUAUAAGUGCACCCGUGCCAUUUUUUUCUUGUUUUAUUUGUAUGAUAAUUAUCAUGGACCCACGUAACUUUCUUUUGCAUUUAAAAUUUCAUAAUAAAUUAAAUUAGACAAAAGAAAUGAGUCCCACAAAUAAUUUAUUUUAUAAUUUUUUAAAUAAUACUAUUUUAAAAUAAAUUAUCAAAACAAAUUUCAUGUUCACUAAAAUUAAUCAUAUUCAUAUUAUAAAAUAAAUAUAAAAACAAUAUCUGAAAAGUAAUGCUAAAUACACUCUUAAAUUUUCUGUACAGCAUUAGAAUUGAUGAACAAUCUGACAAAGAUGCUGCGACUUAAGUAGGGAUGACAAUUAAAGCCGAAUUUGGAAAAAUUCAUGUCUGCAAAUUAAAAAAUGUGGAUUCGGAUAUAGAAAUUCGGAAUUCAUACGGAUCCAAAUAAAUUUUAUUUUAAAUUAAAAAUAUAUAUUAAAAAUUAAAUGAAAAAUUAAAAAAUAAAUUUUAUUUGUGGUUUUAUGAUGUUGUUGUAUAUUAUUCAUGUUGAAUUAUUAAUGGUUGGAUUAUGAUUGAAUUUUAUUUAAAAUUAAAAAUAUAUAUUAAAAAUUAAAUUAAAAAAAAUUAAAUUUUAUUUGUAGAUUUAUGAGAUUAUUGUAUGUUAUUCAUGUUGAAUUAUUAAUUGUUGAGUUAUGAUUGAAUUUUAUUUGAUAUUAUUAGGUAAAUUAUUGAAAUUUUAAAUUAUAUAUUAAAUUAUUUAAUCUUAAUUUUUACAAAUAUGAAUAUCUAGAAUAUCUGCCUGCAUCCGUUGCAGAUAUUAUCUGCUUCCAGAUCCACAUCUUUUUACGAAUCUAAAUAUAGAAAUAUGAAUGCGGCUCCGAAUCUAGAUUUUACCAACCCUGAACCUAAGCAUGAAUGGGCCUAAAGUUUUCACAACAAACAUGAAUCAUUAAAUGACACGAGAUGUUUUACAGCUCUCAUUAGUAUAAUUGAAUAAUUAAUUCAGCUCUAUAUUCAGUUUACACCGUCUCAAAUUGCAUGCAAAUAGGAAAAUGCACUUCUGAAUUGUUCACUUGAGGAAAAUUAAUUUUAACUCAAUAAGUCCUAAUUGUCCACGUAGAAUUUUAACUCAAACCAUAGCAAAUUAGACAUAAUUCUAAUUUAUAUGGGAAAUAUAAUUAGCAAAGACACUCUUUAUAUAAACAUUAUUGUCAAAGGAUGCCAAACCUAAUAAGAUUCAAGGUCUUAACAUACUUCAUAUCAAAUUUGAUCUUGGCGCGUACCGACACGCAUAACAUCAAGACUCUACUUCAUAUAUAAUAAUGUAACUUCAUGGAUUUUUCGCUCUCUUGUGAAAUUGACAAUUAUAGGCGAUGUGCCAGUGAGGCAGUGGUACAUAAAAUAAAGGAUAAAAGUUCAUUUAGUCCUUAUAUUUUAAUAUUAAUGUCUAUUUAGUCCCUGUAUUUGUUAAAAUACCUCGAAACAUUCCUGCCGUUAAAGUAUUGAUGCCCUUACUGUUACUUUUUAUUUUUUUAGCUUACUUUUACAAUAUUACCCUUUUAUAAUAAAUUUUUUGUUUGGACAUUAAUCAAAAUAAAAUAAUUAAUUAUCAAUUUAACCCUAAAAAAAUUAUAUUAAUUUUUAAUUGUCAAAAAUUAAAUUGUCAAAUAUCAAGUGUGCAAAUGGUGCUUGCAAAAAAAUUAAUAUAAUUUUUUUUAGGGUUAAAUUUGGUAAUUUAAUUAUUUUAUUUUUAUUAAUGUCCAAACAAAAAAAUUAUUAUAAAAGGGCAAUAUUGUAAAAGUAAGCCAAAAGAAAUAAAAAGUAAUGGUAGGGGUAUCAAUACUUUAACGGCAUGGAUGUUUCGAGGUAUUUUUAAAAAUACGGGGACUAAAUGGACACUAAUCUCAAAAUACAGGGACUAAAUAGACUUUUACCCUAAAAUAAAUGUUUAUUUUUAGAAUAUUAUUAUUUAUCUCAAUUUUUAUUUAAUAGUUAAUUUUAAUCCAUUCUUAAACUGUCAUAAUCAAUUAAUUUUUUACAUUAUCACAUCUUAAAUAAAUUUUGGAUCUGUAAUAAAUAAAAACUGGUAACGUUUGUUCUUUUAAAACAUAAAACAACCGUAACAUUGGUUUUUACAUUUUGAAUUUUUCUUGCAUCACUAUUUAUAAAAAUGAUGUUAAAUCAACUCACAAAAUAUAUCAAGCCAUCUAAAAUCCAAAUAUUAUUACAUUUGUAUUUGCAUUGUUAAAUUGUUGGAACGACGGCAAAGCAAUUGAAAAGAGAUUAACAAAAAAGUAAAGAUUGGCCAAGGAUUAUUCAUGUUUAGGAAAUGCCUUAACUUUUGAUAUAAUCAUUGUUAUAACAAUAAUGCUACACAUCCCAAAUUUUUUAUCCCAAAAAGUUAUCCCAAAUGAUAUGUCAUUAAUUGAGUGGUUGAUAAUUCUUUACAAGAUCCAAGUGAAUUAAUUGUAUUAUCUCACCAACCAAUUGAUUAAUGCCACAUCAUUUGGGAUAACUUUUUGGGAUAAAAAAUUUGGGAUGUGUAGCAUUAUUGUUGUUAUAAUUAUAUUGUAGAAAUAAUCAAUUACCUAAUGUUUGUGGUAGUAAAUAUUAUUAACUUGUUUUACUAUACCCGUGUUUAUGUUGGUCUCCUUUUUGUCCAUUUCUGUACAACGAAAUAUUUGUAUGUUUUGAUAGAAAUUGGUUUAAAUGACAUUUAAAAUAGUAUAUCCCCAGACAAUUGACGAAAUAUUUGGAUGGUAGGAUGAAGUAAUAAAUAGUUUUACAAAUUACCAUAUUAGAGGUAAAAAAAAAUCGAGAGGUUACUUGACAAUUAUGACGUUACUAACUACAAAUUUAACACAAAAAGUUUAAUUAACUUUUCUUUUUGAGAUGGCAAAAUCUCUGGUGUUGAAAACAAUGAGGUUUGAGAUUCAAGCUUGAAUAUCAAGUUACAAUUAGUAGAUGGUCUUAGGACAUAUCAAAGAUUUCUUUAAAGACAAUAAUAAUUACAAGCAAUAGGAAUUUAUGGUAUUCAGAACAUGUAUAUCUUCGCACAUGAAGCUUGAAUCCAGAACAAGAUGCAGCUAGCCAAUCCUUCAACUUCCAAAACCCCACAAAAUCUCUGUCAACAUGUCUGUUGUACUAAGCACAUUCAUAGGGGUAUCAACAGCUUACAGCUCCAAAAUAUUUUCCCCAAAAAGAGUUGAGAGAUUUCACUGAAGCUAAUUUGUGACUUGUGACUGCCCAAAUGUUCUAUAACACGGUAUGAUUAUUCUAGUAACACAAAUCCAACAGCAUGCAACAUAAUCUACUCUCUAACAUUGUGCAUUAGCAAAAUAAAACAGAGUAAAAAGAGAAACCAUGCCUGUGAAUCUCUUCUUUUCCCCCUGCCACCCCUUUUUUUGGUGAAGUCCAUCAAAUGAAAAUGCAGCAUGACCAUGUUGGCCACUGCCACUGCCAUUACUUCUUCAACUGUGGCUUUUGUUGCAGGAAAUAUUCAAGUGAAAGAUUGGAUUAUAUAAUUCAAGAUUCCAAUAAACCUGAGCUGCAAAGGUUGCCUUCCACUAGCCUAUCAGAGACUAUGCUUUCUAUUUUCCUAGUUUUUUAAUCAUAAUUUUGCAAGAUUUAUUUAUGGAAAACUGGGACAAAAUUUUAUGUAAGAUACCAUAAAGCCAAACACAAUCUUUUUAAUUCUCAGCAGCAAGAUUUAAAGUUAAAAAAGGGAAGCCAUAUAAAUAUAACUAUGUUUGGUACAAGUAACAAUUAUUUCAAGCUUUCAGAAAUGCUAGCAAGAGAUUGUAAGAGAACUUUACCUAGUCACAGAAUAUGUCAAACAUACUACCACCAACUGUCUUUAGCACGAUUGUUAUGGAAGUAGCUUUUGAAUCGGAAGAUUCCAGCUUCCACCAGGCACCAUUAUUUUCAUUCUUGAUACAAUCUGCAUCACUGGCAUUAGUUAUAUCAUCAACAUUUGCAUCCUCACUCUCAUCAUCCCAAUCAAGGCUUCUUCUCCAGCUCUGGAUUAUAAGUCCACUCCGACAUCUUCAAACAUCUCGGUCCUUCCAUUUGCCAACAACCGAUAUGGCUUCCUUCCUUGCCUUCCCCAUUAAUAUAUCACUCGAAGGAAAAAAAGCAUCAGCAAUUCUCUUCAACGCCUCAUCGUUUAUAACCCCCCAAAAAAAGGGUCUUCAGACACUUCAACUUUGCCUUCUGCAAAACCUCCACAAAAUCUGAAUUAUCCAACACAACAGCCAGACACUCAAUCCUUCUUUUGUCCAUCAUAUCCACCGUAUGAUUCCUCAACAAAAUAUGUACAGCUUGUGGCUUAUCUAACACUGUCUUGAUCCAAAACCCCGCUCUUUUCAACUCAUCUGCCAAACCAUAACCCACUUUUGGAGUCAAAAUUGUCCUUGCAGCCCUUUUAUAUUUUUCCAUCUCCAUCGAAUACUUGCCACUCAAAUGGAAUUACCAGACAGGAAUCCCAGUAACAAGUCCACUCAACUUCUUCUCAUCUGAUCCCUCUUUCACUCUGGCGGAAACAUUAAUAACCAUUCACCAGCCACAAAUUACCCAAGUAAGUACUCGUGUCGUCGACACUUACCCUUCACUUCAUCUACGCAAACGAGAAUUCAAAUUGCUUACUAGCUAGUGCUCGAGCAAAAGCCAGAAUAAAUUAAAUAUGUGUGUGUGGUAGCGAAGUUAUCUAUAUAUAUAUAUAUAUAUAUAUAUAUAUGAAGUUGGGACACGAGGAGAUGACGUGGCAUCACCAUUUCUCAUCUUUGUAUAUUCUCUAUUAUCUAAUAAAUAGAGAAUUUUUUUUUCAGAUUUAACUUUUCAUCUUCUCAUAAUUAAUUUAAUUGUUAUUACACAAUAACAAUUAUGUAAAAAUUUUAAUGAGGCAUAUUCUUUAUAAUGAACAUCCAAAGGGAAGUGUUAUGAAUUUAUUAAAAUAAAUGUAGAUGUUCAUAACAUAUAUCUCUUAUUCUCACCACUAUCUCUCAUUAGCAACCUUUAGCUUCCCUAUAACUCCCACUAUCUCACAAGGAAUUAUGAUCCAUAAUUUUUCAUUAAUUUCAUAGAGUGAUUAUGUAACUAUAAAAGGAGAGCUCAUCUUUUGUUCUGUACACACACAAUUAGAAUGAAUAAAAUCACUCUAUAAUAUAUUCUCUCAUUUUAUUCUUUAUCUUGCGUUGCUUCUUUAUUUGUAUUGCUGGUUAAUAGUUUUUUUUUUUUGUUUUUUAUAAGGCUGCCUCAUCUUCAAAAAAAAUCAAUUCAUAUUUUUUAUCAGUUUCAUAAAGUGUAAAGUAAAAAAAAAUAAUACUAAAUUCUUUUUUCAAAGUCGCAUGAAACGCGGUUCUAUUUUUUAGUAUAUAUAUAAAGCUGGAACUGGAGGAGGUGAUGUGGCAUCACCAUUUCUCAUCUUUGUAUAUUCUCUAUUAUUUAAUAAAUAGAGAAAUUUUCUUUUAGAUUUGGCUUUUCAUCUUCUCAUAAUUAAUUUGAUUGUUAUUACACAAUAACAAUUAUGUAAAGAUUUUAAUGAGGCAUAUUCUUUGUAAUGAAUAUCCAAGGGGGAGUAUUAUGAAUUUAUUAAAAUAAAUGUAGAUGUUCAUAACAUAUAUCUCUUAGUCUCCCCACUAUCUCCCAUUAACAAUCUUUAGCUUCCCUAUAACUCCCACUAUCUCACAAGGAAUUAUGAUCCAUAAUUUUUCAUUAAUUUCAUGGAGUGAUUAUGUAACUAUAAAAGGAGAGCUCAUCUUUUUGUUUUGUACACACACAAUUGGAAUGAAUAAAAUCACUCUAUAAUAUAUUCUCUCAUUUUAUUCUUUAUCUUGCGUUGCUUCUUUAUUUGUAUUGCUGUCUAAUAGUUUUUUUUUUGUUUUUUAUAAGGCUGCCUCAUCUUAAAAAAAAAUCAAUUCAUAUUUUUUUAUCAGUUUCAUCAAAUAUAAAGUAAGAAAAAAUGAUAAUACUAAUUUUUUUUUUCAAAGCCGCGUGAAACGCGGUUCUAUUUUCUAGUUAUACAAUAAAGCAAACCAAAAUAAAUUCUACACUCAUAUAUAUAUAUAUAUAUAUAUAUAUAAAGCUGAGACUUGAGGAGGUGAUGUGGCAUCACCAUUUCUCAUCUUUGUAUAUUCUCUAUUAUCUAAUAAAUAGAGAAAUUUUCUUUUAGAUUUGACUUUUCAUCUUCUCAUAAUUAAUUUGAUUGUUAUUACACAAUAACAAUUAUGUAAAGAUUUUAAUGAGGCAUAUUCUUUGUAAUGAAUAUCCAAGGGGGAGUGUUAUGAAUUUAUUAAAAUAAAUGUAGAUGUUCAUAACAUAUAUCUCUUAGUCUCCCCACUAUCUCCCAUUAACAAUCUUUAGCUUCCCUAUAACUCCCACUAUCUCACAAUGAAUUAUGAUUCAUAAUUUUUCAUUAAUUUCAUGGAGUGAUUAUGCAACUAUAAAAGAAGAGUUUAUCUUUUUGUUUUGUACACACACAAUUGGAAUGAAUAAAAUCACUCUAUAAUAUAUUCUCUCAUUUUAUUCUUUAUCUUGGGUUGCUUCUUUAUUUGUAUUGCUGUCUAAUAACUUUUUUUUUGUUUUUUAUAAGGCUGCCUCAUCUUAAAAAAAAAAAUCAAUUUAUAUUUUUUUAUCAAUUUCAUCAAAUGUAAAGUAAGAAAAAAUGAUAAUACUAAAUUCUUUUUUCAAAGCCGCGUGAAACGCGGUUCUAUUUUCUAGUUAUACAAUAAAGCAAACCAAAAUAAAUUCUACACUCAUGUGGGUGUUUCGUUCGCAAAAUCUGGACAAGAAAAAUAAUAUUGAUACAAUCUCCAAAUAAAGAGCAUUCCUCUUGGUAAAAUAGACAAAUCCUAUAAAUUUUGAUUAAUGGUGCCAAAUGAAAGAGUUGUAAUUUCAUGUACAUUUUGUUAACAUGAAUAAGGGUACAAAAUAGAUAACAAAGUGACAAAAACAAAGCUAAUCACAAUGAAUGAUAAGGCUUAGAGUAAACAAAAAGUUAUAAUCUUGAACAUAAGUGGCGCUCAAAGCCAUGAAUUUGAUAUCAUCCAUGAGGGGAGUUCAAACAAUAGCAUGUAAGAAGCAACAAGUGUUGAGAAAAAAAAAAUUUCAUUCUACCACAACAGAAUAAAUUGUAAAGAAAUCCCAGUUUGUAUAAAAGAAAGAAAACAAAAUUAAGGAAAACAUAAGCACAACAAAAUUCGACUGAUUAUUAAAAAUGAGAAAUGAGUUAUAAUGAGAAUUUUAGCUUUGUUGUGAAAUAAAUUGGGAAGUAUCCAAAGUACGCAUGUAAAUAAUAAAAAUGAUAAGAAGACGAAGGGAACAUAAUGAUAAUAAGCAAGCCAAAUAUUAAAAUGCAGAUUCUACGCUUCUGCCCCCCCAUACUUCAAGUUAGUGUCUCGCUAAUCAUUUUAGAUGUAUCAAUUACAAAGGGAGGCCAUCUAUUUAUAGUAAGCGUACGCCUCUAAUGCUUUGCCAAGUGUCCAUUGAUAAUAUCACAAGGGAAAUUAAAUUGGUGUAUGUGUAUUACACCUCCUAAAGUCAUGUUAAGAUAGUGUGCUGAUAAAGCUUGUUGCACGUGUGAUUGGUUAAGUCUGCUAGAAAUGCAAACGUGUAAAGCUGAGUCAGCAAGUUAGUUAAGGUUAUUAUGAAUGCUUAGAUUCAGCUCACGUGUAUUGUAUGUAAUACUUAGAUUCAGGUCAUGUAGAUUGUGUAAUCUCAAUAUAAAUACUUGAUGAUCAUGAUUCGACAUUCCUCACAGCAGGAGCUGUGGAUCUUUAGACAUCAGAUUUUAAUUUCUGUAAUGUUAAAUUUGGAUCCCAUAUUCGACAUUCCUCACAUCAGGAGCUGUGGAUCUUUAGACAUCAGAUUUUAAUUUCUGUAAUGUUAAAUUUCCCAAAACAUUAAAAAAAACAAUGCUGUAUACAUGGUGAAUGAUCUGGCGUAUCUAUAGGUAUUACCCAAGACAUUUCUGAGAACCUGAACUAGGAAUCCUUGUAUUUUUCUUUAUGUCAAGACAGUGACUUGAAGAUUUUAGAUUAUUUUUUUUGGCCAUUUUAUAAUUGUUGGCAUAUUGAACUUGAGUAAUUUUGAUAAACCAUAGUUCAGGAAUGUCUGAUAGAAAUAUUGGAGACUUGAACUUGAAUAUUAGAUUUGAAAUUAAAGAGGUAAGCCAUUAAAAUACAUCAAAGGAUUUGGAAAAUGGAGGAAUUGGAAUAUUGGUAUGAUGGGAUUACAAGAAAGGGAAACUUUUGCAUCAACAUCAAGCAUUGGGCAUUUUCAUUUGUCCUAUUCUAACACCAGUUAGGAAUAUCAACAAGGAGUUACGCUAUGAAUUAAGUAAUCUGCCAGUAAUGCAAGCAUUGAAUGUGAAGAGCUUCACAUAACUUUGAAUUAGCUUAUGAUUUAACACUAUUCCUUUUUGUGUGUGAUCAUGCAUUACGCCGUACUAGAUUUUUCUCUUUCUCUGCGGGAGAGAAAAGAAAGAGAAACAAUGGAUGCAAUAUAAAAAAAGUAAUACAUAUUUACCUAUUUAGUAGGCAAUUUACGCCAACGGUGACACUAUCACAUCAUGAGCGAGUUAUGUAAUAGUUCUUAGAUGAGAUCAUUCUUGCUGCAUUAUUAUUAGAAGUAUCUAUUUAUGCAAGAUUGAUAAUUUGAAUACACGUCCAAAUUAACAAGAGUUUUUAGGCAGUUUAAUUUAACUAACUAGCUAUUUAGAAUACACAUCAUAAUAAAAAAAAAGUACAAUUUAAGAUGUAUGAUUAGACUAUCUAUCUGCUCAAUCAAGACUGAGUGUGAUAUUUCCUCCGUAAACUCAUAGUUAGUUUUGUCACGCUUACAAAUCAAACUACAUUAACAUGAUUUAGGUAUUAGGGCAAGAUUGGAAAAAAAUGUCGAUAAUGCAAUGAUUAUGACGGAGAACAAACCUACAAACAGUACAGCGCAUGGACCUUUUUUCAAAAGAAAUUAUUCUUGAAAGAUAAAAAAAUUCCUUGCUUUUUACAUUAUUUUUUAAUGUAAAAAAUAUUCUCAGUUCUUGACUUGGUAUCAGAUUUUUACGUUACUAGAAAAAUCUAGUACGGCGUAAUGCAUGAUCACACACAAAAAUUUGAGGAGUUGAUGAUAAUCUCAAUAUAAAUACUUGUAAUCAACAAAUACAAUAAUAAGAGUCAUCAUUCUUCAUUUUCUCUCAGUUUCUCUCAUAUUUUCUCUGCAUCCAAACACAAUAUUCUCAGUUCUUGACUUGGUAUCAGAUUUGCAGUUUAAUUGUCAUGGCUUCCUUCCUUAAGCACAAAUUCAAACACAAAUCAGUCUCCUUCAUUCUUUACCGUCACAAAUGCGAUCAAACUGGACAGAUCUAACUAUACGAUAUGGAAAUCUCAGAUCCUCUCUUCAGUGCGUGCCAAUGGACUUGAAGGCUUUCUUAAUGGAACUAAAAUUUGUCCAGAUCAGUUACUUACUCAAGAGAUUGAAAGUUAUGGUGUUGAAAAUGCUGUUGUUGAAAGCUCAACUGAUAGAUCUCAGGAGAAUCCAGCCUUUGUUGCUUGGAAAAGGUAGGAUCAAUUGUUAUUAAGUUGGCUCAUGUCCUCCAUCAGUGUUGAGAUACUUAGUCUUGUGGUAAAUUCUGAUUCUUCUCAUAAACUUUGGACUAAUCUUGAAGAAAAUUUUUGGAUUAGAAACUAUGGCUAAGAAAGCACACUUAAAAAUGAUGUUAAGCAAUCUCAGAAGGGGAUCAAUGACAAUAACUGAGUAUUUUGCCAAACUUAGAGCUGUAACUAAUAAACUUGCUCUAACUGGUAGCCCUGUUUCUACUCUAGACUUUAUUAAUCAUCUAAUCUCGAGAUUAGGCCAGCCAUACUACCCUGUUGUUUUGUAUAUUGAAGCUAAUAUGAUGAAAAUAUUUGUCAAUGAAGCCUACUCUAUGCUUUUAACUCAUGAAGCAAGAAUUAAAUUUAAUCAUCCGAGUGCAAAUAAAGAAGCAAAGUUGAAUUAUGCUGCUAACAUAGCUUAGGCUGGACCUAGUAAUAACAAUAAGAAGUCUAGUAAUCAAGCUAAUUACUAUCAGGGCAACCAAGGUAACGGGAAUAGAAAUGCUCAUUGGUGUGGUAACAAUGGAGGAAGAGGUGGCUUUGGCAGAGGUUUUUCAGGGCAAGGAAGGGGUAAUUAGAAUAAUGGUGGUCAUUGAACAAUGGACCUUGGAGUAGUAGUCGAGCAGGUUAUAAUUGUUCUGAUAUAAACAUUAUGACAUGGUUGCUGGUGAACCUGUAAACAUAACCACAAAAGUAAGAAGGCAUAAUUUUUUUAUAAGAAACUCAAAAAUGUAUUAAUGAUGAAAAUUUUAAAAUAGAUAGUGGACCAUCUGUCCAGUAAGAAAACAAAAAACUGAAUAUUUGUGCUAUAAAAAGGCACACCCAAUCUCACCCCUAUAAAAGGCUAGAAUCAGCUACAAAUCCCUACCUCAAAACCCCAUCCCAGUUUAGAUGAAUGAAGAAAAAUGAUGAAUCUUGAAACUCCUUAGAAACUGAAGCCCAAAGUGAAGCAAGAAGAUGAACUCUAUCCCAAGCAAGCAAUAUGGCAUAUAUCUCCAUUAAUGGUUCAAAUAAAGUGAAUGGCUUUCUCUGAUGAGUGGGAAAUUGUCAAGAUCAAUAGUCAAACUCACGCAAAGUAAACGGACUUAAUUCUCAGAGGCUACUCAUUCUAAGUCUUAAAGAAAAUUUUUCUAAUUUCUAAAGAUUAUAUGGGGAAAAAAUCAUUAUUUUUAAGAUGGAAAAUUUGAUAUGGUGUUUAAUGUCUGAUCACAAUGAUAAUAUGAGUACUAACAAAAACAUCUUUAAUAGGCAUGGUGCGAGUAAAACACCUUUGUAAUGUACCUCAUCAAAUAUAACCCAAGCCACUUCGCGCGUAAUCUCUGAGCCUUUGUACUGCAUACUACGCCAGAUUUCAGUAGUCAUCACCUGAAAUUAAACUUCAUAUAAGCAAUCCACAAAUCAAAGCGCUGCAACACCCAAAAGAUGACACUACCAAGUUGACCUACCAAACAAGAAGCAUUAGGGUCAAUUGUGACAUCCCCAGUCAUCAAACCAACAUCUGAAACUCUUCUUUAAACUCUUCUGAUUGCUGAGUGCCUUAAUCGGUGAAGUAUAUAUCACACGUUGCUUAUUCCGCAACGACAUAGCAAUAGCAUACAAUGCUACCACAGUUUUCCCAGCAGAUGUAUGGGCCGAUACCUGUCAAAUAAAUGAAAGGCAAAUCCAAAUUAAAAAAAGAAAAGAAAAAAAAAACUAUUUUUAUUUUCACACAUGAUAACACUUCAUGCAAAAAUUCUUAAUUCUUAUCGGUGAGCUGAAAAGCAGAGCGCUUUGUACCAAAGCACUUCCAAAUUCGAAUUAAUGUUUUUACAAAAAAUUACAGCUUUAUAUAUUUGUAUGUGCGCGUGCGUAUAAUAAUAAUAAUAAUAAUUAACGAACCGUAACGGACUCGCCGUUGUCGAGGCACUUGAUAGCUUCGGACUGGAAUGGGUCGAGAGUGAAAGGGAAUUCCUUAGCAUGUUUAGCGUCAGCUUCAGCCACUUGACCAAGACGCAUUAAACAUAAAACGCGGCGUUUUCAUGGACUAGUACAUUCCAUGCUUCGAAAGUUUUAUGGUUUAGACUGAUUGGUUUGAUACAUUAUUUGUUUGUUGCGUUUUUCUUGCUUUAAAUAUUAUGUUGGAUACUUGGAUUGAUAAGUUUUGUACACGUUUAUAUUGCUCGCAGUAAAUAAUUUAUGACAUUUAAAAAACUAUCAACCGUCUAUCAAAAGAUUUCUACUAUAAAUAUAUAUACACAAAAAACUUUUAAUUUGGUCAAUUUGUUCUCUUAUUUAUUUUUGUUCUAUUUCUCUUUUCCUUUCCUUUCAUUUUAUUGUUUUAUGGUAUAAAAUAAAAAAAUAACCUUAAAAUUUAAGGUGAUGUUUGGUUGGGAGGAGAGAAUGUAGGAGAGGAAAGUAAUUUAAAUUCUCUUGUUAUUUCCAUUGUUUGGUUUGACAAAAUGUAUAAGAAUUAAAUUUUUAUUAGAAUUUAAUAUCCAUCAUAAUGUAGAAUUUGAAUUCCAUAUUAAGUAGCGAAGAAUUUAAAUUUCUCUUCUAUUAGAAACUAAAGGUUCCAAAAUUACCCUUCAACUUUUUAGCUUAUUUAAUGCCAUUAAUAAUAAUAAUUUAAUAUUAUAAAUGGACCUCCACCGGAAAGUCGCCGGACUACCCCCGGAUCUCGUCGGACCACCGCCGGAAGAUCGUCGGACCACUGCCGGAAAAUCACCGGACCACCGCCGACCUCGCCGGACCUCCGCCGCCGGCCACCGGAUCGCCAUUUAUAUAUAUAUAUAUAUAUUAUUACUAAUAUAAAUAGUUUAAUAUUUAAGGUAAAAGAUAAAUUUGUCUAAAGAAAAAAAUUAUAAUUCAUUUCCUUAUCAAAUUUUAUAUCAAACCAAACAACAAAAUUUAAUUUCACUACUCUUCUCUAUUCCUUUCUUCUCCAUUCCUCUCCAUUCCACUCUUUUCCACUCCUCCAUUUUCUUCAAACCAAACAUGACCUAAGGGUAAAAUACUCAUUUUACUAAAAUUCCGUUUAAUAUCAUAACGCUGUCAAUGGAAAAAUAUACGAGUGAUAUAAAUUAAAAACAAAUAAAUUGAAAGUUUUUAUGUAUUUUCCUUUUAUUUUUUUAAUAGCCGAUUGAGAUUUCCCUUCAUAUUUUUAAAUUCAAUAGGUUUAGACCGUUUAACAAAUCUUAAAUUAAAAAAACCCGCGGUGUAAUAACAAACUCACAUCAAACCCUGUACACUGUCAUCCCUAAUUAUAUUUACCACUUCAUACUCACAGUGAUAAUAACUGUGUAUCACAAUUGAUUUUGCAUACGGGUAAAAGUUCCAAGUCCGGAUAUUUAGUUAAUGAAAUUUGAUGAAAAGGGCAUGAAAGAAAAUAAGAAAUUAAAUAAUACAGGAGGUAUUAAUCAUUACAUAUUUAGUUAAUGAAAAUUGAUGAAAAUAUUUCUGCAGACGUGAGCCAUAAUUAUAUUACCGUUAAGAAUGAAGCAGAAGAGUUUCCCCAAACAAGCUAAAACACAGCACUUCAAUUUAAAGAAUUUUUAUAUCACAGUACCGGGGUAAAAAGUUUAAUGCAACAACAUACAUUAAGUUAAUUCCAUAAUCUAUCCCCAAAGAAAGACAAACACAAGCUUAUAAGAUUAAAACUUUGGAAAACAUUAGAGUCGGACAAAAUUGUGUAAUCUUCAGAGUUUGGAGCCUAGUUCAUCCAGGAAAGCAAAAGAAAUAAUAAUAAUAAUAAUAGUGGUGGUUUGAUCUCAAAAGGUGGCAUCAAAGUGGUAACUUUGAGGUAUUGGAAGCAAUAACGUCUUCAACUUUGUCCUGAUUUCGAAGUCCCUUAACCCAUCCGCCAUCAAUGGAUUGAAUGCUUCCAUUCAACCCAUCAUCCACAAAAUCACCAACCCGUUUCACCUUCAUCUCCUUGGGCUUAACAGGGUACUUUCCAGAGAAGCAAGCAAAACAAAAAAUCCGAGAAUCAUCGCCUAACAACUUGUUCAAGCUGUCAAUCGGCAGAAAAGCAAGCGAAUCACACCCAAUAAACUCCCUGAUUUCCUCAACGCUCAUCCUGUUGGAAAACAACUCCUCAGUACUUGGAGUGUCUACUCCGUAGUAACAAGAAGCUAUGAUUGGUGGGCUUGCAGCGUACCCAAGUGCAGCCACCACUCCAGAAUCUGGUACUGCAAUCACGACAUCACACUCAGCAGGAGCCUCGGUAGCAAGUACUUCCCCAAAAUGAUACCUCGACUCAUAAACAGACCUUCCAAAAACAACAGAAUUAGGCAAAGCAAAAUAAAUAUGCUCAACGAAGCACUGCUUAGGUUCAGGGUGAGGCAUCAAACAAGGUGAUUGAACCCCAUCUUUAUCCACCAUCAAAACUUCACCGGGAUAUACCGUAUGUGGCCUCAAUCAAAUAGUGCACAAGUCUCUGACGCAAAAACCAGAGCACCAUUACUCCUCCUACCCAUCACCAAUGGCAUAAACCCAUACGGGUUACGAACCGCAACAAGCUUAUCCUCAGUAACAAACACCAUUGAAUAAGCACCCUCAAGCUUCUCACAAACAUCCACAAUCCUCAAAAAGAACGGCCUAGCUUUCGAUAUCGGAAUCAAAUGGAGAACAACCACAGUAUCAGAACUAGUAUUGAAAAUGGAUCCAUUAUCUUCAAGCUUAGCCCUCAAAGUAUUAUAAUUAACUAAUGUGCAACACCAACAGAACCAAACCUGUACCCAGCAACAAAAGGCUGCACAUUCUUAAGCAUAGAACUACCCGCAGUCGAAUAUCUAACAUGACCAAUGGCCAUAUCACCCGGCAAUUGAUCAAGUUUAGACUGAUUAAACACAUCAGAGACUAAACCAACACCAGUAAUAGACUGAAGAACUUUGUUAUUCACAGCAACUAUACCUGCACCUUCUUGGCCGCGAUGCUGCAUCGCGUGUAGCGCCAAAUAGCACAAACGCGAGGCCUCUGGGUCACCAUAGAUGCCCAUAACACCACACUCCUCACGGGGCUUAUCGUCGUCAUCAUCAUCAAAACUGCCAAAACCGUCAUCUGGAUAUUCUUUAUUUGUGGUGAAAAACUCAGAGAUGGGGUUUUUUGAUAGAACAGUGAAGUUAUUUUUGUGGAUUAAAGAUUGUUGUUUCUGAGGAAAAAAAGGGUUUUUUUGCAGGGUUUUGGAGAAAAGAGAAAGAUGGGUUUUUUGCGACGGCUUAGGGUUAACAGAUGGAGAUGGGUUUGAGAGAGGGCAGAUGUUGGCGUGCCUGUUGUGGUGGCUGCCAUUAAUGGCUGAAUUUAUUCUAUUCUAUUUUAUUUAUUGGGUUGCCUUGCCCUUGCUCAAAGAAAAAACAGAGGAGGUGUGUGGAGGGAGACAGUGGCGAAGGGUACUUUAAGUAGAGGGGAACUUGUUCUAGGUUUUUUUCUGGAAUUGUGAGGGAAUCUGAUCCUGGGUUUGUGCAUAUGAUUCAAUUACUUAUAGG